rnacentral:lncRNA from 1 species
GAUAAGUUAACGAAUAGGUGAUAAUAAAAUAAUAGAUUAUAAGGCAAUAAUAAUAAUAGAAGCAUAAAUAAAACAGAACAUAGUAAAUAAAUAUAUGGAAGGAUUAAAAAUAAAUAAAAUGACAAUAUAUGAAUAAGAAAGUAAAUGUUUAAACAAAUAAAAUAAAAGAAUAAUGAAUAACUAAUCAAAUAAGUAAAUAAAUGGACAAAUACAUCAAAUAAAAAGGCUUGACUAAAAGUUUAAAGGAAUUUAAAGAACGAGAAAAAAAUAUAAUGAAGCAGGGGACCAAACUGUAACGCGCAAGUGAAACAGAGGGUUCGAAAGGGAAAAUAUCCUUAUGCUCUUAAAUGCCAUGUUUUAUGCGGGACUAAAAUGGGAUACCAGCAGAUUUCUGAGCCAAAAUUAAAAGAAAAAGAAGGGACAAAAAAGAGGGGCCAAUCGAAGCAGAUCAAAAGAGUGGAAGGACCAUUUGCAAAAUUUAUCCCAAAAGCAGAAAUAUACUUAUCCUGGGGGUUGUGACGCCGUUUCACUAGUUAUUAAGACUAAAAAAAAUAAAAAAAAUCACUUGAAUGGCCAUCUGCCAUUUUCUACAAAAAUCAAAACAAAUCCCUAACCCCCAUUCUUUAUCCCUCAUUUGAAAGCCAGGCAUCCUUAGCCUACAAUUGGAAGAAGAAGGUUUUCCCUUUAUUAUUUUUUGGGCUCGGUUUCGGCGAUGGAGAAGGAGACUCCGGCGACGUGACCGUGAGGUGAUUCAGGUAAGUUUUUCUCUUCUUCUUCCUUUUAUUUUCAUAUUUUUAUUUAAAAUAGAUUUAUAGGAAAAUGAAAAGAAAAACAAGAAAAUGAAGAGACAAAAGAUUAAAACGAAACCUUUUCUUUCUAUUUUGCUUUUUUGAUUUUUCAGAUCUGCCCGUAUUACAGUGUUUUUUUGUAUUCAAAAAAAGAAAAACCCCUAUUUACAAUUGUUUUUCUCUUUUGAAAUAUAAAAAAUCCUCCCCCUCUUACAAAUGAUAGAUUUCGGUUUUUAAAGCCAAUGUUUUUCUUGUUCCCUUUGUUUAUUAUUUCUUCUCUGUUGUUCACGUGCCUUAUUUGUUCCUUUUCUGUCCUCUUUUGUUUGUUUGCAGGGAUAGCAGAGAUGGUUGAAGGCAGAAGGUAUGGGCGAUGGUAUGGGACACCUGUCUCGGGCGUUGUGCACGUUGAGGCCAGCACAUGGAGGCAGCAGCGCAAGGGUUAGGGGCUAGGGUUGAUUACUGAAAAUUUUGAUGGUUUAAUGGGCUAUUAUUUGGGCUAGGGUUUGAUGUAAAUUGGGUUUGGGUAUUUUGGUUUUGGGCCGGGCAUAAUUGGGCCUGUACACAUAUAUUGAGAAGAUGUUUCCCAACCAUGUCAGGCUUGUUAAACGAGAGAGGUUUCAAGAAUUUUUGAGCUUACGUAUUCAUGAUCAAUUGUAUGCAAAUCUUUUCAAUCCCUCAUAUUUUGCAGUGGAUGGGAUAUGGUGUUUGGAAUUCUUAGUUGGAGCUUGAGGAAUGAGAUGAAUAGUAGGAUACUGAAUGAGGCAUUCUUUGCAUGGGAGAACAUCCUUGAAAGAGGAAGUCGAUUGUGGAAUGAGGUGAUCAAAGCAAGGUCAGAUUUGCAAGCAAAACUUGGCAGGGUCGUACUAGGGAAUGGGAGAGAAACCACCUCUCGGUUGGUAUAAGAUUAAAUACUGAUAAUGGUAGAAGCAGUACAACCGGCUUUGUUGCCACGGGUGGGGUAUUAUGGGGGUCGUUGGUUUAGGGGAUUUGCGCAUAACCUUGGUUGUUGCUCAGUCACUGAAGUAGAAAUGUGGGGGGCGUAUGAUGAUUUUUAUAACAUGCUUGGAACAUGGGGGCGAGAAGGAGGAGCGCCUUGCAGUGGUCUAGCUACUUCGCAAUGAAAUAGAAAUGCAGAGCAGCAAUGCAGUCUAUCCUUCAAAUUGAAGUAUGUUGGAAAUGGGUCCGAACGUUAAUAUUAUAUGAGUCUACAUGGAAGGAAACGGUCUUCCUUCCCACUUCACGUUUCAUUUACUAAACCAAUAACUGGCUUGAUCAUUCUUGUCUUCAUGGAAGAAGGAAACUGCAAAAGAUAGGAUAAAAACCGCCCCCCCUCCCCUCCCCACCCAAAAAAAUUACUAACAUUGUGGGGAGGGAUAACUACAAACUCAAACAUGGACAAUAAAACAAACAUAAAAAAUACCAAAUGUAUAUAUAAUUAUCGAUAUCUAAACAAUCCGGUAUGUUGGUAUUAUGAAUUUAUUGUAUUCUAAAAUCUCGUUUUAAAUAUAUAUUUUCUUAAAGAGAGACUCUGAGAGAGAGAAGACAUGUAGAAGAACAUUAGGAGGAUUCUUCUCAAAAUUGCCAACACAGUCACUUACACUUUCAUAAUAUCAACUUACAAUUAACUUAAAAAGAAGAGACAAGUAACAAAUUUGAGGUCUUAUAAACAAGACGUAUGUCAAAAUGCUUAUGCAAUUAACUACUACUUCAUAUUUACUAAACCAUUCGGCUUGGUCUUUUUGUCUUCAUGGAGGAACUUGCAAAAGAUAGGGAUGAAACCAUCAUACACCCCCCCAAAAAAAAAACAAACCAAUGCAAUCAACCUUACAACAUAGAUAUAAUUACUAACCUUGGAUGAUAUUGUGGGGAGAGAUAACCACGAUUUUCUUAGAGAGAGAGAGAGAUGACAUGUGGAAGAGCAUUAAGAGGAUUCUUUUCAAAAUUUCUAAGAGAGUCACUUACACUUUUUUAAUAUUGACUUAUAAUUAACUUAAAAAGAAGAGACAAAUAUAUAGCAAUUUUGGAGUCUUAUAAACAAGCAAGACGUAUGUUAAAAUGCUUAUGCAAUUAACAACUACUGGACAUUUACUAAACCAAUUGGCUUGGUAUUUUGUCUUCAUGAAACUUGGUAAAGAGAGUGAUGAAACCAUCAUACACCCCAGAAAAUGACAGAUAAAAUCACUAACCUUGAACGACAUUGUUGAAAGAGGCAGUUACAAACUUAAAUAUGGACAGCAAAAAUGAUAUCUAAACAAUCCGUUAUGUUGGUAUUAUGAAUUUAUUGUAUUUCAAAAAUUUAUAUUUUCUUAGAGAGAGAGAGGGAGAUAUGGAGAGAGGGAGAGGGAGAGAGAGAGAAGGAGAGAGAAAGGGAGAGAGGGGGAGAGAGGGAGGGAGGGAGGGAGGGAGGAAGGGAGGGAGGGAGGGAGAAGGAGCAUUAGGAGGAUUCUUCUCAAAACUACUAAGAGAGUUACUUAUACUUUCAUAAUAAUGACUUACAAUUUGCUUAAAAAGAAAAGACAAGUAACAAAUUUGGAGUCGUAUAAACAAACAAGACUUCUGUUAAAAUGCUUAUACAAUUAACCACUACACAUUUACUAAUCCAAUUGGCUUGGUCUUCAUGUCUUCAUGGCGGAAUCUGCAAAAGAUAAGGAUGAAACCAUCAUAUACCCCCCCCAAAAAAACCAAUUCAAUCAACCCUAUGUUACAUAAUUACUAACAUUGAACGAUAUUGUAAGGGAGAGGUAACCACGAUUUUCUUAGAGAGAGAGAAAUGAUAUGUGGAAGAGCAUUAGGAGGAUUCUUUUGAAAAUUGCUAAGAGAGUUACUUACACUUUCUUAACUUACAAUUAACUUAAAAAAAAGAAAGAAAAAUAACAAUUUUGGAGUCUUAUAAACAAGCAAGUCGUGUGUUAAAACGCUUAUGCAAUUAACCACUACUUCACAUUUACUAAACCAAUCGACUUGGUCUUCUUUUUUUUCAUUGCAGAUCCUGCAAAAGAGAGGGAUGAAACCAUCAUACACCCCCCCAAAAAAUGACAGAUAUAAUUACUAAUCUUGAACGACAUUGUUGGGAGGGACAGUUACGAAAUUAAACAUUGACAGUACAAUGAACAUGAAAAAUACCAAAUAUAUAUAAUCAUCGAUUUCUAAACAAUCUGGUAUGUUGGUGUUAUGAAUUUAGUGUAUUUCAAUAUAUAUAUUUUGUUAAAGAGGGAGAGAGAGAGAGAGAGAGAGCAUUAGGAGGAUUUUUCUCAAAAUUGCCAAGAGAGUCACUUACACUUUCAUAAUACCGACUUACAAUUAACUUAAAAAGAAAAACAAAUAACAAUUUUAAAGUUUUAUAAAUAAACAAGACGUGUCUUAAAACACUUACGCUAUUAACCACCAUUUCACAUUUACUAAACCAAUUAGCUUGGUCUUCUUCAUGGAGAAACUCCCAAAAGUGAUGCAACCUAUCCACGAUGAUAGUGAUGAAACCAUUAUACAACCCCCUCCCCUAAAAAAAAAAAACAUUUUAAUCAACCUUACAUGAUGGAUAAAAUUAUUUACUUUGAACAAUAUUAUUGAAAGGGGAAACUAUAAACUUAAACAUAAAUAGUAAAAUGGAUAUGAAAAAUACCAAAUAUAUAUAAUUACUGAUAUUUAAACAAUUUUGUAGGUUGGUAUUAUAAAUUUAGUGUAUUUCAAAAUCUCGUUUUAAAUAUAAAUUAGAGAGAUUCUUCUCAAAAGUCACUUACACUUUCAUAAUAUUGACUUAAAACGAAAAGAUAAGUAACAAGUUUAGAUUCUUAUAAACAAGUUAUGUGAUAAAAUGCUUAUGAAAUUAACCACUACUGCCCCCUAAUAUUUCACCUACGCACUCUAAAUUACUUCGUUUAUCUAAUGUUUUGUGCGUUCCGACUAUAAGGAAAAAUCUCCUAUCUGUAUCUCAGUUUGCCAUUGACAAUGGUGUGUUUUUUGAAUUUCACCCAACGUAUUAUGUUAUUAAGGAUAGCAUGACUCGGGAAAUAUUGCUGAAGGGCCACAUUCGUGAUGGGCUCUAUCAUUUUUCUCUGUUGGUUGCAUCUGCUCAGUUUGCUGUAGCUUCUUCUACUACCCACAUUGGACUUCAGAAUCAGUCUGACGACUAUGCUAUAUUUUCUGUGGCACAAACGCCUUGGUCAUCCUUCUACUUCUGUUGUUAAAUCUGUUUUAAAUAAAUUUAGUAUUACUUCAAAUAAAGCCUCUUUUGAUAAUGUUUGUACCGCUUGUCAAAAAGGGAAAUCCCAUAAAUUGCCCUUUCCUGAUUCGACUACUGAAUACAAUAAUCCGUUUGCCUUGGUUGUCUCUGAUCUCUGGGGUCCUGCAUCAGUUGCCUGUGGUAAUAAUUGGUAUUAUGUAUCUUUUAUUGACAUGUGCACUCAUCUUACUUGGAUUUAUCUUCUUUGACGAAAGUCUCAGGUCGUAGAUUGCUUUGUUCAGUUUCAGUAAUUAGUCAAAACUCAGUUUGGGAAAACUAUCAAACAAUUUCAAAGUGAUUGAGGCGACGAAUAUCGAGCCUUCACUUCUGUUCUUGCAACUCAAGGGAUAAUUCAUCAGUUGUCUUGUCUGCAUACCUCUGAACAGAAUGGAGUGGCUAAACGCAAACAUCGGCAUAUUGUUGACAUGGGCGUCACACUUUUGGCUCAAGCGAAUCUCUCUAUAGAAUUUUGGGCCUAUAUUUUUUUUGUGUUGUUCAUCUCAUGAACCGUCUUUCUACCUUGGUUCUGAAAGGACAGAUUCCGUAUCACGUUCUUCAUGGACAAGAUCCCACAUAUGAUCAUCUACGCGUAUUUGGGUGUUGCUAUUUUCCAUAUUUACGUUUGUCUCAACGUCAUAAAUUGGAUUUUUGAUCUCAACCCUGUACAAUCUUGGGAUAUAGUUCUGAACACAAAGGAUAUCAGUGUCUUCUACCGGAUGGUAAGAUUAUCCUUUCUCGUCAUGUUGUGUUCGAUAAACAAUGAUUUUUGUCUUCUUUGUCUGCUACGCAGGGUUCCAUGUCUUCAUCUGGUUCCAUAACGAUGUUUGUUCCUAUUGUAAAGACUAUCCCUUCUCGGCCCGUGGAGCUCUCAUCUCCUCUACCGUCAUCUUUUUCUCCUAUUUGCUACCCCUCACCUACUGUUUUUAAGGUUCCUCAAGCUGAGGUGGGCUCUGGCCGUGAGACUCAUAGUUCUACCUCAUUACCCAAUGGUGAUGUUGAUUCUAGCUCUACCAUGUCUCCUACUACUGUUUAGUCCUCCCUUUUGGUUCAAGAAUCUUCUUGGCCUUUGAAAAAUACUCAUUCGAUGGUUAUUCGGUCUAAGGCUGGCAUUUUUAAGCCCAAGGCUUUGUCUUUUGAGGCUAUUGAGCCCCACACCAUUGAGGAGGCUUUUUCUACCACCGAAUGAUGUACUGCAGCUCAAGCAGAAUUUCAUGCUCUUAUUCAUAAUUCCACAUGGGAUUUUGUUUCGUUACACCUAAUCGCAAGGUAAUCAGGUGUAAAUGGCUUUUCAAGGUCAAGAAAAAUACUGAUGGCAUUAUCACCCGUUGCAAGGCUCGGUUGAUUGCUAAAGGAUGUUCUCAGGCCCUUGGAUCUGAUUUCAAGGAAAUGUUCUGUCCAGUGAUCAAACUUGCCACUUUUUGAGUCAUUCUAUCAGUUGCUGUCUCCAACGAAUGGCAGCUCCGUCAAGUUGAUGUGAAUAAUGCUUUUUGAAUGGUGACCUUGCUGACGAAGUGUUCAUACAACAACUUCCGAGGUAUGUUCAGUAUGGUUCGAAUGGAAAAUCAUUAGUCUAUCGUCUGAAGAAAGCUUUAUAUGGGCUUCGUCAGGCCCCACGUGCUUGGUUUGAUAAAUUGAAGACUUUUCUCGUUUCUGUUGGCUUUGUUAUAUCCAAAUCUGAUGUAUCUCUGUUUUUUCGAAUUACAACUAACUCUACUCUUUAUGUGUUUGUGUAUGUGGAUGACAUUAUCAUUACUGGAAGUAUACCUACUUGUAUAACUAGCUCUGUUCAGCAGUUGAACGACAAGUUCUCACUUAAAGAUACGGGCUAUCUCCUCUAUUUUCUCAGGAUUGGGGUUACUCGUUCCUUCACAGGGUGUUAUCAUCAUUGCCAAAGAAAGUACAUCCGUGAUCUACUCGACAAGAGUUCUAUGACUCAAGCAAAGAGUGUCCAUACUCCAAUGAUUAGCUCAUCUACUCUGCCCAAGGAUGAAGGGGACCGUCUCAGUUAUACUACUGAGUACAGAAGUCUUGUAGGUGCUUUACAGUAUGUGGUUUUGACUCAUUCAGAUAUUGCAAUGCGGUAAAUCAUAUAUGCCAGUUCAUGCAUACACCCAUUACUGUUCAUCUUGUCGCCUUAAAAAGAAUCCUGUGAUAUUUAUGUGGUACACUUAAUUAUGGGAUUUUUUUUCGUCCAUCCGUCUGACUUUCUUUAGUUGGUUAUGCAGACGCUAACUAGGCGCUAAAUUUUGACGAACGUCGCUCUACGAUAGGCUAUUGUGUAUAUUUUGGUCACACACAUGUCUCUUGGUAUUCCAAUAAGCAGCAAGUGGUUUUGCAAUUUACGACUGAGGUUGAAUAUUGAAGUCUUUUUGUAGCUACUAGUGAUAUUACUUGGUUGGUCUCGUUACUAAAGGAGUUGCAACUUCAAAAUGUUGAUCCACAUACUAUUUGGUGUAACAACUCUUAUGCAGUUGCCGUAGCUACCAAUCUUAUUUUACAUUCCAAAUUCAAACAUGUCAAGCUUGAUCUAUUUUUUGUAUGCGAAAAAGUCACCGACAACUCCAUUGUUGUUGGUGAGGUUCCUGCGUGUGAUCAAGUCGCCAACAUUCUCACCAAUCCACUCACUGUAUCUUCCUUUGCUAGAUUUCGAAAUCUUCUUCGAGUCUUACCUCUCAAGAAGAUGGAUGAAGGUUAAGAGUAUAGUUGACUCUGUUAUUGAGGUAGCCUAUUAGCUGUUAGUCUGUCAAUCAAGUAGAAAAGCUGUUAGCAAUAAUAGUUACUCUUGUAUUCUAUAAAUACUAUCACUAUAAUAUACAAUUCAACAUAUACUAGUCCAGAUACAAAGAUUUCUUUCAAAUACUCAACAUAUUUCUAGUCUAUCUUUUCAAUACGUAGUAGUGCUUUCAUUCAUUCAAUUAUCAAUAUAUUAGUUAUUCACCAUAAAUGUUAACAAUAUGGAUUAGGAACAACAUUGAAAGUCGGGGAGGGACAUUAAUGAUUGGAAGAGAGAGAGAGAGAGAGAGAGCCAUAGAAAGGUUUGAAAUCACAUUGAACGCCUUAUUGCAAGAUGUUGGCCCGUGACUUUUGAAAGUUGUUUAUUAUAAAACCAUGACUUUUUUUUUGAUUAGUGGUUUAUAAUGAAACCAAUAAGCAGCUGGGCAGUUAAUCUUAUUGCAAAAUGGAAAAAGGAAAAGAAUAAAUUACUUUAAAAGUUUGGCCCUCGAGAAAACAAUUUCUAUUCGUAUUUUUUGAAAAUUGAAAAUGAAAAUCUAUUUCUCAAAAAAAAUAUAUGUACUAUUAUGAAAUUAUUUUCAUAAUUGAAACAUGAGAUAUAAUUACUAAAUAGUAAUUAAUAGUGUAGGUUUUAAUUAAAUGUGUUAUUAAUAUAAAAUAAAAUUAAUUUAUAUAAAAAGUGGUUCUAGACUUCUAGUAUUCGUGGCCAUCUCUCUGGGGCUGUGGUUUAUAUGGAUUCUCUUACUAAAAUAUUUCGAAUAUAAUGGAGGUGUCUGCGAAUUUGUUUCACAAUAUUUGGAAUUGGUCAAUUUGAGAAAUGGAUUAAUCAAAAUCUUCUUUUCUUAAUCUAAAAGAUUGAGUUUCUUAAGACAAUUCAAUAGUUUUGUACGGUCUUGUAAAAAAUUGUUACCAAAAGGAACAAAAAAUUAAGACCAUUCAUACUAACUUGGGCAGUUCUUAAGCAAUCAACCUUUGAUCUUCCUGUUGGAAGAUGCAUCGUUGAUAAUAUUAUUAUUGUAUAAAAAUGAUUCAUAUAAUAUGUAAGAGGUCAGGCAAGUAAGAGCGGGUGGUGACUAAAAUUAAUCUCGAGAAAACUUAUGAUAUAUUGGAUUGGAAUUUUAUAGAGGAUGUACUUGUUGAUAUUGAGCAACAUAGUUAAUUACAUAAUUUUGUAUUGUGUCAUAAAUUGCUUUCUAUGCAGAUUGUUUGGAAUUAUAAUUUAUUUGAACAUUAUUUAUUUGUAGCCGAAUCAAUUACUCAAGCCGUGAGUAUGGGUAGAUGGGAACUAAUUAAGCUAACAAGGGGUGAUUCGAGUGUUAAGAUGGCUUAAUUUUGUUUACAGAAGCUUCGAUUGAGCAAAUGAAACUUGUUAGGGAUAAAUUGGAUGCCUUUUGUUAUUGCUUCAUAAGCGAGUAAUUAAAGCUACGUAUCAAUAUUACUAAUAUGAGAUAAAAAAUGUCUAAGUGCAAGGUAAAACUCUUUUGCUAUCAGAAGAAUAACUCUCACCGAGGCAUGUUGGUCGUCGUUCUUAUAUAUGCAAUACAAUGGACAUUUCUACAGAAAGGAAUAAGCUCGAUAAUAGGGAAAAUCAUACAAAACCUUGUUGGGGGCACAUAGAAGACUAAAUUUUUUUUUUGACAACAAGACCUAAAGAGAUCAACCUUCAAUUAAUAGCAUCAUCAAUUACAAUAUUAUGGAUCACCGUAGGGUUAUCCAUACCAAAAACCAAAUGACCCUCGUGAGUAAUGGCAUAAUUGCAUAAAAGGUCUGCCACCUUAUUACAUUUGCAAUUGACCAAUUAACAGCCACAUUAUUGAACACAUCCAUAGUUUUAAAGCAUUCAUUAAUGCGGUAACCCGUGAUAGUAAUAUCCUCCCUACGCUUCUUAAUUCUGUUUGUGAGGAUGGCAAGAAGAUAAAGAUUUGAUUUAGUGAAAAAGGGUGAUAUUUGUCAACUGACGUCUCAAGGUGGCCUUGGAAUUAAAGGGUUGGAUUGACAGAAUGCUGCAUUGGGUUUUAUCUGGUGCUUUAAGAUUGAUCAACUUCGGUUCAACUACUACGAACUAAGUAUAAGUGAGGAGUUAGGCGUUGAAUCAUAUGGAACAUUGGGGAUGUUGUGAGGUGGAUUUUGGGCGCGACUCUUGGGUAAAAAACUAUAGCCUUUGAUGAACAGUAGUAUCCGACUAGACCUUGCGCGUUCUAAUAGUGUGCCUAUAUGUAAUAUGAUGGAUCAUAUUGGGGAUUGGAAUUGGAUACAAUUCAAACACUUACUGACUGAAUCGAUAGCUUUAAAAAUUAGUGCCUUGUGGCCUCUUUUGCAGUCGAAUAUCCCUGACUUCUCUGGGUGGCGUUGGGAGAGAAGACAUGUUUUUAUCACUAAGUCAGCUUAUUAUUAUGCAAUGGAUAACCAAAAUAGCUUGGAGCCUGAUAAACUUUGGCGAUGUUUUUGGAGUUACGAGGGCCAUCAUAGAGUCAAUUUGGGGCACGUUGCAGGUAAUUCGGUGUACAGCUAUCGUGAAGACGACAUAUCAUAUAUUGGGAAGAUGUUUCUUAACCAUGUCAGGCUUGUUAACGAGAGAGGCUUAGAGAAUUUUAAAGCUUACGUAUUCAUGAUCAAUUGUAUGCAAAUCUUUUCAAUCCCUCAUGUUUUGCAGUGGAUGGGAUAUGGUGUUUGGAAUUCUUAGUUGGAGCUUGAGGAAUAAGAUGAAUAGUUGGAUACUGAAUGGGGCAUUCUUUACAUGGGAGAACAUCCUUGAAAGAGGAGGCCGAUUAUGGAAUGAGGUGACCAAAGCAAGGUCAGAUUUUGUUGGGUUUUUGAACAAUUUAUCUGGAGGAAGUAUGAAGCUUAGUGUAAAACUUGAGCAACAACGUAAUAAAUCUGGAUAAAGAAUAAAGGAAGAUUGAGCUUCAAAAGGCUCAAUAUUUUCAGGAUAAACAAACAGAAUUUUACUUGGGAAAAGAACGCAAAAAUUGAGAGAGUAUUUUUCUUGAAUGACUUCUAUGAAAAUUCAUUGAUAAAAAAGAUUGCAUAAUGCCAAUACAUAUACCAGUCAUAAGCUGGUCAGCUUUGACAGGUUUCACUUACUAUUUUUAGGCUUUAUUGCAACUUGCAAAGCACAAUUUGCGUAAUUAGGUAAGCUGAUCUAUCAAUCUUAUUAGCACCGAAUGAAUUAAAUACAUUACCUACUUGGUUCAAAUUAAACUAAGUUACAAAAUAUUACUUAAAGUAACAAAAUGAAACCGAAAUUGAACAGUAACAUCAACUUCAGUAGCUGCAUGUACUUUUUCUGCAAAUACUAUAGCAGCUUGAUCUUUAUUUUUCACCCACAUAACUUGGACUGCAUGUACUUCAUCCGCAUAACUUAUGUUGCAUUCUCUGCUUCUUGGCUGCUUCAUGUGCUGCAUGCAGGCCAACUUCAACACUCCUCAUUGGCUUGCAUGCUACAAACUCCCAUUUUGGUUAUUAAAUCUUCAAAUCUUAACACAUUAAGGGGCUUUGUUAAGAUAUCAGCAAGUUGUUCUUUAGAACUGCAACGAAUCAGCUUCACUUCUUGAGCUUGCUCCAUCUCUCUAACAAAGUGAAAUUUGAUCUUGAAAUGUUUCGUUCUCCUAUAAAACACUGGAUUUUUUGCAAUUGCAACAGCAGAUUGGUUGUCACAAUUGAUCUCUGUUGCUUCCCUUUGGUGUAGAUUCAAAGCAACCAUGAGUUUUCUCAGCCACAUGGCUUUAUUUACAACACUAGUAGCUACUACAUAUUCUACUUCAGCAGUUGAUUGAUCAACAAUAUUUUGCUUCUUCGAACUCUAGCAAAAAAUGGUUGAACCAAGGGUGAAUAGAUACCUUGAGGUACUCUUCAUAUCAUCUAUUGAUCCAGCCCAAUCACUAUCAGCAUAGCGAAUUAAUUUCAUGUUUUCAACUUUGCUAAACAACAUUCCAUAGCUUUGUGUACCUUUGAUGUACCUGACCACUCUUUUGGCAGCUUAAAAGUGCUUUUCAAUGCAGCAAUGCAUGAAUCUUGAAAGCAAACUUACAGCAGACAUAAUGUAUGGUCUAGUGGCAGUUAAAUAGAGUAAACAUCCAGCUAGACUUCUGUAGGUUGAUUCACUAACCUUUUCAAAAUCACCUUGGCUUGAUAGUUUCUCUCCAAUAGCAACUGAUGUACUUGUUGCCUUGCAAUUUUGCAUGGAGAAUUUGCUCAGAAUUUUAGAGACAAAAGCUUUCUGGCUUAGGAAGAUCCAUGAUGUGUUUGUGAUACUUCCAUGCCAAGAAAGUAAGACAGUUGUCCCAAAUCUAACAUCUCAAACACUUGUUGCAUUUUGCAUUUGAAGUCUGUCAGCAUUGCUUGGUCUCCUCCUGUCACUAACAGAUCAUCAACAUAUAGAGGCACUAUCAGUUGAGUUUUACUACCUUGCUUUUUCAUAUACAAGGUAGGUUCACUAAUGCUUCUUUCAAAUCCAAGGCUAGCUAGAUAGCCAUCGAUCUUGCUAUACCGGGCUCUUGGAGCUUGUUUCAAGCCAUAUAAGGCUUUCUUCAGUUUGUACACCUUAUCCUCUUCAACAACAAUUUUGAAGCCUUCAGGCUGCUCAACAUAUAUUUCUUCUUCAAGAAAACCAUUGAGAAUGGCUGACUUCACAUCGAUCUGAUGGAUUUUCCAUUGCAUUUGUGCUACUAAGGCAAUUAGCAGCCUUAUGGUAUCAAGCCUAGCUGUAGCAGCCCAAAUUUGACCGGGCCUUAAAACCAAAAUAGAAAUACAAAAAUAAAUAAAUAAAUAAAUAAAUAAAUGUUUAUUUAUUUAAACAGUCCAUGUACAAGAGCCCAAACACAAGCCCAAAUACCUAAACCUAUGUACCCAAUUAUAGCUAACCCAACUAAACACGGCAGUUUUAACCCAUCUACCAGGCUAGCCCAAAUUUAAAACAGCCCAAAAGGCCCAAAGGACUUAAGGGAAACAAGAAACCCUAGGAUUUCCUAAACACUGUGGCGCCGCAAUAGGUUCUAGAGGAUUCGGGGAGCGUCUGUUCAGUCCCCGAAAUCGAGGCCGCCAUUAAUGCGUUGUCCCAAGGGCCUUCAAUGCCCACCAGGGCCCCGGUCACAGUUCGUCCCUCUAUUCGGCCCCAAAUCUCGUCACAAACAGCACGACCAUCACCGAAAUCUUCGGGGUACCUGCAAGAAAAGGAAAGAAAUCAAAGCAAGAUUGCAGUAAAUAGAUUAGAACAGAGUUUGGAAAGAAAUCUUUCGAUUUCUUUCCAAAAUAGGCAGUAGACUAAGGCUAUAAAGCUUUUUUUCAAAUCUGUAAAAAACACAUGGACAUAGAGAGAAACAGACCAAAAAGAUUGUACACCAAAUAUUUUUGCAAUAAUAUAUCAGAAGGAUUUCGAGACAAACGAAGGUGAUCUAUUGUUUCCACAUUUAUUUUAUUUCUUUAUUGUAAACAACUUGUAUAUAAUACAUUAAAAUAGAAGAGAGGAAAAUACCUUCUAGAUUCGCUGAGAAAAGAGAAGCUUUUCGGAUCCCGACCGUCGUGUGUGGAGGAGUUGGUGACGGCGCGUGAGGCUGAGCACGGAGGUCCGAUGAACGGAGCAGACCGGCCUAGGGCCGGAGCUCAGAGGGCUAGGGAAUUUUCAGAGGAUUUCUCUCGUUUUUUUCUAAACCAGGGGCUAAAUGAUUUUUUAGGUUAAAACUUGGCUUAUAUAGCCUAAAAGGAACGGUGCCGUUUUGGCUUAAGUCAAUAAGCCUAAAAACGACAUCGUUUUAAGGUCCCAGGAUCCGCGCGUUGACCCGAUUACCCGGGGAGGAUCCGCGUGUUUUUGAAGAAUGGGUUAAUUACUCAACUGGUCCUUUUGCGAUUUUAAUAUUUAUAAUUCCAUUUUAUUUAUUUUAAAUUUAGCUCUAAUGUUUUAAUGAUGUUUCAAUUUAGUCCUCUCGGUGAUUUUAAAACAGUAUUUGGGAAACAGUGUCGUUUUGUGAUUAGGGCAAAUUGCCCAGUGAGUCCCUUGUUGUUUUUUUCUUUCAAAUCAGGCCAAAAUCUUUGUUUAGUUUGAAAUUAACCCUAAAGUUUUUUUAAUUAAUUUUAAUUUUUGUCCUUAUUACUUUAAUUUAACUAAGAUACUUUAUAUAUUAUUUAUUUUUAUAAAUAUUAGUUAUAUAUUAUCUAUUAUAUUAUUUUUAUCUUAUCUAUAAAUUAUUUUAUUUUGUUAUAUAUAUUUCCUUAUAUUUUUAUUAUUAUUUAUUAAAUUUGUAAAUUGUAAAUUUUUUUUAUAAUAGUAUUCAUAUUUCAUUUUUUAUAUAUUACAUUCCCUCUUUUAUUAUUCCCUCUUUUAUUAUACAUUUUUAUUACGUAUGUAUAUUAUUUAUUUUAUUAUAUAAAAAUUACUUAUAUCCUAUUUAUUAUUUUAUAUUUUACCUAUAAUAUAGGCUAUAUAUAUUGCAUGUUCAAAGAUUUUUAUUACAUGAUAUAUUUUCAUUUCAUUAUUUAUUUUACUAUAUGGAAAAUAUUUGUUACAUUAGUAUCAUUAUACACCAUAUUAUAUUUCAUUAUAAUUAUUUAUGUAUUUCUAUUACAUACUAUGUUUCUAUUAUUUAGUAUUCCUUAUAAUAUUUAUCUUUCUUAUAUAUAUUUUUUAUAUAUAUCUAUUUUGUUUUUUUAUGUGUUAUAUAUUAUAUAGGCAAAAUACUUAUUAUAUAUUUAUUAUCAUUUUUAUAUUAUAUUUCCUUAUAUUUUAUUCAUAUCGCAUUAUUAUUUAUAACUUAUUUCACAUUUUUUAAAAUUUAUAUUUUUUUAUCGAUAAUUACUCACUUUAUGUUACAUUUUAAUAUACAUUAAUUCUUUUUAUGUUGAACAUAUCAUGUAUAUAUUGAAUAUUGUUUUAUGAUUAUUAAAGGUUGUAUUUAGAAUUGACAUGUAUGUUAAUAUUAUUUUGGGCAUGAUUAUGUUAAAUUGUAUGCCAUGCAUCAUCUUUUGUUUAUUAAUUUAUUAAAACGUAUAUAGAGUUAUACCUUAUAGGUUCAUAUGCUUACUUAUUCAUUUUUAAUGUAUGUAGUAUGUUUUUGUACGUAUGUUUUACAUGUUUUGAGGUUGCCAUGUUUAUUGUUUAAUUUUUUUUUAAAUUCAUGCUUUAUUUACCUAUUAUUAUAACAUGUUAUCUCGUUUGUUAUGUUAAUAUGCUCCUUCAUGCAUCGAUUCUAAAAACAAGACUCUAAAGUUUUCAAAAAAUAAAGGCAAUGCUUGACGUUUGGAAAUUUCAAGAAAAGUAGUGCCCUAACUUAUUGGGUUGCAAUUUUUCUCGUUGAGUUCGAAUAGUCAAGCACCCUUCUAAGUUUUAAGGUUGUCAUAGUGCAAGCGACUGUCUCGGAAUUUCAAGGCGAUGUGUCCUAACUUACUGGAUAUGGCGUUUUGCUGUUUCGAGAUGGGGAUUUUCAAAAAGGCUAACUUAGUGUCAAUAUUUUGAUACAAGUGAACCCCAAUUUUCAAAAUCAAAAUAUUUUAAAGAGGAUUGCAUCUUAAAAUUUUUAAAUUUCCGACCUUAAAGACAUUUGAUAAUUAAUUAGGUACCAAUUUUUGGGCGUUACGAGGGUGCUAAUCCUUCCUCGUACGUAAUCUACUCCAGAACCCGUUCUUUUAUUUCGUAGACCAAAACCAAUGAUUUAUUGGUGAUCCAAUCACACCUAAAAAAGAUUGGUGGCGACUCCCGUUUUCGUUUUUCUUAAAGUCAAUUCCCAUUUUCAAAAAAAUCGAUUUAGAAAAUGGUUUCGACAUUAGCCACUGGUGCAAAGGUUUCAAAAUAGUCAAUGCCAUACAUUUGGCUGAACCCUUUUACAACCAGCCUUGCUUUCAGUUUGUUCAAGCUUCUAUCAGCAUUGUGCUUGGAUCUAAACACCCACUUCACUGUAAUGACUUUUCUGUUGAGUGGUCUUUCAACUAGCUGUUAGGUCUGAUUCUUCUCAAUCAUACUAAUUUCAUCAGCCAUUACCUGUUUCCAGCCUUGAUGAGCUUCAGCUUCUUUAAAGCAGCUUGGUUCAAUAGUAGCCACAUGAGCUUUUUUAUAAAUCUCAGCCAAUGGUCUAAUGCCUCUAACUGGUUCAUCAUCAAUGUCUAUUUCAGGACCAUUUUGAUCAGCUUCAGUCUAAUUUGUCACCAAAUCUUCAGCAUCAGUUUCUGGUUUGUUUUUAUCUUAGUUCCAGCUUGCCUUCGCAUCGAAUACAACAUCUUUGCUCUUAGAGACCUUGUUUAUCAAAGGAUCAAGUAUCCUAUAACCCUUCUUGUUACUAUUGUAGCCCACCAGAAUACCAGGUUGAGCUUUUUUAGCAAGCUUGUCUCUUUUUGCUGCAGGAACAUGAGCAUAACAAAUGUAGCCAAAGACUCUUAGGUGAGCCAAUGAUGGUUUGAACCCGAACUAGGCCUCGAAUGGAGUUUUCCGAGCAAAAGGCUUGGUUGGGAGCCUAUUUUGAAGGUAAACAGUAGUGUUAACUGCUUCUGCCCAAAAUGUCUUAGGAAAAUUUCUUUCAAACAUUAGGCACCUGGCCAUAUCCAUCAAGCUUCUGUUCUUUCUUUCACUUACACCAUUUUGUUAAGGUGUAUAAGUGUUGGUGAGCUGGUGUUUGAUGUCUGCUUCAUCACAAAACAUAUGUAACUCGAAUGAAGUAUUCUCAGUCCCAUUAUCUGACCUCAAUGUCUUCAACUUGUAACUUGUUUCAGUCUCUGCUGCAACUUUGAACUUCAAAAAUACUGAAGCCACUUCUGAUUUUUGUUUAAAAAAAGAAAUCCAGCAAUAUCUUGAGUAAUCAUUAAUGAAUAAGAUGAAAUACCUGUUGCCAUUCAGAGAUUGAGUCUUCAUUGGACCACACACAUCAGUGUGUACAAGUUGAAGUCUUUCAGAAGCUCUCCAGGCUUUGUUUGUAGGAAAUGGAAGUCUAGCUUGUUUUCCUAGCUGACAUAUUUCACAAACAUUUUCUUUUUCAACUGAGUUAGUGAAGUUUUUAGCCGAAUCUACUUUGGUUAGCUAAGUCAUUGAGUUGUAGAUGACAUGGCUAAGUUUUUUGUACCACAGCUUGGAUUCAUCCUGAGGAGCUGUGUAGGCAUUGUUUGCGCCCUUGUUCCAGUCCACCACAAAGCUUUUGUUAGCCAUGGUCACUGAUAUGAGCUUGGAUCCAUUUGGAUCAUUGAUUAGGCACUCUUUGCCUUUGAACACCACAAAGUAUCCCUUUUCUAGCAACUAAGCUAUACUGAGCAGGUUUCUAUCUAUUUCGGGCACCAAAAGUACAUUUGAAACAAGUUUGGUAACUGUAGGAGUGUCAAUCAGCGCAUCUCCUUUGCCUUCUGCUUUGAUGAAGUGUCUAUUUCCAGCCUUCACCCUUGUUUUGAAGCUUUUGUCUAUUGACUUGAAGAUAGUAGCAUCUGGAGUCAUGUGGUUAGUACAUCCACUGUCAAUCAACCAUCCUUUUGUGGCUUUUCUUUUGGUAGUUGAGCAAGAAACUGCAAAGACUUGCUCUUCUUUGUCACUACCUUCUUCUGCUACUUGAGCUUUAGCUCUUGGCUGUUGAGGUUGAUUUGACCUCUGUUUGCCUUUUUUUUUACAAACUUUGUCUGCAUGGCCCAUCUUUUUGCAGAUUUUGCACUGCACAUCAGGCCUAAACCAACAUACUUCACCUGGAUGACUUAGCCUUUUGCAGUGUGGGCAAGGUGGAUAUUUUCUUGUACCAUCUGUUCUAGGUUUAUCUUUCCAAGUUUUUUUCCCCUCAUAGGUAGAAGAGUUUGUGGCUAGUCUGGUUUUGGCUUCGAAGGCACAUUCUUGAUUCUCCUCCAGUCUAUUUGCUCUCCUUUGCUCUUGAGCAUAAAGAGCAUUGAUCAGCUCUGUCAAUAAAAUAUUGGUCAGGUCCCUCGAGUCUUCAAGAGAUGAGAUCUUUGCCUCAUACCUUUUAGGUAAGGUUGAGAUCACCUUUUCCACAAUUCUUGCUUCACUAAAUUGUUCUCCAAGUAGCCUUAUGCUGUUUACUACAACCAUGAUUCUAUCUGAGUAUUACUUCACUGUUUCUUCCUCUUUCAUCUUAAAGUUUUUAAAGUUUUUUCUUAAAUUCAGUAGCUGUUGCUACUUUGUUCUUUCAGUCCCUUGGAACUCCUCCUUUAACUUAUCCCAGGCCUGCUUUGGUGACUCACAAGCCAUGAUUCAUGUGAAAAUCACAUCAGAUACACUGUUCUGGAUGCAAGACAUGGCUUUAUGCCUUUUGGUUCCUUCAUCAGAAUGAUGUCUUAUCUGAGCCACUGUUAGGUUGGCUCUAAGAGGUGCUGGUUCAACAUCUGAGUUGAAAACCUCCCACAAAUCGAAUGCCUGCAGGUAGGUCUUCAUUUUCAUUACCUAAAUGUGGUAGCCCUCUCCAUUGAAGACUGAUGGUGGCACUAGUGAGAAUCCUGAGGAAGACAUGGUUUUAAGGAUUGAAAUAUGACAGGUCCACUAAGAAUUUGGCUCUAGAUACCAAUUGUUGGAUUUUGAACAAUUUAUCCGGAGAAAGUAUGAAGCUCAGUGUAAAACUUGAUCAACAAUGUAAUAAAUCCGAAUAAAGAAUGAGGAAAGAUUGAGCUUCAAAAGGCUCGAUAUUUGUAGGAUAAACAAAUAGAAUUUUACUUGGUAAAAGAAAGCAAAAAUUGAAAGAGUAUUUUUCUUGAAUGACUUCUAUUAAAAUUCAUUGAUAAAAAAGAUGGCAUAAUGCCAAUACAUAUACCAGUCAUAAACUGGUCAGCUUUGAUAAGUUUCACUUACUAUUUUUAGGCUUCAUUUCAACUUGCACAACUUGCACAUUGCAACUUGCAAAUCACAACUUGCACAAUUAGGUAAGCUAAUCUAUCAAUCUUAUCAGCACCGAAUGCAUUAAAUACAUUAUCUACUUGGUUCAAAUUAAACUAAGUUACAAAAUAUUACUUAAAGUAACAAAAUGAAACUGAAAUUGAACAGUAGCAUCAACUUCAGUAGCUGCACGUGCUUUAUCUGGGAAUACCACAGCAGCUUGAUCUUCAUACUUCAUCUACAUAACUUGGACUACAUUUACUUCAUCUGCAUAACUUAUGUGGCAUUGUCUGCUCCUUAGCUGCUUCAUGUGCUGCAUGCAAGCCAACUUCAAUAGAUUUGCAAACAAAACUUGGCAGGGUUGUAUUAGGGAAUGGAAGAGAAACCACCUCUCGGUUGGUAUAAGAUUUAAUACUGAUGAUGGUAGAAACAGUACAACCGACUUUGCUGCCAUAGGUGGUGUAUCAUGGGGGUUAUUGGUUUAGAAAAUUUGCGCAUAACCUUAAUUGUUGCUCAAUCAUUGAAGCAGAAAUGUAGGAGGCGUAUGAUGGUUUUUAUAACAUGCUUGGAACAUGAGGGUGAAGAGGAGAGCCUUGCAGUGGUCCAGCUACUUCGCAAUAAAAUGGAAAUGCAGAGCAGCAAUGCAAUCUAUCCUUCAAAUAGAAGUAUGUUGGAAAUGGGUCUAAACGUUAAUAUUAUAUAAGUCUACAUAGAAGGAAAGGGUCUUCCUUCCUACUUCACGUUUCAUUUACUAAACCAAUAAUUGGCUUGAUCAUUCUUGUCUUCAUGGAAGAAGGAAACUGCAAAAGAUAGGAUAAAACUGCCCUCAAAAAAAAAAUUACUAACCUUGAACAACAUUGUGAGGAGGGAUAACUACAAAUUCAAACAUGGACAAUAAAACAAACAUAAAAAAUACCUAAUGGAGUCUUAUAAAUAAGGAAAUUGCAUGUUAAAACGCUUAUGCAAUUAACAAUUACUACACAUUUACUAAGCCAAUUGGCUUGGUCUUUUUGUCUUCAUGGAACUUGGUAAAGAGAGUGAUGAAACCAUCAUACACCCCACAAAAUGACAGAUAAAAUUACUAACCUUGAACGACAUUGUUGAGAGGGACAGUUGCAAACUUAAAUAUGGACAGUAAAAUGAACAUGAAAAGUACUAAAUAUAUAUAAUUAACGAUAUAUAAAUAAUCUAGUAUGUUGGUAUUAUAAAUUUACUGUAUUUCAAAAUAUAUAUUCUCUUAGAGAGAGAGAGAGAGAGAGAGAGAGAGAGAGAGAGAAGAGGGAGGGAGGGAGGGAGAAGGAGCAUUAGGAGGAUUCUUCUACCAAGAGAGUGACUUAUACUUUCAUAAUAACAGCUUACAAUUUGCUUAAAAAGAAGAGACAAGUGACAAUUUUUGAGUCUUAUGAAAAAGUAAGACUUGUGUUAAAAUGCUUAUACAAUUAACCACUACAUCACAUUUACUAAACCAAUUGGCUUGGUCUUCUUGUUUUCAUGGAAGAACCUGCAAAAGAUAAGGAUGAAACCAUCAUAUACCCCCUUAAAAAAAAACUAAUUCAAUCAACCCGAUGUUACAUAAUUACUAACAUUUAACCAUAUUGUGGGGGAGAGGUAACCAGGAUUUUCUUAGAGAGAGAGAGAGGACAUGUGCAAGAGCAUUAGGAGGAUUCUUCUCAAAAUUGCCAAGACAGUCACUUACACUUUCUUAAUACUGACUUACAAUUAACUUAAAAAAAAGAAGACAAAUAAAAAUUUUGCAGUCUAAUAAACAAGCAAGUCCGUGUGUUAAAAUGCUUAUGCAAUUAACCACUACUUCACAUUUACUAAACCAAUUGGCUUGGUCUUCUUUUUUUCAUUGCGGAACCUGUAAAAGAAAGGGAUGAAACCAUCAUACACACCCUCGAAAAAAAUGACAUAGAUAUAAUUACUAACUUUGAACGACAUUAUUGGGAGGGACAGUUGCGAGCUUAAACAUGGACAGUAAAAUGAACAUGAAAAAUGACAAAUAUAUAUAUAAUCAUCGAUUUCUAAACAAUCCAGUAUGUUGGUGUUAUAAAUGUAGUGUAUUUCAAUAUAUAUUUUGUUAGAGAGGGGGAGAGAGAGAGAGAGAGAGCAUUAGGAGAAUUUUUCUCAAAAUUGUCAAGAAAGUCACUUACACUUUCAUAAUUCCGACUUACAAUUAACUUAAAAAGAAAAACAAAUAACAACUUUAGAGUUUUAUAAAUAAACAAGAAGUGUCUUAAAACACUUACGCUAUUAACCACUACUUAACAUUUGCUAAACCAAUUGGCUUGGUCUUCUUCAUGGAGGAACUUGCAAAAGUGAUGCAACCUAUCCGAGAUGAUAGUGAUGAAACCAUCAUACAACCCCCUCCCCUCCAAAAAAAAAAAAAACAAAAACAUUUUAAUCAACCUUACAUUAUGGAUAAAAUUAUUUACUUUAAACAACAUUAUUGAGAGGGGCAGCUAUAAACUCAAACAUAAAUAGUAAAAUAUAUAUUUUCUUAGAGAGAGAGGACAAGUGGAAGAGCAUUAGAGAGAUUCUUCUCAAAAGUCACUUAUGAAAUUGUUAAGAGAGUCACUUACACUUUCAUAAUACUGACUUAAAACGAAGAGGUAAGUAACAAUUUUAGAUUCUUAUAAACAAGACAGACGUGAUAAAAUGCUUAUGAAAUUAACCACUACUGCCCUCCUACCGUUUAAACAAUGGACACAAAUCCUAAAUAUUGAUGUAUGCUUACUGCAAUUGAACCUAUUCGAAAUUCGAUAACUUUGAAGCUACUUGAACCACUAAUUAGUCAAAAUACCUACAUAUAUUACCAGAAGUAACUGCAGUUGAAGGAAUCUUACACCUGAAACAGUCAAGCUACACUUAUCGAAAUGUAAAACAUUAAUCUAACAAGACAAACACUGACUAGUAUUUUCUUUUUCCUACUUAAGAAGCUUAAAUACUAGUAAAGCCACAGUCUUCCAUGACUGAACAUAUAAAUCAAGAGUGACAGCAAAUCUACUGGAUGUUUCACAUCCUAACUUUCUCUAGAUAAAUAGAACAAUUUUCUUGUUUUGCCUUGACUCUAAAAUCUCUUAUAACCCUAAGCAAUAUCGCAGAUUGUGACCAUUAAUAUCGAAUGGGUUUUAUUCCCACUAACCUUGUUAAUGCUUUACAACACCAAUGAAUUCUAUGCAAUCUUAAAAUUGAGGAGCUCCACAAGUGAAAUCAUGACAGCAAUAACAAUAUUUUUAUAGUAAUUUCUCAAAGAUUCAUCAACUUUCAGUUUAGUAUCUCUGCAAAUCUUUGAUGAUUCUCCAAUUAUACAGACUAGACUUCAAUAAAGCAUUCAUUAUUAUGAUACUCUUGAUUCAGGUUCAUUAAACAAACGGUUUGAAGAACACACACCUGCUAGCCAUUUUGCACCGAAAUAUGCUAAGAGAGAUGUUAGUCACAGUCUUAAAUUAUUGACGGACCCAUGGUUUCAAUAAACCUUUCCAUACCUUCAAAGAAGUAAGUUUUCAAUGGUAAGGACUUGCAAUCGAACUGUAAUGGCCAAUUUUGACCCAGGCACAAGAAUAAAACAAUAAAUAACCAAUUAAUAAAACCUAGUGCCGCCCCUAACCUCUGCCACCAGCUGCCAUGGCAGCACCACCACCUGCUCCCGUUCCAUCGCCUGCAAACAGAGAAAAAGAAGCACGCAACAGAGAACCAAAACCCACACGCAACAAUAAAGGAACAAGCAGGAACGACAAAAAAAAUAGGAGUAAACAAGUCUUGUGAAUCUUAUAAAAACCCGAAAUUUACCUUUGCAUUUUUUUUAGCCACAAACAAAAGGCAGAAACUAUUAAUCUAAAAGAGAUUUUAAGGUGAUUUUUGGUUUUUACAAUAGUUUCUUUCAUCUAGUUCUUGGUUUUGAUUUCAUUUUUUUUCGUGUUUUAGUUCUUUUUUCUUUUUCAUGUACGAAAAUAAACGAAAAGGUAAAGAGAAAGGUAACCUCACCUUGAUCUUCCCACGGACUCAUCGCUGGAGAUCUCUUCUCCAAUGGCCAAAGUCGAAUCGGGGAGAGGGGGGACCUUUCUUUCGAUUUCUUGAGGGUUGAGAAGGCAUGGCCUUCGAAUGUGCCUCAAAACGAGGCUAAGAAGCCCAUCUCCGCACUUUCUGUUCUUUUUAAAAUUGGGGGCUGGAAAUGAAAUUAGAAAAGAAAGGUUUUUUUGUUGUAUAAAUGAUGAUGAUGGAAGGGCGCCGUUUGGUGGAGUGGGGGGUGUGCAUUCUCCCUAAAUGGGGAAUCUGCGAGAUUGGUCCUUCUCCUUUGCAACUUCAUUCGAUCAGGCCCCAGCUUCUGUUUUCUUUUGUUUUUUUAAUUUAGCUCUUAGAUUUCGCUUGGGUUACAUUCGGGUCCUUUGAAACACUGCACAUAGGGGUUGAGAAUAUUUUCCCAAUCAGUCCCUCGUUCUUUAUGCGUAUUUCAUUUCGGUCCUUAGUGGCCCCUUUUCUUUUUUUUAUUUACAAUUUGCACCUUAAAUCUUAAUUAAAUUUCAGCUUAGUCCUAAUAUAUUUAAUUUGUUCAUUUAUUUAUUAUUUCAAUUUUUUUAGGAGCUAUUUUACUGUUAGUUAUUUUAAAUUUGUUUAUCUUACAUUAUUUAUAUUAGACCAUUUUAUUAUUAAUUAUUGUAAAUUGUUAUUGGUUUUAAAUAUUUUUUACAUAUAUUAUUUGUUUUAACCCCUAUACAUAUUACUUAUUUUGAAAUAUUUUAUACGUUAUUUGUUUUAAACUAUUAUAUAUGUAUUUUCCAUUUUGAGUUUCUUUUCAUACUUUAUUUAGUUACACUAUUCUAAUCGUUUAAAAUUCAUCUUUUUUUAAUUUCCCAUAUAUUAUUUAUUUUAAUAUAUUCUUUACUUUAGAUUAUUUUAUAUAUGUCCUAUUCUAAAUUUUCAUGUGUAAUAUUUAAUUUAAACUGUUUUAUAUGUUAUUUACUUUAAAUUUUUAUAUAUUAUUUAAUUUAAAUUUCUUUUUACAUAUUAUUAUUUUGAGCUCUUAAUAUUUAUUUUAAAUUUCUUUAUAUAUUAUUCUAAACUUGUCUUUACGUAUAUUUAUUUAAAAUUGUCUUAUACAACUUAUUUUAAACUCUCUUAUUUGUUUAAAAUUGUUUUAUUAUUGUUCAUUUUGGUUUUUUUUGACAUAGUAUUUAUUAUAUAUAUCAUCUAUUUUAAAUUGAUUUGUAUAUUGUCGAUUUUAAAUCUCUUUUUUUCACAUUAUUUUAAUCCCAUUUAUUGUCAUUUUAAAAUGGUUUUACAUCUUAUUCAUUUUUAUUUGCUUUAUACCUUUUAAAUUAUUAUUAAAUUCAUUUGCCUUUAAUUGUUGAGGUUAACAUUUAAAUAAUGUACCUUGUGUGAUUAUUGCCAUUGUGUGAAUUUUGAUUCGUUUAUUUCGAAAUUUUGCAUUACUGUUUUUCAUUUGUAUAAUGUUGUGUCCAUUUAUAUUUGUCUCAUAUUCAUUACUAUAUUUUCAUAUCAUCACCUCGUGAAUCAAGCCUCGUUGCAUUUAUCCAAUAAAUCGCUUUAUUUUAACCUAAACAAAUAACAUACGUCGUUUAAAUGUCGUAUUCGCUACUAUUCAAAAACAAAAAUUUCAAAAUAAGGCAAUAUUUCGCGUUUUGAAGCAUCGAAGAAUUGUGCCCUAACUUACGGGGUUUUGGUUCUCUCGUUGAUUCUAAAUAGUUAAAUAUCCCUUUGAGUUUAAAAUACACGGAAUUCCAAUUGGAAUUAAAGACAAGCCUGCGCUCGGGAAUUCAUGGUAACGUGUCCUAACUUACGGGAUGUGAUACUCCGAUAUCUCGAGACGAGGAAAUCUUUAACGAUCGUUUUGAGCUAAUUCAAGUGUUUUCUUUUCUUAAAAAUUAUCGCUAAUAAAAAAGGAUCGUAUUUUAAAUUCGUUCUCGAUAUUCAAUUUUUGACAUUAAAACACUAACUAAUCAAUCCGGUACCAAUUUUUGGGCGUGUCGAGGGUGCUAACCCUUCCUCGAGCGUAAUCAACUCCCGAACUUGUUCUCUUGAAUUUAGUAGACCAAAAUGUCGUUUUAAUAAACUAAAUUUUUUUAUCUAAAACAAAGGUGAUUUGAUCACACCAAAUAAAGAUCGGUGGCAACUCUAAUUUUAAUUAUCAUUUUCAAACCAAAGUCGAUUCCUGCGUUUUCAAAAAAAUGGUUUCGACAGCUUGGCGACUCCACUGGGGACUUUGAGAGUCGAGCCAUAAAUUGAUUGAUUUUUGUCCUUUGUCGAAAAUUGAAAACUCGUUUUUAAACUUAUGAUCCCUUUAUUGCAUUUUAUCCGUUUUUUACGGUUUACAUUAUUUUUCCUAUUUUCUUUAUUGCCUCGGGUUUUUCUUAUCAUAUAUCCUCGCACAUUGCAUUGCAUGACCGCUGUGGUCACACCUUUUAAGUGGGAGUGAGAAGCUAUGCCUUCAUGAGGUUUUCACCUCCGCAUGGGCUAGUGGAUCGCUUUCGGGAUACAUCCGUACCUAUGUCUUCGUGAGAUUUUCAUCUCCGUGCAGCCAUAGGGAAAUAUAUUCCCUUGAACUGAACUCUAUCCAUAUGAGCCUAUAACGGGUGAAGAUCGAGGAAUCUGCUGGUUCGGGUACCUUUACUCUAGAACCGAGCCACAUAUAGAGAGACCUAGGAGCUUACCCUAGGUAGAGCUACUCCAAACCCCUAGUGGUCACCCGAAUAGGUGCUUUAUUUGUUAUUUAUUUCUCCUGUACUAACGUGUUUUGUUUUUGUUUUGAUGAUAACUGCAUUGCAUUACAUCAUUAUAGAAAGGAGGUGUUGAUUCAUAUCCGAUUGCUAAAUAGAACAGUUUGUCAUAAGAAAUGAAUUUCUUGAUAAAGUGGAUUUUAACACGGUUGUCUAAAUAUGGUCCAAGUAAACACAAUGAAGGAAGAUUGAUAGUCCAUGAAGAAAUACACGACUUUGCUUCAUCGCCUGAGGAUUUAAGUUAACAAAGAUUAUUCGAGAGCCGUCAUGUCUUAAAGAAGCUAACGAGCAUCGCGGGGAUAAAUAAGCAAUGGGCCGCAAUCUAGAUCGAGCAGAAAGGAAAUAAUAGAGACAUAUUUUGAAAAAUUCACAAGACUCGACGAUAAUAUCCGGAUAUGAAGAGGAAGAUAGGUGUCUUCGCUUGGAAUAUGAGAGAAAUGCCGUAUAUGUAAUCCGUUUUAUGUAAAGGAAUUUGUUUUCUAGAGAAGUUGUUCUAAUGAAAUUGAAUUCAGAAUAAACACAUUCCUUUCUUUUGCAUUCAUUCCAUGCAUUUGCAUUUGCAUUGCAUUAUUUGCAUUGGACUUUCCCUAAAAGAACCCUAAUUAGGUAAAAUUAUUUCAGUUAACCUGGGAACUGAUAAAAGUCAAGCAACUAGGCAUCUUUACAGUACAAGGAAAAGGAAAAAAGAUAUGGAUCAAAUAUUGAAAAGACUGGAAAAACUUCAAAAAGAGAUGCAAGACCAGUUACAACUGCAAAUGCAAGAGCAACUAGCGAAGAUCCAGCAAGAUAUGAGGGACUGAAUGAUAGAGUCCCAAAGGAAUAUGAUGAAUCAGUUGUCCCAAGUACUGACUAAGGGGCUAGGAAAAGAAAAAAACUCGAUGAUCAAUGUUGGAGAGGACAAUGAGGAGCCUCUGUACCCUCUGAGUUUCACCCCGAUAAAUGAUCAGAUAUGUCCGCAAAAUGUACCUGUUGCUAUCAGAUCACAACAACAUCAGGUCGGUACCUCAGCACCCAUGAACUACCCGACGGGCUCAGGUUCCAAUCCAAGGAACAGUCCAACCAAUCAUGAAGUUCCUGAUCUAAACGAAAUGGCAGGAAUAGAAAAAACAAAGGUUGAACUGCCAAGACAACUCGAAGAUCGAUACAAGUGGUUGGAAGAAAAACUUAGAGCGAUGGAGAAUAUUGAUUAACAUCGCGGGGUUAAUGCCAAAGAUCUCAACUUAGUCCCAGAUUUAGUACUCCCGCCAAAAUUCAAGACUCCAGAAUUUGAAAAAUAUAAUGGGACUAGUUGUCCUAAAGCUUACAUCAUGAUGUUCUGCCAAAAAAUGACAGGUUACGUUGAUAACAAUCAACUGUUAAUUCAUUGCUUCCAAGAUAGUCUGAUUGGGUCAGCGGCCAAAUGGUACAACCAACUGAGUCGUGCCAAAAUUCAUUCAUGGAAGGACUUAGCACAAGCUUUCAUGAAGCAAUAUGGCCACGUGACAGACAUGACGCCUGACAGAAUUACACUACAGAAUAUGGAAAAGAAGUAAAGUGAGAGCUUUAGACAAUAUGCCCAAAGAUGGAGAGAGGUAGCGGCGCAAGUCCAACCACCUCUUUUGGAGAAAGAAACUACGAUGUUUUUCGUCAACACUCUGAAAGCCCCAUUCAUUACCCAUAUGUUGGGAAGCGUUACCAUGAGCUUCUCAGAUAUAGUAAUGUUCGGCGAGAUGAUUGAAAACACAAUCAGGAGCUGGAAGAUAGACGCAAGAGAAAGCGCCAAAAGGUCAACCCCAAAUAGAAAUGAAAAUGAAGUGAAUAAUAUGAGCAAAGGGUACCCUAAAUUGAUCAACAUAGGCCAGACGAGGCAGGAAUCCAACUCGAGGCUGAAUACAGAAAGGCUCUAGUUUACACUCAUCCCAAUGUCAUAUGAGGAGUUGUAUCAAAAUCUCUUUGAUGUACAUGUUGUGUCUCUGUUUUACUCAGAACCUGUGCAACCUCUGUUCCCAAAAUGGUAUAAUGAGAAUGCUCAAUGCGAGUACCACGCAGGAAUAACGGGACACUCAAUCGAAAACUACACUACAUUUAAAAAGUUGGUCGAAAGGUUCAUUGAAAUGGGAAUUGUGAAGUUCGACGAUUCCUCAAAGCCUAAUCGUUCUGACAAUACAGUAAAUGUGACAUUUGCAAGUGAGAGCAAAAGAGUUGCGAUGCCUUGAACAAAGCCUGGAAAGAAUAUUGGAGAAUCUGAAUGACUUAUCCGAAGAAGGAAUCGGGUAAUAAAAGUUUCCAAACCCUUGCAUUACUUAGAAGUGUUUUGAACAAUGAGACUGUGGAAGAGAUUCCUUUAUUCUUUGAGCUAAUCUAGAGUAAUAUUCAAAACACGCUUGUUGCUUUAAGCCUAGAAGCAAUUAGACCCCUUUUGUGAAAUAGGCUUGUGUCCUAAGUCUUUAUUUCAAUAAAAUGCAUCUUUUUGAGCAAAUAUUCUUUUAUUUUAUUUCAUAUUGUACAAAUAAUCGUUCUUAGAUUCGUUUGUUCUUUGGACUUUCUUUCAAAUAUUCAUGUAUACUUCAUUCAUGGUCAUACCAUAUAAAUAAUCAUCCUUAGAAUCUGCCUUCAGCGGGUCCCUAGAUAUCAAUGAUGUGAGUAACGCUGUCACUGACUCCGAGUCUCAUUUUGAGCGAAAUAUGGGCCUAAAGGGAUCUUAACACUUUGAAGAUGAUAGAGAUGUAGACAACUCCCUAAUUUGUUAAGGAUGGUAGAGUAAGAUGAAAACAGAUCAUCUCUUACAAAAAGUCAGUGGAUAGUAGGCCUAGGACAAGAGAAAGAUGCAAACAUCAGAGUCUGUAUCACCACAAAGGCAAAGCGAGACAUCAUUGAAUCACUUCCAAGAAUUUAAAGAUUUUUUGCACGAUCGUAUCAAGAUACGCCGGGUUACUAAGACAUGAGGAUGUUGUAAGGUUUUGAAUGACAUAUGCUAAUGGUUUUAUGAUGGCCAGGCUAAUCAUGAGAUUUGGGUUUUGUUGGUCCUCCGUAAAGGGAUUGCAUCAGUAUGCCGUAAGUGCCAAAUUUAUGGAGAGAAAAUUCAUGUUCCCCUUCAUUCUUUCAAUUUUCUCUAUGUGGGGCAUGGAGGUUAUUGGGUUGAUCUCGUUGAAAGCUUCUAACAAGCAUCAAUUACUUCACCUAGAGGGUGAGAGUCGCUUCAUAUGCCAAUCAUCAAAUCCUGAAAAAAAAAAGAUCAUGGAAAAAUGACUGAGACUUGUAAAGAUUGGCAUAAGAAGUCAUCAUGUACCCUCUAUACUCAUCAAACGUUGGCCAAGACCUUCGCCGGGGCAACAUAUUUCAUUAGUCUAUGGGAUAAAAAUGGUUUUGAAGAAGAGUUUCCUUGUCUCUGAAUCUUGAAAAAGUUGAAGUUGGAUAAGGCAAAAUGGAUCUAAUCCCGAUAUGAUCAGUUGAAUUUAAAGAAAAGAGGUUGAAAGCCAUCUGUCAUGGUUCAAUGAAUGAUGUGAGCUUACGAUAGAAAAGUUCCAUGAGGGAAAACUUGAUAUUGAAGAAUAUCCCUCCUAUACAAAAGGACUUCAGAGGAAAGUGGAUGUCAAACUAGGAAAGACCUUAUAUAGUAAAGAAGGCCUGUUCUGGAAGAGCAUUAAUUCUAGUCUAAAUGAAUGGCAAAGAUUUGCCCAAUCCGAUGAAUUUAAAUCCAAUCAAGGAGUAUUCUACCUAAAAAGAAAGAGGCCAAGAUGAAAACCCACAAAGGGCGCAUUAAAAAAAAAAAGAGGCCAAUGUGAAAACUCGCAAAGGGCACCUUGAGACCAAAUGGAUUUUGAAUUGAAAACUCGAAAAGGGCGGCUCAAAUUUGGAUCAAAGUGGGGUAUGCAGCUGUCUUGCUAUGCCUGAAUUAACAAUGAAGAAGUAUGUUACGUCUUGGGGCAUCGACGAAGUACUCCGGAUCCUCUAAACACAUAUUGAGCUCAGAAAGGUCCUCAAGAAGUUGGUACAGAGAAGCUCAAGCUGCGAUAUCUGGGGCACCUAGCUUCCAUUUUGCCCAUUUUUGAAUUUUUUAUCUUUGAUUAUCUUAUUAUUUUCAAGAUAUGUCCCGAUAAAUUUCCUUCUUAUUGCAUUGCUAUAUUUGAUUAACUUAUUCAUUUUGAGUUAAUUUCCUCCUUAUUGCAUUUGCAAUCUUUGAUUAAUUUAUUCAUUUCGAGCUAUGCUCCCAAUCAAUUUCCUUCUUGUCCAUUGUUUUAAUCUUUUUCUAGCAUUUUGCAUUGAAAUAACGAUUAAUGGACCAAUAAUACUUUCACAAAAGAAGUUCUGCAUAUUACUUUGGAAGCUUCUAAAUAGUACAAGAGCCCGAAACAGGACUAUUAUUCAGAACUCACCAAGCCCAAGGGUUGGAAAUAUUUAAGCCCAAAUUGAAAUUAUCUCAUUGGGUUUUCUGUCAAAGAUAUUGGUUGAGCAAAAAGAAAUUACAUUGGUGUUAUAAUCCUGGCAAAGAACGAGCAAUGGGAUUAUUUUCGGGAAAAGAAAAAUGAUACUCUGCAUUUAUACAAAUAUCAGGCGUAUACAUCUGGUCAUUACACUCAGGGAAUAGUGUAACAGAUCAAACUGAUUGAAGAUGAUACAAAUCCUGUACCUUUGAGUUGCAGCAGGAUGGAUGGAAGAAACCAAAUGUUGUUCACCUGAAAUUGCAGUGGGAAGCACAAACUUUAUGUCCCAGAAGGUACAGUGGAAGGGACUUUGAAAUUACAGCGAGGCAAGCUUGCUAAGCAAAAUGUGAUUGUUUCUUUGACUUUUCUGUCAAGAAUACCAGCCGAAUAAGAUGGCAGCAUAAUACGUCAGUGGUAAUGUCUUGAUGAACAACGAGCGAUGAUACCUUAAGCCUUUUUAAAGGGAUCAUUUUCAUUAUAUAUCAUCCAUAACACAUCUAAUUAGGAGCAUUUGAUUCAUUUCGAUCAUAGCAUCCUAAUUAUUUGACACAUUCACAACACAUCUAGUUAGGAGCAUUUGAUUCAUUUCAAUCAUAACAUCCUAAUCAUUUGACAUAAGCAUAGAUAUAUAGAACUGAUUCUACAGGUCAUGUCCCUAGAAUCAGUGACUUCACCAAGCCUUAACCCCCUAAGCAGUAGGCUAAUAGGCUAAAAAUUACGAAUCUAGACUUGCAGUGAGGCAGAUUCAAGCCACCAAGCCUUAACCCCCUAAGCAGUAGGGUAAUAGGCUGAGAAUUACAUAUCUUGUCUCCCUGAAGUUACGGUGGAACAGAUCGAAUCCAGCGAAUCUUAUCUUCCUGAAGUUGUAGUGAAGUAGAUUGAAGUCACUAGUCUUGUCUCCCUGAAGUUGCAGUGGAACAGAUCAAAAACGGUGAGCCUUAAACCCCUAAGCAGUAGGGUAACAGGCUGAAUUUACAGAUCUUAUCACCCUAAGCAGUAGGGAAACAGAUAGAAGACGGUAGAUCUUGUCUCCCUAAAGUUGUAGUGGAGCAGAUCGAAUACAGUGAAUCUUGUCUUCCUGAAGUUGCAGUGAAGCAGAUUGAAGUCACUAGUCUUGUCUCCCUGAAGUUGCAAUGGAACAAAUCGAAGACGGUGAGCCUUAAACCCCUAAGCAGUAGGGUAAAAGGCUGAAUUUACAGAUCUUAUCACCCUAAGUAGUAGGGAAAUAGAUCGAAGAAGGUAGAUCUUGUCUCCCUGAAGUUUCAGUGGAGCAGAUCGAAUACAGCGAAUCUUGUCUUCCUGAAGUUGUAGUGAAGCAGAUUGAAGUCACUAGUCUUAUCUCCCUAAAGUUGCAGUGGAGCAGACUGAAGAUAGUAAAUCUUAUUUCCCUGAAUUUGCAGUGGAACAGAUUGAAGCUAAAUUACAGAUCUUAUCUCUCUGAAGUUGCAGUAGAGCAGAUCAUCACAAAUCUUAUCUCUCUGAAGUUGCAGCGGAGCAGACUAAAGAUAACAAAUCUUAUCUCCCUAAAGUUGCAGUGGAAUAGAUUAAAGCUAAAUUACGGAUCUUAUCUCUCUAAAGUUGCAGUAGAGCAGAUCAAAACAAACCUUAUCUCCCUGUAGUUGCAGUGGAGCAGUGGAUUGGAAUGAGGCUAUUUGAAGAAGAUAACCACCAAAGGAAGUCGAGACUCGGCAAGACCAGUCAAAAUUGGCCCUUUUGAAGUCUUUGCUUCAUUCUUGUUACUCGACAAUGAGCAAAGAGGGGCAGCUGUAAUGGCCAAUUUUGACCCGGGCACAAGAAUAAAACAAUAAAUAACCAAUUAAUAAAACCUAGUGCCGCCCCUAACCUCUGCCACCAGCUGCCAUGGCAGCACCACCACCUGCUCCCGUUCCAUCGCCUGCAAACAGAGAAAAAGAAGCACGCAAUAGAGAACCAAAACCCACAUGCAACAAUAAAGGAACAAGCAGAAACGACAAAAAAAAUAGGAGUAAACAAGUCUUGUGAAUCGGUUAUAAAAACCCGAAAUUUACCUUUGUAUUUUUUUUAGCCACAAACAAAAGGCAGAAACUAUUAAUCUAAAAGAGAUUUUAAGGUGAUUUUUGGUUUUUACAAUAGUUUCUUUCAUCUAGUUCUUGGUUUUGAUUUCAUUUUUUUUUCGUGUUUUAGUUCUUUUUUCUUUUUCAUGUACGAAAAUAAAUGAAAAGGUAAAGAGAAAGGUAACCUCACCUUGAUCUUUCUACGGACUCAUCGCUGGAGAUCUCUUCUCCAAUCGCCGAAGUCGAACCGGGGAGAGGGGGGACCUUUCUUUCGAUUUCUUUGGGGUUGAGAAGUCAUGGCCUUCGAAUGUGCCUCAAAACGAGGCUAAGAAGCCCAUCUCCGCGCUUCGUCGGCCACCGGGUACGGUGGUGGUACAGCGGGCGGUGGAGAACAUGAUUGACGGAGAGAAAUAGGGGAGGGAGAGAAAGCAAACAGCUUUCUGUUCUUUUUAAAAUUGGGGGCUGGAAAUGAAAUUAGAAAAGAAAGGUUUUUUUGUUGUUUAAAUGAUGAUGAUGAUGAUGAAAGGGCGCCGUUUGGUGGAGUGGGGGUGUGCAUUCUCCCUAAAUGGGGAAUUUGCGAGAUUGCUCCUUCUCCUUUGCAACUUCAUUUGAUCAGGCCCCAGUUUCUGUUUUCUUUUGUUUUUUUAAUUUAGCUCUUAGAUUUCGCUUGGGUUACAUUCGGGUCCUUUGAAACACUGCGCAUAGGGGUUAGGAAUAUUUUCCCAAUCAGUCCCUCGUUCUUUAUGCGUAUUUCACUUCGGUCCUUAGUGGCCCAUUUUCUUUUUUUUUAUUUACAAUUUGCACCUUAAAUCUUAAUUAAAUUUCAGCUUAGUCCUAAUAUAUUUAAUUUGUUCAUUUAUUUAUUAUUUCAAUUUUUUUAGGAGCUAUUUUACUGUUAGUUAUUUUAAGUUUGUUUAUCUUACAUUAUUUAUAUUAGACCAUUUUAUUAUUAAUUAUUGUAAUCCUUUUUACGUCUUAUGUAUUCUAAAUUGUUAUUGGUUUUAAAUAUUUUUUACAUAUAUUAUUUGUUUUAACCCCUAUACAUAUUACUUAUUUUGAAAUACUUUAUACGUUAUUUGUUUUAAACUAUUAUAUAUGUAUUUUCCAUUUUGAGUUUCUUUUCAUACUUUAUUUAGUUACACUAUUCUAAUCGUUUAAAAUUCAUCUUUUUUUAAUUUCCCAUAUAUUAUUUAUUUUAAUAUAUUCUUUACUUUAGAUUAUUUUAUAUAUGUCCUAUUCUAAAUUUUCAUGUGUAAUAUUUAAUUUAAACUGUUUUAUAUGUUAUUUACUUUAAAUUUUUAUAUAUUAUUUAAUUUAAAUUUCUUUUUACAUAUUAUUAUUUUGAGCUCUUAAUAUUUAUUUUAAAUUUCUUUAUAUAUUAUUCUAAACUUGUCUUUACAUAUAUUUAUUUAAAAUUGUCUUAUACAACUUAUUUUAAACUCUCUUAUUUGUUUAAAAUUGUUUUAUUAUUGUUCAUUUUGGUUUUUUUUUGACAUAGUAUUAUAUAUAUAAUAUCAUCUAUUUUAAAUUGAUUUGUAUAUUGUCGAUUUUAAAUCUCUUUUUUCACAUUAUUUUAAUCCCAUUUAUUGUCAUUUUAAAAUGGUUUUACAUCUUAUUCAUUUUUAUUUGCUUUAUACCUUUUAAAUUAUUAUUAAAUUCAUUUGCCUUUAAUUGUUGUGGUGAACAUUUAAAUAAUGUACCUUGUGUGAUUAUUGCCAUUGUGUGAAUUUUGAUUCAUUUAUUUCGAAAUUUUGCAUUACUGUUAUUCAUUUGUAUAAUGUUAUGUCCAUUUAUAUUUGUCUCAUAUUCAUUACUAUAUUUUCAUAUCAUCACCUCGUGAAUCAAGCCUCGUUGCAUUUAUCCAAUAAAUCGCUUUAUUUUAACCUAAACAAAUAACAUACGUCAUUUAAAUGUCGUAUUCGCUACUAUUCAAAAACAAAAAUUUCAAAAUAAGGCAAUAUUUUGCGUUUUGGAACAUCAAAGAAUUGUGCCCUAACUUACGGGGUUUUGGUUCUCUCGUUGAUUCUAAAUAGCUAAAUAUCCUUUUGAGUUUAAAAUACACGGAAUUCCAAUUGGAAUUAAAGACAAACUUGCGCUCGGGAAUUCAUGGUAACGUGUCCUAACUUACGGGAUGUGUACUCUGAUAUCUCGAGACGAGGAAAUCUUCAACGAUCGUUUUGAGCUAAUUCAAGUAUUUUUUUUCUUAAAAAUCAACGCUAAUAAAAAAGGAUCGUAUUUUAAAUUCGUUCUCGAUCUUCAAUUUUCGACAUUAAGACACUAACUAAUCAAUCCGGUACCAAUUUUUGGGCGUGUCGAGGGUGCUAACCCUUCCUCGCACGUAACCGAUUUCCGAACUUGUUCAAUUGAAUUUCAUAGACCAAAAUGUCGUUUUUAUGACUUAGUGUAUUUCAAAAUGCCGUUUUAAAUAUAUAUUUUCUUAGAAAGAGAGAACAAGUGGAAGAGGAUUAGAGAGAUUCUUCUCAAAAGUCACUUACACUUUCGUAAUACUGACAUAAGUAACAAUUUUAGAUUCUUAUAAACAAGACAGACGUGUGAUAAAAUGCUUAUGAAAUUAACCACUACUGCCCCCCUACUGUUUUAACAAUGAACACAAAUCCUAAAUAUUGAUGUAUGCUUACUGCAAUUGAAACCUAUUCGAAAUGCGAUAACUUUGCAGCUACUUGAACCACUAAUCAGUCAAAAUACCUACAUAUAUUACCAGAAGUAACUGCAGUUGAAGGAAUCUUACACCUGAAACAGUCAAGCUACACUUAUCGAAAUGUAUAACAUUAAUCCAACAAAACAAACACUGACUAGUAUUUUAUUUUUCCUACUUAAGAAGCUUAAAUACUAGUAAAGCCACAGUCUUCCAUGACUGAACAUAUAAAUCAAGAGUGACAGCAAAUCUACUGGAUAUUCCACAUCCUAACUUUCUCUAGAUAAAUAGAACAAUUUUCUUGUUUUGCCUUGACUCUAAAAUCUCUUAUAACCCUAAGCAAUAUCGCAGAUUGUGACCAUUAAUAUCGAAUGGGUUUUAUUCCCACUAACCUUGUUAAUGCUUUACAACACCAAUGAAUGCUAUGCAAUCUUAAAAUUGAGGAGCUCCACAAGUGCAAUCAUGACAGCAAUAACAAUAUUUUUAUAGCAAUUUCUCAAAGAUUCAUCAACUUUCAGUUUAGUAUCUCUGCAAAUCUUUGAUGAUUCUCCAAUUAUACAGACUAGACUUCAAUAAAGCAUUCAUUAUUAUGAUACUCUUGAUUCAGGUUAAUUAAACAAAGGGUUUGAAGAACACACACCUGCUAGCCAUUUCGCACCGAAAUAUGCUAAGAGAGAUGUUAGUCACAGUCUUAAAUUAUGGACGGGCCCAUGGUUUCAAUAAACCUUUCCAUACCUUCAAAGAAGUAAGUUUUCAAUGGUAAGGACUUGCAAUCGAACUAAAUAUGUAAAUCUAAUGCUUCUAAUCCUAAUGUCAUGACCUAAGGACAAAAUUUAGAGACAGAAAGAACAGAAUUUACACCAAGUAGAACCAGUUGGCUAUAUCUAAAUUUCAAUCAGGCUCGGAUCUAACUCAGAUGAACAGUACUAAGUAACCUUAUAAUGAAAAUAAUUUCUUAUGGUCUCUCAAGUUAGCACUCUAGAAGAAAGGAUUGAAAUGAUCAGCAUCAGGAAAUUAAAUUAAGCAGAUAAUUCAACUUCAUAUUAUAAAAUACUUGAAUCUAAGAAAACAUGUAUAAAAGUAAUUAUACAGCUGUUUGCAGUAUUGCAUUUGUACCUAAAGAUAACUCUCUAAGACUGACACACACACAAACAAGAACAACAACAAUAACAUUGAUAAACUAAAACAUAGAUAAUCCUUAAAGACUAACAACAACAAGAAUAGGCAAUCUUCCAAGGCUUUUUGGUUUCAUGGUUUAAAUUCCCAUAGAUCACCACUCCAAACAGACUCCUGGCUGGGAUCUCUCACGGGUGUCCAAAAAUCACCAUUCAUGGACUCCCAACAGGAAUACCAUCCAGAGUCAUACCUAACUUUGGACCACGGCCAUUCGUCGUCAAACCUAAAUGUAAUUGGCCAGUCAUCCAAGGUCAACUCCUCCACACCAUCUCCCUUAUUCUCCACCACAGCCACCUCGUUGGCAGGCGGCAGCGGCUGCGGCUGUGGCUCCUGCUCCUGCUCCUGCUCCUGCUCCUGCUCCUGCACCAGCUCCAUAGGUUUGUUAUCAUCAUUCUUCUCCUCUUCCCUAAUCUCAAUAAUCUGAACCUCGUACAACGUUUCUUCAUCUUCCUGCUCCAUUAUUUUCAUCGCCAUCGACCUUGUUACAAUCGUUCGGCUAUUGGGAAUGUUUGAUAGAGCUUUGGUAGCCCUAACCCCGUUUGUUCUUCCCUUUUCAGUCAUGAUCGUACUCUUUGAUGAGUUCCCGCUCUCUUCUACUCUUUCUUUGCAUCUCUUUCUUCCUCUCCCUCCAUACACGGAGUUAAUCUUAGCUUUCUUCAUUGAAAAAGAGAGGGGAAAUGAAAGGCUUUCUCAGCAAAGGAACAAGAAACCAAGAGAGAGAGAUAGAGAGAGAGAACGAGUGUUUAACGAGAAUAGAAGUACAAAUGUCGGUGACUAUAUAUAGGACCUUGUAAGGGUAGUAAAACGUAAACGUUGCUUGUUUGUCCAGCGAGAAAAUUUGUUGUCAAGGGUUUCCAUUUUCUCGAGAAAAUCAUCCUACUCAUACACUCAUAAUAACCUUACCAAGUCAAGAAACUAGCCAAAAAGUUGAUAUUUCCUGAGACAAUGAAUUAUGAAAAGGUGGAGCGUUUCUAAUUCUUAAAUUUACGUGGUCAUGCAGGAAGGCCACGUGGAAAUAUUAGCCCAUGCAAAUUAGGGGACCCAUCAACGGACAAUUUUGUGAGAGUGGGUUUUUUAAAAUUUUUCUAUUCGAUUUAUAAAAAAAUUUCUUUUCGAUGGAAAAUUUGGAAGUUUGUUUUGUUUCUUAAAAUCUUUUCUGGCAUUACAAAUCUCAUUUAAUGACUUUAAGUAGGGUUUUAAUGAUAGAGAUACCCUUAUGACGUAACAACAUGAGGAAGUUACUUUUUCUUUAUCGUUUUCUUAACUCCAUGCUUUUUCCUUCUUCCAGCAGUUUAUUCCUUUCAUACCAAACCAAACCCUAAAAGAUUCCACCGCUUUGAAUUGAAAGCCAAAAUGAGUCAAUAUAACGAUGUAUGGUUUGAUCAAAUUAUUUGAUUUAUCAUUUUAAAUUGAAAUAUAAAAAAUGACAUAUGAUCCUUAAACAAGCAGCGAUAUUUAAAAAGAAAAAGCAAUGGUGUAUGAUAAAAUAUCCACCUCAGAAUGAGUUAAAACUUUAUGACAAGUUACCAUAUUUGUCAUUUUUAUACAUUCAAGUUUUUCAUUCAUCUCAUUUUUCAAUUCCAAAAUACAAUGAUGAAAAUUGCUCUCCAUAAAUGGUCUCAAACCUGUCUAUACACAUAGAUUUGGAUUUUUAUUGAAGUGCGUAAAUAAAAUUCAAGAAAAUCUAAAUUAUGCAAAAACAAAUCUUUACAACAUUAAAAUAGGGAUUUCAAACCAUAAAUCUUUGCAGGGGUGAAGGUAUAUUUAUAAUUUUUAAAGUACUAAAUUAAAUUUUUAUUAAUUUUAGGGGUAAGGUGUAAUUUUACUUUUACUAAUUUAAAGGGUCAAAAUGGUAAAAUUUUUAUUUUAGGAGGCAAGGGAGAGCCAAAAGAGUAACCUAUUGAUAGUGUCGUGACACCAAGGAGUUGAUGUCACAACGACUUUGACGAGGCCAAAAUACUAAAGGGUAUUUUGUAGUCCAACAAGACUUAAGUUAGAUUUUAAGUGGGUGCAUAAUUGUCUUUGUUAGGUUAAAUGUUAUUAGACUAUAAAAACUACUUUAUAAGCUUUUGUUAGAGAGUAGAGUAGGAUAGAAUAUUUUUUAUUUUUCAUCUUUUUAGAUCAGAUUUUCAUUCUAUUUUAUUUUCUCUUUAGAAUAGAUUUUGGUUGUUGAUUUCUUUUCUUUUGUCGCAAAUUCUGCUAAUGGAGAUGAUCAAGUUUGUGGGCUUCAUCCACUUGUAGUCUAUUAAUGAGCAUUUUCUCAAACUCUUCUUUUUUUAUAUUUUAUGCAUACCAUGUGUUUAUUAAAAUGCUUAUGUGGGAUUUAAGUUUGAUCAUAUGUUGAAUCAUCUUAUUGGUUGAUUGACGAGUGAGUUACUUAACUAAGUUAUUAUCUAUGAUUUGAUAUUUAUUUGUUCAAUUGUAUUGGAUCAUAUAUUCACUAGAAUUGACAUCUCUAGUGGAAGAUUUAGAUAGAUGAGAUCGAAAGGAUACUUUAUCAUGUAGGACUUAAUAUAUUUGUAUCGAAUAGUGAGAUCGAGAGGAGAUUUAAAUGCCUAAGGGAGGCCGGAAGGAGAGCUUAGGUGGUAUCGUUUAGUUUAGAGUGAGACUAGAAGAAUAUUUCUAACUAAGACCGACAAAUGAUAUAAUAAGCAUAGGUUUCUUAUCUUAGUUAGUAAUUAAUGAAUCAUUUGAUCAUCAUUUUAAUCCAUUUGCAUUGUUUCUAGUAAAGAGGAAGAAAGUUUGUUAGAAAUUUUCAUUUGUUAGUCCAGAAUUUAGCUUUAAUAUAUUUUCAUAUUUUUUCUGUGCUACUAAUUUUUGGCUCAACUAGAUUAGUAGUUGAUUAGCUUGUAAUUAACUAAACAAACACAUUAACCAAUUGACAAUCCCUUGGGUUCGAUAUUGGAAUACUCUAUGUGUUCCAUUGGAACACUUAGAAAUAUUACAAUUGACUUUUCACAUUUGCAGUAAGAGCCACUUUUUAAUUAUCAAUAUUUUGUGCUCAUUUCUCUGUGCAGUGUUCGUACAUCGUGGCAUCCAAUCACAUGCACCUUUGAUAAGUACAUUCAUGCAUCUGGAUUUCUUAAAUUUAUCCAUUCUAAACAUAUCGAUUAAAUUCACACAUUGGUGACAUGACAUUAUUCAACACAUCUAAGUUGAAGAAUAUCAUGUCAUUCGACCAAAAGUAUUAGAAGAAAAAAUUUACGUGCAUGUGCAUAUACACAUGGUUGCAUGCAUGCAUACGUUGAUAGCAUUAUAUGCAAGUACGGUGAAAAUAAAUUCUUAUAAAAUCCCACGAUCACUAAAAGUCAAAACCAAAUGUCAACAUGUUGUAUACUAAGGGGAAAUAUUCAUAUUAAACCAGAGACUUUAAUCCAAAGUAUUAACGAACACGUCAUCCAAUAAAAAUUAAAAUAUGUCUGAUAGAAAUCUAUAUUGUAACUAACGUAACUACUUAUUGAUGGACCAAAAAACAAGAAAAGUGUCUAUUUAGAUUUUUCGGUACUUAAAUUUGCUACUAGAUCAUAAAUAAAUAUGAUAUCCUUGUCUUCCCCACUUUCUUCAUAUUGAUAUUACAAAAAUAGAAAUAUAAAAAAUGAUAUGAUGUGACAAAUUUAAUAAAUAAACCCCAAAAGAGGAAACCACUAAAUCCCAUAUGCCUUACCAUAAAAGUUUCCUCAAAAUAUUCCCACAAGUUUCUUGGUUAUACUAAAGUAAGAUUCGAAUCAUUUUAUAAUCUGAACAUCAAUGAUUAUCACAUGUUUGGUACAUUUUAUUUGAAAAAGGAAAAGAAACAAUCAUGCAUGAUAAUUAGUACUUCAAGGAGUUCAAGUUAUGUUGAACUCAUAUUCCACAUUGGUGGGAAGGUUAACAACAAAAUAAUAGAAUAACAACUGAAUUUGUUCACACGUGGAGAGGUAUAGGCCCUAGAAAUUAAAACCAUAAGAAAUAUGUGAGUCACCAUGAAGAGAUACUAAUACCUUUAGAAAGGAUAUGGCUACUAGCACAAUCUCUAUUUGCAAAUUCAUUUGGAAAAAGGAAAAAGAAGAGGAACUAUUAGUUUCCAAUCUAAUUUUAAGCUUUUUUUUUCUCUUCAUCUUCUUGCCUAUUCAUUUUCAUUUUCACAAGACUCUCUCUAACGACAAUGAAAAGAAUAAUUUGGCUCAAUCAUUUUUCAUAAAGUAUCUUGUCCAUCCAUUAUAAAGGGAUUCCUACAUUUCUCAUUUCCUUUUUCUGCACCUCUUUAUUUUUAGUGUCACAACCUAAACAUAUCUUAGUUGCAUUAACGCAAUUGAUAUUUGGUAUAUCUCAUUUUAAAUAUUAUCAAAUAAUGUUUUCCUAGUUCAAGUAAUAAAUUGGUUUACCUCCUUACUUGCUCAAUAGGAAACUUUAUUACAAAUAAACAAGAUAGAUAAUACUUGGGGACCCGAAUUAGGAUAAAAGGAAUAUAUACCUAUUGGUGAGAAUACUUUGCCUAGAAAACAACCUCGCACACUCUAAAUUAACCCCUUUUUAUGUUCUUCAAUGAAGUUCCACAACUAAAAUGCCCCUUUCAUUAAAUCAUGCAGCAAUUAAUGACACGCGUUUUAAAAAUUUGUGUGUAUAAGUACUUAUCAAUACGCUAUUCUAGUGUCAAUAAAGCAUAUGAUAUUUGAUAUAAUUAUUGACUUAUAUCCACUUGUAUUAUAGCAUUAAAUGCAUGUCUUAGUGUCAGUAUUUUUUGGAUCAAAGUCGUUAUGUCAGCACUGAUUACUCAGCCACUCUCAUCAAUGAUUCUGCAUACAUAAAGAGGUUUACAAUAUACAUGCACGACACCUAUAUCUACAUGAACCAAUUACAUGUAGACUGAAGCAGUUUCAAUUUAUAAAGAUUUAUCCUUACCAGAACAAAUAAAUUUUUCCUUAAAUAGAUGUAUUAUUUAUUAAAAAAAAAACAACAACUUCCAUAUGCAUGACUUCUUUUGUCUCAUAACCAUCCAAUAUGUAAUAUGUCUAAUAUUCAACUUUAAAUUCAUUGAAAGCAUUAAUUUUUUCAUCACCACUAGAGUUCCUAUAGUAUUAGGAAUCUUUUCUAGUAUCUCCUAAUCAAAAUUGGAAAUGUUUUCUAAAUUUGUUACUAAUAAGUAAUAGAAAUACAACAUUCAUCAGAUAUAAUUAAAAAUAAAUUUUUUAACUAAUAAUAAUUGACUUUUGUCAACUUCCAUCCUAGCAUUAAAUGCAUACCUUUGUGAGUAUUACUCCGUCAUUCUCAUUGGAUCCUAAACAUGUAAAUGAAAUUAUACAAUGUAUAUAUACGACACAUUUACCUACACAUAGAGUGAGCAAUGCCAACCUGUAAAGUUUUACCCUUUCGCCAAAAGAGAUAAUUUUUUUCCUUAAACAGAUGUAUCGUUCAUCAAAAUAAACUACAAGAUCUACCUUUAUGAUCCUUUUUGUCUCAUAAAUUGUCCUAGAUAUAUUAUGUCUAUGAUAAGCUAUAAAAGUAACAUAUUUUAAUUUCAUUAUUAAUGUUUUGGAUGAUUAAUUAUGCAAAUUAGUGAAUUUAAUGCUCAUAAUCCUUUCAAUUCAUGAUUCUAUACUUAGGAGAGCAUUUGGGAUGAAAGGAGAGAAAAACGAGCCAAAAUCAGACAAAUAGAGCUAUUUUCAGGAUCCAUACGGCCUGGGCAUUUUCGCACGGACUAGCAACACGCCCAUGUGCCAGCCCGUGUCGAUUUCACACCUUACUUCCCAAAUACACGGAAAAACCCAAUUUUUAGGCUUCCUGAGCAGUCUAAAGUCUGUAAAUAACCUAGGGGGUAAUUAGAGAAGAUUAAAGAAAACACUAAAAAAAUGUCAUUAGAAUCAACUCAAAAGCGGAUCUCCAUCAAGAUCGAAUAUCUCUUUUUAAUUUCUUUCGAAGUUUUAUUGAUUUUCUUAAUGUCUUGUGGUUAUCCUAACUUUGAGAUGUUUCUAUUCAGGAUUAUGAAUUAAAUUCCCUAGAUACCUAGGGAAGAUGAAACCUAUGAUGAAUCUUAUUAUUUGAUUUCUAAUUUACGCGAUAAAUACUUGAUUCUUGUUCUAAAUUAUGUAUGUUUAUUUCUUGUUUUAAUAUUUUUGGGAUAUUAAUUCAUGUUUAAUGUGCUUAUUUCAAUGGAGCAAAAGGCCCUAUUUAAGAGUAAAUCUAGUAUAAUUGAGUGGAGUUGCAUGCAAUCCUAGAAAUAGGAUAACAUAAAUCUACCGGAUUAGAGUCAAAUCUAAUAGGAGAAUCCAUAGAUCGAGUUAAUGAGACGAUAGAGGUUUUAAUUAGAAAGAGAUUUCAAUUAAUCAACUUAAAGUCAGUUGUUCUUACUAUCGAAAGAGAUAUUAACAUAAUUUAGGGAUUUCUACGGAUCAAAACGCAAGUGAAUAAAUCAUUUAAUUCAACGGCAUCAUAUCGAAGAUAAAUAAGAUCGUGGAUGAGAGAUACCAAGACAUCUGUUGAACAACUAAUAUUCAAGUAAUAUGUACUAGAUGACAAAUGGUUAUAUGAAUUGGUUAUACAAAAUGGUUGUGUGAAAUGUUUACAGGAAAAUAGUUGCAUGAAAUAAUUAUGAUGAUAGAUAAAUGAAAUAAGUAUAAGUCCAAGGAAUAUAAUUUAUGUUAAGUUUGAUAUGAACUAUUACCGAAAUAAAUAUACAUAAAAUAUAUGGAAAUGAUGGUGCAUGAAAUAUUGAUAUAAUGAAAUGAACGAUAUAUACUUAUGAAGAAACGGUAAGUAUUUAAUUGAAAUUUUUGUUAAAUGAUAUGUAAAUCCUAGUAAUGCCUCGUAACCUAUUCCGGCAACGGAUACAGAUAAGAGGACUAUGUGAUUCUGGUGUGUUUGGUGGGAUUACAUGAUUAUUCUGGUGUGUUUUGGUUGGAUAUUACUGGUGUGUUUGGGUUGGAAUCCGUGUAUCCGUCAAAGUCCGGGUUUGUUAAUAGGGUGAAUAACUGAAACGAGAAAAUUAAAUAAAUUUUAUUGAUCGUACUGAAUAUAUAUAUAUAAAAAAGAAAUUAUGAAUUGAAAUUGAGAUAUCAAAAUAAGAAGUGAAAAUAAAAUGAAUUGGAAAUAAUGAAAUAGUGUAUGAGUUAAUUGAAUAUAAACUUAUGAAUUAAUUAUAAUUAUUUUUAUUGAAAAAUGUUGGUUUAAAUAAGUAUUGAAAGAUUAAUGUCAUAAGGUUUUAGAUAUGAAAUAAAAUAAGUUAUUGAAUUGGUAUUUAGAAAUGAAAUAUAUGAAAUAAUAAUUUUAUAAAAUGCUUAUUGAUAAAAUGCAUGAAAUGAAUAUUGAUAUAGUAAGAAGGCAUAUAAAUUAAAAUGAAGAAAAGCUAUUUAAUAUACAUACUAUUAAGAAAAUUUAAAGUUUUAAAUACAUGAAAGAUUUAUUGAAAAUAAAAUAGUGGUAAGAUUAGGUACAGAAAUUUUGAAGAGUUGUAUUUGAGGUUACGAGCUUCCAUCUCAUCACAUCUCUAGGUAAUAAGAGGGUACGUUUAAAUUUUUUGAAUAGAAUGACAUGUACUUAAGAAAAAUUAAGUAUGUUUCAAGUAGUAGUAAGGACUAAAUUAUAAAUUAUUUAAAAUUUUCCAUUUAUGUUCUAGUAUAUUAGUGAUUGACCAAGAAUUACUUUAGAACCAAAUGUAAUAUUCCUAUAUCAAUUUCCUUGAAACAAACACGAUAUAAGGGUGUUACAUGGUAUAUGAGAUUGAAAGCUUGAACCAAAAGUUCAUGAUUUGAUUAAAGAUAAUAUAGAUGAUAUAUGAUGUCAUUUGAUAAAAGACUAUUGUUGAGAUAUGAAAUUAAAGCAUAAAUUAACACAUAUAACUUAUAUUGUUACAUGUUUGAUGUCUAUUAUUUAUUAUAGUUUUUAUAAUUUGAAUUAUGGUAAUUGUAAACGGGUCAAUUUGCUCGGGUCCACAUCAAAACCAAAAUACAAAACGAUAAUAAAUAAAACCAAAUAAAAGUCCAAAGUGCAUUUAGUCCCUUCCUUUCGCGUUGGUGUUUGAUUAGGCCUAGUCCAGAUUUCUUUGUUUUUUAAUUCGCCCUGUAAUUUGCGCAUGUUUGCAAGUGGAUCCGUGCCUCAGCACGGCGUUUUAAGACCUGGAUUAUUUCCGGUUCUAGUCCCUACGCAUUUGCGCGCAUUGCAUAUUAUUAUUAUUUUAUUUUCAAAUUAUCCCUUUUGUUUUAGUUUAAUUCUAAUUAAGUCUUUUUAUUUUAUAGCCUUUUAUUCUUGAUUACUUAUUUGUGCAUUUUGAACUACCUUGGUAAUUGUUUCUUUAUUAUUGUAAAUUUGUUUUUGUCAUAUCAUCAUCACAUUUUGUAUAUUUUAUCUAUAUAAAUGUUUUUAUACAUCAUUAUAUUUAUAUAUAUACUUUAUAAUAAAGUUAACUUUAUUCUAUGUAUAUUAUUAAUGUCAUAUUAUUUCAUACAUGUAACUGUUUUUGAAUUUAUUCACAUAUUUUAAUAUAUAUAGUUGUCGUUUAAGAGGAAAUCACAUGUUUUAUACAUUAUUUAAAUUAUUAUUAUACAUAUACGUAAGCAUUGGUACAUAAAUUCAAUCUAUGUACGCUACCAAAUCCAUGUAUUUUAUACCUAUAGUUUUCUUUGUGCGUAUAAGUAUAUUUUUAAGUCUAUUAUAUAUAUAAUUUAUAAUAAAAUUAAUUUAAUCUUAAAUGCAUUAUUAAGUGCAUGUUCUUCUUACAAAUAAUUAUUUCUAAAUCUAUUUAUGCAUAUGUAUGCUUUUGUGAGCCUAUUGUGUGUAUUUCCUAAGAUUAUAUUUUAUUAUGUCUUCUUGCCAUUCUUUUAUAUUUUAUAUAUUAUUCAAAUUUUCCUUUAUUGAAUGUAUUUUAGUAAAUGUUUUUAACAUCUUAUAUAUUAUGUAUUUCAAAAAUAUAUUCAUUUUAUAAUACAUAUUUUAAUGAUUGCAUGUAUAUCUCUAGUUUGUUUUUUUACAAAUAGUUUCUAAUUUAUCAAUUCAUCAAUGCAUAUAUUAUGUUCAUCAUUAUUUUAAAUUUUUCUUAUACCAUAGUAUUUUUUUUAAAUUAUUAUUUUGUUUUGGAUAUUUUGUAUUGAUUGUAAUGUACUAGGCUAUAUAUAUUAUCGUUGUGCUAUUUUUUUCGUUUUCUUUAUUGUUAUCUCGAUUGUUCUCCAUACAUGUUUAGAAAGUUGGUUACAUCUUGCUUAAAUUAGUCAAAUUUAAUUGUUUGAUUAGAUUGAUUAAGUAAGGUUAUGUUAUCUUCAUUCAUCAAUUAUUGUAUUUUACGCAUGCAUGUUAUCCUAUGUUUUCAUUUUUUUGUUGAUUUACAAAUGUCGCUUUAUAAUUUCUAACUCUUAAAAAUCAAUUAUUUCAUUCUAUUUCAAGUAAAAUUAAUGCGUUUUAAGCUGGUUUUACAAUUAUUCGUUGGAAAAUUCCCUAAAACGAAGGUAAUAUUUGAUGUUUGGAAAUUCGGGGAAUCGUGCCCUAUCGUGCUAGGUUUUGAUUUCCCGUUUGUUCAAAAUAAUCGAAUAUUCCUUUAGAAUUUCACUCGUGUUUUCCAAGUUUUAAAACAAGGCAAUGUUCAAUGUUUGGAAACUCGAGGAAUCGUGCCCUACCGUGCUGGGUUCCGGUUUUUCAUUAGACUAAAUAAUUGGACAUCCUUUUGUAAUUUUCAACAUAUAAACUUUUGGAAGUCAAAAAUUUAUCGCGUUUUCGAGUGUAUAAAGGAUCGUGUCCUAUCGUGCUGGAUGUGAUGCUGUAUCCCUUUGAAAUAAGAGAAUUUUGACAACCAACUUGAGCCAUUCAAAUAUUUCAAAAGGAAUCGUAUUUCAAAAAUAGCUUUGAAACUUAGACAUAAGGACAAUACUUAAUCAAUUUGGUACCAAUUUUGGGCGUAGUGAGGGUGCUAAUCCUUCCUCAUACGUAACCGGCUCCCGAACCCAUUUUUCUCAAAUUUACGUAGGCCAAAAUUGAUUUCAAUGGAAUGAAACAUUUUAUUAGGUGAUCCAAUCUCACCUAAACAAAAAGGAUUGGUGGUGACUCCACACUUUGUUUUAAAAGUCGAUCCCUGUAUAUUUCAAAAAUAAAAAAAAAGGUUUCGACAGCUUGGCGACUCCACUGGGGACCGAACAAGAGAGUCAAGCCAUAAAAUUGAUUAUUUCCUAUCUUUUUGUCAAAGAAUUAAAAAUUUGUUUUGGAAAUCAUGAUUCUUUCGAUUGCAUUUAAUUGUAUGACCGUUAUGGUUCGAGUCUUGUAGAAUAAUAUUGCAUUGCAUCGCAUGACCGCUCUGGUCACACCUUCUAAGUGGGAGUAAGAAACUAUGCUUUCGUGAGGUUUUCACCUCCGCAUGGGCUAGUGGAUUGCUUUCGGGGUACAUCUGUACCUAUGAUUUCGUGAGAUUUUCAUCUUCGCGUGGUCAUAGGGAAAUGUAUCCCCCUGAACCGAACUCGAUCCAUCUAAGCCUAUAAUGGAUGAGGAUCGAGGAAUCUGCUAGUUCAGGUACCUUCUCUCUAGAACCAAACUACAUAUAGUGAACCUUAAGAGCUACCCUCAGGUAGAGCUGUGUUAAGUCUUAGUGGUUGCCAAUAUCUAUGUUCUGAUUAUUUCUGGUUUUUGCUUGUAUCUUAUUACUUAUAUUUGAUACUAACUUGUGUUUUGUUUUGAUUGUGUUUUGCAUGACAUUGCAUACUAAAGGAGGUGUUGAUUCGUAUUCGAUUACUAAGUUAGAAGAUUUAACAUGGAGAAUGAAUUUCUUAAUAAAGUUGAGGAUAAUCCGGCCGUCCGCUCAUGGUCAGAGAAGUUACAAUCGGAGAAAGGGGAUAGCCUAGCAGAAGGAUAUACAUCAGAGUUGCAGGAAUUCACUCGCGUCAAUGUAGCACAAAAUGAGUUGCAAGAGUUGAGAGAUAUAUGGGCUCGUUGGGAUGAAAGAGCCAAACAGUUGUUCUAUCAAAGCUAUGGUGAUAUAUCCUACUUGCUAGAUAUUAGGUUGAACAAGCAUCUGUUCCGUGGUUCAAUUUUGGAAUUCUGCUUACAAGCGUUUCACGUUUGGGGAAGUGGAUUUAGUGCCUACAAUGGAGGAAUAUACUACCCUGCUCAGGUGUCCAAAAGUUCAAGUUAGAAGAGCUUAUGCCAAGGUUUUUAAUGGUCAAACUUUUGCGAAGAAAUUGAUAAAUAUUUCAGGGAUGAACAACCCUUGGGUCACUGCUCGAAUUCAAAAAAAGGGGAUAGUAAAUGUAUUCCUUGGGAGAAUUUGAGAGAUUUGGUUUUAACACAUCCGGAUGAAAGAAAGAGGGUCGAUAUCUUCGCUUUAAGCACCUAUGGAUUGAUGAUUUUUCCUAAGGCAUUAAGGCAUGUGGAUGAGGCAGUCACUGAUUUAUUCGACCGUCUUGAGAAGAGAAUCACACCUGUACCUGUAAUAUUGGCUGAGACGUUCAGAUCCUUGAGCAUAUGUCGGAAGACAGGCGGGGGCGGUUUAUUGGGUGUGCACAACUGCUGAUGGUGUGGUUUCAUGGGUAUUUUUAGAAAGUAGACAAGGUUUCUUACUGGGUUUUUUUAAGGUUAUUCCCCGUUAAAGGAGGAGGCAGCCAUGCAAAGGAGAGAGGAUAUCUCAAAAGAGAAGUGGAUGGAAAUUCUUCAAAACCUCAAGGAGGGGGAUAUAGAGCGGAGAGCAUUUUGGAUGGUUCCUGAUGAGAUCCUGUAUCAAUGUGGGAACUUUGAUUGGGUACCGUUGUCAGAUAUUUGGGGAGCCACUGGGUAUACUCCUUUAUUGGCAUUAAGGCAGUAUAAAUCGAGGCAGUUUGUACCCACGACUUACGAGCUGGCUCAGUGUGAAUUCUAGUAUAACGGUGACCACUAUAAGAAGAAGGUUCGAGAACUGUCUGAUGCUUGGAAGCAAACUCGCUGGAUGAAGAGGUUGGCUGUCAGUUCCAUGGUGACACCUGAAUACAAUAGAUGGUUUAGGAAAAUGGUCAAUAAUAAUAUUCCUAGGCCAAGUUUAGAAGAUACUCGACCUGUGGAGGAACAAUUACAAGUUGCCCCGUCAGAGUUGGAAAUUAUAAUGCAGGAUUUUGAAAAGAAAAGUUUUGAGCUUGGAAAGAAGAUCGAAUAGUUGGAGGAAGAAAAAAUGCAUCUGAGAUUAGACGUAGACGUUCAGAGGUUGGAGGCUGAGAAGUGGAGAAAAGGGAAAAGUAAGGCCGAAGAGGAUCUGGACAGUUUGAAGACAGAUUAUAAGAAGUUACACCUGUCUAUGAAGACUGCUGGGUUAGGUAAAAAUUCAAAGCAAUGGCGCCAUGAAAUUCAAGAGGAAAAGACCACAGCCGACCAAUGGGAAAGGAAAUUCCGAGAGGCUCAGGCAUGAAAUGAGGAUUUAGAGAAGAGUCUGUCAGAAAGCAGAAAUGAACGAGGUGAAUUAAGCGCUAGAGUGGUAGAACUCGAGAAGUCUCUUCAUCAGUACCGAAGCCGUAAUACCGCAAUGGAGUUGAGAGCAAGCUUGAGUAAGGUAGAAGAAAUGAAAGGAAAAGUAGAAUAAUUAGAAGCGUCACUACAAAGCUGUGAGAUGUGGAUUCAGUUUUUCGAAGCAAGUGAGGAGCGUUGGAAGGAACAGCUCCACUAUGCGCAAGACCAAGUCAGAAACAGGGAUUACAUUAUGGGAGAAGACGUAACCCAGAUUCGGGAGGUAGCUGAUUACUUACAAGCUUUAGCGGUACAAGCGGACAUACUGACCGUGAAGUGCGAGUUGGAGUCAAAUCGGGGGCAGGAGCUAGCCUCGUUGCUUAGGAAGAUUAAGGCUCUGAGUAUUAGGGCGAAGUUUUAUUUGUAACUCAGUUUUACGUAAAGAAUUUUAUUUUCUAGUAAAGUUUUCUAAAUGGAAUUGAAUCAAAAUUGAUGCCUCCUUUGCAUUCAUGCAUUUGCAUUACAUUACAUCAUAUGCACUAAAAACCAUAAAAAGAUUCUAAUUAAUUAAAAAUUAUUUCAGUAAUCUGGAAACCAAAGAAAACCAACCAAGUAUGCACCCCUAUAACACGAGGAAAAAAACCAAGUCAAUGGACAAAAGACUUGAGAAAUUGUAGCAAAUGCAAAAGGACAUGCAGGAACAAAUAUAGUCACAGAUGCAAGAGCAGCUAGCCAAGAUUCAGCAAGAGAUGAAAGAUCAAAUGAUGGAAUCCCAAAGAGAAAUGAUGAGUCAGUUGUCCCAAUUGCUGAUGGGAAGAACGAAUAAGGGAAAAAGUCCUAUGGAUAAUGUUAGGGAAAAUAAUGAAGACCCUCAAUACCCUCCUGACUUCACCCUAACAAAUGUACCAACACAACCUGAAAUUAAUCUACAGAGACCAUCUGUUACGAUCAGGCCUCAGCAGAUCCAUGCCAGAGCUUUGAUAUUAGUGAAUUUCCAAGCCGGCUCAGGCUCUAACCCUGUUAGUAACUCGAAUUAUCCGCUUGUUCCUGAUUUGGAUGAAGUGGAAGAAGAGGAAAAGGCAAGGAUGGAAUCAUAGAAACAAUUAGAAGAAUGGUGUAAAUGGCUGGAAGAAAAAUUUCGGGCAAUGAAAAAUGCCGAUAGUCAUCACGAAAUUGAUGCUAAGGACCUGAGUUUGGUCCCAGACCUGGUCCUACCCCCCAAGUUCAAAAUGCCAGAAUUCAAGAAGUACAAUGGAACGAGCUACCCUGAAGCUGGAUAUGUUAACAACGAUCAACUACUGAUUAAUUGCUUCCAAGACAGUUUAGUGGGGGCAAUAUCUAAGUGGUACAACCAGCUGAGUCGUACCAAGAUUAAUUUGUGGAAAGAUUUGUCCGAAGCAUUCAUGAAGCAGUACAGCCAUGUGACGGAUAUGACUCCUGACAGGAUUACUUUGCAGAAUACGAAGAAGAAACCAAAUGAAGGUUUCAGACAAUAUGCGUAAAGAUGGAGAGAAGUUUCCAUUCAAGUUCAGCCGUCGCUUUUAGAAAAAGAAACCACGAUGCCCUUUAUCAACACUUUGAAGGCCCUGUUCAUUACACACAUGCUAGGAAGUGCCACAAAAAGCUUCUCAGACGUGGUAAUGACUGGAGAAAUGAUUGAGAAUGCAAUAAGAAGUGGAAGGAUAUAGGUAGGGGAAAAUACUAAAAGGUCAGCCUCGUAAAAAAAGGAUAACGAGGUGAACAAUACGAAUAUAGAGUACUUAAAAUCGUUUACCGUUAAUCAGCCAAGAACAACGACUACUGGAAGUCAAGGGUCUGGCACAAAGGAAAAUACUGAGAAACUUCAGUUUACGCCUAUCACAAUGUCAUAUAAGGAGUUGUACCAAAGUUUAUUCGAUACACAUGUGGUAGCUCCUUUUUACCUAAAGCCAUUACAACCCCCAUACCCCAAGUGGUAUGACGCAAACGCCCAAUGUGACUACCAUGCAGGAAUUCUGGGGCAUUCAAUAGAAAACUGCACUGCCUUUAAGAAAGUAGUUGAAAGACUUAUUAAAGUAGGCAUUGUGAAGUUUGAUUAUGCACCCAGUGCAGAAAAUCUGUUACCUAAUCACGCCGAUGGCGGGGUAAACGUGAUAAGUGGAAAUGUAGGGAAAAAGGUUAAGGCAGAUAUUACAGAAGUGAAAACUCCUUUGAAAUGGGUUGGAAGGAGAUGGUAAAAAGGGGAUUAGUUACUUCGGAUCUAGAAAGGAGCUAUGAAGGGAUAGAGAGCUACAGCGAAUUCCAUCAUGAAGAAGGGCACGGAAUUCAAGAAUGUAAAGAGUUCAGAGCUCUGAUUCAGAACCGGAUGGACAACAAGGAGAUACAUUUUUAUGAAGAGGUCAAAGAGGAGGGGUGUAUAUGCAUGUCAGAGUCAACGUCGAAGGGCCCAAAGGUCAAUUAUCCUGUGGUCAUCAUCUCACGCCCAAAAAAUGAAGCGGGAAUUCAAAUGGCACUAAAGGUUAUAAUUCAGAAACCUACAGUUUUCUUUUACGAGGACAAAAAAGGGUCCCAUGGAGUUAUGAUUAUAAUAUGACAAUCCCGGCGAAGGAGAGUCUAGCUAAGGAGGAUCAAGAUAUAGGUUCUCACACGCGUAGUGGAAGAUGCUAUGAUUUGGUGAAUACCCGAACAGAACCUGUAAAAGGAAAAGCUCCGAUAGCAGAACAAAAGAAAGAAAAAGCUAUUGAGUUUGAGCUGCCUGUUAAUGAACCAGUGAAAGAGGAGGAAGCUAAGGAAUUCCUAAAAUUUCUAAAACAUAGUGAAUAUAGCGUGGUGGAACAGUUGCAUAAAUAGCCUGGUUGCAUAUCUAUACUAGCUUUGCUCCUAAGUUCAGAGGUCCACCGAAAUGCAUUGAUGAAAGUUCUAAAUCAAAAGUACGUGACUAAUGUUAUCUCUGUCAAUAAGUUGGAUCGGCUGGUUAAUAACAUAAGCACUGAUAAUUUCAUCUUCUUCAACGAUGACGAAAUACCACGGGAGUUAUGGGGUCCACUAAAGCCCUGCACAUCACUACCAGAUGCAAAGGAUACACAUUGUCGGGAGUCUUGAUAGACAAUGGGUCAGCAUUGAAUGUAUUGCCCUUGUCUACAUUAAAUAGACUACCUCUGGAUAGCUCGCACAUGAAGGGGUGUCAGAAUAUAGUACGGGCGUUCGAUGGCACAGAAAGAAGAGUCAUGGGUAGAAUAGAAAUACCUUUGUUGAUUGGCCCGACUACAUAUGAGGUGGACUUUUUGGUUAUGGAUAUCAAACCCUCAUACAACUGCCUCUUAGGAAGACCUUGGAUACAUUCAGCGGGGGCAGUGCCUUUAUCAUUGCAUCAGAAGUUGAAGUUAGUAUCAGAGGGUCGGUUGAUAACGAUAAAUGCUGAAGAGGAUAUCACUGUAGCUGUAAGUAGUGAUGCACCAUAUUUGGAGACAGAUGACGAAGCAAUCGAAUGUUUAUUUUGGUCUUUGGAGUUUGUAAAUGCAACAUUCAUCACUGAAGGGAAUAAGAUUCCGACACCAAAAUUAUCCAAAACUACAAGAAUGAGUCUACAGUUGAGGGUUGGAAGAGGAGCUUUACCAGGAAAGGGACUUGGGAGGAAUCUUCAGGGAAGAGUUGAGGUGCCUAUGCUGAAAGAAAAAUGUGACCGUUUUGGUUUGGGGUUCAAGCCAGAUGCAAGACAAAGGAAGAAAGAAUUAGAAAAAAGGCAAGAGAGAAGAAGGGCACGUGUGAGUGGUGAAGAAAUCAAGUGGAAACCCAUGGCGAUCCUUCACAUAUCGAAGAAUUUUGUGUCGGGAGGGGUUAUUCAUCCUGAACGAAGGACGUCGGAGAAAAAAGACAUCGAAGAAAUGUUGAAAGAUAUUCACAUCAAUGCCAUAUUGGAAGAAGUGACUGAAGAGGAGACCUUGUCAGAUAUUCAUCCUUAUGAACCUAGGAGUGUUCUAGACAACUGGAUUGCAGAAGAUAUUCCUGUAGUAUUUAGAACUUACUCAGAGUAAUGUUCGAAACAAUCUUGUUGCUUUAAGCCUAGAGGCAAUGAGAAUUUCUUUGUGAAAUAGGCUCAUGUUCAAACAUCGUUAUUUCGAUGAAGUAAAUUUUCGCUAUCAUUUGAGCAAAUAUUCUUUCAUUCUUUCCACUAGUAAUUGUUUUAUUAUUUUCGUCGGAAUAAUUAUCUUGGUAUUUUUAGACUUUCUUCAAUCAUUCCUUCAUAAUCAUACUAUGCAAACAAUAAUUCUUAAAUUCAUUCAUUUUUUGCAUAUUUUUUGUACCUACCCCAAGAUAUCAAUGUUAUGAGUGACGCUGCUACUGAAGGAGAUUUAUAUGCCUAAGGGAGGCCGGAAGGAGAGCUUAGGUGGUAUCGUUUAGUUUAGAGUGAGACUAGAAGAAUAUUUCUAACUAAGACCGACAAAUGAUAUAAUAAGCAUAGGUUUCUUAUCUUAGUUAGUAAUUAAUGAAUCAUUUGAUCAUCAUUUUAAUCCAUUUGCAUUGUUUCUAGUAAAGAGGAAGAAAGUUUGUUAGAAAUUUUCAUUUGUUAGUCUAGAAUUUAGCUUUAAUAUAUUUUCAUAUUUUUUCUGUGCUACUAAUUUUUGGCUCAACUAGAUUAGUAGUUGAUUAGCUUGUAAUUAACUAAACAAACACGUUAACCAAUUGACAAUCCCUUGGGUUCGAUCAUUGGAAUACUCUAUGUGUUCCAUUGGAACACUUAGAAAUAUUACAAUUGACUUUUCACAUUUGCAGUAAGAGCCACUUUUUAAUUAUCAAUAUUUUGUGCUCAUUUCUCUGUGCAAUGUUCGUACAUCGUGGCAUCCAAUCACAUGCACCUUUGAUAAGUACAUUCAUGCAUCUGGAUUUCUUAAAUUUAUCCAUUCUAAACAUAUCGAUUAAAUUCACACAUUGGUGACAUGACAUUAUUCAACACAUCCAAGUUGAAGAAUAUCAUGUCAUUUGACCAAAAGUAUUAGAAGAAAAAAUUUACGUGCAUGUGCAUAUACACAUGGUUGCAUGCAUGCAUACGUUGAUAGCAUUAUAUGCAAGUACGGUGAAAAUAAAUUCUUAUAAAAUCCCACGAUCACUAAAAGUCAAAACCAAAUGUCAACAUGUUGUAUACUAAGGGGAAAUAUUCAUAUUAAACCAGAGACUUUAAUACAAAGUAUUAACGAACACGUCAUCCAAUAAAAAUUAAAAUAUGUCUGAUAGAAAUCUAUAUUGUAACUAACGUAACUACUUAUUGAUGGACCAAAAAACAAGAAAAGUGUCUAUUUAGAUUUUUCGGUACUCAAAUUUGCUACUAGAUCAUAAAUAAAUAUGAUAUCCUUGUCUUCCCCACUUUCUUCAUAUUGAUAUUACAAAAAUAGAAAUAUAUAAAAUGAUAUGAUGUGACAAAUUUAAUAAAUAAACCCCAAAAGAGGAAACCACUAAAUCCCAUAUGCCUUACCAUAAAAGUUUCCUCAAAAUAUUCCCACAAGUUUCUUGGUUAUACUAAAGUAAGAUUCGAAUCAUUUUAUAAUCUGAACAUCAAUGAUUAUCACAUGUUUGGUACAUUUUAUUUGAAAAAGGAAAAGAAACAAUCAUGCAUGAUAAUUAGUACUUCAAGGAGUUCCGGUUAUGUUGAACUCAUAUUCCACAUUGGUGGGAAGGUUAACAACAAAAUAAUAGAAUAACAACUGAAUUUGUUCACAUGUGGAGAGGUAUAGACCCAAGAAACUAAAACCAUAAGAAACAUGUGAGUCACCUUGAAGAGAUACUAAUACCUUUAGAAAGGAUAUGGCUACUAGCACAAUCUCCAUUUGCAAAUUCAUUUGGAAAAAGGAAAAAGAAGAGGAACUAAUUAGUUUCCAAUCUAAUUUUAAGCUUUUUUUUCUCUUCAUCUUCUUGCUUAUUCAUUUUCAUUUUCACAAGACUCUCUCUAACGACAAUGAAAAGAAUAAUUUGGCUCAAUCAUUUUUCAUAAAGUAUCUUGUCCAUCCAUUAUAAAGGGAUUCCUACAUUUCUUAUUUCCUUUUUCUGCACCUCUUUAUUUUUAGUGUCACAACCUAAACAUAUCUUAGUUGUAUUAAUGCAAUUGAUAUUUGGUAUAUCUCAUUUUAAAUAUUAUCAAAUAAUGUUUUCCUAGUUCAAGUAAUAAAUUGGUUUACCUCCUUACUUGCUCAAUAGGAAACUUUAUUACAAAUAAACAAGAUAGAUAAUACUUGGGGACCCGAAUUAGGAUAAAAGGAAUAUAUACCUAUUGGUGAGAAUACUUUGCCUAGAAAACAACCCUACACACUAUAAAUUAACCCCUUUUUAUGUUCUUCAAUGAAGUUCCACAACUAAAAUGCCCCUUUCAUUAAAUCAUGCAGCAUUUAAUGACACGCGUUUUAAAAAUUUGUGUGUAUAACUACUUAUCAAUACGCUAUUCUAGUGUCAAUAAAGCAUAUGAUAUUUGAUAUAAUUAUUGACUUAUAUCCACUUGUAUUAUAGCAUUAAAUGCAUGUCUUAGUGUCAGUAUUUUUUGGAUCAAAGUCGUUAUGUCAGCACUGAUUACUCAGCCACUCUCAUCAAUGAUUCUGCAUACAUAAAGAGGUUUACAAUAUACAUGCACGACACCUAUAUCGACAUGAACUAAUUACAUGUAGACUGAAGCAGUUUCAAUUUAUAAAGAUUUAUCCUUACCAGAAAAAAUAAAUUUUUCCUUAAAUAGAUGUAUUAUUUAUUAAAAAAAAAACAACUUCCAUAUGCAUGACUUCUUUUGUCUCAUAACCAUCCAAUAUGUAAUAUUUCUAAUAUUCAACUUUAAAUUCAUUGAAAUCAUUAAGUUUUUCAUCACCACUAGAGUUCUUACAGUAUUAGGAAUCUUUUCUAGUAUCUCCUAAUCAAAAUUGGAAAUAUUGUCUAAAUUUGUUACUAAUAAGUAAUAGAAAUACAACAUUCAUCAGAUAUAAUUAAAAAUAAAAUUUCUUACUAAUAAUAAUUGACUUAUGUCAACUUCCAUCCUAGCAUUAAAUGCAUACCUAUGUGAGUAUUACUCCGUCAUUCUCAUCGGAUCCUAAACAUGUAAAUGAAAUUAUACAAUGUAUAUAUACGACACAUUUACCUACACAUAGAGUGAGCAAUGCCAACCUGUAAAGUUUUACCCUUUCGCUAAAAGAGAUAAUUUUUUUCCUUAAACAGAUGUAUCGUUCAUCAAAAUAAACUACAAGAUCUAACUUUAUGAUCCUUUUUGUCUCAUAAAUUGUCCUAGAUAUAUUAUGUCUAGGAUAAGCUAUAAAAGUAACAUAUUUUAAUUUCAUUAUUAAUGUUUUGGAUGAUUAAUUAUGCGAAUUAGUGAAUUUAAUGCUUAUAAUCCUUUCAAUUCAUGAUUCUAUACUUAGGAGAGCAUUUGGGAUGAAAGGAGAGAAAAACAAGCCAAAAUCAGACAAAUAGAGCUAUUUUCAGGAUCCAUACGGCCUGGGCAUUUUCGCACGGACUAGCCACACGCCCAUGUGCCAGCCCGUGUCGAUUUCGUACCUUACUUCCCAAAUACAUGGAAAAACUAAAUUUUUAGGCUUUCUGAGCAGUCUAAAGUCUAUAAAUAACCUAGGGGGUAAUCAGAGAAGAUUAAAAAAAACACUCAAAAAAUGCCAUUAGAAUCAACUCAAAAGCGGAUCUCCAUCAAGAUCGAAUAUCUCCUAUUAAUUUCUUUCGAAGUUUUAUUGAUUUUGUUAAUGUCUUGUGGUUAUCCUAACUUUGAGAUGUUUCUAUUCAGGAUUAUGAAUUAAAUUCCCUAGAUACCUAGGGAGGAUGAAACCUAUGAUGAAUCUUAUUAUUUGAUUUCUGAUUUACGCGAUAAAUACUUGAUUCUUGUUCUAAAUUAUGUAUGUUUAUUUCUUGUUUUAAUAUUAUUGGGAUAUUAAUUCAUGUUUAAUGUGCUUAUUUCAAUGGAGCAAAAGGCCCUAUUUAUGAGUAAAUCUACUAUAAUUGAGUGGAGUUGCAUGCAAUCCUAGAAAUAAGACAACAUAAAUCUACCGGAUUAGAGUCAAAUCUAAUAAGAGAAUCCAUAGAUCGAGUUAAUGAGAUGAUAGAGGUUUUAUUUAGAAAGAGAUUUCAAUUAAUCAACUUAAAGUCAGUUGUUCUUACUAUCGAAAGAGAUAUUAACUUAAUUUAGGGAUUUCUACGGAUCAAAACACAAGUGAAUAAAUCGUUUAAUUCAAAUUCAUAAUAAUAGGUAAAGACCAGGUGGAUUCUUUCCUGGGUAUUGUCUAUCUCAUUGGUUAUCUUCAAUUAUUUUCCUAUUUCACUCUCUGUUGCGUUAUUAGUUAAGCUAGUUUAGUAAUUUUAGAUUAAAACACAAUCACUCCAAUUUGCAGGCUAAAUAAUAAGAAGACGGUAAUUACUAGUACUUUUAGUACUCGUGGAUACGACAUUCCCUACUCACCGUAGCUAUACUAUUGUUCGAUAGGUGUGCUUGCAUUUGUCGUAUUUAUAGUUAGUUUAGUGACUAUCAAGUUUUUGGCGCCAUUGUCGGGGACUAAAAUAUUAGGAACACUCAAUUUUUAUUAAUUAUCCAUUUUUUAUUGCAUUUUAUUUUUUAUUUUUAGUUUCAUUUUUACAUUCUAAUUUUUUUUAAUUUGCUUUUGGCAAGUUCUUGUAAUUUAUGACAAAAAGAAACCUAUUGGGACCAUUAUUAUUUGACAGUGAAAUUGAAAGUACAACUUGCAGAAAUUGUAGAGAAGCAAAGCAAUGUCGACGGAAUAUAGUAGACGAGCAAGAGGGCAUUAUUAUUACUAAGGAGAUGGUGAUAAUCAGACUAAUCAGCUACCUCCUGCAAUUGCUACAAAUCUUGCAAAUCCAAAUCAUGUUCCUCAUACUAUGUACGAUUAUGCCAAGCCCACUCUAACUGGGGCUGAAUUGAGUAUUGUGUGACCCACUAUUGCUGCAAAUAGUUUCAAACUGAAUCUGAACACAAUUCAGAUGAUACAACAGUUUGUUCAGUUCGAUGGUUUACAGGACGAAUAUCCAAAUACUCAUUUGGCUAAUUUUCUGGAAAUCUAUGAUACUUUCAAGAUUAAUGGCAUUUUUGACGACGUCAUUCACCUCUAGCUAUUCCCUUUCUCGUUGAGGUUCUAUCACUACAUGGGAUCAAAUGACUGAGAAAUUCCUACUAAUGUACUUCCCACCAGCUAAGACAGCCAAGUUGAGGAAUGAUAUCUCUUCCUUCGUUCAGAUUGACUUAGAGACUUUAUAUGAUGCAUGGGAGAGAUAUAAGGAUUUAUUAAGAAGGUGACCUCACCAUGGGUUACCUUUAUGGUGUCAGGUUCAAACCUUCUACAACGGUUUGAAUCCCUCAACUAGGCAGUUGAUUGAUAUAGUAUCCAUAGAAAUUUGAAUAAUAAAAUACUCAAAGUGGCUUAUGGAUUUAUUGAGGAGAUGUCACUGAAUAAUUAUUAGUGGCAAGUAAUGAGAACGAAGCCGAUGAAAGCAGCCGGUGUUUUCAACUUAGAUGCAUUCACCAUGCUAUUAAAUCAGGUAGAAUAAUUAAAUAAGAAAAUGGAUAGUUUAUAUGUUUCUACGCAGGUACAUCUGGUGAUGCAAUAUGAUAUAAAUUAAGGUGGAAUGAACAAUCUAAAAUGCUUACCCUUCGCUCCUAGCACAGAGAAUAACCCCCUCCAGGUAAUAAUUCUAGGCCUCAAAAUAACCCUUAUAGUAACCAUUAUAAUGCAGGUUGGAGGAAUCAUCCCAAUUUCUCUUGGGGUGGUCAAGGAAAUCAACGAGCAUAACCCCCUCCAGGCUUCCAACAACAAUCUUACCAGCAAGAGAAGAAGACAAAUCUCGAGGAGAUGUUGACAAAGUUUAUCUCGGUGUCAAAAAUUAGCUUUCAAAACACUAAAGUAGCACUUAAAAAUCAAUAAGCAUCGAUUUAAGGGCUUGAGAACCAAAUCGGUCAACUUGCUAAACUAAUCUCAAAAAGACUAAAAGGUAGUUUGCCUAAUAAUACUAAAACUAACCUAAGGGAACACCUUCAUACAAUUACUGUGUGAGAUAAAGAAGGGUUAGUUGAAUCUAAACCAGAACUAAGGCAAGAAAUUGUGGUAAAUAAUGAUGAGGUUGAGGUAAGCCAAAAAGAGCAAAAGCCGGUUGUUAAGUAAUAUAAACUUUAAGUGCCAUACCCUAAUGCGACGAAGAGAAACCAUAUGAAUGAACAAUUCGGUAAAUUUCUUAAACUUAUAAAAAAUUACAUAUUAACUUACUAUUUUUUGAAGCUCUUUCACAGAUGCCCAAUUACGUAAAAUUUUUAAAGGAGCUUUUGGCAAACAAAAGAAAGUUAGAUGAUUUUUUGACUAUUGAGCUAAAUGCAAUUUGCUGGCAUAUAUUACAAAAUAAUCUACCUAACAAAUUAAAAGAUUCAGGGAGUUUUACUAUUCCCUGCUUAAUUGGUAGUUUGAAUAUUGAUAAUGCUUUCGCUGAUUUAGGGGCUAGUAUUAAUGUCAUGCCUUAUAAAAUGUUUAAGCAAUUAGGUCUUGGGAAACCCAAACAAAAUAGGAUGAGUAUUCAAUUACCAAAUAGAACCAUUAGAUAUUCUAGGGUUGUUAUUGAAGAUGUGCUUGUUAAAAUUGAUAAAUUUAUAUUUCCCAUUGACUUUGUUAUAUUAGACAUAGAUGAGGGUAGUAAGGUACCUCUAAUUUUAGGGCGACCCUUUUUAGCAAUUGCUAGAACUAUAAUUGACGUUGGUACUAGUGAGUUAGUAAUUCGUGUAGGUGACGAAUCGAUUAUUCUUCAAGCUCGUGAUUCUGUUAGAGCAUCUAGUGAUCGAGAUGAUUUUAAAUAUUCUAUUAAUGUUAGAGACCAUGUGGCUCAAACCCUAGAAAAAACAUAACGGAUCCAUGUUCCAGUCAAUACGACAGAAACAGAAUGAUUUAUAAUGAACAAAUGUUACAAAUUGAUGAACUAGAUGAAUAGCAGAUGUAUGUCAAGAAGAAACCAAGAAAGCAGGAUGAAGAGCCAAAGCGGCGCCACGAUGAACACAUGAGCAACCAAUUUAAAGUUGGUAACAAGGUAUUGCUAGACAAAAUGGACCCACAAAUUGCCCCUUUGAAGCUUGAUGGAAAUGGAUUAAACCCAUUUACGGUACAGAAUGUCUUCCCAUAAGGUACAGUCGAGGUAACUCAUUCUGAAUUUGGCACAUUUAAGGUAAAUAGUACUCAACUUAAACCUUAUUUUGAUAAUAGAAUUGAAAAUACGAGCCAAUACUUCGAGAACUCGCGAUUAUAUAAAGAAGUGACAAAGCGACACCAUGAUGCUCGUUUGAAGCAGCCCAAACAAUUCACAGCUAGAGAUCGUCCUUUUAUAUAAUUAUGCUAAUGGAGAUGAUCAAAUUUGUGGGCUUCAUCGGCCUGUAGUCUAUUAAUGAGCAUUUUCUCAAACUCUUCUUUUUUAUAUUUUAUGCAUACCAUGUGUUUAUUAAAAUGCUUAUGUGGGAUUUAAGUUUGAUCAUAUGUUGAAUCAUCUUAUUGGUUGAUUGACGAGUGAGUUACUUAACUAAGUUAUUAUCUAUGAUUUGAUAUUUAUUUGUUCAAUUGUAUUGGAUCAUAUAUUCACUAGAAUUGACGUCUCUAGUGGAAGAUUUAGAUAGAUGAGAUCGAAAGGAUACUUUAUCAUGUAGGACUUAAUAUAUUUGUAUCGAAUAGUGAGAUCGAGAGGAGAUUUAUAUGCCUAAGGGAGGUCGGAAGGAGAGCUUAGGUGGUAUCGUUUAGUUUAGGGUGAGACUAGAAGAAUAUUUCUAACUAAGACUGACAAAUGAUAUAAUAAGCAUAGGUUUCUUAUCUUAGUUAGUAAUUAAUGAAUCAUUUGAUCAUCAUUUUAAUCCAUUUUCAUUGUUUCUAGUAAAGAGGAAGAAAGUUUGUUAGAAAUUUUCAAUUGUUAGUCUAGAAUAUAGCUUUAAUAUAUUUUCAUAUUUUUUCUGUGCUACUAAUUUUGGGCUCAACUAGAUUAGUAGUUGAUUAGCUUGUAAUUAACUAAACAAACACGUUAACCAAUUGACAAUCCCUUGGGUUCAAUCAUUGAAAUACUCUAUGUGUUCCAUUGGAACACUUAGAAAUAUUACAAUUGACUUUUCACAUUUGCAGUAAGAGCCACUUUUUAAGUAAAUCGUGGCAUCCAAUCACAUGCACCUUUGAUAAGUACAUUCAUGCAUCUGGAUUUCUUAAAUUUAUCCAUUCUAAACAUAUCGAUUAAAUUCACACAUUGGUGACAUGGCAUUAUUCAACACAUCCAAGUUGAAGAAUAUCAUGUCAUUCGACCAAAAGUAUUAGAAGAAAAAAUUUACGUGCAUGUGCAUAUACACAUGCUUGCAUGCAUGCAUACGUUGAUGGUAUUAUAUGCAAGUACGGUGAAAAUAAAUUCAUAUAAAAUCCCACGAUCACUAAAAGUCAAAACCAAAUGUCAACAUGUUGUAUACUAAGGGGAAAUAUUCAUAUUAAACCAGAGACUUUAAUACAAAGUAUUAACGAACACGCCAUCCAAUAAAAAUUAAAAUAUGUCUGAUAGAAAUCUGUAUUGUAACUGGCGUAACUACUUAUUGAUGGACCAAAAAACAAGAAAAGUGUCUAUUUAGAUUUUUCGGUACUCAACUUUGCUACUAGAUCAUAAAUAAAUAUGAUAUCAUUGUCUUCCCCACUUUAUUCAUAUUGAUAGUACAAAAAUAGAAAUAAAAAAAAUGAUAUGAUGUGACAAAUUUAAUAAAUAAACCCCAAAAGAGGAAACCAUUAAAUCCCAUAUGCCUUACCAUAAAAGUUUCCACAAAAUAUUCCCACAAGUUUCUUGGUUAUACUAAAGUAAGAUUCGAAUCAUUUUAUGAUCUGAACAUCAAUGAUUAUCACAUGUUUGGUACAUUUUAUUCGAAAAAGGAAAAGAAACAAUCAUGCAUGAUAAUUAGUACUUCAAGGAGUUCAGGUUAUGUUGAACUCAUAUUCCACAUUGGUGGGAAGGUUAACAACAAAAUAAUAGAAUAACAACUGAAUUUGUUCACACGUGGAGAGGUAUAGACCCUAGAAACUAAAACCAUAAGAAACAUGUGAGUCACCUUGAAGAGAUACUAAUACCUUUAGAAAGGAUAUGGCUACUAGCACAAUCUCCAUUUCCAAAUUCAUUUGGAAAAAGGAAAAAGAAGAGGAACUAAUUAGUUUCCAAUCUAAUUUUAAGCUUUUUUUUCUCUUCAUUUUCUUGCCUAUUCAUUUUCAUUUUCACAAGACUCUCUCUAACGACAAUGAAAAGAAUAAUUUGGCUCAAUCAUUUUUCAUAAAGUAUCUUGUCCAUCCAUUAUAAAGGGAUUCCUACAUUUCUUAUUUCCUUUUUCUGCACCUCUUUAUUUUUAGUGUCACAACCUAAACAUAUCUCAGUUGCAUUAACGCAAUUGAUAUUUGGUAUAUCUCAUUUUAAAUAUGAUCAAAUAAUGUUUUCCUAGUUCAAGUAAUAAAUUGGUUUACCUCCUUACUUGAUCAAUAGGAAACUUUAUUACAAAUAAACAAGAUAGAUAAUACUUGGGGACCCUAAUUAGGAUAAAAAGAAUAUAUACCUAUUGGUGAGAAUAAUUUUCCUAGAAAGCAACCCCGCAUACUAUAAAUUAACCCCUUUUUAUGGUCUUCAAUGAAGUUCCAUAACUAAAAUGUCCCUUUCAUUAAAUCAUGCAGCAAUUAAUGACGCGCGUUUUAAAAAAUUGUGUGUAUAACUAUUUAUCAAUACGCUAUUCUAGUGUCAAUAAAGCAUAUGAUAUUUGAUAUAAUUAUUGACUUAUAUCCACCUAUAUUAUAGCAUUAAAUGCAUGUCUUAGUGUCAGUAUUUUUUGGAUCAAAGUCGUUAUGUCAGCACUGAUUACUCAGCCACUCUCAUCAAUGAUUCUGCAUACAUAAAGAGGUUUACAAUAUACAUGCACGACACCUAUAUCUACAUGAACUAAUUACAGUUAGACUGAAGCAGUUUCAAUUUAUAAAGAUUUAUCCUUACCAGAACAAAUAAAUUUUUCCUUAAAUAGAUGUAUUAUUUAUUAAAAAAAAACUACAACUUCCAUAUGCAUGACCUCUUUUGUAUCAUAACCAUCCAAUAUGUAAUAUAUCUAAUAUUCAACUUUAAAUUCAUUGAAAGCAUUAAUUUUUUCAUCACCACUAGAGUUCCUACAGUAUUAGGAAUCUUUUCUAGUAUCUCCUAAUCAAAAUUGGAAAUAUUGUCUAAAUUUGUUACUAAUAAGUAAUAGAAAUACAACAUUCAUCAGAUAUAAUUAAAAAUAAAUUUUCUAACUAAUAAUAAUUGACUUAUGUCAACUUCCAUCCUAGCAUUAAUUGCAUACCUAUGUGAGUAUUACUCCGUCAUUCUCAUCGGAUCCUAAACAUGUAAAUGAAAUUAUACAAUGUAUAUAUACGACACAUUUACCUACACAUAGAGUGAGCAAUGCCAACCUAUAAAGUUUUACCCUUUUGCCAAAAGAGAUAAUUUUUUUCCUUAAACAGAUGUAUCGUUCAUCAAAAUAAACUACAAGAUCUACCUUCAUGAUCCUUUUUGUCUCAUAAAUUGUCCUAGAUAUAUUAUGCCUAUGGUAAGCUAUAAAAGUAACAUAUUUUAAUUUCAUUAUUAAUGUUUUGGAUGAUUAAUUAUGCAAAUUAGUGAAUUUAAUGCUCAUAAUCCUUUAAAUUCAUGUUUCUAUACUUAGGAGAGAAUUUGGGAUGAAAGGAGAGAAAAACGAGCCAAAAUCAGACAAAUAGAGCUAUUUCAGGAUCCCUACGGCUUGGGCAUUGUUGUACGGGCUAGUCACACACCCAUGUGCCAGCCUGUGUCAAUUUCGUACCUUACUUCCCAAAUACACGGAAAAACCCAAUUUUUAGGCUUUCUGAGCAGUCUAAAGUCUAUAAAUACCAAUUAUAAGAAGACCUAGGGGGUAAUCAGAGAAGAUCAAAGAAAGCACUAAAAAAAUGCCAUCAGAAUCAACUCAAAAGUGGAUCUCCAUCAAGAUCAAAUAUCUCCUUUUAAUUUCUUUCGAAGUUUUAUUGAUUUUGUUAAUGUCUUGUGGUUAUCCUAACUUUGAGAUGUUUCUAUUCAGGAUUAUGAAUUAAAUUCCCUAGAUACCUAGGAAAGAUGAAACCUAUGAUGAAUCUUAUUAUUUGAUUUCUGAUUUACGCGAUAAAUACUUGAUUCUUGUUCUAAAUUAUGUAUGCUUAUUUCUUGUUUUCAUAUUUCCGGGAUAUUAAUUAAUUUUUAAUGUGAUUAUUUCAAUGGAGCAAAAGGCCCUGUUUAAGAGUAAAUCUAGUAUAAUUGAGUUGAGUUGCAUGCAAUCCUAGAAAUAGGACAACAUAAAUCUACCGGAUUAGAGGCAAAUCUGAUAGUAGAAUCCAUAGAUCGAGUUAAUGAGACGAUAGGGGUUUUAAUGAGAAAGAGAUUUCAAUUAAUCAACCUAAAGUCAGUUGUUCUUACUAUUGAAAGAGAUAUUAACAUAAUUUAGGGAUUUCUACGGAUCAAGACCUAAGUGAAUAAAUCGUUUAAUUCAAAUUCAUAAUACUAGGUAAAGAGUAGGUGGAUUCUUUCUUGGGCAUUGUCUAUCUCAUUGGUUAUCUUCGAUUAUUUUCCUAUUUCACUCUCUGUUGCGUUCUUAGUUAAGCUAGUUUAGUAAUUUUAGAUUAAAACACAAUCACUCUAAUUUACUGGUGAUAAACCAUAAUUUAUACAUAUUUUUAUCCUAUGCUUAGCAUAUUUUUUGGAUGAUUUAUCUUUAGAUUUGGUGGAUUCGAUGCUCCUAAUCCUUUAAUUUCAUAUUUUAUACUUAGGUGAGUAUAGGAGAGUAAAAAUAGCGAGAAACGGGUCGAAAACAGAGAAAAUGAACUAAAAUGUGAAAUCAACACGGCCCGGAAUUUCGUACACAGGAAGACCACAUGCCUGUAUCCAUUCAAUAGACUCGAUCAUGAUUUGAGGUAAUCAAACACGGGUGUGUCCUUGUUGGGCUCAAGUUUAGUUCUAUUCGGAAAAGGCCACUCUUGAGGGCUUUUAGGCAUUCUAAAGCUUAUUUAAACACCUGAGGAGGCACUUAGAAGGCACACACGGAGUAGGAGGCAAGGAAUUACUCAAGGGAAGCUGAUUGAUCCAUCUCAGAAGACGGGUUCAUUGUCAAGACUGAAGAUCUCCCUUCAAUUUCCUUCAGGAGUUUUGGAUUUUCUUUAUGUUUUGUUAUCUUUAUUCUUUUGGGAUGUUUUCUUUUAUAAAUAUGAACUAAAUCCUCUGAAUACCUAAGGGGAAUGAAAUCUAAGACGGAUCUUGUUAUUAUUAUUUGAAUUGGAUGAUAAAUAUUCGACUUGUUCUUAAUUAUGAAUUUUUCUUGUUUUAAUAUUCCAGGAUAUUGAUUCAAGUUCUGAUGUGCUUAUUCAGAGGAGCAAAAGUCCCUGUCUAAGAGUAGAUCUAACAUAAUUAAACAGAGUUGAUUGCAUGCCUAGAGAUAGAGUGACAAGAUUUUGUCGGAUUAGGGUGAAACCUAAUAAGAGAAUCCAUAGAUUGAGUUAAUGCAACAGUAGGGAGUUAAUUAGAAAGAGAUUUCAAUUAAUCAACCUAGGGUUAGAUGUUGUUAGUCUCGAGAGAGAUAAUAACAUAAAUUAGGGAUUUCUACGGAUCAAGUCAAAUGAAUAAAUCGUCUGAUCUAGAGUCAAAUAACAAGUGAAGUCUAGGUGGAAUUUUCCUUGGGUAUUGUCUUAAUCAAUCAGUUUUCUCAAAAGUUUUUCUCAAUUUUCUUUCUGUGCAUUCUUAGUUUAGUAAUUAGUUUAGAUAAACAAAACCCUUAAUUUUCUAGGCUAGAUAAUAAAAGGAAAGUUAAUACUAGUACUUUUAGUUUCUUUGGGAUUCUACAAUCCGGUCUUGCUAAAGAUAUACUACUGUUCGAUAGGUGCGUUUGCCUUCAUCGUGAUAGUUAGUUUUCAAGAGCGAUCCAUUAUAAAUUAUAAAACUUAUUGAACGUAUCAUAUGUCACAUCAUAUCACGAUCAAAUUUUUGGCGCUGUUGCCGGGGAACUAAGAUAUUAGGAACACUCGAUUUUUAUUACUUUAGCCAUUUUACUUUUAUUGCAAUUUAAAUUUUUAUUUCUAAUUUUUCGUUUAUUCACUUCUGGUAGGUUUUUAUAGUGCAUGACUAGAAGAAACCUGUCAGGACCAUUACUCUUUGAUAGUGAGAUCGAUCGUACAACUCGUAGAAACCGAAGAGAAAUAAGGCGGAGCUUAAGAUACACAGAGGAAGAGCAAGGGGACGAUAUUUCCACCACAACCGAGGAGAUGGCUAAAAAUCAGGAAAACCCGCUACCUCCUGCGAUAGCUGCUGACCCAGUAAAUCAGAAUCCUACUCCACGCACUAUGUAUGAUUAUGCUAAACCUAUUUUAACAGGAACUGAGUCAAGUAUAGUUAGGCCUACUGUUGCUGCAAAUAGUUUUGAACAGAAACUUAACACAAUUCAAAUGAUCCAACAGUUUGUUCAGUUUGAUGGUUUGUAGGACGAGGACCCAAACGCUCAUUUGGCGAAUUUCUUAGAGUUUUGUGACACUUUUAAAAUCAAUGGCAUUUCUAAUGAUGUCAUUCGCCUUCAGUUGUUUCCCUUUUUGUUGAGGAACAAAGCUAAACAAUGGUUGAACUCGUUACCACGAAGGUCAAUCACUACUUGGGAACAAAUGACCGAAAAAUUUUUACUUAAAUAUUUUUCGCCAGCUAAAAUGGCUAAGUUAAGGAAUGACAUCUCUUCUUUUGUGCAGAUGGAUCUAGAGACACUCUAUGAUGCAUGGAAGAGAUACAAGGACCAAUUGAGAAGGUGCCCUCACCAUGGGUUACCUUUAUGGUUGCAGGUUGAAACGUUUUACAACGGCAUGAACGCUUUAACAAGGCAUCGACACAGCUGCUGGUGGGACUAUCAAUAACAAAACACCUGAAGUGGCUUACAAAUUUAUUGAAGAGAUGUCACUAAAUAACUAUCAGUGGCAAGUCAUGAGAACAAAGCCGAUGAAGGUAGCCGGUGUUUUCAACCUCGAUGCGGUUACUAUGCUAUCUAACCAGGCAGAACUCUUAAAUAAAAAGAUUGGCGGUUUGUGUGGUUCUACUCAGGUACAUCCAGUGAUGAGGUGCAAUUCAAAUGGAGGAGGAGCAUACACAGAAUAUCAACCCGUCAACCCUAACAUUGAGGAGGAACAAGUUCAAUAUAUGGGUAAUAAUAAUUCUAGAUCUCAAAAUAACCCAUAUAGUAACACAUAUAAUACAGGUUGGAGGAACCAUCCUAACUUCUCGUGGGGUAGUAAGGGGAAUCAAAGGCCACAACAUUCUCUGGGUUUUCAACAACCACCUUACCAACAGGAAAAGAAGCCGAGCCUUGAGGAGAUGCUAACAAAGUUUAUCUCGGUGUUAGAAACUAGCUUUCAGAAUACCAAAACAACACUUAAGAAUCAACAAGCGUCGAUCCAAAGGCUCAAAACUCAGAUAGGCUAACUCGCCAAAUUAAUUUUUGAAUGACCAUAAGGUAGCUUGCCAAGUAACACUGAAUCUAACCCAAGGGAACAACUCAAUGCAAUUACCAUUCAAAACGAGUAAGGGCUAAUCGAACCAAAACCAAAACCGAGGCAAGGAAUUGUGGUGAGUAAAAGCAAAGGUGAGGUAGACCACAGUGAGUAAACAUCGGUAAAUAAAGAGUAUAAACCUCGUGUUCCACCCAAUGCGACAAGGAAAGACUGCAAAGACGAAUAAUUCGGUAAAUUCUUUAAAUUAUUAAAAAAAUUACAGAUCAACUUACCAUUUAUUGAAGCUCUUUCGUAGAUGCCAAACGCAGCCAAAUUCUUAAAGGAGCUUUUAACAAAUAAGCGGAAGUUGGAUGAGGCGUCGCAUGUGGAGUUAAAUGCAGUUUGCUCAACCAUACUACAGAAUAAGCUGGCUAACAAAUUAAAAGAUCUAGGGAGUUUUACGAUUUCUUGUGUAGUUGGUAGCUUAGAUGUUAAUAAUGCUUUGGCUGAUUUAGGGGCUAGUAUCAAUUUCAUGCCUUAUAAAAUGUUUAAACAACUAGGUCUUAGGAAACCCAAACAAACUAGGAUGAGCAUUCAGUUAGCAGACAAAAUAAUCAGAUUUCCUAGGGGUAUUAUUAAAGAUGUACUCUUUAAAAUGGACAAAUUCAUAGUCCCAGUUGAUUUUAUUGUUCUAGAUAUAGAGAAGGAUAGUGGCGUGCCUCUAAUUUUAGGAAGGCCCUUUUUAGCAUCUGCUAGAACUAUAAUUGAUGCUGGUACAGGUGAACUCACACUUUGUGUGGGUGAUGAAACAAUCACUCUUCAAGCUCGUAAUUCAAGUAACACAUCAAAUAUCAAGGGUGAUUGUAUAAAUCGUGCUACUAAUACUGAUCAUGUGGUGAAACCUUCUUUUCAGGAAACACAUUCAAAGAACAUACUUGAGCCAUGUUCGAGUAACAAAAAAGGACCCAUCUAUAAAGAACGAAGGCUACAGGUCGAUGAACUAGAUGAAUGGCAGACAUAGAAACUGAGAGCACACGAUAGACCAAAACCACGCCAUGACGAGCUCAAUAUUUCACCAAAUCAAUUUAAGGUUGGAGACAAAGUACUAUUAGAUGCAGCAGACCCUUGGAUUGCCACCUCUGAACCUAAUAAAGAAAUCCCUCUUACGGUACUUAGCAUUUUUCGAUACAGCACAGUCGAGGUAAUUCAUCCCAAAUUUGGUAUGUUUAAGGUAAAUAGUACUUGUCUAAAACCUUAUUUUGAUAAAAUUAAUAGCAGGGAUGAGGAGUGUAAACUCCCCGCACCACCAUGACCAUGCAACAGAGAGAUAAGUCGAGCUUAGACUAUAAAUAAGCGCUUCUCGGGAGGCAACCCAAGUACUAACAGUGUUAACUUCCUUAAAUUUUAGUUUUUAACAUUUAAUUCACUAACUAAGACAUUGAAAACAGGUUUUCCAGAACCAUACAGCCAGGCACACGGUCAUGCCUUAGGCCGUACCCACACCACGGAAGGUAACACGGCCGUUCGAUACUGCCGUGUAAAAAUAGGGAAAAAUUUUUCCCAACAAAGGAGUCGAUAAGUUGGCACGACUGUUCGACAUGAUCGUGGGUAAAUCUGUAAAAAAAAAACGGGCGUGCGACAUGCCCGUGUCUAGAGGCCAUGGUUGAAACUGAGAAAACAACACGGGCGUGCGACACACUCGUGCCCAUUACCCAUGGUCAAGAUUGACAAAAUAACACGGGCGUGGACAUCCAUACACGGGCGUGGGAGAAGCGAAAGAAGCAAAACACGACCGUGCGACACGGUCGUGUGCAUCAACACGCCUAAAGAACAAGGGCGUGGGCCAAAUUUUAGACGCGCCUAAAUUUGAAAAUCAGGAUUCACACGGGCUAAAAUUAGGGCACAGGGGCAUGUCCCACGGCAGUGUGCCCCAAUUUCUAUAUAAACCCCUUACUAUUCAUCAUCCCCUUCUCCAAAAACCCUACUUAACCGUCACAAUCCCUUCACACCCCCUCACUCCCACUCCGUGGCUGGCCGAUAGCUCUCCUCAGAUGACUAACUCCUCCUUCCAGCAAGGACUAUUGUAUUUGUGUAAUCUUUCCUCCCUAUUACCUUCCUUUCUUUCACUAAUUUUAUGCUAUUUCUUUAUUUAUUUGGCUGAUUUUUUGAUUAAUAUUCAUAGUUCUCACUAUAGUCAUGCUUAUGCUUGUCAUUCUUUGCCAUUUUAGUCAAUACAUUGUGAUACAUUCAUUCUUUCUUGUGUUUCCAUAGAUUUCAUGCCACAUUCCAUAUUCCCAUAUGCAUUCACUAGGUAUUUAGUUGACACUAUUCUAGUAUUCCUAAUGAUAAUAAUGCUUUGAUAUAUCUAUUAGGACUUGGUUGUUUUUCCCUUUAGUCAGAAAACUCCCAUGAAAUAUUGGUAUUUAGUUUUAACAUACUUGCAUGUUUUCCCAUUCGUGCGGAUUAUUCUUAUAACUCCAUGUUUUCAUCGCAGAUACUAUGUCAAAUCCACGCGCAAGAAAACUGCUGUACCUGCCUCGAAGAAGAGGAAAUGAGCAUCGUCUUCCUCGGGUCCUGUAACGACCCGAAUUUUAAAGUAAUCAGAAAAGUGAGUUUUCGGGUCUUUGAUAUUAAAAAUUUGAUUUGUAAAUAUUUAUUAGUAAUAUUUACGAAGUUAAAUGAGAGGUUAAUUAGAUUUUAAUUUAGUAAAUUUAGCUUAAUUAAGGUUAAUUUAGUAUAUGGACUAAAUUGAAUAAAGUGUGAAAGUUUAAUUAUAAACUAUAGAAUAGUCAAGGGAUUAAGUUAGUAAAUAAGCCUUAUGUGACAAGUGUGUGGUAUGUAUAAGUGCAUUUGCGUUAUUGUGAUUGGUACAAAUGUAUGUAUAAAUAUGUAUUUACUUAUUAAAUAAGAAAUAAUAUUUAUAAUUUAAAACAUAAUAAUAAUGAUAUAUUAUAAUAAUAAAAGAAUAAAGAAAUAAAAUAAAGAAAAAUGAAAGAAAGAAGGACGGAACAGAACAGGGAAAGAAAGAAAGAAAAAAGGGAAAGAAAAAGAAAGGAAAAAUAGGGUUUUAAGGUUCAAGCUUUAAGUGGUAAGUCAAUUUAAUCCUUUUUCUUGUAAUUUUGGUGUCUAUGGAAUCUUAGGAAGAAAUAAUACUUGAGUUAUGUUGAAAUUUAGAAAGUUAAUGAAUUUUUAGAUAUUGAUUAAGUUGUAUGAAUUGAUGAAUUAUUGGUUUAAUUGAUAAAAAUUCAAGUUAAAAGUGAAAAGGAUUGAUUUGUUAAGAGAGAUAUAAGUUUUGUUAUAGUAGGGACUAAAUUGUUUAAAUUGUAGAGUUGAUGUUUUAUAUUGAAGAUUAAGAGUUGAAACUUGUUAAAAGUAGGUAUAAAAUGAAAUUUGUAAGGUUAUUUGAAGAAAAAGAAUGGUUAUGGUGGUAGGACCUAAUUGGAAAUAUAGUAAAAGUUACAUGGAAAUUAAAGAGUAUGUUAUUAAAUAACAUAUAUUGAAAAUUUUAAAUGUUAAAUUUUAUGUAGCCAACGUAGCACUAGAAACGUCAUCGAAAAAUGGAAAGAAGAAAGUGAACGAGGAUAUCGAAUAAACCUGAGAAUUUCGGUUUGUAUUUCUAUAAACUAUGCUUAGUAAUUUAAUACAAUGUAAUUGUUUUUUUAAUAGUUAGAAUGUAUGAUGAAUGGUAUGGUGGAAACUGUUACUACUUCUGUAUUGAAAUGAAACGAUUUGAAUACCCUAUUAACAGUGUCGGGCUAGUCGGAUACAAUUGGCAUGCCAUAGGAUUGGAAGUGUUCAGGGAUAUUCCGACUGUGUGUUGAUGAGACACUAUAUUUCUCGACUACUGUGACUGUUCUGGAUUCGUUCCGAAGAGGUACUUCGUACCUGGCUAUGACUGUUACUAUUACUGUUACUGUUACCCUACGGUGUAUUCCGGUUUUGACUGAUGAAACACUGUAUAUUAUCCCCGUUGUGUGGGUUGGAUCCGCAUAUUUGUUUAGGUCCGAGUUAUGUUAAUAGGGGUAAAUGAAAGUGCUGAAGACAAAUAUUGACUGCUAUUGAUUAUGUGACUGUGACUGUUAUAUGAUUAUUAAAAGGUAUCGAACGAUAUGAAAUAUAUAUAAAGAAUUGCUUAAUUACAUUUAAGAGCUAUAAGAUGAAGACAAGAGAUUAAGCUAUUAAGAUUAUGAAACUAAAUGUCUCGAGUUACAAUAUAUAUGUACGGCUUAUUAUUGUUAUAAGUAUUAGUUUAUAGAAAUACCACUGAGUGUAUACUCAACAUACGGUAUGUUUCCGUGCACAGGAUUAGGUACGAAAGAAAGCUAGGCUCAACAUCCAAGCCAAUCCCGGACUCAAAGUGGUGAAUACUUUUCUUUUGGUGAAAUGACAUGUAUCUAGGUUGUUAAGGUGUUAUUUUGUACAUGAUAGUGAAUAAACAUGAAAGUUGUUGAAGCAUGGUAUGAAAUAUGCAUAUUUUGGAAGUUAAACUUACAUGAGUUUGACUAAGUAUGAUAAUGUAAUAUAAUUUCGAUAUGAAUUGUAGUGCAUAAUCUUUAAGAGAUAUAGAAGUGAAUGAAUGAAUGUUUGCUAAGUUUGAAUGGCAUAAAGAAUGAUAAUUGAUUUAAGAACUGUUAAUAAAUGUUUGGGUGUAAAUUAGAUGUGUUUAGCAUGUGAAAAUAGCUUAAAAAUGGUCAAAAAUAAUGUUUUCACACGGCCAAGUCACACGGGCGUGUGCUCUGGCCGUGUGGCUCUCUGUUUAUGUCACACAGGCUAUUUGCACGUCUGUGUGAGCAAGUCAGAUCUACCCACAGGCUGGCCCCACGGCCAUGGAGCCCCACCGGCUGGCCACACGGCCAUGUCCUAGGCCACAUGGGCGUGUACCCCUAUCUUUAAGGUAAAAUUUCUAAAGUUGCCAGUUUAGUUUCAAAUCACUUUUAAAGCAUGUAUUGAGCCCCGUAGGCCCAUAUUAGGGACUUUAUGGUGAAAUUGGAAAGGUUUUGAAUUGGAAUGCAAAUUUAUGACUUGGUUUUGUAUAAAUGUUAGCGUAUAAGUCUAGUAAUGCCUCGUAACCCUAUUUCGAUGACGGUUUGGGAUUAGGGUGUGUUACAUUUAGUGGUAUCAGAGCUACUCAAGUUUAGUUGAUUUUAGGACUAAAUCGAGCUCAAAAUUAAGUCAAGAGGUACAUGCCAUUCUUAUGUUAACUGUGAGUCAGGAUUGGAUGCUGAUUUAUAUACUGAUAAACUAACUCUGUUUUAUAGUGAGUAAAAGAUGUCUAACGAAAGUAUUGAGGGUACCAAUCAGGAAAUAUACAGUAGAGAUGAAUCACGUGAUGUUAAUGAAUUUGAAUCUGCAACCCCAAGUGUAAACCCGGUAGGUAACCAACCACCGAAUACUAGAACGGAUAAUACAGAAAUAUUUAGAAUGAUUGCUGAAGCUCUUCAAAGAGCGGUAGGAAGUAUGCCUGCAACUAUUUUUACCCCUGCUACCCGACGAGCUCCUAUUAUGGAACUGCGAAAGUAUGGAGCUACAGAAUUUCUGGGAUUAAAGGGAACUGAUUCAAUAAUAGCUGAAAAUUGGUUAGAGACUACCAAGAGAAUUUUGAAGCAAUUAGAAUGCACGCCACAGGAAAGUUUGGCAUGUGUUGUUUCUCUGUUACAAGAAGAGGCUUACAUAUGGUGGGCACCAGUGAUUCAGAAUAUACAAGAAGAACAGGUAAAUUGGGAAUUCUUUCAACGAGAAUUUCAGAAGAAGUAUUUGGGAGAGACAUAUAUGGAAGACCGUAAACAAGAGUUUUUGAUGCUGAAAUAGAGGGAUAUGUCCGUAGUGGAUUAUGAACGAAAAUUUCUGAGACUGAGUAGAUAUGCAAUCGAAUUUGUACCUACUGAAGCUGAUAGACGUAAGAGAUUUCUAAAAGGACUGCGAGAUGAAUUCCAACUGCAAUUGAUGCCUUUAUGGGUUACAGAGUUUGCAGACUUAAUAGAAAGAGCUAAAAUGAUUGAACAAGUAUUGGGGGAAAGUAAAAAGUCUGAACUGUCCGUUUAGCUGGAAAAUGUCCUGGAACUACUAGUUCAAGUCUGUAAUUCAAACGAUCGAGGGAAUCUCGUGGUAAUGGAAGAUACAGUUCAAGAUUAGAAAGAGGAGACAGAAGUCGAAAGAGACAAACUACUGUAUCUACUAGCAGUAUCAAAAGCCCAGCCCAGAGCACUAAAAUUCCAAAAUGUGAAUAUUGUAGAAAAAGACAUAGGGAAGAAUUUAGAAAGUUAACUGGGGGGUUUUCGUUGUGGAUCCACUGAUCAUUUUGUAAAGGACUACCCGAAGUUUAAUAAAGCAGCACCAAUGGUUUCUCAUAGAUCGGAAGCUAUUUCCAGAGGCUGAGGUUCAUGCCGAAGUGGUUCGGUUGCUAGAGGUGGAAUUAGAAAAGCUAGUGAAAAUGCUACACAGCAAUCUAAAGUAAGAGCUUCGGCCCGAGCAUAUAUUGUAAGAACUCGAUACGAGGAGGAUGCUCAUGAUGUAGUGACAGGUAUAUUCUUAUUACAUUCAGAACCUGUUUAUGUUUUAAUAGAUUUAGGAUCGUCACAUUCCUAUGUUAAUACAAAACUAGUUGAGACGAGAAAUUUAAAACCUGAAUUGUCAAAAGCAACGACAAAAGUGUCUAGUCCAUUGGGGAAAACUAUGUUAGUGAAUCAGAUAUGUCAAAGAUGUCCAUUAAUGAUUUAGGAUAAUAUUUUUUCUGUUGAUCUGUUGAUUAUGCCAUUUGGCGAUUUUGAUAUUAUACUGGGCAUGGACUGGUUAUCAGAACAUGGAGUAAUUUUGGACUAUUAUAAAAAGAAAUCUACUAUUCAGAAUAAAAUUGGUGAUCAGAUUGAAGUAAAUGGUAUUUGGACCAGUAGGACUGUUCGUGUUAUUUCAGCAAUUAAAGCUAGUAAGCUUCUUUAUCAAGGAUGUGCUAUUUUCUUAGCAUAUGUUAUUAAUUAUGAUUUAGUUGAGAAUCAGUACAGUAAAAUUUGAACUGUAUGUGAAUUUCCUGAUAUGUUUCCUGAGGAGUUGCCUGGAUUACCUCCUGAUCGGGAAGUUGAAUUUGCGAUUGAAGUAUACUUGGGUACAGAUACAGUGUCAAUACCUCCAUAUCGAAUGUCACCUACUGAGUUCAACGAAUUGAAGAUACAAUUGCAAGACUUAUUGGAUCGGGGGUUUAUACGACCUAGUACAUCACCGUGGGGAGCUCUAGUGUUAUUCGUUAAGAAGAAAGAUGGUUCGAUGCGGUUGUGUAUUGAUUAUCGACAGUUGAAUAAGGUGACUAUCAAGAAUAUAUACCCGUGACCUCUCAUUGAUGAUUUAUUUGAUCAACUAAAAGGAGUUUCUAUAUUUUCAAAAAUUUAUUUGAGGUUGGGAUAUUAUCAGUUGAAGGUAAAGAAGAGUGAUGUACCGAGGAUGGCAUUCCGUACACGGUAUAGGCAUUAUGAAUUGUUGGUAAUGCCAUUUGGGUUAACAAAUUCCCCGGCUGCUUUUAUGGAUCUUAUGAAUCAGAUUUUUCAACCGUACUUGGAUCAAUUUGCAGUAGUUUUUAUUGAUGAUAUUUUAGUAUAUUCGAAGUUUGAAACUAAACAUGAGCAACAUCUUCGAAUUGUUUUGCAAAUAUUGUGAGGAAAACAAUUAUAUGGGAAAUUGAGUAAUUGUGAGUUUUGGUUAACGGAGGUUGUAUUCCUUGGUCAUGUAGUAUCAGCAGAGGGGAUAAGAAUAGAUCCAAAGAAGAUUGAAGCCAUACUUCAGUGGAAAGUUCCCAGAAAUGUGUUAGACGUACGUAGUUUUCUUGGGUUGGCCGGAUAUUAUCGAAGGUUUGUAAAUGGAUUUUCAAAAAUAGCUUUACUGAUGACAAAGUUAUUGCAAAAGAAUGUUCCAUUUGUUUGGAGUGAGCAGUGUCAGAAAAGUUUUGAAAUGUUGAAGCAAAUGUUGACAGAGGGACCAGUAUUAACUUUACCAGAGUUGGGAAAAGAUUUUUUCGUGUACAUUGAUGCUUCUUUAAAUGGUCUCGGGUGUGUACUGAUGCAAAACAGAAAGGUAAUUGCUUACGCUUCACAGAAAUUGAAACCGCAUGAACGCAAUUAUCCGACACAUGAUCUAGAAUUAGUAGCAGUGAUAUUUUCCUUGAAGAUUUGGAAACAUUACCUAUACAGAGAAAAGUGUUAUAUUUACACUGAUCAUAAAAGUCUCAAGUAUCUUCUGUCACAGAAAGAAUUAAAUUUGAGACAGCGUCGGUGGACAGAAAUUUUAAAAGAUUAUGAUUGUGUUAUUGACUAUCAUCCGGGUAAAGCUAAUGUGGUAGCUGAUGCGUUAAGUAGGAAGGCUACAACUGAGUUGAGAGCAAUGUUUGCAUAGCUUAGUAUUGUUGAUGAAGGAAGCAUUCUAGUUGAAUUGAGAGUAAAACCAAUAAUGUUUGAUCAAAUCAGAAUAGCACAGUUAGAAGACAAAAAGUUAAUGAAGAAAAGGGAGACAGUACAGAACGGUAUAGCAGAGAACUUUAGUAUUGAUGAAAAUGAUUGUCUGAGAUUUUAGAAUCGACUUUGUAUUCCAACUACUUCAGAGUUGAAAGAGUUAAUACUUCGAGAAGCACAUGACAGUUCUUUUGCAUUACAUCCCAGAGGAACGAAGUUGUACCGUGAUUUACGGGAACUGUAUUGGUGGCCAGGUAUGAAAAGAGAUAUAGUGGAAUAUGUGGCUAAAUUUUUAACAUGUCAGCGAGUUAAAGCUGAACAUCAAGUUCCGACUGGAUUACUUCAGCUUAUUAAUAUUCCUGAAUGAAAAUGGGACUGCAUCACGAUGAACUUUAUAACCGGGUUACCACUGUCAGCAAGUAAGAAAAAUGCUAUUUGGGUGAUUGUUGAUUAGCUUACAAAGUCAGCUCAUUUUAUAUCAGUCAGAACAGAUUGGUCACUUCAAAAGUUGGCAGAAACUUAUAUCCGGGAAAUUGUAAGACUACAUGGUAUUCCUGUAUCAAUAAUUUCUGCCCGGGAUCCAUGGUUUACAUUAAGGUUCUGGAAACAGUUGCAUGAGUCUUUCGGUACUCGACUUCAUUUUAGUACAGCUUUUCAUCCACAGACUGAUGGAUAGUCAGAACGAGUUAUUCAGAUUUUAAAAGACAUGUUCUGAGCUUGUAUCAUUGAUUUUUAAUCAAGUUGGGAACGUUAUUUACCGUUAGCUGAGUUUGUAUAUAACAAUAGUUAUCAAUUAAGUAUUCAAAUGGCACCGUAUGAAGAUUUGUAUGGUCGGAGAUGUCGAUAACCAGUGUGUUGGACGAAACUGAAUGAAAGAAAAGUGGUUGGUCCAGAGUUAAUUCAAGAAACAAAAAACACUAUUAGAAAGAUUCGAGAACGAUUGAAAGUAGUUUUCGAAAGGCAGAAAUCGUACGCAGAUUUUAAAUGACGGGACAUUGAGUACUCAGUUGGAGACAAAGUAUUUCUUAAAGUCUCUCAUUGGAAGAAAAAUUUGAGAUUCGGUCGGAAGGGUAAAUUGAGUCCACGAUAUAUUGGACCGUAUGAGAUUAUAGAAAGAAUUGGACCAGUGGCAUAUCGUUUAGCUCUUCCUCCUGAAUUACAGAAGAUUCAUGAUGUUUUCCAUGUUUCUAUGUUAUGAAGAUACCGAUCAGAUCCAUCUCAUGUGAUUUCAACUGAAGAUAUAGAGAUUCGACCCGAUUUAUCAUAAGAAGAAGAACCGGUUAAGAUACUAGCACGAGAAGUAAAUGAAUUACGUAAUAAAUGAGUUCCCUUAGUAAAAGUGUUAUGGAGAAGUCAUAAUAUUGAAGAAGCAACGUGGGAACCAGAAGAUACAAUGAGAUUACAGUACCCCCAUCUCUUUUCAGGUAAAUUUCGAGGACGAAAUUUAUUAAGGGGGAGAAAUAUAACGACCCGAAUUUUAAGGUCAUUAGAAAAGUGAGUUUUCGGGUCUUUGAUAUUAAAAAUUUGAUUCGUAAAUAUUUAUUAGAAAUAUUUACAAAGUUAAAUGAGAGGUUAAUUAGAUUUUAAUUUAGUAAAUUUAGCUUAAUUAAGGUUAAUUUAGUAUAUGGACUAACUUGAAUAAAGUGUGAAAGUUUAAUUAUGAACUAUAGAAUAGUCAAGGGAUUAAAUUAGUAAAUAAGCCUUAUGUGACAAGUGUGUGGUAUGUAUAAGUGCAUUUGCGUUAUUAUGAUUGGUACAAAUGUAUGUAUAAAUAUGUAUUUACUAAUUAAAUAAGAAAUAAUAUUUAUAAUUUAAAACAUAAUAAUAAUAAUAAUAAUAACAAUAAUAAUAUAUUAUAAUAAUAAUAAAAUAAUAAAGAAAUAAAAUAAAGAAAAACGAAAGAAAUAAGGGCAAAACAGAACAGGGAAAGAAAGAAAGAAAAAGGGAAAGAAAAAGAAAGGAAAAAUAGGGUUUUAAGGUUCAAGCUUUAAGUGGUAAGUCAAUUUAAUCCCUUUUCUUGUAAUUUUGGUGUCUAUGGAAUCCUAGGAAGAAAUAAUACUUAAGUUAUGCUGAAAUUUAGAAGUUAAUGAAUUUUUAGAUGUUGAUUAAGUUGUAUGAAUUGAUGAAUUAUUGGUUUAAUUGAUAAAAAUUCAAGUUAAAAGUGGGAAAAUGAUUGAUUUGUUAAGAGAGAUAUAAGUUUUGUUAUAGUAGGGAUUAAAUUGUUUAAAUUGUAGAAUUGAUGUUUUAUAUUGAAUAUUAAGAGUUGAAACUUGUUAAAAGUAGAUAUAAAAUGAAAAUUGUAAGGUUAUUUGAAGAAAAAGAAUAGUUAUGGUGGUAGGACCUAAUUGGAAAUAUAGUAAAAGUUACAGGAAAAUUAAAGAGUAUGUUAUCAAAUAACAUAAUUGAUAAUUUAAAUGUUAAAUUUUAUGUAGCCAACGUAACACUGGAAACGUCAUCGAACAAGGGAAAGGAGAAAGUGAACGAGGAUAUCGAAUAAACCUGAGAAUUUCGGUUUGUAUUUCUAUAAACUGUGCUUAGUGAUUUAAUACAAUGUAAUUGUUAUUUUAAUAGUUAGAAUGUUUGAUGAAUGGUAUGGUGGAAACUGUUACUACUUCCGUAUUGAAAUGAAACGAUUUGAAUACCCUAUUAACAGUGUCGGGCUAGUUGGAUACAAUUGGCAUGCCAUAGGAUUGGAAGUGUUCAGGGAUAUUCCGACUGUGUGUCGAUGAGACACUAUAUGUGUUGACUACUAUCACUGUUCCGGAUUCAUUUCGAAGUGAUACUUCAUACCUGACUAUGACUGUUACUGUUACUGUUAUUGUUACCCUACGGUGUAUUUCGGUUUUGACUGAUGAGACACUGUAUAUUAUCCCCGGUGUGUGGGUUGGAUCCGUGUAUCCGUUUAGGUCUGAGUUAUGUUAAUAGGGGUAAAUGAAAGUACUGAAGACAAAUAUUGACUGCUAUUGAUUAUGGGACUGUGACUGUUAUAUGAUUAUUAAAAGGUAUCGAAUGAUAUGAAAUAUAUAUAAAGAAUUCCUUAAUUACAUUUAAGAGCUAUAAGAUGAAAGUUGUUGAAGCAUGGUAUGAAAUAUGCAUAUUUUGGAAGUUAACCUUACAUGAGUUUGACUAAGUAUGAUAAUGUAAUAUAAUUUCAAUAUGAAUUGCAUAAUCUUUAAGGGAUAUAGAAGUAAAUGAAUGAAUGUUUGCUAAGUUUGAAUGGCACAAAGAAUGAUAAUUGAUUUAAGAACUGUUAGUAAAUGUUUGGGUGUAAAUUAGAUGUGUUUAGCAUGUGAAAAUAGCUUAAAAUGGUCAAAAAUCAUGUUUUCACACGGCCAAGUCACACGGGCGUGUGCUCUGGCUGUGUGGCUCUCUGUUUAUGUCACACGCACUGUUCCCACGGCUGUGUGAGCAAGUCAGAUCUGCCCACGGCCUGGCCCCACGUCCAUGGGUGUCCCAAAGGCUGGCCACAUGGCCAUGUCCCAGGCCACACGGGCGUGUGCCCCUAUCUUCAAGGUAAAAUUUUCAAAGUUGCCAGUUUAGUCCCGAAUCACUUGUAAAGCAUGUAUUGAGCCUCGUAGUCCCAUAUUAGGGACUUUAUGGUGAAAUUUGAAAGGUUCUGAAUUGGAAUGAAAGUUUAUGACUCAGUUUUGUAUAAAUGUUAGUGUAUAAGUCUAGUAAUGCCUAGUAACCCUAUUCUGGUGACUGUUUGGGAUUAGGGGGUGUUACAGGUCCCACUGCCGAGAUCAGACACCCGUUCCUCCAAUUUCUAUCGAGACUGUAGGAAAAACUAUUUCAAAUACUACGGGCCUGACCCCUAGGUGUAGGACGUUGCAUUGACUGGGCCGCACUUGAAAAAAUCCAGCUGGCUGAAGCGGUCCGAGCCCUUCUGAUGACUGACCCAUAAGGGCUCUUUUUUGAGAUCAUCGAGUCGACGUACCUCGAGUUCACACUCGAACUCUACUUGACCUUUCAUCUUCAAGUAGUUAUGAUAGAGUUCGAUGAUCCCGGAAUAAUCUAGUUCUGUUUUGGCGGUUUAGUCCGCCAGUUGAGCGUACCUGAGUUCGGCGUCACCUUAGGGCUCUAUACGGAGGAGUUCAUGGACGACGAUGAUUUUGACACCCUCCAUCGCCACAUCCACUUGUCUGCCUCCAACAACUAGAGGGCCCUCGUUCCUGCUUCGGCCACCAAUAACCCUAGUCGCUCUAAGGCAUCGGUCCUCACCUUAUCCCUGAGGUACUUACACGUCAUCUUGGCCCACACUGACAGGGCGGCGAUAGAGCACCGCUGUCGUUAACACUCACAAUUCCUACUUUUUAUAGAGUAUGGCGAAUGGGCACAUCUUCGACUUUGCCUAUUUCAUUGCCCUUGCCAUUCGCCAUCAGACGGAGCGACGUACGAGAGGAGUCAUCUCCAUUGGCCCCUAUAUGACUCGACUGGCACGGUACUUCGGUCUCCUAAACACAGUAGCACAAUCAUCCUCCCUCACUCUCUUUGGUCAGAUGUCUCCACAGGGCAUCUCGAGUAUGUUACAUAUGAGGACGAUCGAGUGAGAAUGUGGAACUGACCCUCCUCAGUACCACCUCAUCCAGUCCACCGAGGAGGUAGACCCAGAGGAUAUUACUGAUGAUGUCCCUCCACGUCAUGAGGACCUACCGUCUCAGCCACCACCCAUCCAUCGUCCAGUUCAUGCAGCGGCUUCAUACUCUGACAUCUUUGAGUGCCUUACUCGAUUUGACCAGUAGUAUUUUCAGCACUCUGAUCAAAUUGAUUCUACUCUACAUCAGAUUUGUCAGCACCUCUACAUCUCAUCGCCACCACCACCUCGCGAACCAUCCGGCAAUGACGAUGUUUAAAGACUUUUUAUUUUUUAUUUUUACUUUUAUCUUUAUUUAUCUUCUUUAAGUACUUUUUAUUUCAUUUUACUUUAAUAUUAUUUCAUUUUUAGGUUUUAUAAUUUUUAUUGAACAAUUUAUAGUUUCUGCCACUUCAUUACGAGUAAUUACGCUUCUCUAUAUUUCCUAAAGAGUUCUUGAUUUUAUCACAGUUAUAAAGAGCUCCAAAGCUCAUCACCAUUUAGCAAGUUGAAUCCACUAGAAAGGGUUCUCCACGACUGCCAUGUCUUGCCCGACCACCAUAAUAACCUCUUCGCUGGACACUGUGGUUGUGGAACCCAACCUCUACCACCACCGGAGUAUCCUCCUCCAAUCUUAUCAUUGCCUUGGCCGACUUACCUGUGAUAAACCGUAAUUUAUACAUAUUUUUAUCCCAUGCUUUGCAUAUUUUUUGGAUGAUUUAUCCUUAGAUUUGGUGAAUUUGAUGCUCCUAAUCCUUUAAUUUCAUAUUUUAUACUUAGGUGAGCAUAAGAGAGUAAAAAGAGUGAAAAACCGGCCAAAAACGGAGAUGACCAACAUGUGAAACCAACACGGCCUGGACUUUCGUACACAGGUAGACCAUACGCCCGUGUCCAUUCAACAAACUCAAACACGGUUUGAAGUAAUCGAACACGGGCGUGUCCCUGUCAAGCCCAAGUUUAGUUCUAUUCGGAAAAUGCCACUCUUGAAGGCUUUUAGGCAUUCUAAAGCUUAUUUAAACACCUGAGGAGGCACUUAGAAGGUACACACGGAAUAGGAGGCAAGAAAUUACUCAAAGAAAGCCGAUUGAUCCAUCUCAGAAGACGGAUUCAUCGUCAAGACUGAAGAUCUCCCUUCAAUUUCCUUUAGGAGUUUUGGGUUUUCUUUAUGUUUUGCUAUCUUUAUUCUUUUGGGAUGUUUUCUUUUAUAAAUAUGAACUAAAUCCCCUAAAUACCUAAGGGGAAUGAAACCUAAGACGAAUCUUGUUAUUAUUAUUUGAAUUGUAUGAUAAAUAUUUGACUUGUUCUUAAUUAUGAAUUAUUCUUGUUUUAAUAUUCCAGGAUAUUGAUUCAAGUUCUGAUGUGCUUAUUCAGAAGAGAAAAAGUCCCUGUCUAAGAGUAUAUCUAACAUAAUUAAGCGGAGUUGAUUGCAUGCCUAGAGAUAGGGUGACAAGCUUUUGCCAGAUUAGGGUGAAACCUAAUAAGGGAAUCCAUAGAUCGAGUUAAUAGAACAUGAGUGAGUUAAUUAGAAAGAGAUUUCAAUUAAUCAACCUAGGGUUAGACGUUGUUAGUCUCAAGAGAGAUAAUAAUAUAAAUUAGGGAUUUCUACGGAUCAAGUCAAAUGAAUAAAUCGUCUAAUUCAGAGUCAAAUAACAAGUGAAGUCUAGGUGGAAUUUUCCUUGGGUAUUGUCUUAAUCAAUCAGUUUUCUCAAAAUUUUUUCCCAAUUUUCAUUCUGUGCAUUCUUAGUGUAGUAAUUAAUUUAGAUAAACAAAACCCUUAAUCUUUUAGGCUAGAUAAUAAAAAAAAAGUUAAUAUUAGUACUUUUAGUUUAUUUGGGGUUCGACAAUCUGGUCUUGCUAAAGCUAUACUACUGUUCGACAAGUGUGCUUACCUUCGUCGUGAUAGUUAGUUUUCAAGAGCGAUCCAUUGUAAAUUAUAAAACUUAUGGAACGUAUCAUAUAUCACAUCAUUUCACGAUCAACCGGCUAAAUAAUAAGAAGACGGUAAUUACUAGUACAUUUAGUACUCGUGGAUACGACAUUCCCUACUCACCGUAGCUAUACUAUUGUUCGAUAGGUGUGCUUGCAUUUGUCGUAUUUAUAGUUAGUUUAGUGACUAUCAAGUUUUUGGCGCCGUUGUCGGGGACUAAAAUAUUAGGAACACUCAAUUUUUAUUAAUUGUCCUUUUUUUAUUGCAUUUUAUUUUUGUUUUUAGUUUUAUUUUUACAUUCUAAUUUUUAUUUAAUUUGGUUUUGGCAGGUUCUUCUAAUUUAUGACAAGAAGAAACCAAUAGGGACCAUUUUUAUUUGACAGUGAAAUUGAAUGCACAACUUGCAAAAAUUGUAAAAAAGAAAAGCAAUGUCAACGGAAUAUAGUAGACGAGAAAGAGGGCAUUAUUAUUACUGAGGAGAUGGGUGGUAAUCAGAAUAAUCAGCUACCUCCUACAGUUGCUACAAAUCCUGCAAAUAGAAAUUAUGUUCCUCAUACUAUGUACGAUUAUGCCAAGCCUACUCUAACUGGGGCUGAAUCGAGUAUUGUGUGACCCACUAUAGCUGUAAAUAGUUUCUAACUGAAGCUGAACACUAUUCAGAUGAUACAACAGUUUGUUCAGUUUGAUGGUUUACAAGAUGAUUAUCCAAAUACUCAUUUGGCUAAUUUUCUGGAAAUCUGCAAUACUUUCAAGAUUAAUGGCAUUUUUGACGAUGUCAUUCACCUCCAGUUAUUCCUUUUCUUGUUAAGGAACAAAGUUAAAUAGUGGUUGAAUUUUUUACCAUGAGGUUUUCUCACUACAUGGGAUCAAAUGACCGAGAAAUUCCUACUAAUGUACUUCCGACCGGGUAAGACAACCAAGUUGAGGAAUGAUAUCUCUUCCUUCGUUCAGAUCAACUUAGAGACCUUAUAUGAUGCAUGGGAGAGAUAUUAGGAUUUAUUAAGAAUGUGCCCUCACCAUGGGUUACCUUUAUUGUUUUAGGUUCAAACCUUCUACAACGGUUUGAAUUCCUCAACUAGGUAGUUAAUUGAUGCAGUAGCCGUGGAACUUUGAAUAAUAAAAUACUCAAAGUGGCUUAUGAAUUUAUUGAGGAGAUGUAACUGAAUAAUUAUUAGUGGCUGAUCCCGAUAUUCGUGUGACAGUUUUAAAUAUUUAUAAAGAGUCAUUCUUAAAACUAACUAUUAUCACGAUGUAGGCAAGUGUACCUAUCGAACAGUAGUAUAGUUUUAGAAAGAUCGGAUUGUCGAACCCAAAGGAACUAAAAAUACUAGUAAUGACUGUCUUUUUAUUAUCUAGCCUAAGAAUAAGAAGGUUUUGUUUUAACUAACUAAUUAUCUAAACUAAGAACUCACAGAAAAUAGAAUUGGAGAAUUACUUUUGGAAAACGAUUGAAUUAAGACAAUACCUAAGGAAAAAUCCACCUAGACUUCACUUGUUAUUCUUGCUCCGAAUCGGAAGAUUUAUUCAUUUAACUUGUUCCGUAGAGAUCCCUAAGUUAUGCUAUUAUCCCUAAUCUGACAAAAUCUUGUCACCCUAUCUCUAGGCGCGCAAUCAACUCCGCUUAAUUAUGACAAAUGUACUCUUAGACAGGGUCUAUUCCUCCUCUGAAUAAGAGCUUAUCUUGAAUCAGUAUCCUGGGAUAUCAAUCGGCUUCCCUUGAGUAUUUCCCUGCCUCCUUCUCUCUGUUUGUGUUUCCUUCCUCCUCUAGGGUGAAUUUAUAGGCUUUGGAAUGCCUAAGAACCCUUGAAAUUAGCCUUUUUCGAAUUGGACUCAACUUGGGCUCGGCUGAGACACGCCCGUGUGAUUCAUGCUUUGAUUCUGCCAAAUUGACACGGCCGUGUGGUCUGCCCGUGUGAGGAAGCCCAGGCCGUGUUGAUUUUGUACUUUGGCCCAUUUUCUCCAUUUUUGGCUCGUUUCUCGUUCCUUUAGCUCUCCUAUGCUCUCCUAAGUAUAAAACAUGAAAUUAAGGCAUUAGGAGCAUCGAAUUCACCAAUUCUAAGGGAAAAUCAUUCAUAAAAUGUGUUAAGCAUGGGGUAAAAAUAUGUAUAAAUUACGGUUAUCAAAUACCCCCACACUUAAGCAUUUGCUUAUCUUCAAGCAAAAUUUUUAACUCAUAAUCAAAAUAAAUUCUUCUCAACUUAUAAUUUCUAUCGAAAAUAUCUCAAAAUAAUCCACAGGUAAUCAUACAUUGAGAAUUCAACUAAAAGAACAUCAAAGUUUCAAACAUUCCAAGUUGAGCAUUUUAUUCUGAAAACAUAGGUGUCUCCCCUCGUCUAAGUAAUUAUCUUCGAUUCAAAAUGUCACAGAGUUUCACAUCCUCACUAAAGAUUCACUCAAAUCACUCGAGGUGUUUAAGGACAACAAAUGAAGCACUUAAUAGUCAAUAAUGAAAAGUCAUUACCAUAGGCUUGCAUGAAAAUCAAAUCUCCACCACUAUAAAUUGAGAUGAUACAUCAAUCAAAAGGUCUUUAGAGGGUUGUAAUGAGGCUUGGUUAGGGGGUGUCGUCACAAGCUGAAAGAAAAAGUUAGAAUCGAGAUUGAAUUGAAAAAUCACUUAACUCGAAAAAAAAUUUAAUCAUCACUUGCGUACAACAGAGCUUCUUCUCAGAACAUGAAAUUUAACUUCCUUGGCUCAAAAGAUUACUACUACUAAUACGUAUAGAUACAUUUUUUUAUUAAGAACAAGGUAACUUACAAAAUAGAAUAAAACAUAGUUAAGCAACUAUUUCAAUUCAAAUCUCGAAAAAAAUGGGGAUCAAAUUAAUUUAGGGGAUUUCAACAAUAAUGGGUUAAGGGUUAAUAUUAAGGGUAAUACAAGAAAUGGCUUGUUAGCUCAACGGGGUUUACUAAGGGUUAAUUGGGGAGGUAGAUUUUUCAUGGCAUGAGUGGGUUAAUCCUAAGUGCCUUAAUCAUUUUGACAUAUCAAAUCAAAUGGUGUGGUCUUGACAUGCACAAUCAAGCAAGUUCUAGAAUGACAGCUCAAUAUUGACGCACUCAAAGCAAUUAUAAAAGUGAGCAUGAAAGAAUUAAUAGAUGCUCAAAAGGAUAAGAAAUCUCACAAAAAUUAUGGUUUUUUGAUAUUUAAAACUUGUGAAUUCCAACUCAAAGUAAUACCUAAACAUUGGGGAAACAACCUAAAAUUUGAAAUUCUUAAAAAAAAAUCAACUUAUCAUGCUUGAUUCCUUAAUGUCUUAAAGUUUAAAAAAUCAAUGCAUAAAUGCCUAUGUUUUAAUUCAGGAUAUAUCAAUCAAAAUCAUAAAUUAAUCAAAAUUUAUCCUAAAUAUGAUAUGAGAGCUUUUUAAGAGAACAAGACAAUCAUUCAGGGAUUUUUCUGAUAGUGAAAUGAAUACCCCCCACACUUAAGAUGUACACUGUCCUCAAUGUACAAAGAUAGAUAUUUUGACAAUUGUAAGUGUAAGUUCAUAAGAUAGGGAGAAAAGUGAAACUUUCUGAGUGAAAAAUGGAUGAAAUUCCUGGAUUAGUGAGAGCGAGUUGUUAGAAAUAAAGUUGGAGGACAAACAUGAUUCUGAAGGACCAAAGGAGAAUUGGGGGACUAAUAUUUGAUAGUAAUCAUAAAGAUAAGCUGUGUUUAAAAACAAAAGAAUCUUCAAAAAUUAAUAAAAGAAAAAUAAAAUAAGAUAGAUAAUUCAAUUUUUCAAGUGGCACGACCGGUUCACACGCCCGUGUGGAUCGUGUCUCGCCCGUGUUUGUUGCAAAGUGAAAUGUCGUCACACGACCUUAGGGCAUGCUCGUGUAUCUAGGCCAUGUGGCUACAUGAUCAUGUUACACGACUGUGUGUGAUGUGGUUCACUUCUUCCACGGCCGUGUAGCUCUGUACACGCCCGUGUUAUUUUAACAGUGUUGUCCAUGGGUGCUAUACAUGGGUGUGUCGCACACCCAUUUUCAUUUGGCAGAUUUCACCACGAUGAGGUUGCACGCCCGUGGCCACUUAUCGCAUCCCGUGUUAGGGAAGAUAACUUUUACCCUAUUUUCGCACGGCUGUAUCACACGGCCGUGUUUCCAUCCAUGGUUGUCACACGGGAUGAAGCACAACCUUGUGAUAGGCCGUGUGGAGUUGGGAACCUAUGGUCAAAGACUCUGUUAGUGAUCGAGAUGUUUAAAAAUUUAAAUUUAAAUAAUUUAAAACCGUUUGUACUCGGGUUACCUCCUUAGAAGCGCUUGUUUAUAGUCUAAGCUCGACUGUUACCUUGUUGGUUUAUUCAGGGCGGUUUGUGGAGUCGUAGCUCCUCUCUAUCGUCUUUAAAAUUCUCACCAUUAUAAAGUUUAAAACGAUGUCCAUUUACUUUGAAAGUACCGUGUGAAGGGUGACUUACCUCUAUUAUGCCAUAUGGAAGAAUAGAUUGAAUUACGAAGGUCCUGACCAUCGUGAUUUAAGUUUCCCAGGAAACAAUUUGAGUCUUGAGUUGUAUAGUAGGACAAGAUCUCCAACUUUAAAUUGUUUUUGUUGCUUCAAACGAGUGUCAUGGCACCGCUUUGUUGCUUCCUUGUAUAGGUGUGAGUUUUCAUAUGCAUCGACUCACCACUCAUCAAGUUCGUUCAGCUGCAUCAACCUAUUUUUUCCUGCAAGUUCGGGAUCAAGGUUUAAAAAUUUAAUAGCCCAAAAAGCUUUAUGCUCUAGUUCGAAUGGUAGAUAGUAACUUUUUCCAUAAACAAGUCUGUAAGGUGAUGUCCCUAUGGGGGUCUUAAAAGCAGUUCUGUAAGCCCAUAAGGCAUCAGCUACUUUCAUUGGCUAAUCUUUUCUGUUUGAUUCUACUAUUUUUCCAAGGAUCCGUUUGAUCUCUCGGUUUGCCACUUCAACUUGUCCAUUAGUUUGAGGAUGGUAUGGGGUGGUUGUUCUAUGAUGAACUCCGUAUUUCUUAAGAGUUUUUUCAUUGGGAAUUACAAAAAUGAGUGCCCCUGUCACUGAUAAUUGCUCUAGGUGUUCCGAAUCUUAAGAAGAGUUUCUUAAGGAAACGUACUACCACUCUAGCAUCAUUAGUAGGUAGAGCUUGGGCUUCCACCCAUUUGGACAUAUAAUCAAUUGCUACUAAGAUAUAUUUAUUCCCAAAUGAACUGGGGAAUGGACCCAUGAAAUCGAUACCCCAAACGUCAAAUAUUUCACAUGAAAGUAUAUAGUUUUGAGGCAUUUCAUCACGUUUAGAUAUGUUACCUGUCCGUUGGCAUUUUUCACAUGAAGUAACGUACCUGUUAGCAUUUUUGAAUAACGAGAGCCAAUAAAAACCUGAUUCAAGUAUUUUAUGUGCGGUCUUAGUUCCACUAUAGUGUCCUGCAGUUGGCUCUGAGUGGUAAUGUUCCAAUAUUUUUGAUGUUUUUGAUCUUGUAAUGCAUCUUCUAAUAACUUGAUCUGCACAUCUGCAAAAAAGAAAGGGGUCGUCCCAAAAAUUAGUUUUUCACAUCAUUAAAGAAUCGCUUCUUUUGCUAGUGUGUUAACCCUUUUGGGAUAAUGUUAGCGGCUAAAAAAUUUGCCAUGUCUGUAAACCAAGGUACCUCAGAGUUUCAACUUUAUCUAGUUCUUUGGUAUUGCAGUUCUCAAGCCUGGACAGAUGAUCAGCCGCGAGAUUUUCAGCUCUUUUCUUAUCUUGAAUUUCCAAGUCAAAUUCUUGCAAUAGGAGAAUCCAUCGAAUGAGUCGAGGUUUUGCAUCAGUUUUAGUUAAAAUGUAGCGAAGGGCGGAAUGGUCAGUGUAAACAACAACUUUUGACAAUAUGAGAUAUGAUUGAAAUUUAUCAAAUGCAAAAACAACAGCUAGCGAUUCUUUUUUCGUAGUAGUAUAAUUCUCUUGUGCAGCUGUCAAAGUUUUGCUAGCAUAAUAGAUAGGUUGAAAAUGCUUGUCUCUUCGCUGUCCCAAUACUGCACCUACUGCAAAAUCACUCGCAUCACACAUUAAUUCAAAUGGUAAGUUCCAAUCAGGUGCAAUUAUGAUUGGAGCAUUAAUUAAUUUAUCCUUUAAAGUAUUAAAUGCUUCUAAACACUCCUGAUUGAAAUUAAAAGGUAUAUCUUUUUCUAGUAAUUUAGUCAAAGGCUUAGCUAUUUUAGAAAAAUCCUGAAUAAAUCUUCUAUAAAAACAAGCAUAUCCUAAAAAGCUUCUAAUAGCCUUAACCAAACUAGGAGGGGGUAAUUUUUCAACUGUUUCUAUUUUAGAUUUAUCCACUUCAAUCCCUUUACUAGAAAUUUUAUGCCCUAAUACAAUACCUUCUUGAACCAUAAAGUGACAUUUCUCCCAGUUAAGCACAAGGUUCAUUUCCUCACAUCUUAUUAAAACUUGUUUUAAAAUUUUAAGGCAGAGAUGGAAAGAGUUACCGAAUACCGAGAAAUCAUCCAUAAAUACUUCCAUGAUAUCUUCCACGAGUUCGUCAAAGAUGGCUAUCAUACAGUGCUGAAAAGUGGUAGGAGUAUUACAUAAUCCAAAAGGCAUUCUACGAUAAGCGAAUGUACCAUAUGGGCUUAUGAAUGUCGUCUUUUCUUGAUCUUCAGGAGCUAUUGGGAUUUGGAAGUAGCCAGAGAGUCUGUCUAAAAAGCAGUAGUACAUGUGCCCGGAUAAUCUUUCCAACAUUUGGUCAAUGAAUGGCAAGGGGAAGUGAUCCUUUCUUGUGGCAUCAUUCAGUUACCUAUAGUCAAUUCAAACUCUCAAUCCUAUGACUAUCCUUAUUGGGAUUAAUUCAUUCUUCUCGUUGGUCACAACCGUCAUGCCUCCUUUCUUAGGGACAACCUACACUGGACUUACCCAAGAACUAUCAAAAAUAGGAUAAAUAAUUCCAUCAUCUAGAAGUUUAAUUACCUCGGCUUUAACUACUUCCUUCAUGUUUGGGUUCAGUCGUCUUUGAGCUUGCACAUACGGUUUGUAUUCAUCUUCUAUCAAAAUUUUGUGGGUGCAAAAAGAAGGGUUGAUUCCUUUAAUGUUAGAAAUUUUCCAAGCUAUGGCCUUUUUAUGUCCUUUUAAUUCUUGGAUCAAUUCCUCUUUCUCCUUGGGUUGCAAGUUAGAAGUAAUAAUAACUGGUAAUGUAGAAUUAUUUCCAAGGAAUGCGUACUCCAAGUGGUUUGGUAAUUGUUUAAGAUCUAGUUUCGGAGGCUCUUCAAUAGAGGGUUUUUGCUUAAGUUCAUCGUUUACCUUAAUGCCCUCAUAUUCUAUUUGUCUUGAAGAAUGCUCAUUAGGUUCGUCAUCUGUCUCCUCUUCUUGAGCUAGAUACAGUUUCGUCAUGUAUUUCUGUAUAAUUUCCUAAAAAGAGUCUUGAGUAGUAUGAUCAAUAAAGUCAAUAAAAUAACAUGAAUCAUUCUGUUCUCUAGAAAACCUCAUAGCAUUAUAAAUUUUAAAGAUAAUCUCCUCGUCACCUACUCUAAGUACCAAUUUACCGUCACCUACAUCAAUUACAGCCCUAGCAGUGGCUAAAAAUGGGCGCUCUAAAAUUAAGGGCACUUCCACAUCUUCAUCCAUGUCAAGCACAACAAAGUUAGCAGGAAAUAUGAAUUUAUCUAUUUUCACAAGUACGUCUUCUAUAAUACCCCUAGGAUAUUUAACAGUUCUAUUGACUAAUUGAAUACUUAUCCUAGUGGGUUUAGGUUCCCCAAGACCAAGUUGUUUGAACAUUUUAUAUGGCAUCAAAUUAAUGCUAGCGCCUAAAUCAACUAGUGCUUUCUCAACAUUUAGACUACCAAUUAAACAAGGGAUAGUAAAACUUCCUAGAUCUUUUAGUUUGGUUGGCAGUUUCUUUUGGAGUAUGGCUGAGCACUCCUCGUUGAGUUCUACUGUAGAUACGUCAUCAAACUUCCUUUUAUUUGUUAGAAGUUCCUUAAAAAAUUUUGCGUAUCUAGGCAUUUGUGAGAUGACUUCAACAAAAGGUAAGUUGAUAUGUAAUUGCUUAAAAAGUUCAAGAAACUUACCGAAUUGUGCAUCAAUACGGUCUUUUUUCAAUUUUUCUGGGUAUGGAAUUGGUGGUUUAUAUUCAUUCAGCACUGGUUUGUCACUAUUUUCCAGUUUUUCUUCCCCCUUUUCACUCAUCACGGCUUCUUAUGUUAGCUUCUUUUUAGAUUCUGCUAACACUUUUCCACUCCUUACUGUAACUGCUUUUACAUGCUCUUUUGAUUUGGUGUUACUAGGUAAACUUCCUAGUGGUCUUUACGAAAUUAGUUUGGACAACUAGCCUAUCUGAGUUUCGAGCCCUUGGAUCGACGCUUGUUGAUUUUUAAGUGCUAUCUCGGUGUUCUGGAAAUUGGUUUUUGACAUUGAGAUAAAUUUAGACAGCAUCUCUUCAAGUUUCGGUUUCUUUUCCUGUUGAUAGGGUGGUUGUUGAAAACCCGGAGAAUGUUGUGGUCUUUGAUUUCCUUGACCGCCCCACGAGAAAUUGGGAUGGUUCGUCCAACCUAUAUUAUAAGUAUUGCUAUAUGCAUUAUUUUAGGGUCUAGAGUUAUUGUUACCCAUAUAUUGGACUUGUUCCUCUUCGAUUCUAGGGUUGAAAGGUUGAUACUCUAUGCAUGCUCCUCCUCCAUUCAUCUCGAACCUCAUUACUGGAUGUACCUGAGUAGAACCAACUAAACCAUCAAUCUUUUUCUUUAGAAGUUCUACCUGGUUUGACAGCAUAGUAACCGAAUCGACGAUAUAAACGCCUGCUGUUAUUUAGUGACAUCUCUUCGAUAAACUCAUAAGCAUUUUCAGGUGUUUUAUUAUUGAUGGUUCCGCCAGCAGCUGCAUCAACCGUUUGUCGAGUCGAAGGAUUCAAACCAUUAUGGAAUGUUUGAACCUGUAGCCAAAGCGGUAACCCAUGGUGAGGGCACCUUCUCAGUAAGUCCUUGUAUCUCUCACAUGCAUCGUAAAGUGUUUCUAAGUCCAUCUGCGCAAACGAAGAGAUAUCAUUACAUAAUUUGAUCGUUUUAGCCAGCGAAAAAUAUUUUAAUAGAAAUUUUUCGGUCAUUUGUUCCCAAGUAGUGAUUGACCCUCGUGGUAACGAGUUCAACCACUGUUUAGCUUUGUUCCUCAAUGAAAAAGGGAAUAACUAAAGACGAAUGGCAUCGUCAAAAAUGCCAUUAAUUUUAAAUGUAUCACAGAAUUCCAGGAAAUUUGCCAAGUGAGUGUUUGGAUCCUCAUCCUGCAAACCAUCAAACUAAACAAAUUGCUGUAUCAUUUGAAUAGUGUUAGGUUUCAGUUCAAAAUUAUUUGCAGCAAUAGCAGGCCUAACUAUACUUUACUCAGUUCCUGUUAAAGUAGGUUUAGCAUAAUCAUACAUAGUACGAGGAGCAGAUUCUGAUUUGCUAGUUCAACAUGUAUCGCAGGAGGUAGCUGAUUGUCUUGGUUUUCAGCCAUCUCUUCGGUUGGGGUUUGAGUAUUGUCCUCUUGCUCGUUCUUUGUGUAUCUUAAGCUUCACCUCAUUUCUCUUUGGUUUUUGCGAACUGUACGAUCGAUUUCUUGUCAAAAAGUAGUGGUCCUAAUGGGUUUCUUCUAGUCAUAAACUAUAAAAACCUGCCAAGAGAAAGAAAAAGUAAAUUAAUAAAUAAAAAUAAAAUAAAAUAAAAUAAAAUUGUAAGAAAAAUAAAUGGCUAAAGUAAUAAAAAUUGAGCAUUCCUAAUAUCUUAGUUCCCCGGCAACGGCGCCAAAAACUUGAUCGCGAUAUUCGUGUGACAGGUUUUAAAUAUUUAUAAAGAAUCAUUCUUGAAACUAACUAUUAUCACGAUGUAGGCAAGUGUACUUAUCGAACAGUAGUAUAGUUUUAGCAAGACUGGAUUGUCAAACCCUAAGGAACUAAAAGUACUAGUAAUGACAGUAUUUUUAUUAUCUAGCCUAAGAAUAAGAAGGUUUUGUUUUAACUAACUAAUUAUCUAAACUAAGAACUCACAGAAAAUAGAAUUGGAGAAUUACUUUUGGAAAACGAUUGAAUUAAGACAAUACCUAAGGAAAAAUCCACCUAGACUUCACUUGUUAUUCUUGCUCCGAAUUGGAAGAUUUAUUCAUUUAACUUGUUCCGUAGAGAUCCCUAAGUUAUGCUACUAUCCCUAUUUAAGACCAAUAAUGUCUAAUCCCUAGAUUGAAUAAUUGAGACUUUUCUAUAAUUAACACCUUAGGGUUCCAUUAACUCGAUCUAUGGAUCCCCUUAUUAGGUUUUACCCUAAUUCGAAAAAAUCUUGUCACCCUAUCUCUAGGCGCGCAAUCAACUCCGUUUAAUUAUGACAAAUGUACUCUUAGACAGUGUCUAUUCCUCAUCUGAAAAAGAGCUUAUCUUGAAGCAGUCUCCUGGGAUAUCGAAACAAGAAUUAAGAACACAUAAUUAAGAACAAGUUAAAUAUUUAUCAUACAAUUCAGAAAAUAAUAACAAGAUUCGUCUUAGGUUUCAUUCCCCUCAGGUAUUUAGGGUAAUUAGUUCAUAACUAAAAAGGAAAACAUCUCAGAAGAAUAAUGAAUACAAAACAUAAAGAAAACCCAAAACUCCUGAAGGGAAAUUGAAGGGAGAUCUUCAGUCUUGAUGGUGAAUCCAGCUUCUGAGAUGGAUCAAUCGGCUUCCCUUGAGCAGUUCCCUGCCUCCUUCUCUCUGUCUGUGUUUCCUUCCUCCUCUAGGGUGUAUUUAUAGGCUUUGGAAUGCCUAAGAACCCUUGAAAUUAGCAUUUCCAAAUUGGACUCAAUUUGGGCUCGACAGGGACACGCCCGUGUGAGUCGUGCUUUGAUUCUGCCAAAUUGGCACGGUCGUAUGGUCUACCCGUGCGAGGAAGUCCAGGCCGUGUUGAUUUUGUACUUUGGCCCAUUUUUUCCCUUUUUGGCCCGUUUCUCGUUCCUUUUGCUCUCCUAUGUUCUCCUAAGUAUAAAACAUGAAACUAAGGCAUUAGGAGCAUCGAAUUCACCAAUUCUAAGGGAAAAUCAUCCAUAAAAUGUGUUAAGCAUAGGGUUCAAAUAUGUAUAAAUUACGAUUUAUCAGUGGCAAGUAAUGAGAACGAAGCCGAUGAAAGCAGCCGAUGUUUUCAACUUAGAUGCAGUCACCAUGCUAUCAAAUCAGGUAGAACAAUUAAAUAAGAAAAUGGAUGGUUUAUAUGUUUCUACGCAGGUACAUUUGGUGAUGCAAUGUAAUACAAAUUGAGGUGGAAUGAACAAUCCAAAAUGCUUACCCUUCGCUCCAUGCACAAAGAACGAACAAAUCAAUUAUAUGGGUAAUAAUUCUAGGCCUCAAAAUAACCCUUAUAGUAACCACUAUAAUGCAGGUUGGAGGAAUCAUCCCAAUUUCUCUUGGGGUGGUCAAGGAAAUCAAUGAGCAUAACCCCCUCUAGGCUUCCAACAACAACCUUACCAGCAAGAGAAGAAGACAAAUCUAGAGGAGAUGUUGACAAAGUUUUUCUCGGUGUCAAAAACUCACUUUCAAAGCACUGAAGCAGCACUUAAAAAUCAACAAGCAUCGAUUUAAGGGCUUGAGAGCCAAAUCGGUCAACUUCCUAAACAAAUCUCAAAAAGACCACAAGGUAGUUUGCCUAAUAAUACUGAAACUAACCUAAGGGAACAACUUCAUACAAUUACUGUAUGAGAUGAAGAAGGGUUAGUUGAAUCUGAACCAGAACCAAAGCAAGAAAUUGUGGUAAAUAAUGAUAAGGUUAAGGUAAGCCAGAAAGAGCAAAAGUCGGUUAUUAAGGAAUAUAAACUUCGAGUGCCAUACCCUAAUGCGACAAAGAGAAGCCAUCUGAAUGAACAAUUCGGUAAAUUUCUUAAACUUAUAAAAAAAUUACAUAUUAACUUACUAUUUUUUGAAGCUUUUUCACUGAUGCCCAAUUACGUAAAAUUUUUAAAGGAGCUUUUGGAAAACAAAAGGAAAUUAGAUGAUUUGUUGACUAUGGAGCUAAAUGCAAUUUACUGGCCUAUAUUGCAAAAUAAACUACCUAACAAAUUGAAAGAUUUGGGGAGUUUUACUAUUCCCUGUUUAAUUGGUUGUUUUAAUAUUGAUAAUGCUUUCGUUGAUUUAGGGGCUAGUAUUAAUGUCAUGCCUUAUAAAAUGUUUAAGCAAUUAGGUCUUUGGAAACCCAAACAAAAUAGGAUAAGUAUUGAAUUAACCAUUAGAUAUCCUAGGGGUGUUAUUAAAGAUGUGCUUGUUAAAAUCGAUAAAUUUAUAUUUCCCAUUGACUUUGUUAUAUUAGACAUAGAUGAAGGUAGUAAGGUACCUCUAAUUUUAGGGCGACCCUUUUUAGCAAUUGCUAGAACUAUAAUUGAUGUUGGUACUAGUGAGUUAGUAAUUCGUGUAGGUGGCGAAUCGAUUACCCUUCAACCUCGUGAUUUUGUUAGAGCAUCUAGUGAUCGAGAUGAUUUUAAACAUUCUGUUAAUGUUGGUGACCAUGUGGCUCAACCUUCUUUGCAGGAAAACCCUAGAAAAAAUGUAAUGGAUCAAUGUUCCAGUCAAUACGAUAGAAACAAAACAAUUUACAAUGAACAGAUGUUACAAAUUGAUGAACUAGAUGAAUAGCGGACACAUGUCAAGAAGAAACCAAGAAAGCAGGAUGAAGAGCCAAAGCGACGCCAUGAUGAACACAUGAGCAACCAAUUUAAAGUUGGUGACAAGGUACUGCUAGACAAAAUAGACCCACAAAUUGCCCCUUCAGAGCUUGAUGAUAAUGGAUCCAACCCAUUUACGGUACUGAAUGUCUUCCCGUAUGGUACAGUCGAGGUACCUCAUUUUGAAUUUGGCACAUUUAAGGUAAAUAGUACUUAACUUAAACCUUAUUUUGAUAAUAGAAUUGACAAUGCGAGCCAAUGCUUACGAGAACUGGAGAUUAUAUAAAGAAGCGACAAAGCGACGCCAUGAUGCUCGUUUGAAGCAGCCCAAACAAUUCACAGCUAGAGAUCGUCCUUUUAUAUAAUUCAAAGCUCCACUUGUUUCCCAGAAAGCUGAAAUCAAGAUGGUCAGGUCCAUUCAUAGUACAAACCGUUUUCCCAUAUGGUACGAUAAAGGUAACUCAUCUAGGAUAUGGCACAUUCAAGGUAAACAGUCAUCGACUUAAACUUUAUAGUGGUGAGGAUUUUAGAAAAGAUAGAGAGGAGAUUUAGCUCCAUGAACCUUCGUAAUUGUGCGCACAAGGUAAGUCUAGCUUAAACUUUAAAUAAGCACUUCUCGGGAGGCAACCCGAGUUUUUACAUUGCUAAUUCUCUUAUUUUCAUUUCAUGGUAUUUUUUAAAAAAAUUAAUUAAAUAAAUAAAAAUGUAGGUUUUUUAACCCACACGGCCUGGGUACACGGGCGUGUCCCAGGCCGUAUGUACUAUAAUGGGUUCAACAGUGAGUUACACGGCUUUGCGACAUGGCCACGUAACCCACACGACCGGGACACAUGGGCGUGUCCUCAGCCGUGUGAUCAACACGGCCUAAACACAUGGGUGUAUCCUCGACCGUGUGGAUCCUGGAACUUAGUUUUAAAAUUUUAAGGAAAUUGACAGUGAGUUACACGGCCUUGCGACACGACUGUGUGACCCACACGGCCUAGACACACAGGCGUGCCCUUGGCCGUAUGGAUAUUGGGACUUAAUUUUUCAAAAAUCGACAGAGACACGGGCUUGUCCUAGGUCGUGUGAAACCUGAAGCUAAUUUUUUCAAUUUUAAAAAAAUUUAGAGAGUUACACGGGCAAGGUAGACUGCCGUGUGUGAGACAUGGCCGAGUCACAUAGGCGGUGGGAGAAGCGAAGGGGCUGCACACAGCCAUGCAACACGGUCGUGUGCGCCACAGGGCCUAGACAUAAAGGCAAGUCCAAGGCCGUGUAAAGAUUUGGCUAGUACUUUUGAAUCGCACAUGGGCUAGGAAGAACCACAAGGGCGUGUGACAUGGUCGUGUGGCCCAACACAGGCCCUUAAACGAUCGUGUCACCCAUUUAACCUCAAAACCCUAAGAAUUUUACUUUUCAUCUUCCUUAAAAAAUUCACCUACUUAACCCUAGCCGUCGGUUCGAAAACUUUCCCCUACUCCAGCCACCUUUCGUCGCCACCGACCACGCCAAACAUAGUCUUUUUCCUUUUAUUUUCCUUCUUUCCCCUCCGCCUCUCGAAACCGCCCACGCUGCCCACCCACCCACACGCCCCACUAGCCGACCCCAACAGACGCUACCCCCUCCCUUUUCCCUUACCAGUCCUCACACUUGCACUCCCUUCACUGUCCCUCAGUUUCCUUCUCAUCCUCUCCCUUCGUUUUCACCUAUUUUCUUCCCACCCGACCACUAAACACCCCAUUCCCUUCUUUAUUUUUCCUUUCCUUUCACCCUCGUCAGAUCCAACACUCCUGCGUGUCGACCUUCGUGCUGCCCCCAUCAUUCCCAUACGCUCCACUGUUGCGUGACCCUCCAACCACCACCAUCACCGUCGGUUUCCCUUUUUCCCUAUUUUAUUUUAUUUUAUUUCUUUAUCUUUAUUUUUAUUUUGAUUAUUAUUAUUCGUUUCACUCCUGACUAUUAGUAUUAUUCUUAGUUAUUCUCUUUAAUGUUUUUCUCUUUAGUAUGUUUUAGUGUUGACUUUGCAGUAUUGCUCCUGCUACAUUAACUUUUUGGCUCUAUUAUUGUUCUAGUCUUCUUAUUUUGUUAUGCUCAUGCUUAGGUUUAUUCUAUCAUGACUAUUAUUAUUAUCUAGUUUCUAUCUCUCGUUUGGAUUCAAAUAUUUAGUAGCAUGAUAGAUUUUUUGGAUUUCGUUAAAUUCCAUUGUCAUUUUGUUCUUGAUUGCACUAAUCUAUUAUGUCAAUUCCUACGACAAUAAUAUUCCCACAAGUUUGUUGGUUAUACUAAAGUAAGAUUCGAAUCAUUUUAUGAUCUGAUCCUCAAUGAUUACCACAUGUUUGGUACAUUUUAUUCGUAAAAGGAAAAGAAACAAUCAUGCAUGAUAAUUUGUACUUUAAGGAGUUCAGGUUAUGUUGAAGUCAUAUUCCACAUUGGUGGGAAGGUUAACAACAAAAUAAUAGAAUAACAACUGAAUUUGUUCACACAUGGAGAGGUAAAGACCCUAGAAACCAAAACCAUCCAAAACAUGUGAGUCACCAUGAAGAGAUACUAAUACCUUUAGAAAGGAUAUGGCUUCUAGCACAACCUCUAUUUGCAAAUUCAUUUGGAAAAAGGAAAGAGAAGAGGAACUAAUUAGUUUAUAAUCUAAUUUUAAGCUUUUUUUCUCUUCACCUUCUUGCCAAUUCAUUUUCGUUUUCACAAGACUUUCUCUAAUGGCAAUGAAAAGAAUAAUUUGGCUCAAUCAUUUUUUAGAAAGUAUCUUGUCCAUCCAUUAUAAGGGGAUUCCUACAUUUCCCAUUACCUUUUUCUGCACCUCUUUAUUUUUAGCGUCACAUUCUGAACAUAUCUUAGUUGCAUUAGCACAAUUGAUAUUUGGUAUAUCUCAUUUUAAAUAUUAUCAAAUAAUGUUUUCCUAGUUUAAGUAAUAAAUUGGUUUACCUUCUUAGUUGCUCAAGUGGAGAGACUCUAUUACAAAUAAACAAUGUAACACCUCUCAUCCGUAUCCAAUGUCGGGGCAGGGUUCAAGGCAUUACCAGACUUAAACAUUCACAACAUGCAAAACUGGGCCACAAAAUUUUUGCCAAAAAUUAAAACAUCUCGAACAUCGUCCCUUAUAUAGGCCUUCGAAACCUAUAACAUACAUUGAGGUGGUUCGGGACUAAACCAAGAACUUUGAAAAUCUUUGGGCAACUUAACUAAUUUUCUUGCUUUGGAAAAUCACACGCCUGUGUGGAUUGGGCCCACACACGUCUGUGUGGCUUGGGACACGCUCGUGUCCUCAGCCUGUGUAACUCACUGUUUGUGACAUCAGCAACCGUUUAAGGACACACUACCAAGGCACACGCUCGUGGCGAGAGGCUGUGUCCUCCACACGGUUGAGACACACAGCCGUGUCUCUACCCGUGUGGUCAAAACUUAAGCUAAUUUCCAAGCCUUUUUGUCAUUUUCACAUGUACACACAUACAUUUGACCUUGUCAUCUUAUUAAUCACUUAUAUCAUAUACUUCUCAUACAUAGUGAACGAGUACAAUCACAAGACAAUAACACAUAUCAUGGAUAGAAAAGCUUACAAGCCAAAAUCAGUAUAAGCCACAUCUCAGGGCUAUAAGCAAUAAGUCAUUAUAAGCCAAUACAUUUAUCUAUUCACAAUAAUAUUCAUCAUAGAAAAACUAAGUCCCUAUACAUGCCACUCACUUGAAAACAUUUAACUUACCCAUGUUAAUACUCCAAAGGUAAUGGCUCGAUAGUCUGGUGCUGCCUUCGACGAUCUCCAACCUCGAGCUGACUUGACAAAACUAAAAGUAAUGGAAAGGAUUGAGUAAGCUUUACGCUUAUUAAGCUCACAUGAUAAUAAUAAACAAUGUGAUAACAUGUUAUUUUCAAAUUCUUUCUAUUUAUUCAAAUUCCAGCUAAGCUAUUUUCUCGAGUCACAGUCAUUACAUUAUUUAUAUCUGGAGUUACAAGACACCAAAUCAAGUUCUGUUAAUUUUCCCAGAAACUAGAAUCAUAUCCCUUCCUGCCAUAAAAUUUUCAAAAUUUUUGGUCUAGCCAAUAAGUAUAGUUUAGUAUUUAAAUUCUCCACUGUUUCACUAUUUGACAACUUUGACCUUUCUUCACUAAAAUUUAUUUAUCCCAUAGUAUGAGACUCGGAUAAUGUUCCUGUCUCUUUCUCCAGAAUGUAGACUCAUUAAUGAUUUUAUUCAUAUGAUUUUGAACUCAUAAUUAUUUUUGUAAAAUUUCUAGUGAUUUUCCCAAUUCAGAACAGGGGAUUUUGAACUCAUUCUGACUCUGUCUCACAAGAAUUCAAAUAUCUCAUAAUAAAAAAUUAUUUUUCUUACACCGUUUUAUUUAUCUGAAACUAGACUCAUUAAGAUUUAAUUCCAUAUUUUAUUCAGCCUCUAAAUCAAUUUCCAGUAUUUUUAGUGGAUUUUCAAAGUUAGACCACUACUAUUGUCCUAAUCUGUCUUAGUGCAACAUAAUGAUAACUAUCACAAGUUUGUCAUAGAAAUUAUUCUCAUAAAUAUUACUAAUUCAUUUGCAGUCUUUUCACAAGUCCAUUUCAUUUCACAUGUCAAACAUGUACUCAUGAGUUUUGAGUACGUACCUGUGCUAUCUCUUAGCACAACUACUCAUGCAAACAGGACAAUCAUAUGCAUCAUACUAGUAUCAACUAAGUAUAGAUGAGUUUAUCAUACCAUUUUCCUUUAUAUCACUAUGUAUGCCAUUACCACUGAAUUAUUGAAUUUCUGAUGGAUCUUUUCUUUUCCAAUUGUACACUCGAGGUGUAUGUUUCUUUCUGAGUGGUACACACAAAGUAUACCUUUCAUUUUCAUAUGGUAUACACAAUACCUUUCAUUUUCAUAUGGUAUACACAAAGUAUACCUUUCCUUUUCAAGUGUACACACAAAGUGUACAUAACCUUUUCAUGUGGUAUACACAAAGUAUACCUAACCUUUUUACAUUCGAUAGUCGAAGCUAUCCCUUUUGACAUUCGAUAGUCGAAGCUAUCCCUUUUCACAUGGUACAAAGAAAGUGUACAUUUCCUUUUCAUAAUGAGAUCAAAAGAUUACCCUUUCAAGACAACCUUUACUGCAACAUAUGCAGGACCUCAUUUACACGGUAGCCGCUCAUUUCUUUUAAAUAUCAUAUUCCAUCAAAUUUCUAUUAACAUGAAAUUCAAUAAAAUUAUAACAAGAUAUAUUUCAUGUAUAACAAUAAUAACAUGAAUAAUAGGCUUAUUAAAUCAUGCGAACUUACCUAUUAUCCAGAAAUGACAAUUUACCAUUUUAGUCUAUAACCUUGUAUUUUCCCGAUUUAAGCCCAAAUCUCAAUUUCCUUGAUCUAUAAUAUCACAUUUAGCCUAAUAAUUACUAAAAUUAUUCAUAUGGGUCUAAAAAUCAUAUUUUUAUAAAUUUGCAUUCUGACCCCUAAACUUUCACAUAUUUGCACUUUUUCCUCAAUGCUCGUAAAAUGAUUUUUAUUCAAUUUCCUUACAUUUUAAGUCUAUCUGAAUCGUUUUCAUAACUAUGGAAGCCUCCAGUUCCCACUAAAUCACCCUUUUAUGAUCAAUUUUACAACUUUUACAAAACGGCCCUUUCAGAUGUUUUCAUCGAAAACUGCUUAGUAAAAGUCGUUUAUUUAACACCCAACACUCAUUUCCUACCAUUAAACAUCAAAAUAAAAGCAUGUCACUCAUGGGUAAAUUUUAAAACUAAACCCUAGCUUAAAAUAAUGGUAGAAAUGAGUAAAUCAUGUUACCGGGAUUUCAAAAAUACAUAGAACAUUAAAAACGGAGCUUAGAAUCACUUACAAUUAAGCUUGGAAGCUGGGGCAAAUGCUAACCAUGGCUACUCUUGGUACAUUCUGCUGAAGCAAGAAGAAAGGGACACAUUUGGGGUUUAAAAUUUGUCUUUUAAUUCAUUUUACCCUAAAUGACCAAAAUGCCCUUUUUACUAUUCUUUCAAAUUUUACACAACCAAGGCCAUUUUUGUCCAACAAGUUAUACAAUGGUUUAAUUACCAAUUAGGGACAUCCCAUGUAAAAUUAAAUGACAAUUAGACACCUCUAACAUGUAGAACUCAACUUUUACACUUUUUACAAUUUAGUCCUUUUUACUAAAUUGAGUGCCCAAACGUCAAAAUUUUUGAACGAAAUUUUCACGAAAUCAUUAUGUAAAAUCGUAGACCAUAAAAAUAUAAUAAAAAUGAAAUUUUCCUCAUCAAAUUUGUGGUCUCGAAACCACUAUUCUAACUAAGCCCAAAAUCGGGAUGUUAUAUUUCUCCCCCCUUUAUGGAAUUUUGUCCCCGAAAAUCCCACCAGAAAAGUGGUUUUGGAUUUUUACUUGGAUUCCUCAAUCCUAUAAUCGAUGUCAAAGAACUUUGAUAAACCGUAAUUUAUACAUAUUUUUAUCCCAUGCUUAGCACAUUUAUGGAUGAUUUCUCCUUUGAUUUGGUGAAUUUGAUGCUCCUAAUCCUUUAAUUUCAUGUUUUAUACUUAGGUGAGCAUAGGAGAGUAAAAAGAGUUAGAAACAAGCCAAAAACGGAGAAAAUAGACCCACAUGGGAAAUCAACAUGGCCUAGACUUCCGCACACGGGUAAGCCACACGGUCGUGUCCAUUGGGCAGGAUCGAAGCACGACUUACAUGGGUAGACUACACGCCCGUGCCUAUUUAGCAGCCUUCACCACGGUAUGAAGCAAUCGUACACGGGCGUGUCCCUGUCGAGCCCAAGUAUAGUCCUAUUCGGAAAAGGCCACUUUUGAGGGCUCUUAGGCAUUCUGAAGCCUAUUUAAACACCUGAGGAGGCAUCUAGAAGGGGACACACGGAGUAUGUAACACCCCAAACCUGACCUAGAUGUUACGACCGAAUCUGGCGUGUCACAUUGAAGCGUUAUUAGAGAAGUCAUGUUUUAUCUAAAAUCUUUCUUAGUGUUUAAAGAACAUUUUCGUUUUAAAUUAAAGUGAAUGGAAGCUGCGCACCAGGUAGGAUUCAAGAAAAGAGGAGGUGAGUCAAUUAGACUGCUUAAGUACCUAGCUCUUCCAUGAUCCAAUCCUAGACAUGCAUACAUCCAUUGCCACACUUUAAGCUUAUUACUUAUCCACGAACAACAAAUUAAGUUUAAGUUUAUUUAAAAUAUUUAUUUCCUUUGAAAACAUUUACGUUGUGGAAGCUUUGCUCGGUUAUCGUGAUAUUUUGAAAAUAAGUAACUUUUAUAAAACGCGUCCUAGAGCUAACCAAUUUAAAAACCCAAAAUAAAAAUAAUAGAGCAGCCUUAUUACAACUUUAACCAAAAUAGAAAAGAUAAAAAAUAAAUGCGAAAUUUAAAAGGAAGCUAAUUGAAACUUAUUUAAAAACCAGAAAUUUAAUCUUCGUGGCCACUCUAAAUCCCACCCAGCUCCAAGUCCACCAACUAGGGCUUACCUGUAAGGAUGGAAGAGAAAGAGGGUGAGUUUGGAAAACUCAGUGUGUAUGGAAAACCCAUCCAAAGCCCAAGUCAGCUCAAGCCCAUUGGGCCUAAGCCCUAUUCAGAUAACAGUGGGUACUAGGCUGAAGCCCUUUUCAAAAUACAGUAAACUGGGCCUGAGCCCCUUUUCAGAUAACAGUAUGGCCCAUAGGCCUAUUCCAGAAUAGAACAGACAUAUUCGUGUUUGCAAGCCCAACCCAACCUAUAACCAACCGCUACACUCCACCCGUACCAGCCCUACACUCCAUGUGGGGAAUAGCUCAACCCACGCAGCCCUGCACUCCACAGUUGCAGCAUUGCUGCUCAGAUAUCAGUACGUUGAGGCAAAGCCUCCAGUACGUGGUUAAGCCACUUUCAGUAGUUCUUCCAUCAAUAACCCAGUCCUAUGCAUCAGAUAAUAAUAACAUGGCAUGCAAUAAAUAGUAAUAGUCAAACAUGCAUUCAGGUCAACCUUAACCCUAGGGGUAUAUCAGUAAUUUCGCUCCUUGGGGUAAAUCUGUAAAUUUUCCACCUAUAAAGGUAUUUCAGUAAUUUUAUUAGUUUUAAGGGUUCUCAUGAAUGUUGCGGUCCUUACUAGCCCAAAUGUCAUCGCAAUAAUUUAUUUAUCUUAAUUUCACAAUUUUAGCCAUUGGGCCCUAAAACCCUUAAUGGGCCCUACAGUGUCCAUUAGCAAUUUAAGCCCAUUUAAUUCGAGUUUUAUGACCAGUUUACUGGUUUAAGCAGUUUCGAUUCUACAAUCUAACAGAACAUACUUAUCGCCUAUUUUUUUAUAUUAUAAAUAUUUUUAUUACUACCCGUAUGGGCCCGUAAGCCCAUUGGGCCCAGUUUUAGCCUAUCUAGGCCCAAUUACCGAAGUGCACAAAAUUUCACACACGACUAACUUACCACUUUGAAAUUUCAAAUCUAAUGAUUUCUAAACAUCUUGUGAGCACUCGCACACUCACAAGCCCACGAAAUGCCAGAAUUUCGGCAUUUUGACUUUUGCCGAAUUGAACUACGAGAGGGUGUUCGAUACACACCUGUUUCGCGACGACUGCUACUGAGAUCCCUUACGAUGUCUUACAAUUGAUUACCAUAAUUCUUAGAUUGCAACCCAUAACAACCAAUCCCAAUAUUCACCUACCCAUAUUCGAACCAUUCCCCUAAAGCCUUUAGAAUCUUACCUUUUUGCCGAAAACCGAUGACUAGGUCCAAGUCUAGUUGCUCUAAAGAUCCAAGCCUUCGAUCAAACCUCUAGAAGAUGCUAAUCACCAAAAGAAAUCAUCGGUUAAAGACCCUUAAAGCCCUAUGCCCAAAUCGACAGCCUCCCUAGAUUUUAGGGACUUCGGCUUUUCUAAAUUGUAAAAUAACACUAGAUCUGAGGUGAUGAGCACUUACCACUUAAUCCUAUUUGAUUUCUACGCAGAUCUGAUGCAGAUCUAUCCUCUAAACGAUAGUAGAACUUGAAUCCAGGAGAUCUGAAGUUUCGGCUUUUUAAGUGAUGAAGAAGAUGACGAUUUGAGGCUAUAACUUUGAAGUAAUGUUGCCGACAGAUACUAAGGGUUUAGAGAAGAUGAAAGUUGCUCAAAAAGAGCAAAAAUAACUGAAGGAUUUUUGUUGGAGAAAUCGGCACAAGAAGUGAGUUUUCGAGAUUUCGGCUUUUAUGGCAAUCGGCUAUGGAGGUUUUGUGGAGGAUGGGAUUGACAGAGGAGGUGAGUAAGGUGAUCAGAAGGUUUCGGCUAGAAGAAAAAGCAAAAAGGAAGAAAGAAAAUGGUGGAAAAAGAGAGGAAGAAGAAAUCGGCACCCAGGAGAAGGAAUUUGUGUUUUCGACUUUUAUGAGAACUCAAAAAGGAUGAAUGGCAGUGAAAGCUUUCAGGUAGCUAAAUCUAAUUCUCCGAGACAGAAAAAGAAAAGAACCUAACCCUAAUAUCAACUAAAACAAUUGACCCAACCUCCCUAAAGCCCUUGCCAAAAUUCACUUAAGUGAUCACAUGCCCGGCACAUGCCUAAAAUUAAAAAGUAACCAUAUACCUACCUUGCAACUUGAACCCUGGACCUUUAAUUCCUUCCCAGACACCAUUUUUUUAGGAACUUAAUGGCGCCACCUUGCCACUUUACCAAGGCCUUAUUUGUGUCCUAUUUUACCACCUCAACUUUAAAAGCCCAUAUCGCCAGAACCCUCUCUCCCAAAAUUAAAAUUCAGGAAUUGCCUCGAAUUAAAUUUACUCUUGGGCCUUUUUUUCCCACACCAUUAACCCUUCGUAAUUUAUUUAAUUACUAAACUAAACAUACGAAAUAAUAAUAACAUCCAAAUUAUUCGGGUCAUUUUCCACUCGAACCCAGACUCAAGGCCCAAUACUUCCAGGCCUAAAAAUCGGGGCGUUACAGAGUAGGAGGCAAGGAAUUACUCAAGGGAAGCCGAUUGAUCCAUCUCAGAAGCUGGAUUCAUCGUCAAGACUGAAGAUCUCCCUUUAAUUUCCUUCAGGAGUUUCAGGUUUUCUUUAUGUUUUGUUAUCUUUAUUCUUUUGAGAUGUUUUCUUUCAUAAUUAUGAACUAAACCCCCUAAAUACCUAAGGGGAAUGGAACCUAAGAUGGAUCUUGUUAUUAUUAUCUAAAUUGUAUGAUAAAUAUUUGACUUGUUCUUAAUUAUGUGUUUUUAAUUCUUGUUUUAAUAUCCCAGGAUAUUGAUUCAAGUUAAUGCGCUUAUUCAGAGUAGAAAAAGUCCCUGUCUAAGAGUAAAUUUGUCGUAAUUAAGCAAAGUUGAUUGCAUGCCUAGAGAUAGGGUGACACGAUUUUACCGAAUUAGGGUGAAACCUAAUAAGAGAGUCCAUAGAUCGAGUUAAUGCAACACUAGGGUGUUAAUUAGAAAGAGAUUUCAAUUAAUCAAUCUAGCGUUAGACGUUAUUAGUUUCGAGAGAGAUAAUAAUAUAACUUAGGGAUUUUUAUGUUGUCUGAUUCAGAGUCAAAUAGCAAGUGAAGUCUAGGUGGAUUUUUCCUUCAGUAUUGUCUUCAUCAAUCGAGUUUUUCCCAAAAGCUUUUCCCCAGUUUUCUCUCUGUGCACCCUUAGUUUAGUUAAUUAGUUUAGAUAAACAAAUCCCUUAAUUUUAAGGCUAGAUAAUAAAAAGAAAGUAAUUACUAGUGCUCUUGAUUCCUUUGGGUUUGACAAUCCGGUCUUGCUAAAGCUAUACUACUGUUCGAUAGGUACACUUGCCUUCAUCGUGAUAAUAGUUAGUUUCAAGAAUGAUUAAUUAUAAAUUUUUAAAACCUGUCGCGAAUAUCAUGUAUCAAGUUUUUGGCACCGUUGCCGGGGAACUAAGAUAUUAGGAACACUCAAUUUUUAUUACUUUAGCCAUUUUACUUUUAUUGCAAUUUAAAUUUUUAUUUUAUUUUCUUAUUCUUAUUUUUCGUUUAUUCACUCCUGGUAGGUUUUUAUAGUGUAUGACUAGAGGAAACCCGUCGAGACCAUUAGUUUUUGAUAGUCAGAUCGAUCGAACAGCGUGUAGAAAUCGAAGAGAAAUAAGGCGAAGCCUAAGAUACAUAGAGGAAGAGCAAGAGGACGAUAUUUCCACCAUAAUCGAGGAGAUGACUGAAAAUUAGGAAAAUUCACUACCUCCUGUGAUUGCCGCUGAUCCAGUAAAUUAGAAUCAUGCUCCACACACUAUGUAUGAUUAUGCUAAAACAAAUUUAACAGGAACUGAGUCAAGUAUAGUUAGGCCUACUAUUGCUACAAAUAAUUUUGAACUGAAACCUAACACGAUUCAAAUGAUACAACAAUUUGUUCAGUUUGAUGGUUUGCAGGAUGAGGAUCCAAACAAUCACUUGGUGAAUUUUCUGGAUUUUUGCGAUACAUUUAAAAUCAAUGGCAUUUCUGACGACGCCAUAUGCCUUCGGUUGUUUCCCUUUUCACUAAGGAACAAAGCUAAAAAGUGGUUGAACUCGUUACCACGAGGGUCAAUCACUACUUGGGAACAAAUGACCGAAAAGUUUUUACUAAAAUAUUUUUCGCCGGCUAAAAUAGCUAAAUUAAGGAAUGAUAUCUCAUCUUUUGUACAAAUGGAUUGAGAAACAGUAUAUGAUGCAUGGGAGAUAUAUAAGGACUUGUUGAGAAGGUGCCCUCACCAUGUGUUACCACUCUGGCUACAGGUUCAAACUUUUCACAAUGGCCUGAAUCUUUCAACUAGACAAAUGGUUGACACAGUCGCUGGUGGGACUAUCAAUAAUAAGACACCUGAGGAUGCUUAUGAAUUUAUAGAAGAGAUGUCACUGAAUAAUUAUCAGUGGAAAGUCAUGAUGACAAAGCCAACGAAAGCAGCCAGCGUUUUUAACGUCGAUUCAGUCACCAUGCUUUCUACUCAGGUAGAACUAUUAAAUAAGAAGAUUGACGGGUUUUUUGGUUCUUCACAAGUUCACCCAGUAAUGUAGUGCGAAGUAAGUGGAGGUGGAUCAAGCAAUUUAGAAUACCCACUUUAUGGCCACAACAUGGAAAACGAGCAGUUAAAUUACAUGGGUAAUAAUCCUCGAUCUCAAAAUAAUCCUUAUAGUAAUACUUACAAUGCAGGUUGGAGGAACCACCCAAAUUUUUCAUGGGGAGGCCAAGGAAAUCAAAGACCACCACCACCUCCAAGCUUCAAACAACCACCUUACCAACAAGAUAAAAAGUUGAACCUUGAGGAGAUGCUAACAAAAUUCAUUUCGGUGUCAGAAACUUGUUUCAGAAUACCGAGACAGCACUUAAGAAUCAACAAGCGUCGAUCUAAGGGCUCAAAAUUCAGAUAGGGAAGCUUGCUAAAUUAAUUUCAGAAAGACCACCAGGAAGUCUACCUAAUAACACCAAACCCAAUCCAAAAGAGCAUGUGAAAGCAGUUACACUAAAGAGUGGGAAAGCAUUAGCUGAAUCUGAAAAGAAGCUACCACAAGAAGCUGACAGAAACGAAGGAGAGGAAGUAAAACCCGAAAACAAUCUAAUGCCAAAGGAAUAUAAACCACCAAUCCCAUAUCUUGCAAAGUUGAAGAAAGACCGUAUGGAUGCACAAUUCGGUAAAUUUCUCAAACUUUUCAAACAACUACAUAUUAACUUACCUUUUGUUGAAGCUGUAUCACAGAUACCUACAUAUGCCAAAAUUUUAAAGGAGCUUCUAGUAAACAAAAAGAAAUUUGAAGACCUAUCUACAGUGGAGCUUAAUGAGGAAUGCUCAACCAUACUCCAGAAUAAACUACCAACCAAACUAAAAGAUCCAGGAAGUUUUACUAUUCCCUGGUUAAUUGGUAGUUUGAAUGUUGAUAAGGCACUAGCUAAUUUAGGCACUAACAUUAAUUUGAUGCCAUAUAAAAUCUUUAAACAACUUGGUCUUGGGGAACCUAAACCAACUAGGAUGAGUAUUGAAUUAGCUGAUAGAUCUGUUAAAUAUCCUAGGGGAAUUAUAGAGGAUGUACUUGUAAAAGUCGAUAAAUUCAUACUCCCUAUUGAUUUCGUUGUGCUUGACAUGGAUGAGGAUGUUGAAGUGCCUUUAAUCUUAAGUUGUCCAUUUUUAGCCACUGCUAGGGUUGUUAUUGAUGUGGGUGAUGGUAAAUUGGUACUUAAAGUAGGUGACGAAGAGAUUAUCUUUAAAAUUUAUGAUGCUAUGAGAUUUUCUAGGGAACAGGAUGACUCAUGUUAUUUUAUUGACUCUAUUGAUCAUGCUACUAAAGAUUCUUUUUAGGAAAUCAUACAUAAGGACACGUUGGAACUGUGUAUUGCCCAAGGAGAGGAGGGGGAUGAUAAUUCUGAGAUAGAAACUGAACUGAAUUCCAAUGAACCCUCCCCAAGACUAGCAGAAUAUGAGGGUAUGAAGGUAAACGAUGGACCUAAGCAAAAAUCUUCUAUUGAAGAACCUCCUAAAUUGGAACUUAAACAAUUUUCGAAUCCCUUGGAAUAUGCAUUCUUUGUAAAUAACUCUACAUUACUGGUAAUUAUUGCGUCUAACUUGUAGCCCAAAGAGAAAGAGGAAUUACUAAAAGUCUUAAGAGAGCAUAAAAGGGCCAUAGCUUGGAAAAUUUCUGACAUUAAAGGUAUCAGCCCUUCUUUUUGCACCCACAAAAUUUUAAUGGAAGAUGAAUAUAAGCCAUGCGUGCAAGCCCAAAGACGUCUAAACCCCAACAUGAAGGAAGUUUUUAAAGCUGAGGUAAUUAAACUCCUAGAUGAUGGAAUUAUUUAUCCUAUUUCUGAUAGUUCUUGGGUAAGUCUAGUGCAGGUUGUUCCUAAGAAAGGAGGCAUGACUGUGGUAGCCAAUGAGAAGAAUGAAUUAAUCCCAACAAGGACAGUCACAGGUUGGAGAGUUUGCAUUGAUUAUAUGAAGCUAAACGAUGCCACGAGAAAAGAUCACUUCCCCUGUCCAUUCAUUGACCAAAUGUUGGAAAGAUUGUCGGGGAACAUGUACUACUGCUUUUUAGACGGACUCUCUGGCUAUUUUCAAAUCCCAAUAGCUCCUGAAGAUCAAGAAAAGACGACAUUUACAUGUCAAUACGGUACGUUUGCUUAUCCUAGAAUGCCUUUUGGAUUAUGUAAUGCUCUUGCUACUUUUUAGCACUGCGUGAUGGCCAUUUUUGACAAACUCGUAGAAGACGUCAUGGAGGUAUUUAUGGAUGAUUUCUCGAUUUUUGAUAACUCUUUCCAUCUUUGCCUUAAAAAUUUAAAACGAGUGUUAAUAAGAUGUGGGGAAAUAAACCUUGUGCUUAACUGGGAAAAAUGUCACUUUAUGGUUCAAGAAGGUAUUGUGUUAGGACAUAAAAUUAAAACCAUUGAAAAACUACCUCCCCCUAAUUUGGUUAAGGAUAUUAGAAUCUUUUUAGGACAUGCUGGGUUUUAUAGAAGAUUUAUUAAAGACUUUUCUAAAAUAGCUAAGCCUUUGACUAAAUUACUAGAAAAAGAUGUACCUUUUAAUUUCGAUCAGGAGUGUUUAGAAGCAUUUAAUACUUUAAAGGAUAAACUGACUAAUGCUCCAAUUAUAAUUUCACCUGAUUGGAAUUCACCUUUUGAACUAAUGUGUGAUGCGAGUGAUUUUGCAGUAGGGGUAGUUUUGGGAUAGCAAAGAGAUAAACAUUUUUAAGCUAUCUAUUAUGCUAGCAAAACUUUGACAGCUGCACAAGAAAACUACACCACCGCGGAGAAAGAGCUGCUAGCUGUGGUUUUUUGCAUUCGAUAAAUUUAGGCCAUAUUUAAUAUUGUCUAAAGUUGUCGUUUAUACUGACCAUUCCGCUCUUCGCUACCUUUUGACUAAAACUGAUGCAAAACCUCGACUCAUUUGAUGAAUCUUAUUAUUGUAGGAAUUUAACUUGGAGAUUAAGGAUAAUAAAGGAGCUAAAAAUCUCGUGGCUGACCAUCUCUCCAGGCUUGAAAACUCAAGUACCAAAGAGCCAGAUGACGUUGAAAUAAAUGAUUCAUUCCCUGAAGAACAAUUUUUUGCUAUAUUUGAUUCUGAGGUACCUUGGUUUGCAAAUAUUGCAAAUUUCUUAGCUGCUAACAUUAUCCCAAAAGUGUUGACACAUCAGCAAAAGAAGCGAUUCUUCACUGAUGUGAAAAACUACUUUUGGGAAGGCCUUUUCUUUUCUGUAUAUGUGCAGAUUGAAUCAUUAGGAGAUGCGUUACAAGGACAGAAGAAUUGAAAAUUUUGGAACAUUGCCACUCAGGACCGACUAGAGGACAUUAUGGUGGAAAUAAGAUUGCACAUAAAGUCCUCGAAUCAGGUUUUUAUUGGCCCACUCUAUUCAAAGAAACCAACAGGUAUGUUACUUCUUGUGACAAAUGUCAAAGGACAGGUAAUAUAUCCAAACGUGAUGAAAUGCCUCAAACAUAUAUGCUCUCAUGUGAAAUAUUUGACGUUUGGGGUAUCAACUUCAUGGGUCCAUUCCUCAGUUCAUUCGGGAAUAAAUACAUAUUAGUAGCCGUUGAUUAUACAUUUAAAUGGGUAGAAGCCCAAGCUUUACCUACUAAUUAUGCUAGAGUGGUAGUACGAUUCCUUAAGAAACUCUUCUCUUAAUUUGGAACCCCUAGAGCAAUUAUCAGUGAUAAAGGUACUCAUUUUUGUAACGCCCAAUUUGAUAAGACCCUUAAGAAAUACGGAGUUCACCACAGAACAGCUACCCCUUAUCAUCUUCAAACUAGUGGACAAGUCAAAGUAGCAAACUGAGAGCUCAAACGUAUUCUAGAAAAGAUAGUAGAGUCAAAUAGGAAGGACUGGGCGAUGAAAGUGGAUGAUACUUUAUGGGCUUAUAGAACUGCUUUUAAGACCCCCAUAGGAACAUCCCCUUAUAGACUUGUUUAAGAAAAAAGUUAUCAUUUACCGUUUGAGUUAGAACACAGGGCUAUAAAAUUUCUAAACCUUGACCUCAAACUUGCAGUUGAAAACAGGUUGAUGUAAUUCAAUAAGUUAGAUGAGUGGCGAGCCAAUGCAUAUGAAAAUUCGUGUCUAUACAAGGAAGCAAUGAAGCGCCGCCACGACGCCCGCUUGAAGUAACGAAGGCAAUUUGAAGUUGGAGAUCUUGUCCUGUUAUACAACUCGGGGCUCAAAUUGUUUCCUAGAAAGCUUAAAUCACGAUAGUUAGGUCCUUUCAUAGUUCAAACUGUGUUUCCAUAUGGCACAGUAGAGGUCAGUCAUCCAUCACAAAGAACUUUUAAGGUAAAUGGACAUCGUUUCAAAAUUUAUAACAGUGAGAAUUUCAAAGAUGAUAAAGAGGAGCUACGGCUCCACGAAGUUACCUAAAUAUACCCACAAGGUAGAGUCGAGCUUAGACUAUAAAUAAGCACUUAUCGGGAGGCAACCCGAGCACUAAUGGUGUUAACUUCUUUAAAUUUUAGUUUUUAACAUUUAAUUCACUAACUGAGUCACUGAACACAGGAUUUCCAGAACCACAUGGCUAGGCACACGGGCGUGUCGUAUGCCGUGCCCAUUCCAUGGGAGGCAACAUGACCUUGCGAUACGACUGUGUGAAAACAGAGGAAAAAUGUUUCCCCAACAUAGGAUCUGAUAAGUUGCCACGGCCGUGCGACAUGGCCGUGGGAAAUCUUGCCAAAUUAACACGGCCGUACGACAUGCCCGUGCCCACCGACCGUGGUCGAGCCUGUCAAAAUAACACGGGCGUGCCCCUUCAUACACGGGUGUGGGAGAAGUGAACGAAGAAUGACACGGCCAUGCAACAUGGCCGUGUGCACCAAUACGCCCAAUUUCGAAAACCACGAAACACACGGGCUGAAAUGAGGGCACACGGGCGUGCCUCACGGCCGUGUACCCGAAUUUCUUUAUAAACACCUAUUAUUUAUUUUUAUUUUUCUUUUAUUUUUAUCUUUAUUUAUAUUUUGAAAUUACUUUUUAUUUCCCCUUAAUAAUAUUUUAUCUUGAGAUUUUAUAAUUUUUAUUCAGCUAUUUUUUUAUGAGUAAUUAUACUUCUUUAUAUUUCCUAAAGAGUUCUUGAUUUUAUCAUAGUUAUUAAGAGCUCCAAAGCUUACUAUCUCUUUAGAAAUUGAAACUCCACUGGAAAAGGUUCUCCACGACUGCCAUGUCCUGCCCGACCACCACGAUAACCUGUUCGCUAGACACUGUGGUUGUGGAACCCAACCUCUACCACCACCAGAGUAUCCUCCUCCAAUUUUAUCAUUGCCCUUGGCCGAUUAUUCUCCAUAAAUCCAAUUCAAGGAGUCCAUUCAUCGUUCAGGAAGUUUCUCUUCUCUCCCUAUCUUAUGAUCUUAUAUCCAUAUCGUUGUAAAUCUAACUUUGUACAUUGAGGGCAAUGUACAUCUUAAGUGUGGGGGGUUAAUUUAUAUCCUGUUCAGAAAAAUCCCUGAAUUUUGUCUUAUUCUCAUGUGAUCUUCUCAUAUCAUUACUAGAAUGAAUUUUGAUUAACUUAUGAUUUUUAUUGAUAUAUCUUGAAUUAAAACAUAGGCAUUCAUGCAUUGAUUGUUUAAACUUUAAGACAUUAGAGUAUCAAGCAUGAUAAGUUGAUUUUUGAGAAUUAAAAUUUUUUUAGGUUGUUUCCCCCAAGUUUAGGUAUUAUCUUUGAAAUUCACAGGUUUAACAUCAAAAAGUCAUAAUUUUUGUGAGAUCUUGAACCUUUAAGAGCAUCUAUUAUUUCUUUCACGCUCACUUUUAUUGUUGCUUUGAGUGCGUCAAUUGAAUUGUUAUUCUAGAACUUGCUUAAUGAUGCAUGUCAAGAUCACACCAUUUGAUUUGAUAUGUCGAGAUGAUAAAGGCACUUAGGUUUAACCCACUCACUCCACAAAAGCCUACCUUCACAAUUAACCCUUAGUGAACCCCCUUGAGCCUAACAACCCAUUCAUUGAUUUACCCUCAACAUUAACCCUUAACCCAUUAUUGUUGAAAUCCCCUAAAUUAAUUUAAUCCCUAUUUUUUUUCGAUAUUUGAUUUGAAUAAAUUGCUGAGCUAUGUUUUAUUUUUGAUAGACAGUCUAUGUUAUUUGACUUGUUCUUAAAUUAAAAAAAAUACAAUACAUACAUAUUUAUUAGUAGUAAUUCGUCGUUUUUUGAGCUUAAGUGAUUAAUUCCAUAUUCUGAGAAGAAGCUCAUAUAUAUUCAAUUGAUGAUAAGUUAUUUUUCUAGUUAGGUAAUUUUUUAAUUCAAUCUCGAUUCUAACCUUUUCUUUUAGCUUGUGACCACACCCCCUAACCAAAGCCACGUUACAACCCUCUAAAGACCUUUUGAUUGAUAUUUCAUCUCAAUUUAUAGUGGUGGAGAUUUUAUUUUCAUGCAAGCCUAUGGUAAUAACUUUUCAUAUUGACUGUUGAGUGCUUUAAUUGUUGUCCUUAAACACCUCGAGUGAUUUGAGUGAAUCUUUAGUGAGGAUGUUAAACUCUGUGAUAUUUUGAUCAAAGGUGAUUACUUAAAUGAGGGGGGACACCUAUGUUUUCAGGAUAAAAUGCUCAACUUGGAAUGUUUGAAACUUUGCUGUUCUUCUAGUUGACUUCUCAAUGUAUGAUUACUUAUGAUUUAUUUUGAGAUAUUAUUGAUAGAGAUUAUAGGUUGAGAAGAAUUUAUUUUGAUUGUGAGUUGAGGAUUUUGCUUGAGGGCAAGCAAACGCUUAAGUGUGGGGGUAUUUGAUAAACCGUAAUUUAUACAUACUUUUAUCCCAUGCUUAGCACAUUUAUGGAUGAUUUCUCCUUAGAUUUGGUGAAUUCGAUGCUCCUAAUCCUUUAUUUGCAAUUUAAAUUUUUAUUUUCUUUUCUAAUUUUUCUUUUAUUUGUUCCUGGCAAGUUUUUGUAGUGUAUGACUAGAAGAAACCCGUCGGGACCAUUACUGUUUGAUAGUGAGAUCGAUCACACAGUUUGCAGAAAUCGAAGAGAAAUAAGGUGAAGCUUAAGAUACACAGAGGAAGAGCAAGAGGACGAUACUUCAACCACAACCGAGGAGAUGGCUGAAAACCAAGAAACUCUGCUACCUCUUGCGAUUGCUCCUAAUCAGAAUCUACUCCACGUACUAUGUAUGAUUAUGCUAAACCUUCUUUAACAGGAACUAGAUCAAGCAUAGUUAGGCCUGCUGUUGCUGCAAAUAAUUUUGAACUGAAACCUAACACCAUCCAAAUGAUCCAACAGUUUGUUUAGUUUGAUGGUUUGCAGGAUGAGGAUCCCAAGGCUCACUUGGAAAAUUUCUUAGAGUUUUGCGACACUUCUAAAAUUAAUGGUGUUUCUGAUGAUGCCAUUCACCUUCAGUUAUUCCCUUUUUCAUUGAGAAAUAAGGCUAAACAAUGGUUGAACUCGUUACCACAAGGGUCAACCACUACUUGGGAACAAAUGACCGAAAAUUUUUUAUUAAAAUAUUUUUCGCCGGCUAAAACAACCAAAUUACGUAAUGAUAUCUCUUCUUUUGUGCAAAUGGAUUUAGAAACACUCUACGAUGCAUGAGAGAGAUACAAGGACCUUUUGAGAAGGAGCCCUCACCAUGGGUUACUACUCUGGCUAUAGGUUCAAACGUUUUCAUAAUGGCCUGAAUCCUUCGACUCGACAGAUGAUUGACGCAGCCGCUAGUGGAACUAUUAAUAAUAAGACACCUGAGGAUGCUUAUGAAUUUAUAGAAGAUAUGUCACUGAAUAAUUAUCAGUGGCAAGUCAAGAGGACAAAACCAAAGAAACAGCCGGCAUUUUUAACGUCGAUUCGGUCACAAUGCUCUCUAAUUAGGUAGAACUUUUGAACAGAAAGAUUGACGGUUUUCUUGGUUCUUCACAGGUUCACCCAGUAAUGCAGUGCGAAGCAAGUGGAGAUGGAUCAAGCAAUUCAGAAUACCCACCCUAUGGCUACAACAUGGAGAAUGAGCAGUUAAAUUACAUGGAUAAUAAUCCUCGAUCUCAAAAUAAUCCUUAUAGUAAUACUUACAAUGCAAGUUGGAGGAACCACCUAAAUUUCUCAUGGGGAGGCCAAGGGAAUCAGUGACCACCACCACCUCAAGGCUUCCAACAACCACCUUACCAACAAGAGAAAAAGCCGAACCUUAAGGAGAUGCUAACAAAAUUCAUCUCGAUGUCAGAAACUCAUUUUUAAAAUACCAAGACAACACUUAAAAAUCAACAAGCAUCUAUCCAAGGGCUCGAAACUCAGAUCAGUCAACUCACUAAAUUGAUAUCUGAACGACCACAAGGUAGCCUGCUGAGUAACACUGAAUCUAACCCAAUGGAGCAAAUCAAUGCAAUUACCAUUCAAGAUGAGGAAGGGUUAGUUGCACCUGAACCAAAAUCGAGGCAAGAAAUUAUGGUAAGUAAAGGUAAGGGUGAGGUGGACCACAAUGACUAGAAACCAGUAGGUAAAGAAUACAAACCUCGUGUGCCAUGCCUAAACGUGACAAGGAAAGAUCGCACAGAAAAACAAUUUGGUAAAUCCCUUAAAUUAUUAAAUAAGUUACAUAUUAACUUACUGUUUAUUGAAGCUCUUUCGCAGAUGCCAAACACAGUCAAAUUCUUAAAAGAGCUUUUAACAAAUAGGCGGAAGUUGGAUGAGGCAUUGCAUGUGGACCUAAAUGCGAUUUGCUCAGCCAUACUACAGAAUAAGCUGGCCAACAAAUUAAAAGAUCCAGGGAGUUUUACGAUUCCCUGUUUAAUUGGUAGCCUAGAUGUUAAUAAUUAUUUGGCUGAUUUAGGGGAUAGUAUCAAUGUCAUGCCUUACAAAAUGUUUAAGCAACUAGGUCUUGGGAAACCCAAACAAACUAGGAUGAGUAUUCAAGUAGUCAAUAAAACAAUCAGAUUUUCUAGGGGGAUUAUUAAAGAUGUACUCGUUAAAAUUGAAAAAUUUAUAUUCCCACUUGAUUUCGUUGUUCUAGACAUAGAAGAGGAUAGUAACGUUCCUUUAAUUUUAGGGAGGCCCUUUUUAGCAACUACUAGAACAAUAAUUGAUGUUGGCACAAGUGAACUCACACUUCGUGUGGGAAACGAAACAAUCACCCUUCAAGCUCGUAAUUCGAGUAACACAUUGAAAAUUGAAGGUGGUUGUAUUAAUCAUUCUACUAAAACUGACCAUGUGGUGCAACCUACUUUGCAGGAAAUAAGUUUGAAGAACCUACAUGAGCCAUGUUCAAGCAACAACAAAAGACCUAUCUAUGAAGAACGAAGGCUACAAAUCGAGGAACUAGAUGAAUGGCGGGCACAAAAAUCGAGAACACUCGAUAAACCAAAACUAAGCCAGGACGAGCUCAAUACCUCACCAAAUCAACUUAAGGUUGGAAACAAAGUACUACUAGAUACAGCAGAUCCUCGCAUUACCACUACUGAACCUAACAGAGUAAUCCUUAUUACUGUACUCAAUAUUUUUCCAUAUGGUACAGUCGAGGUAAUUCAUCCCAAAUUCGAUGCUUUUAAGGUAAACAGUACUCGUCUUAAACCUUAUAUUGAUAAAAUUGAUAGCAGGGAUGAGGAGUGUAAACUCCUCGCACCACCAUGACCAUGCACCAAAAAGGUAAGUCGAGCUUAGACUAUAAAUAAGCGCUUCUCGGGAGGCAACUCGAGCACUAACAAUAAUGAUUUAUUUAAAUUCUAGUUUUUCACAUUUAACCUACUAACUGAGUAUUGAAAUACAGGGUUUUCCCAUCCACACGGCUAGGCACACGGGCAUGCCUUAGGCCGUGCUCACACCACAGGAGGAGACACGGCCAUACGAUACGACCGUGUGAAAAUAGGGCAAAAUUUUUCCUUAACACGGGAUGCGAUAAGUCACCACAGCCGUGUGAUAAGGCCGUAGACAAAAUUUUUAAACCAACACGGGUGUGCGACACGCUCGUGUUUUGAAACCGUGGGCUAAACUAUCAAUUUAGCGCGGGCGUGCAACACGCCCGUGCCCAACCCCCGUGUUCAACACUGUUAAACUAACACGGGCAUGGGCUAUCAUACACAGGCAUGGGAGAAGCGAACAAAGUAAGGCACGAUUGUGCGACACGGUCGUGUGUACCCACACGCCAAAAGAACACGGGCGUGGGGCGAAUGUCAGAUGCGUCUAAAUUUAAAAAUCGUGAAAUACACAGGCAAAAAUUAGGGCACAUGGGCGUGCCCCAUGGCCGUGUGCCCCAAAAUCUAUAUAAACCCCUCACUAUUCAUCAUCCCCCUCCCCAAAAAUCCCUAACCCUAGCCGCUGCAACUCCACACGCCCUACCUGCCACGCCCGUGCGCUGCCUACAACACUAUUUCCGACGACCCAAGCUUCUUCCUUUUGCGUUUGUUUACUCUUUUCUCUCUAUUUUCUUUAAAUAUUUUGCCUAUUUCAUGUUUUCUCUGAUCCAUUUGACUAUUUUAUGUGAAUAUUCAUAGUAGAAUAAUAGAAAUACUCAUGCUUAUUAUUAAGAAUUUUGCCAUUUUUUAUAUUACAUUCAUCUAUCUUUCUUGUUUCCAUGGAUUUUAUGCUUACCCACAUGCAUUCAUACAUUAGAUAUUCCCAUAGCAUUAUUCUCAUAGUCCUAUUUUAUUAACUUGAUAUAUUUUCAUUUAGUAAUUUUUAGUUUUGUUUUCUUCAUCUAGUACGUUAGUCUUAUGAAAUAUUCCUAGUUAGUUUUGUUUUUUCAUGCUAUUCUUAGGGCAUAUUGGUUGAACUUCAAUUUUUUUUCACUGCAGACAUACCAUGUCAUCUUCACGUGGAAAGAAAACCAUUGUCCUCGCCUAGAAGAAAAGGAAAGGAGUAGCGUCAUCCUCGGGUCCUAUCGCGGAGAUUAGGUGCCCUUUCCUCGAGUUCCCCUUGGGACCCCAAGAGGAGCUAUUUCAAAUAUUACAGGCCCGACCCUUAGGCGUGGGUGUUGCAUUGACUGGGCCGCACUUGAACAAAUUCAGAUGGCUGAAGCGGUCUGAGCCCUCCUGACGACUAAACCGUGGGGGCUCUUCUUUGAGAUCAUCGAGCCGACAUACCUCGAGCUCAUGAUGGAACUAUGCUCGACCUUCCAUCUCCAAGUUGUCAUGACAAACUUCGACGAUCCUGGAACAGUCCAGUUCUGCCUUGGUGGUCUAGUGCGCUAAUUGAGCGUACUCGAGUUCGGGAUUGCACUAGGGUUGUAUAUGGAGGAGUUCAUGGACGACAAUGAACUCGACACCCUCCACCGCUACAUUCACUACUCUCCCUCAAAGUGUUGGAAGGACCUCGUCCCUGCCUCGGCCUCCUAUGAGCCUAGCCACUCUAAGGCAUCAGCCCUCGCUCUAUCCUUGCGAUACCUACAUGCCAUUUUGGCCUACACUCUGACAGGACAGUGAGAGAGCACCGGCAUCGUCAACACUCACGACGCCUAUUUCUUAUGGAGCAUGGUGAACGGGCACGUCUUCGACCCUACCUACUUUAUCUCCAUCGCCAUCCGCCAUCAAACGGAGCGAUAUAGGAGAGAGGUCAUCUCUAUCAGGCCCUAUGUAACUCGAUUGGCUCGACACUUUGGGCUCCUCAACACAGCAGCACAAUCAUCCUCCCUUACUCUCAUCAACCAUAUGUCCCCACAGGGCAUGUCGAGCAUGGUAAAUAUGAGGAUGAUCAAGAAACGACGUGGCACCUACCCUCCUCAGUACCACCUCAUCCAGUCCACCAAGGAGGAGGACCCAAAGGACAUUACUGAUGAUGUCCCUCUACGUCACGAGGACCCAUCGCCUCAGCCACUACCCAUCCAUCAUCCAGUUUAUGCGGUGGCUUCAUACUCUGACAUCUCUGAGCGCCUUACUUGAUUUGAGUAGCAGUUUUUUAGCAUUUUGAUCACAUUAAUGCUACACUUCACCAGAUUUGUCAGCACCUUCACAUCUCAUCGCCAACACCACCUCGUGAACCAUCCAGCGAUGACGAUGUUUAAAAACUUUUAUUUAUUAGUUUUAUUUUCACUUUUAUCUUUAUUUAUCUUAUUUAAGUACUUUUUAUUUCAUUUUUCUUUAAUAUUAUUUUAAUUUUAGUUUUUAUAAUUUUUAUUAAAUAAUUUAUAGUUUUGGCUAUCUCAUUACCAGUAAUUAUGUUUCAUUAUAUUCCCUAAAAAGUUCUUGAUUCUAUCACAAUUAUAAAGAGCUCCAAAGCUCAUCAUCGCAUAGGAACUAAAAACUCCACUGGGAAAGGUUCUCCACGACUGCCAUGUCCUGCUCGACCAUGACCAGAGCUACCAUCAGAUAUAAUAUUCUUUUGGGGCAGGACUUAUGGACUACUAAACCACUACUACCACCGGAGUAUCCUCCUCCACUCUCAUCAUUUCCUUGGCCGAUUUUUCUCUAUAACUCCAAUUCAAGGAAUUCAUUCAUCAUUCAGGAAGUUUCACUUCUCUCCCUAUUUUAUGAUUAAUUAUCUUUAUGUUUCAAUAUAUCUAUCUUUGUACAUUGAGGGUAAUGUACAUCUUAAGUGUGGGGGGUAUUUUAUAUCAUCAUUAUAAAUCCCUAAAUUUUGUCCUAUUCUCACGUGAAUUACUCAUAUCACUAUUAGAAUGAAUUUUAAUUAAUUUAUGAUUUUUAUUGAUAUGUAUUGAAUUAAAACAUAGGCAUUUAUGCAUCGAUUGUUUAAACUUUAAGAUAUUAGGGAAUCAAGCAUGAUAAGUUGAUUUUUGAAGAAUUAAAAAAAAACUUUUAGGUUGCUUCCCUAAGUUUAGGUAUUAUCUUGAGUUGAAAUUCAGAAGUUUGAACAUCAAAAAACCAUAAUUUUUGUGAGAUCUUGAGCCUUUAGAGCAUAUUUUAUUUCUUUCAUGCUCACUUAGUGAACCCUUAGUGAACCCCUUUGAGCCUAACAAGCCAUUAAUUUAUUUACCCCCAAUAUUAACCCAUAACCCAUUAUUGUUGAAAUCCCUUAAUUUGAUCCCUAUUUUUGUCGAGAUUUGAUUUGAACUAAUUGCUUAGCUAUGUUUUACUCUUCUAACAUUUGACUUGUUCUAAAAAAAGAAAACUUCAACACAUAUUAGUAGUAAUUUGUCGUUUUUGAGCUUGAGUGUUAAUUCCAUAUUCUAAUAAGAAGCUCACUUGUAUUCAACUGAUGACUAGUUAUUUUUAUAGCUAGGUAAUUUUCCAAUUCAAUCUCGAUUCUAGCCUUUUCUUUUAGCUUGUGACAACACCCCCUAACCAAAGCCACAUUACAAUCCUCUAAAAGACCUUUUUGAUUGAUGUAUCAACUCAAUAUAUAGUGGUAGAGAUUUGAUUUUCAAGCAAGCCUAUGGAAAUAGCUUUUCAUAUUGACUAAUGAGUGCUUUAAUUGAUGUCCUUAAACACCUUGAGUAAUUUGAGUGGAUCUUUAGUGAGGAUGUUAAACUCUGUGAUAUUUUAAUCAAAGGUAAUCACUUAGAUAAGGGGAAACACCUAUGUUUUCUUGAUAAAAUACUCAACUUGGAAUGUUUGAAACUUUGAUGUACUUUUAGUUGAAUUUUCAAUGUAUGAAUACUUAUGAAUUAUUUUGAGAUAUUAUUGAUAGGGAUUAUAAAUUGAGAAGAAUUUAUUUUGAUUUUGAGUUGAGGAUUUUGCUUGAGGAUAAGCAAACGCUUAAGUGUGGGAGUAUUUGAUAAACCGUAAUUUAUAUAUAUUUUUAUCCCAUGCUUAGCAUAUUUAUGGAUGAUUUCUCCUUUGAUUUGGUGAAUUCGAUGCUUCUAAUUCUUUAAUUUCAUGUUUUAUACUUAGGUGAGCAUAGGAGAGUAAAAAGAGUGAGAAACAGGCUGAAAACGGAGAAAAUGGACCCACAUGGGAAAUCAACACGGCCUGGACUUCGUCACACGGGCGUGUCACAUGGCCGUGUCCCUUUGGCAGGAUCGAAGCAUGACUUACAUGGGUAGACUACACGUCCGUGCCUAUUCAACAGCCUUGACCACUGGCUGGAGUAAUCGCACAUGGGCGUGUCACUACUGAGCCCAAAUAUAACCCUAUUCAGAAAAGGCCAAUUUUGAGGGCUCUUAGGCAUUCUAAAGCCUAUUUAAACACCUAAAAAGACACUUAGGAGAGGGAUGCAGAGUAGGAGGCAAGGAAUUACUCAAGGGAAGCAGAUUGGUCCAUCUCAAAAGUCGGAUUCAUCAUCAAGACUGAAGAUCUCCCUUCAAUUUUCAUUCAAGGAUUUUGGGUUUUCUUUAUGUUUUGUAUUCAUUAUUAUUUUGAGAUGCUUUCUUCUAUAAUUAUGAAAUAAACCCCCUAAAUUCCUAAAGGGAAUGAAACCUAAGAUAGAUCUUGUUAUUAUUAUCUGAAUUGUAUGAUAAAUAUUUGACUUGUUCUUAAUUAUGUAUUCUUAAUUCUUGUUUUAAUAUUCUAGGAUAUUGAUUCGAGUUAAUGUUCAGAGGAGGAAUAGAUCCUUAAAUUUGUCAUAAUUAAGUGGAGUUGAUUGCACGCCUAGAGAUAAGGUGAUAAGAUUUUGCCGGAUUAGGGUGAAACCUAAUAAGGGGAUCCAUAGAUCGAGUUAAUACAACACUAGGGCGUUAAUUAGAAAGAGAUUUCAAUUAAUCAACCUAGGGUUAGACGUUAUUAGUCUCGAGAGAGAUAAUAAUAUAACUUAGGGAUUUCUACGGAUCAAGUCAAAUGAAUAAAUCGUCUGAUUUAGAGUCAAUAACAAGUGAAGUCUAGGUGGAUUUUUCCUUGGGUAUUGUCUUAAUCAGUCAAAUUUUUCCCAAAAGCUUUAUCUCAAUAUCUCUUUGUGCACUCUUAGUUUAGUUAAUUAGUUUAAAUAAAAAAAUCCUUUAAUUUUUAGGCUAGAUAAUAAAAAGGAAGUAAUUACUAGUAUUCUUGAUUCCUUUGGGUUUGACAAUCCGGUCUUGCUAAAGCUAUACUACUGUUCGAUAGGUAUACUUGCCUUCAUCGUGAUAAUAGUUAGUUUCAAGAACAAUUAAUUAUAAAUUUUUAAAACCUAUCGCGAAUAUCACGAAUCACCCAAGUAUAAUACUAUUCGGAAAGGGCCACUUUUGAGGGCUUUAAGGCAUUCUAAAGCCUAUUUAAACACCCGAGGAGGCACUUAGGAGGGGACACACGGAGUAGGAGGUAAGGAAUUACUCAAGGGAAGCCGAUUGAUCCAUCUCAGAAGCCGGAUUCAUCGUCAAGAUUGAAGAUCUCCCUUCAAUUUCCUUCAAGAGUUUUGGGUUUUCUUUAUGUUUUUUUAUCUUUAUUCUUUUGAGAUGUUUUCUUUCAUAAUUAUGAACUAAAACCCCUAAAUACCUAAGGGGAAUGAAACCUAAGACGGAUCUUGUUAUUCUUAUCUGAAUUGUAUGAUAAAUAUUUGACUUGUUCUUAAUUAUGUGUUCUUAGUUCUUGUUUUAAUAUCCCAGGAUAUUGACUCAAGUUAAUGCGCUUAUUCAGAGGAGCAAAAGUCCCUGUCUAAUAGUAAAUUUGUUGUAAUUAAGUGGAGUUGAUUGCACGCCUAGAGAUAGGGUGACAAGAUUUUGCCAGAUUAGGGUGAAACCUAAUAAGGGAGUCCAUAGAUCGAGUUAAUGCAACGCUAGGGUGUUAAUUAGAAAGAGAUUUCAAUUAAUCAAUCUAGGGUUAGACAUUAUUAGUCUCGAGAGGGAUAAUAAUAUAACUUAGGGAUUUCUACGGAUCAAGUCAAAUGAAUAAAUCGUCUGAUUCAGAGUAAAAAAAAAGUGAAGUCUAGGUGGAUUUUUCCAUGGGUAUUGUCUUCAUCAAUCGAAUUUUUCCCAAAAGCUUUUCCCUAAUUUUCUCUCUGUGCACCCUUAGUUUAGUUAACUAGUUUAGAUAAACAAGUCCCUUAAUUUUUAGGCUAGAUAAUAAAAAGAAAGUAAUUACUAGUGCUCUUGGUUCCUUUGGGUUCUACAAUCCGGUCUUGUUAAAGCUAUAUUACUGUUCGAUAGAUACACUUGCCUUCAUCGUGAUAAUAGUUAGUUUUAAGAACGAUUAAUUAUAAAUUUUUAAAACCUGUCGCGAAUAUCACGUAUCAAACUUUCACUGAGGCUAAACUUUUACUACCUAUCUCUUUAAAUUCACAUACAAAAAUCAUAAGUGGUAUUCACUUUACAAUAUUUUUACUGAAACUUAAUCUCUACUAGAAAGCUCAUGUACUCAAAAGUCUGAUCCAUACCAUCAUGUUACAUAUACAUUCGCACCUGAAUCUUUUCAGAUUCGAAUAGUAAAACUAGUCAGUUCUUCAAACUAGUCAGUUCUUCUCAACCUCAUACUCUUUAUAAUUUCACACAGUCCAACUAUUUGCCAAUUCAACCCUUAGCUACUCUUCAUUUCAAGCCUCUUCUGGUUUUCCAUAGAAAUCAUGAUAUGAAACUCAGAUCUCAAUCCGAUUAGUGGAGAUUAAAAUUCCAUGAUAUCCAAAAUUUAUAAAGACACAAAAUUCUAUAAAUUUGGUGAGCAGACAUUCGGAUAUACCUACAUAAUUUACACAUCUCAUAACGUUUAACAACGCUAUAUAUCACUUUCCUCUUUCAAGGACAGGAAUGAUCCAAACAAGAAAAUCCAUAUUAACUUUUUCUAUUUCCAUUCUAGUGCCCAAACGACAAAAAUAAUUCUGAUGAUUCUUGUUAUACAUCUUUAAAUUUUCAACAUUUCAAGAAUUUGUACUCAAAGAUAAACAAUGAUCAUUUCAGUAUUUUUAAAUACCCAAAUUAUCUUCACACUAUCAAUCUCAGAUCUUCUUAUCACAUUCAAUUUUUCUAGGAAACAUACACUUCUUAAUUAGACUAUUUGUCUUUUUACCCGUGAAGAAAUAAAAUCUUAUUCUCAAGCAUAGACAUCCCAUUAAAUUCUAAACAUAUAUUCUUCACAGAUUGAAAAAUUAAGUUGACCUUAUUCAUUCGUAAUUGAUAUUCUAAAAAAAAUUCUCUCUUCUAGUCAACAGAACGAUUCAACAUGCAUCAUUCCAAAUUCACUCAUCAUGCCAAUCGAAGACCAUAACAAAUGCAUUGGCAUAAGUAAUACUGAUACUUCAACUGAAUAUAUUAACUCUGAUUAACUUACUUGAGAAAGGAAAUCCACCAUACACAUUAGGACUGGAAAUUUCACCACAUUAUCAGAAUCAAUUCAGAGGUAUAGUCAUACUUGUUCUAUAUAUAUUAAUCACAAGCUGGAGGUCAUGCUAUAAAUGCAAGUCAUGAUCAACAAGUUACAAGAUAAAUAUAACAAGAAAAUCCAAGAUAGAGAAAUCCGAGACGGAGAAGCCCAUCAUUUCAACCACUAACAUCAAAUACGAUCGGAACUAUAUGCUAUUCAUAUAUAUAUGUGUGGUAUAAUCAGUCAGAGCAAUGAUCAGUAGAGACAGAAUCAUGGCACCGUACACAAUUUCUCAUCUAUUCUCAAUAGGCAGAAUAUAACAAAAUACCAGAGAAAAACAGAACCAUGCAAAUCAUAACCCAAUCAGAUUGACAACAUAUUUGUCUAACGUUAAGAUCAAGGAACAUUUUCAUAAUAUAAGAAUUCAUCAGGGAUUAGAGAGCCCCAAUAAUAUUUUCGGUAUCAGAUAAUCUUAUACAAUAUAUCAAUAGAGACAGUCACAAACUGUUCACUGUAAUUACCAUGCUUGAACAUUUCAUAUUUCGAACAUUAUUCCUUUAAUUAUUUCUGCCGUUCCAAAUUCCAUAAUAUUCCCUUCACUAAGAGAACCAGUUCAUGAGGGAAUUUCAAUCAAUACAUUUCUCGAUGUCAUACCAGGAUAGAUUUGUUUUACCAAAAUUGACCUUUUUCACUAGCUGCGAGUUACAAAAAUUAAAUAGUCUUUCGGUCAAUCCGAUAUUUUUCUAGCUCAUGUCUGUACUUACCAACCCCUUCUCAAUCUUUAAUCAUUCUUAUAACCAUUAUAUCAUUAAACUCUUUGGUUUCUUGCCCGGUAACUCAUUCAACACAAAUCACAGAAAUUUCACAUUAUAAAACACCACUUUGGUAAGGGGGAGAGGUCGUAGGGCCUCUGACUCGACUCUCAUAUACAUAUACAUGUAACACAGUUUUCAUCAUCAUAGCAAUCAUAUCUCAAUCAUGUCAUUCAUUUUAGGUAACUAACAUUCGUAUUGAUUUAAGGCCCACUUUCCAAUUAUCUCAUUUUAAUGAGUAUACUUAUACAUGCAUUCUAUGUUUUCUGGAUAACUUUACUUAUCUAUUCAUUUAAUCAUAUAAAUCAUGCACAUGAUAUCAUACAUGGGCCAACAAACACAGAUGAGUUUAUCACAAUCUAUACUUUUACCUCGUACACCAUCAUUUAGGCAUAUCGUUACAAACAUAUGAAUUAGUACAAGCAAUUUAACACGUUUACUUAAGCUAUACAAGCUUAUCAACCAUGAUUUUUCAUAUAAGCGUACGUGAAUAUUCAUUCCAUCUAUAUCUUUGGUAAGUUAUCUAAACACAUGUAUUCACUCAAGCAAAUAGACCAUUUACAUCAUAUAAUUAUCUAUUAAUCAUAUAUAAGCUCAUUUCGCCAUGUACACAUUUCAUGAAUCCUCAUUCGUACCUUUCCAAGUUUCAGUUCAUCAUGACUGUGCUUUACUCAAAUAUUUUGGCAUCACAUUCAGUAUGGUCAAUGUAGCUCAGUUGGAGAGUACCUUUGUCUAAACAAAAUAACUCACAUACGAGUCGGGAGACGUCAUACUAUCCCAAAUCAGUGGCGUGUAGUAGACUCUCAUACAUAUGCUAGGUUAGUCUGAGAAACGACUAAACCAUAGCUCUUACACCACUAAAUGUAACACCCCUCACCCGUAUCCAAUGCCGGGACAGGGUUCGAGGCAUUACCGGACUUAAACAUUUACAACAUGCAAAACUGGGCCACAAAAUUUUUGCCAAAAAUUAAAACAUCUCGAACACAUGCAUAUCGUCCCUUAUAUAGGCCUUUGAAACCUAUAACAUACAUUGAGGUGGUUUGGGACUAAACCAUAGCUCUUAUACCACUAAAUGUAACACCUUUCACUCGUAUCCAAUGCUGGGACAGGGUUCGAGGCGUUACCAGACUUAAACAUUUACAACAUGGAAAACUGGGCCACAAAAUUUUUGCCAAAAUUAAAACAUCUCGAACACAUGCAUAUCGUCCCUUAUAUAGGCCUUCGAAAGUUAUAACAUACAUUUAGGUGGUUCGGGACUAAACCAAGAACUUUGAAAAUCUUUGGGCAACUUAACUAAUUUUCUUGCUUUGGAGAGUCACACGCCCGUGUGGAUUAGGCCGUGUGGUCACACACAUCCGUGUGGCUUGGGACACGCACGUGUCCUCAGCCCAUGUAACUCUCUAUUUGUGACAUUAGCAACCGUUUAAGGACACACUACCAAGGCACACGCCCGUGGCGAGAGGCUGUGUCCUCCACACGGCCGUGUCUCUACCCAUGUGGUCAAAACUUAGGCUAAUUUCCAAGCCUUUUUGUCAUUUUCACAUGUACACACAUACAUUUGACCUUUUCAUCUUAUUAAUCACUUAUACCAUAAACUUCUCAUACAUAGUGAACGAGUACAAUCACAAGACAAUAACACAUAUCAUAGAUAGAUAAGCUUACAAACCAAAAUCAUUAUAAGCCACAUCUCUUGGCUAUAAGCAAUAAGUCAAUAUAAGCCAAUACAUUUGGCUAUUCACAACAAUAUUCAUCAUAGAAAAACUAAGUCCCUAUACAUGCCACUCACUUGAAAACAUUUAACUUACGCAUGUCAAUACUCCAAAGGUAAUGGCUUGAUAGUGUGAUGCUGCCUUCGACGUUCUCCAACCCCGAGCUAACCUGAAAAAACUAAAAGUAAUGGAAAGGAGUGAGUAAGCUUUACUCUUAUUAAGCUCACAUGAAAAUAAUAAACAAUGUGAUAACAUGUUAUUUUCAAAUUCUUUCUAUUUAUUCAAAUUCCAACUAAGCUUUUUUCUCGAGUCACAGUCAUUAAAUUAUUUAUAUCUGGAGUUAUGAGACUCCAAAUCAAGUUCCGUUAAUUUUCCCAGAAACUAGACUCAUAUCCCUUCCUGCCAUAAAAUUUUCAAAAUUUUUGGUCUAGCCAAUAAGUACAGUUUAUUAUUUAAAGUCUUCCCUGUUUUGCUGUUUAACAACUUCGACCUUUCUUCACUAAAAUUUAUUUAUCUCAUAGUAUAAGACUCAGAUAAUGUUCCUAUCUCUUUCUCCUGAAAGUAGACUCAUUAAGGAUUUUAUUCAUAUGAUUUCUAACUUAUAAUUAUUUUUUUACAAUUUCUAGUGAUUUUCCCAAGUUAGAAUAGGGGAUUUUGAACUUAUUCUGACUCUGUCUCACAAGAAUUCAAAUAUCUCACAAGAAUUCUUUUGCUUACACCAUUUCAUUUAUGUGAAACUAGACUCAUUAAGCUUUAAUUCCAUAUUUUAUGUAGCCUCUAAAUCAAUUUCAACUAUUUUUAGUGGAUUUUCAAAGUCAGACCACUGCUAUUGUCCUAAUCUGUCUUAGUGCAACAUAAUGAUAACUAUCACAAGCUUGUCAUAGAAAUUAUUCUCAUAAAUAUCACUCAUUCAUUUGCACUCUUUUCACAAGUCCAUUUCAUUUCACAUGUCAAACAUGUACUCAUGAGUUUCGAGUACGUACCUGUGCUAUCUCUUAGCACAACUACUCAUGCAAACAGGACAAUCAUAUGCAUCAUACUAGUAUCAACUAAGUAUAGAUGAGUUUGUCAUACCAUUUUUCUUUAUAUCACUAUGUAUGUCAUUAUCACUGAAUUAUUGAAUUUCCAAUGGACCUUUUCUUUUCCAAUUGUACUCUCGAGGUGUACGUUUCUUUCUAAGUGGUACACAUAAAGUAUACCUUUCUUUUUCAUAUGGUAUACACAAAGUAUACCUUUCCUUUUCAAGCAUACACACAAAGUGUACAUAACCUUUUCAUGUGGUAUACACAAAGUAUACCUAACCUUUUCAUAUUAGAUAGCAGAAGCUAUCCCUUUUCACAUUUGAUAGCGGAAGCUAUCUCUUUUCACAUUCGAUAGCCGGAGCUAUCCCUUUUCACAUGGUACACACAAAGUGUAAAUUUCCUUUUCAUAAUGAGAUUAAAAGAUUACCCUUUCGGGACAACCUUUACUGCAACAUAUGCAGGACCUCAUUUACAUGGUAACCACUCAUUUCUUUUAAAUAUCAUAUUCCAUCAAAUUUCUAUUAACAUGAAAUUCAAUAAAAUUAUAACAAGAUGUAUUUCAUGUAUAACAAUAAUAACAUGAAUAAUAGGCUUAUUAAAUCACGCGAACUUACCUCAGAUCUAGAAAUGGCGAUUUACCAUUUUAGUCCAUAACCUUGUAUUUUCCCGAUUUAAGCCCAAAUCUCGAUUUCCUUGAUCUAUACUAUCACAUUUAGCCUACUAAUUAGUCAAAUUAUUAAAUUGGGUCUAAAAAUCAUAUUUUUACAAAUUUGUAUUUUGACCCCUAAACUUUCACAUAUUUGCACUUUUGCCCCAAUGCUCGUAAAAUGAUUUUUAUUCAAUUUCCUUACAUUUAAGUAUAUCUGAAUCAUUUCAUAACUAUCUGAAUCAUUUUCAUAACUAUGGCAGCCCCCAAUUCCCACUAAAUCACCCUUUUAUGAUCAAUUUUACAACUUUUACAAAACGGUCCUUUCGGAUGUUUUCAUUGAAAACCGCUUAGUAAAAGUCGUUUAUUUAACACCCAACACUCAUUUCCUACCAUUAAACAUCAAAAUACAACCAUGUCACUCAUGGGUAAAUUUUAAAACAUAAACCCUAGCUCAAAAUAAUGGUAGAAAUGAGUAACAUUAAAAACGGAGCUCGGAAUCACUUACAAUUAAGCUUGGAGGCUUGGCCAAAUGCUAACCAUGGAUACUAUUGGUAUAUUCUGCUGAAGCAAGAAGAAAGGGACACAUUUGAGGUUUAAAAUUUGUCUUUUAAUUCAUUUUACCCCUAAAUGACCAAAAUACCCUUUUACUAUUCUUUCAAAUUUUACCCAACCAAGGCCAUUUUCAUCCAAAAAGUUAUACAAUGGUUUAAUUACCAUUUAAGGACCUCCCAUUUAAAAUUUCAUGGCAGUUAGACACCUCUAACAUGUAGAAUUCAACUUUUGCACUUUUUACAAUUUAAUCCUUUUUACUAAAUAGAGUGCCCAAACGUCAAAAUUUUCGAACGAAAUUUUCAUGAAAUCAUUCCGUGAAAUCGUAGACCAUAGAAAUAUAAUAAAAAUAAAAUUUUUCUCAUCGGAUUUGUGGUCCCAAAACCACUAUUCCUACUAAUACCAAAAUCGGGAUGUUACAUACAAGAUAGAUAACACUUGGGAACCCGAAUUAGGAUAAAAGGAAUAUAUACCUAUUGGUGAGAAUAAUUUGCCUAGAAAACAACCCCACAUACUAUAAAUUAACCCCUUUAUGGUCUUCAAUGAAGUUCCACAGCUAAAAUGUCCCUUUCAUUAAAUCAUGCAGCAAUUAAUGACGCGUAUUUUAAAAUUUUGUGUGUAUAACUACCUAUCAAUAUGCUAUUCUGGUGUCAAUAAAGCAUAUGAUAUUUGAAAUAAUUAUUGACUUAUAUCAACUUGUAUUAUAGAAUUAAAUGCAUGCCUUAGUGUCAGUAUUUUUUGGAUCAAAGUCAUUAUGUAAGCACUGAUUACUCAACCACUCUCACCAAUUAUUUUGCAUACAUAAAGAAGUUUACGACAUACAUGCACUACACCUAUAUCUAUGUGAACUAAUUACAGGUAGACUGAAGUAGUUCCAAUUUAUAAAGAUUUAUCCUUACCAAAACAAAUAUAAUUUUCCUUUAAUAGAUGUAUAAUUUAUUAAAAACAAACUACAAGAUCCAUAUGCAGGACCUCUUUUGUCUCAUAACCAUCCAAUAUGUAAUAUGUCUAAUAUUCAACUUUAAAUUCGUUGAAAGCCUUAGUUUUUUCAUCACCACUAGAGUUCCUACCGUAUUAGGAAUCUUUUCUAGUAUCUCCUAAUCAAAAUUGGAAAUAUUGUUUAAAUUUGUUGCUAAAUAAGUAAUAGAAAUACAACAUUCAUCAGAUAUAAUUAGAAAUAAAUUUUCUAACUCAUAAUAAUUGACUUAUGUCAACUUCCAUCCUAGCAUUAAAUGCAUGCCCAUGUAAGGAUUACUUCGUCAUUCUUGCCUGAUCCUAAACACAUAAAUGAAAAUAUACAAUGUAUAUGCACGGUACAUUUACCUAAACAUAGAGUGAGCAAUGCCAACCUAUAAAGUUUUACCCAUCACCAAAAGAGAUUUUUUUCCAUAAACAGAUGUACCGUUCAUCAAAAUGAAAUAUAAGAUAUAUCUUCAUGAUCCUUUUUGUCUCAUAAAUUGUCCUAGAUAUAUUAUGCCUAUGAUAAGUUAUAAAAAUAACAUAUUUUACUCCCAUUCUUAAUGUUUUGGAUGAUUAAUUAUGCAAAUUAGUGAAUUUGAUGCUCCUUGUAACAACUCAUUUUUAGUCAAAUCAGAACAGUGGUUUCGGGACCACAAAUUUGAAGUUGAAAUAAUUAUUUUAUUAUUAUUUUAAUGUCUACAGUAUGAUAGCAUGAUUGUGAGAAAUUUUCGUUAAGAAAAUUUAUUGUUUGAAUGGUUAAUUUGAUAAAAAAGACUAAAUCGCGUAAAGUGCAAAGUGAUGUUUUAAUAGCUAAAAGUACUAUUUGGUUAUUAAAUUAAAUAGAUGAGGGGGUUAUGUGAUAAAUAGACCAUUGGUUAUUCAAAUGGACAUUUAUGGACAUUACUUAUAUAAGUUUUAAUAUAUUAGUAAAGGGUAAUUUAGUAACUAGUGUAAUAAACUAUAAUAAAUAAACAAAAAUCACUAUUUUAUGUCCAUCUUCUUCUUCUUCAACUGAUUCUAACCUAGGGAAAACCAUGGAUAUGUUCGUCCAAGCUUCCUAGCUCAAUUGGUGAGUAAAUUUUGUCCCGUUUUUAAUGAUUUCUAUGUUUUUUAGAUCGUUGCAGCUUAGUCUAGCUAGCCCAGGGCCUAUUUUGCAAAACUGUUAAAGGUUUAGGGUUUUUCAAUUGAUGAAUCUAUAUGUGUUUUAAUGUUUAAUGGUAGAAUAUGCAUGCUUAUUGUUAGAUAAACAACAUUUGUAAAGUGAUUUUUGACAAAAUUGUCAUUUAGGAUUAAUUUGUGAAAUGUGUACAUUUUGUGGUUAAAUCGUGAAAUAAAUGAAAAAUAUGGACUGUUAAGGGCCUAAUUGAAAUUCGGCUAACUUGGGUUUUGGUUGAAUUGCAUGAACUUGUGAUUUUAUGAAAUAAGGACAAAAUUGUAAAAAUGUUGAAAUUUAGGGAAAAAGUGUUAAUUUGCCUUAAUGUGUAUUUUGGACUAAAUUGAAUAAAGUGAUAAUUAAAUAAGUUAAUUUUGAUUACAUUUAGAUCAAGAAAGGCGAAAUACAGAUUUAGAUCAGGAAAAGAACAAGGUUUCGGAUUAAUCGACUUGUUACACCAUUUUUACAUUUGAAGUAAGUUUAUAUGCAAUAAGUUUUGUUUUAAUUGUAUUUUAAAUGCUUUGAUAUUACAUAAAUUGUGAGUACGACUCUACAGACAUGUUCAAUGACGGUUUGGCAAGUGAGAAAUCCCUGUUGAAGCUUAAAAAUAGAUUAGGAUACGAAUAACAUGUCAUAAAGGGUUGUGUGAUUUGGGUGCUGGUCCGUACAUCCUACCGGUGACUGAGUUAUCUGGCAUAUGUUGUGGAUACUCGUUAGCUUGUGUGAGCAACACUGUGUAGCUUCGUCAUGACGUCAGCUUGUGUGAGCAGACCCGUUGAUAGGUCUAGUGUGAGCAUUAUAUGUGAUAUGAGAUUGAGAUAGAUUUGAAUGGUUCAAUAGGUAUAUUAGAGGGGUGGUUAUGUAUAAGUUGAUACGAGGUGGUACAGGUAUGUACAUAAACCGUACAAGUAUUGAGGAAAUUAUGAAAGUUAUAUAUAUAAUUUUGUGAAUGAAUAUGUGGUAAGUUGAUGAUUAAAUAUGAAUUAUGUUAUGUUAUGUAUUAUUUGCUUAAGUUGUGCAUAUAUGGUAAGUUGAUUUUUAUGCUAUACGAACUUACUAAGCUUUAUAACUUACUUUGUUGAUUUUCCGUGUUUUAUAGUGAAAUCAAAGCUAGCUCGGAUUCGAGAUUCGUCGGCGACUUCAUCAUACUAUCUAACUAUCACUGGGUACUUUUGAACUUAAGUAUUUUGAGUAUAUGGCAUGUAUAGGAUUAUGGUCAUUUUUGAUAUAUAGUUUGGUCAAGAAUUUAACCAUUUGAAUUGGCUUGUAAAUGUCUAAAGUUUGGUUUUGUAUAUUGCCAUGAGAGUUGGCUUAUUUUGGUUGAUUUGGUUGUGAAUAUAAUUGUGCAAAUGGCUCUUGUUAUGUGAUUGAUUAUGGAUAUGUGAUGUUAGUUGGUAUUUGGUAAUUAGGGGUGCUAAAUGGUUGAGAAUUGGUAUGUUUGUGAGAUUAGGCUAAAUGAUGCAUAGUUGAAAGUGAUUGUAUUGUUGGUUUAAGAUUAUGAGUUUUGGUAUGAAUUGAAUGGCACAUUGUGGUAUUAAUAUGUUUGGUAUUGGUUGGUAUUGAAAUGGUAAAAAUUAUGCUUGUUCGAGGUUGGUUGAAUGCCUAAUUAUACCAUGAUUUUGCGCCAACUAGAUUGGUUUAGGUGUGUGCAAGUUUAGGUGGCAAAAUGGUUUGGUAAAUAGCUUAUUUUUGUCGACACGGGCAUGUGUCUCAGCCGUACAUGACACACGGUUAUGUUACAUAGCUGUGUGUCCCCUGGUGUUGAAUUAAAAAUCAAGUUAGUAUGCUCCACACGGAUUAGCACACGGGCGUGUGACUUGGCCGUAUGGCAUAAGUCAAUAUACCCUAUAGGUUUGGCAUGGCCUAGCACAUGGCCUGGCACACGGGCGUGUGUGGCCAUUUUUAGGGUACACGGGCUAGUCACAUGGGCAUGUGUGUUGGCAGUGUGACCCAAGUCAGAGAGUUACACGGGGUCAGACACGGGCUGGGACACAACCAUGUGUUCCCAUUUCGAAUGUCCACACGGGUGUAUGUCCCUUGUAGUUUGAAAAUUUUUCUAAGUCUCGUAAAAAUCUCUUGAGUUAUCAGUUUAAUCCCGAACCACCCCAAAUGCAUGUUUUAGGCCUCGUAGGCUCGUAAUAAGGACAAUAUGAUUGAUGUUGAAUGAUUAUUACAUGGUGUUGGAAUAUGUAUGUGAAAUGUAUGUUUAUUUGUGUUAUAAGUCCGGUAAUGAUUCGUAACCCUAUUCCGGCAUUAAAUACGGGUGAGGGGUGUUACACUUCUAAUCCUUUAAAUUCAUGUUUCUAUACUUAGGAAAGCAUUUGGGAGUGAAAGGAGAGAAGAACGAGCCAAAAUCAGACAAAUAGAGCUAUUUUCAGGAUCCACAUGGCCUGGGCAUUUCCACAUGGGCUAGCCACAUGCCCGUGUAAGCCACACUGGCUGGCCAAAUGUCCAUGUGCUGGCCCGUGUCGGUUUCGCACCCUACUUCCAAAAUACAUGGAAAACCUCAAUUUUUAGUCUUUUUGAGCAUUCUAAAGUCUAUAAAUACCAAUUAGAAGAAGACCUAGGGGGCAAUCAGAGAAGAUCAAAGAAAACACUCAAAAAAUGCCAUCAGAAUCAACUCAGAAGCGGAUCUCCGUAAAGAUCAAAGAUCUCCUUUUAAUUUCUUUCGAAAUAUUAUUGAGUUUCUUUAUGUCUAGUGGUUAUCCUAACUUUGAGAUGUUUCUAUUCAGGAUUAUGAAUUAAAUUCUCCAGAUACCUAGGGAAAAUGAAACCUAUGAUGAAUCUUAUUAUUUGAUUUCUGAUUUACACGAUAAAUAGUUGAUUCUUGUUCUUAAUUAUAUAUGCUUAUUUCUUAUUUUAAUAUUUCUGGGAUAUUAAUUCAUGUUUAAUGUGCUUAUUUCAAUGGAGUAAAAGGCCCUGUUUGAGAGUAGAUCUAGCAUAAUUGAGUGGAGUUGCAUGCAAUCCUAAAAAUAGGACGACAUAAAUCUACCGGAUUAGCGCCAAAUAUAAUAGGGGAAUCCAUAGAUCGAGUUAAUGCGACGAUAGGGUUUUAAUUAGAAACAGAUUUCAAUUAAUCAACCUAGAGUCAGUUGUUCUUACUCUCGAAAGAGAUAUUAACAUAAUUUUGGGAUUUCUAGGGAUCAAGACACAAGUGAAUAAAUCGUUUAAUUCAAAUUCAUAAUAAUAGGUGAAGUCUAGGUGGAUUCUUUCCUAGGUAUUGUCUAUCUCAUUGGUUAUCUUCGAUUAUUUUCCUCUUUCACUCUCUGUUGCAUUCUUAGUUAAAUUAGUUUGGUAAUUUUAGAUUAAAACACAAUCACUCCAAUUUGUUGGCUAAAUAAUAAGAAGACGGUAACUACUAGUAGUUUUAGUACUCGUGGAUACUGCAUUCCCUACUCACCGUAGCUACACUAUUGUUUGAUAGGUGUGUUUGCAUUUGUCGUAUUUAUAGUUAGUUUAGUGACUAUCAAGUUUCUGGUGCCGUUGUCAAAGACUAAAAUACUAGGAACACUCAAAUUUUUUUAUUAAUUUAGCCAUUUUUUAUUGUAUUUUAUUUUUGUUUUUAGUUUAACUUUUACAUUCUAAUUUUUCUUUAAUUUGCUUCUAGCAGGUUCUUGUAGUUUAUGACAAGAAGAAACCCGUCGGGACCAUUAUUAUUUGACAGUGAAAUUGAAAGUAUAACUCGCAGAAACUGUAGAGAAGCAAGGCAAAGUCGACAGAAUAUAGUAGACGAGCAAGAGGACAUUAUUAUUACUGAAGAGAUGAGUGAUAAUCAGAAUAAUUAGCUACCUCCUGCAGUUGCUGCAAAUCCAGAUUCUGUUCCUCGUACUAUGUAUGAUUAAUGCAAGCCCACUCUAAUUGAGGCUGAAUCGAGUAUUGUGCGACCCACUAUUGCUGCAAAUAAUUUCGAACUGAAGCCGAACACUAUUCAGAUGAUACAACAAUUUGUUCAAUUCGAUGGUUUGCAAGACGAAUACCAAAAAUACUCAUUUGGCUAAUUUUUUGGAAAUCUGCGAUACUUUCAAGAUUAAUAGAAUUUUUGAUGAUGUCAUUCACCUUUGGCUAUUCUCUUUCUCAUUGACGAACAAAGCUAAAUAGUGGUUGAUUUUUUUACCACAAGGUUCUAUCACUACAUAGGAUCAAAUGACAAAAAAAUUUCUACUGAAGUACUUCACACUGGCUAAGACAACCAAGUUGAGGAAUGAUAUCUCUUCCUUCAUUCAUAUCGACUUAAAGACCUUAUAUGAUGCAUAGGAGAUAUACAAGGAUUUAUUAAGAAGGUGCCCUCACCAUGGGUUACCUUUAUGGUUAUAGGUUCAAACCUUCUACAAAGGUUUGAAUCCCUCAACUAAGCAGUUGAUUGAUGUAGCAGCUAGUGGAACUCUGAAUAAUAAAAUAAUCAAAGCGGUUUAUGAAUUUAUUGAGGAGAUGUCACUGAAUAAUUAUUAGUGGCAAGUCAUGAGGAUGAAGUCAAUGAAAGCAGUCGGUGUUUUCAACUUAGAUGCAGUCACCAUGCUAUCAAAUCAGGUAGAAUAAUUAAAUAAGAAAAUUGAUGGUUUAUAUGUUUCUACGCAGGUACAUCUGAUGAUGCAAUUUGAUACAAAUAGAGUUGGAAUGACCAAUCCAAAAUGCUUACCCUUCGUUCCUAGAAUAGAGAACGAACAAAUUAAUUAUAUGGGUAAUAAUUAUAGGCCUCAAAAUAUCCUUUAUAGUAAUAACUAUAAUGCAGGUUAGAGGAAUCAUCCCAAUUUCUCUUGGGGUGGUCACAGAAAUCAAAGAGCACAACCCCCACCAGGCUUCCAACAAAAACUUUAAUAGCAAGAGAAGAAGCCAAACCUCGAGGAGGUGUUGACGAAGUUUAUCUCGGUGUCAGAAACUCGCUUUCAAAACAUUGAAGCAUCACUUAAAAAUCAACAAGCGUCGAUUUAAGGGCUUGAGAACCAAAUCGAUCAACUUAUUAAACUAAUCUUGGAAAGACCACAAGGUAGUUUGCCUUGUAAUACCAAAACUAACCUAAGAUAACAGCUUCAUGCAAUUACUGUACGAGAUGAAGAAGAGUUAGUUGAAUCUAAACCAGAACUAAGGCAAGAAAUUAUGGUAAAUAAUGAUAAGGUUUAGGUAGUCUAGAAAAAGCAAAAGCCAGUUUUUAAUGAAUAUAAACUUCGAGUGGCAUACCCUAAUGCGACAAAGAGAAACCAUAUGAACGAAAAAUUCUGUAAAUUUCUUAAACUUCUAAAAUAAUUACAUAUUAACUUACCCUUUUUUUGAAGCUCUUUCACAGAUGCCCAAUUACGUCAAAUUUUUAAAGGAGCUUUUGGUAAACAAAAGGAAGUUAGAUGAUUUGUCGACUGUGGAGCUAAAUGUAGUUUGCUCGGCCAUAUUACAAAAUAAACUACCUAACAAACAGAAAGAUCCAGGGAGCUUUACUAUUCCUUGUUUAAUUAGUAGUUUGAAUAUUGAUAAUGCUUUCGAAAGUUUAGGGGCUAGUAUUAAUGUCAUGCCCUAUAAAAUGUUUAAGCAAUUAGGUCUUGGGAAACCCAAACAAAUUAGGAUGAGUAUUCAAUUAGCAAAUAGAACCAUUAGAUAUCCCAGGGGUGUUAUUGAAGAUGUGCUUGUUAAAAUCGAUAAAUUUAUAUUUCCUGUUGACUUUGAUGUAUUAGACAUGGAUGAGGGUAGUGAGGUAUCUUUAAUUUUAGGGUGACCCUUUUUAGAAACUAUUAGAACCAUAAUUGAUGUUGGUACUGGUGAGUUAGUACUUCGUGUAGGUGACAAAUCAAUUACUCUUCAAGCUUGUGAUUCUGUUAGAACAUCUAGUGAUCGAGAUGAUUUUAGAUAUUCUAUUAAUGGUAGUGACCAUGUGGCUUAACCUUCUUUGCAAGAAACCCCUCGAAAAAAUGUAAUGGAGCCAUGUUCCAGUCAAUACGAUAGAAACAGAAUGAUUUACGAUGAACAAAUGUUACAAAUUAAUGAACUAGAUGAAUGACAGGCACAUGUCAAGAAGAAACCAAGAAAGCACAAUGACAAGCCAAAGCGACGCCCUGAUGAACACGUGAGGAACCAAUUUAAAGUUGGUGACAAGGUACUGCUAGACAAAACGAAUCCAAAAAUUGCCCUUUCGGAGCUUGAUGCAAACGAUCAAACCCAUUAACGGUACUGGAUGUCUUCCCAUACAGUAGAGUCGAGGUAACUCAUUCUGAAUUUGGCACAUUUAAGGUAAAUAGUACUCGACUUAAAUCUUAUUUUGGUAAUGAAUUGAUAAUGAGAAAGAGGAGCUUCGGCUCUGCAAACCACCAUGACCUUGCGAAUACGAGGUAAGUCGAGCUUAGACUCUAAAUAAGCGUUUCUCGGGAGGUAGCCUAAGUGUUAACAUUGCUAAUUCUUUUCAUUUUAUUUCAUGUUAUUUUUAAAAACUAUUUAAUUUAAAAAAAUGUUAUUUUACCCACAUGGCUUGGACACAGGGACAUGUCCCAAGCUGUGUACGCAAUAAUGGUUUUGACAGUGAGUUACACAGCCUGGCGACAUGGCCAUCUGACCCAUACGACCUAGACACACAGGUGUGUCUUUGGCCGUGUGGAUCCUGGGACUUAUUUUUUUCAAAAAUUCAACAGUUACACGGUUGUGCGACACGGCCGUAUGGCACAAACGACCUAGACACACAGGCAUGUCCUAUGCCGUGUGAACCCUGAAGCUAGUUUUUUUUAUUUUAUUCUAAGUUAGUGAGUUACACAGGUAAGAGACAAGCCCGUGUGUGAGACAUGGCCGAGCCACACGGGCGUGUGGAGUCUCACAUGGGCAUGGAAGAAGCGGAGAAACACAUACAUAGCUUGGCACACGGCCAUGUGAAAAUUGGGCUCACUUUUAAAAUCACACACGAGCUGAGAUGAACCAGACAGGCAUGUGGCACGAUCGUGUGGCCCAACAUGGGUUUUACACAACUGUGUCGCCCUUUUAACCCCAAACCCUAAUUCCUUUUUAAUUUAUUUUUUGUCUUCUUCCUUCUAAUCCUCCAAGCACCAAAAACCUAGCCGCUGCUCCCUACAGGCCUAUCUUCCCUUCCUGCCACUGUUGCUCUAUCUGUCAUUGUUUGUUCCCCUUUCUUCCUUAUCGCCCCAGUCAUUCCCUCGCCUAAGAACCAUGAACCACCUCCCAACACCGCAACCCACCUUCCUGCGCUAUGCAACUCUCCCUUGACCAAACCUUCACCCCCCAUCUUGUUGCAUCCUCCUCAACCUCAACCUCCAUUCCUUAUUUCCCCUCCUUUUCCUUUCCAUAUUCCCCCUACCUCACAAACUUCAUAGCCCACAAACCCCACCCCGCAACCAGCUCUGUUCCACCACCGUGUGUGAUAAACCGUAAUUUAUACAUAUUUUUACCCCAGGCUUAACGCAUUUUAUGGAUGAUUUUCCAUUAGAAUUGGUGAACUCGAUGCUCCUAAUGCUUUAAUUUCAUGUUUUAUACUUAGGAGAGCAUCGGAGAGUGAAAGGAAUGAGAAACAGGCCCAAAACAGAGAAAAAUGGGCCAAAGUACGAAUUCAACACGACCUAGACCUCCUCACACGGCCAGACCACAUGGCCGUGUCAAUUUGGCAGAUUCAAAGCACGACUCACAUGGGCGUGUCACAUAGGCGUGUCCUUGCCGAGCCCAAGUUGAGUCCAAUUCGGAAAAGGCCAAUUUUGAGGGCUUUUAGGCAAUCUAAAGCCUAUAAAUACACCCUAGAAGAGGAAAGUAAGGGGGCACACAGGGAGGAAGGAAGGAAUUACUCAAAGAAAGCCGAUUGAUCCAUCUUAGAAGUCGGAUUCAUCAUCAAGAUUGAAGAUCUCCCGUCAGUUUCCCUUCAGGAGUUUUGGGUUUUCUUUAUGUUUUGUUCUCAUUAUUCUUCUGAGAUGUUUUCCUUUUUAGUUAUGAACUAAAUCCCUUAAAUACCUAAGGGGGAUGAAACCUAAGACAAAUCUUUUUAUUAAUUUCUGAAUUGUAUGAUAAAUAUUUAACUUGUUCUUAAUUAUGUGUUCUUAAUUCUUGUUUUGAUAUCCCAGGAUACUGAUUCAAUAUAAGCUCUUAUUCAGAGGAGGAAUAGACCUUGUCUAAGAGUAUAUUUUUCAUAAUUAAGUGGAGUUGAUUGCGCGCCUAGAGAUAGGGUGACAAGAUUUUGCCGGAUUAGGGUGAAACCUAAUAAGGGGAUCCAUAGAUCGAAUUAAUGCAACCCUAGGGUCUUAAUUAGAGAAAAGUAUCAAUUAUUCAAUCUAGGGAUUAGACAUUAUUAGUCUUGAAUAGGGAUAAUAACAUAACUUAGGGAUCUCUACGGAAUAAGUUAAAUGUAUAAAUUGUCCGAUUCAGAGUCAGAAUAACAAGUGAAGUCUAGGUGGAUUUUUCCUUAGGUAUUGUCUUAAUUCAAUCGUUUUCCAAAAGUAAUCCCCCAAUUCUACUUUCUGUGAAUUCUUAGAUUAGAUAAUUAGUUAGUUAAAACAAAACCACCUUAUUCUUAGGCUAGAUAAUAAAAAGACAGUCAUUACUAGUACUUUUAGUUCCUUUGGGUUCGACAAUCCGAUUUUGCUAAAACUAUACUACUGUUCGAUAGGUACACUUGCCUACAUCGCGAUAAUAGUUAGUUUCAAGAAUGAGUAAUUAUAAAUAUUUUAAACUUACCUGUCACGAAAAUCGUGAUCAAGUUUUUGGUGCCGUUGUCGGGUAACUAAGAUAUUAGGAACGCUCAAUUUUUAUUACUUUAGCCGUUUAUUUUCCUUACAAUUUAAUUUAAUUUAAUUUAAUUAUUAUUAUUUAUUAAUUUUAUUUUUCUUUUUCUUUCUCUUGGCAGGUUUUUAUAGUUUAUGACUAGAAAAAACCCGUCAGGACCACUACUCUUUAACGAACAAAUCGAUCGCAUAGUUCGCAGAAACCAACGAGAAAUAAGACGAUCUUAAGAUACAUAGAGAACGAGCAAGAGGACGAUACUCAACCCCCAACCGAAGAGAUGGCUGAAAACCAAGACAAUUAGCUACCUCCUGUAAUUGCGGUUAAUCAAAAUCCUGCUCCAUGCAUUAUGUAUGAUUAUGCUAAACCUUCUUUAACAGGAACUGAAUUGAGCAUAGUUAGACCUGUUGUAGCUAUAAAUACUUUUGAACUAAAACCUAACACUAUUCAAAUGAUACAGCAAUUUUUUCAGUUUGAUGGUUUGCAAGAUGAGGAUCCCAACACUCACUUAGCAAACUUUUUGGAAUUAUGCGAUACAUUUAAAAUUAAUGGUGUUUCUGAUGAUGCCAUUCGUCUUCGAUUAUUCCAUUUUUCAUUGAGGAACAAAGCCAAACAGUGGUUGAACUUGUUACCACGAGGGUCAAUUACAACUUGGGAGCAAAUGACCGAAAAAUUUCUAUCAAAAUAUUUUCCGCCGACUAAAACGGCCAAAUUAUAUAAUGAUAUCUCUUCGUUUGUGCAGAUGGACUUAGAAACACUCUACGAUGCAUGGGAGAGAUACAAGGACCUUUUGAGAAGGUGCCCUCACCAUGGCUUACCGCUUUGGCUUUAGGUUCAAACAUUCCAUAAUGGCCUGAAUCCUUCGACUCGACAAAUGGUUGACGCAGCUGCUGGCGGAACCAUCAAUAGUAAAACACCUGAAGACACUUAUGAGUUUAUAGAGGAGAUGUCACUGAAUAACUAUUAGUGGCAAGUCAUGAGGACUAAGCCAACUAAAACAGCCAACUAAAGCAGCAGGCGUUUAUAACAUCAAUUCAGUUACUAUGCUGUCAAACUAGGUAGAACUUCUGAAUAAAAAGAUUGAUGGUUUUCUUAGUUCUUCACAGGUUCACCCAGUAAUGCAGUGCGAAGCAAGUGGGGGUGGAACAAGCCAUUCGGAAUACCAACCUUAUGGCCACAACAUAGAUAACGAGCAGUUAAAUUACAUGGGUAAUAAUCCUCGAUCUCAAAAUAAUCCAUAUAGAAACACUUACAAUGCAGGUUGGAGGAACCACCCAAAUUUCUCGUGGGGCGGUCAAGGAAAUCAAAGACCACAACAUCCUCCGGGUUUUCAACAGCCACCCUAUCAAUAAGAAAAGAAACCGAACCUUGAAGAGAUGCUCACAAAGUUUAUCUCGGUGUCAGAAACCCAUUUUCAGAACACCGAAACAACACUUAAAAAUCAACAAGCAUCAAUCCAAGGGCUUGAAACUCAAAUAGGCCAGCUUUCUAAACUAAUCUCUGAACGACCACAAGGUAGCUUGCCAAGUAAUACUGAACCCAACCCAAGGGAACAGCUCAACGCGAUAAAUGUUCAAGAUGAAGAAGGAUUCGUAGAGCUUGAGCCAGAACCGAGGCAAGAAACUGUGGUAAGCAGAGGUCAAGGUAAGGUGGGUCAUAAUAAAAUCAAAUCAGUGAAUGUCGAAUAUAAACCUCGUGUGCCAUACCCCAACGUGACAAGGAAAGACCGCUCAGAUGAAUAAUUUGGUAAAUUCCUUAAACUCUUAAAAAAAUUACAUAUUAACUUAUCGUUUAUUGAAGCUCUAUCGCAGAUGCCAAACACAAUGAAAUUUUUAAAGGAGCUUUUAGCAAAUAAGCGGAAGUUGGAUGAGGCGUCGCAUGUGGAGCUGAACAUAGUUUGCUCAGCUAUUCUCCAAAAUAAACUACCCAACAAACUAAAAGAUUCAGGGAGUUUUACGAUUCCUUGGUUAAUUGGUAGUUUAGAUGUUAAUAAUGUAUUGGCUAAUUUAGAGACUAGUAUUAAUGUCAUGCCCUACAAAAUGUUCAAACAAUUAGGUCUCGGGAAACCCAAACAGACUAGGAUGAGCAUUCAAUUAGCAGACAAAACUAUAAGAUUUCCUAGGGGUAUUAUUAAAGAUGUGCUAGUUAAAAUCGAUAAAUUUAUAUUCCCCAUUGACUUCAUUAUUUUAGACAUAGAGGAAGAUAGCAACACUCCUUUGAUUUUAAGAAGGCCCUUUUUAGCAACUGCUAAAACGAUUAUUGAUGUUGGCACAGGUGAACUCACACUCCAUGUGGGAGAUGAAACAAUCACCCUUCAAGCUCGCAAUUCUGGCAACACAUCAAAAAUUGAAGGUGAUCGUUUAACCCAUUCUACUAAAACUGACAAUAUUGUACAACCUACUUUGCAGGAAAUGAGUCUGAAGGAAGCACAUGAGUCAUUCUCAAGCAGUAGCAGAGGACCUGUUCAUGGAGAUCGAGGGCUACAAAUCGAGGAUCUAGAUGAGUGGCGGACGCAUAAACCGAGAAAACAUGAUAAAUCAAAACUACGCCAGAACGAGCUCAAUACCUUCCCAAAUCAACUUAAUGUUGGAGAUAAAGUAUUUUUAGAUGCCGCAGAUCCUCACAUUGUCACUACCAAACUGAAUGAAGAAAUCCCUCUUAUGGUACUUAGCAUUUUCCCAUUCGGUACAGUCGAGGUAAGUCAUCCCAAGUUUGGCACUUUUAAGGUAAACAACACCUAUCUAAAACCUUAUUUUGAUGAGAAUGAUAGCAGGAAUGAGGAGUAAAAACUCCUCGAAUCACCAUGACCAUUCAAUGGAGAGGUAAGUUGAGCUUAGACUAUAAAUAAGCGCUUCUCGGGAGGCAACCUGAGCACUAAUUGUAUUAACUUCUUUCAAUUUUAGUGUUUAGCACUUAACUUACUAAUGGAGCUCUUGAAUACAGGUUUACCACACAGACACGGCCAAGCACACGGGCGUGCUUAGGGCCAUGUGAAAACAGGGAAAAGAUUUCCCCAAAACGGGCUACGAUAAAUUGCCACGACCGUGCGACAUGGUCGUGGGGGAACCUGCCAAAACAACACGGGCGUGCGACACGCCUGUGCCUUGAAACCGUGGCCGAAACUGUCAAAUUAACACAGGCAUUUGACAUGCCUGUGUCUAGCACCCUUGGUCGAACUUGUUAAAUUACCAUGGGCGUGGGAGAAGCGAACAACGCCAGACAUGACCGUGUGAAAACAGGGAAAAAGUUAUCUUUCCCAACAAGGGAUGCGAACGCGACAAGUGGCCACGGGCACGCGACCUGGUCGUGGUCAAAUCUGCCAAAUGAAUACGGGCGUGCGACACGCCCGUGUCUAGCACCCGUGGACAACAUUGUCAAAAUAACACGGGCGUACGCAGAGCUACACGACCGUGGGAGAAGCGAACCACAUUACAAACGGUUGUGUAACAUGAUCAUGCAGCCACACGGCCUAGACACACGGGCAUGCCCAAAGGCCAUGUGACGACAUCUCACUUCGCGAUAAACACGAGCGGGACACGAUCCACACGGGCGUGUGAACCGGCCGUGCCACUUGAAAAAUUAGAUUAUCUAUCUUAUUUUAUUUUUCUUUUAUUAAUUUUUGAAGAUUCUUUUAUUUUUAAACACGACUUAUCUUUAUGAUUACUAUCAAAUUAGUCCCCCAAUUCCCCUUUUGUCCUUCAGAAUCAUGUUUGUCCUCCAGCUUUAUUUCCAACAACUCGCUCUCACUAAUCUAGGAAUUUUGUCCAUUUUUAACUCAAGAAGUUUCACUUUUCUCCCUAUCUUAUGAACUUACACUUACAUUUGUCAAAAUAUCUAUCUUUGUACAUUGAGAACAAUGUACAUCUUAAGUGUGGGGGUAUUCAUUUCACUAUCAGAAAAAUCCCUAAAUGACUGCCUUGUUCUCUUGAAAAGCUCUCAUAUCAUAUUUAGAAUUGAUCGCGUGGUUUCGUGAUAGGUUUUAAAUAUUUAUAAUUACUCAUCCUUGAACUAACUAUUAUCACGAUGUAGGCAAGUGUACCUAUCGAAUAGUAGUAUAGUUUUAGCAAGACCGGAUUGUCGAACCCAAAGGAACUAAAAGUACUAGUAAUGACUGUCUUUUUAUUAUCUAGCCUAAGAAUAAUGGGGUUUUGUUUUAAUUAACUACUUAUCUAAACUAAGAAUUCAAAGAGAAAAGAAUUGGGGAAUUGCUUUUGGGAAAAAUCGAUUGACUUAAGACAAUACCUAAGGAAAAAUCCACCUAGACUUUACUUGUUAUUCUGGCUCCGAAUCAGACGAUUUAUUCAUUUAACUUGUUCUGUAAAGAUCCCUAAGUUAUGUUAUUAUCCCUAUUCAAGACUAAUAACGUCUAAUCCCUAGAUUGAAUAACCGAGACUUUUCUCUAAUAAACACUCUAGGGUUACAUUAACUCGAUCUAUGGAUCCCCUUAUUAGGUUUCACCCUAAUCCGACAAAAUCUUGUCACCCUAUAUCUAGGCGCGCAAUCAACUCCACUUAAUUAUGAUAAAUGUACUCUUAGCCAGGGUCUAUUCCUCCUCUGAAUAAGAGCUUAUCUUGAAUCAGUAUCUUGGGAUAUCAAAACAAGAAUUAAGAACACAUAAUUAAGAACAAGUUAAAUAUUUAUCAUACGAUUCAGAAAAUAAUAACAAGAUUCGUCUUAGGUUUCACUCCCCUUAGGUAUUUAGGGUUUUUAGUUCAUAACUAAAUAAAAAAACAUCUCAGAAGAAUAAAGAAUACAAAACAUAAAGAAAACCCAAAACUCCUGAAGGGAAAUUGAGGAGAGAUCUUCAGUCUUGAUGAUGAAUCCGACUUCUGAGAUGGGUCAAUCGGCUUCCUUGGAGUAAUUCCUUACUCCCUAUUCUCCGUCACCCCUUUUCCUCCUCCUCUAGGGUGUAUUUAUAGGCUUUGGAAUGCCUAAAACCCUCAAAAUUGGCCUUUUCUGAAUUGGACUCAACAUGGGCUUGACAGAGACACGCCUGUGUGACACGUCCCUGUGGGAUUACUUCAGGCCGUGUUUGAGCCUGUUAGAAUGGCACGGGCAUGUGCUAUACCCAUGUGAGUCGUGGUUCGAUUCUGCCAAUUGACACAGCCGUGUGGUCUGCCUGUGUGAGGAAGUCCAGGCUGUUUUAAGUUCGUACUUUGGCCCAUUUCUUGUUCCUUUUGCUCCCCUAUGUUCUUUUAAGUAUAAAACAUGAAAUUAAAGCAUUAGAAGCAUCGAAUUCACCAAUUCUAAUGGAAAAUCAUCCAUAAAAUGCAUUAAACAUGGGUGAAAAUAUGUAUAAAUUACGGUUUAUCAAGAAUGAAUUUUGAUUGAUUUAUGAUUUUGAUUGAUAUAUCUUGAGUUAAAACAUAGGCAUUUUUGCAUUGAUUGUUUAAACUUUAAGACAUUAGAGAAUCAAUCAUGAUAAGUUGAUUUUUAAGAAUUUAAAAUUUUAGGUUGUUUCCCCAAAGUUUAGGUAUUACUUUGAGUUGGAAUUCACAAGUUUUAAACAUCAAAAAUCCAUAAUUUUUGUGAGAUUUUUGAGCCAUUUGAGCAUCUAUUAAUUCUUUUAUACUCACUUUUAUUAUUGCUUUGAGUGCGUUAGUAUUGAAUUGUUAUUCUAGAACUUGCUUGAUUAUGCAUGUCAAGACCACACUAUUUGAUUUGAUAUGUCAAAAUGAGAAAGACACUUAGGAUUAACACACUUAUGCCAUGAAAAGCCUACCUCCACGAUUAACCCUUAGUGAACCCCGUUGAGCUAACAAGCCAUUUCUUGUAUUACCCUUAAUAUUAACCCUUAACCCAUUAUUGUUGAAAUUCCCUAAAUUAAUUUGAUCCCAUUUUUUGUCGAGAUUGGAAUUGAAAUAGUUGCUUAGCUAAGUUUUUUUCUACUUUGUAUUUAACUUGCUCUAAAAAAAAUGUAUACAUCUUAAUAGUAGUAAUCUUCUAAGCUAAAGAAGUUAAAUUUCAUAUUCCAAGAAAAGCUCUGUUGUACACAAUUGAUGACUAGCUAUCUUUCUAGUUAGACAAUUUUUCAAGUCAAUCUUGAUUCUAACCUUUUCUUUCAUCUUGUGACCAUACCCCCUAACCAAGCCUCAUUACAACCUUUAAAGACCUUUUGAUUGAUGUAUCAUCUCAAAUUAUAGUGGUAGAGAUUUGAUUUUCGUGCAAGCCUAUGGUAAUAACUUUUCAUUAUUGACUAUUGAGUGCUUCAUUUAUUGUCCUUAAACACCUUGAGUGAUUUGAGUGAAUCUUUAGUGAGGAUGUAAAACUCUGUGACAUUUUGAAUACAAGGUAAUUACUUAGACGAGGGGAGACACCUAUGUUUUUAGAAUAAAAUGUUCAACUUGGAAUGAUUGAAACUUUGAUGUUCUUUUAGUUGAAUUCUCAAUGUAUGAUUACCUAUGGAUUAUUUUGAGAUAUUAUCGAUAGAAAUUAUAAGUUGAGAAGAAUUUAUUUUAAUUAUGAGUUGAGAAUUUUGCUUGAGGACAAGCAAAUGCUUAAGUGUAGGGGUAUUUGAUAAACCGUAAUUUAUACAUAUUUUUACCCCAUGCUUUACGCAUUUUAUUAAUGAUUUUCCAUUAGAAUUGGUGAAUUCGAUGCUCCUAAUGCUUUAAUUUCUUAUUUUAUACUUAGGAGAGCAUAAGAUAGCGAAAGGAACGAAAAACGGGCCAAAAACAGAGAAAAAUGGGCCAAAGUAAAAAUUCAACACGGCCUGGACCUCCUCACAUGGGCAGACCACAUGGUCGUGUCAAUUUGGCAGAUUCGAAGCACGACUCACACGGGCGUGUCACACGGGUGUAUCUCUGUCGAGCCCAAGUUGAUUCCAAUUCAGAAAAGGCCAAUUUUGCGGGCUUCUAGGCAUUCUAAAGCCUAUAAAUACACCCUAGAGGAGGAAAGUAAGGGGGCACAUAGGGAGGAGGGAAGGAAUUACUCGAAGGAAGCUGAUUGAUCCAUCUUAGAAGCCGGAUUCAUUAUCAGGACUGAAGAUCUCCCUUUAAUUUCCCUUCAGGAGUUUUGGGUUUUCUUUAUGUUUUGUACUCAUUAUUCUUCUGAGAUGUUUUCCUUUUUAGUUAUGAACUAAAUCCCUUAAAUACCUAAGGGGGAUGAAACCUAAGACAAAUCUUUUUAUUAAUUUCUGAAUUGUAUGAUAAAUAUUUAACUUGUUCUUAAUUAUGUGUUCUUAAUUCUUGUUUUGAUAUCCCAGGAUACUGAUUCAAUAUAAGCUCUUAUUCAGAGGAGGAAUAGACCCUGUCUAAGAGUACAUUUUUCAUAAUUAAGUGGAGUUGAUUGCGCGCCUAGAGAUAGGGUGACAAGAUUUUGCCGGAUUAGGGUGAAACCUAAUAAGGGGAUCCAUAGAUCGAAUUAAUGCAACCCUAGGGUCUUAAUUAGAGAAAAGUAUCAAUUAUUCAAUCUAGGGAUUAGAUGUUAUUAGUCUUGAAUAGGUAUAAUAACAUAACUUAGGGAUCUCUACGGAAUAAGUUAAAUGUAUAAAUUGACCGAUUCAGAGUCAGAAUAACAAGUGAAGUCUAGGUGGAUUUUUCCUUAGGUAUUGUCUUAAUUCAAUCGUUUUCCAAAAGUAAUCCCCCAAUUCUACUUUCUAUGAAUUCUUAGAUUAGUUAAUUAGUUAGUUAAAACAAAACCACCUUAUUCUUAGGCUAGUUAAUAAAAAGACAGUCAUUACUAGUACUUUUAGUUCCUUUGGGUUCGACAAUCCAGUCUUCCUAAAACUAUACUACUGUUCGAUAGGUACACUUGCCUACAUUGCGAUAAUAGUUAGUUUCAAGAAUGAGUAAUUAUAAAUAUUUUAAACUUACCUGUCACAAAAAUCGCGAUCAGUGUGCAGCCCCGCGUUGAUCGCACCAACCCCUCGACCUUCAACCAUCCUCAUUGCGCUCCACUGUCCCGCACCUCCGGCCACCGUCCAUCGCUACAUUCGUUUCCCCUUUUACCCUUGUCUUUAUUUUAUUUUAUUUUUAUUUCUUAUGUUCUAUUUUAUUUUAUUUAUUUUCAUUCUAUUCCUCUGUUUUAUCAUUAUUCUUAUUAUUUUUAUUUCUCUAUUUUAGUAUUAUUAUGCUUAACUUUUAUUUUUAUUUUCACUUAUUCAAUUUUUUUUAGUUAUAUUAUUCUUAUUAUUUUAAAUCUUAUUUUACUAUUAUGCUUCUUGUUGCAUUUACUUAUUUUGGGUUUUUUUAUUACCAUUCUUAUUAUUACCUUUAAUCUUAGUAAGUAAACUCUGUUUAAUUUAAUAUAUAUUUUAUCAUCAUUAUUAUUAUUCGUAUUAUUAUUUGUUACUAUUCUUAUUCGAAGUUUGUUUUUCUAAUUUAGUUAUUUUGUUUAUUAUUCCUUCCUUAUUGGUUUCAUUAAUUCUAGUUUGAUUCAUAAUAGCUUCAAUAUAUGGUUUUUGCAUGAUUAGGUAUUCGUACAUACUAUUUUAGUCAUAGAUUUCUAUUUUGACAACUUCGAUUCUACCUACUCAGCCCUUUGUUUGCAUAAUUGGUGAUGCUUUAUUUAUUUUUGAAUUUUUUUAUUUUUCAGGCACACCAUGAUGAACACUCAGCAAGUCUAAGGUUGCCGUUCUCGCUUCAAAAAAGCGGAAGAUUUUGGGCGCAACCUCUUCUUUGGGCGAAAGAUGUCGAGAACUUUCUACGCCUACAUGGGCACAUCCACUACUCGUCAUCUCUUUGUUGGAUAAACCUUAUAGCGAGUACGACACUUGAUAAACCAUAACAGUAACAUAUUUUAAUCUCAUACUUAACAUAUUUUUGGAUGAUUUAUAAUAUAAUCUAGUGAACUAGAUGUUCCUAAACCUUUAAUUUCAUGUUUUAUACUUAGGAAAGCAUAGGGGAACAAAAGGAGAAGUAAACUGGCCAAAAACGGACAAAAUGGGCUGAUUUAAAGUUCCACCGGGCAGAGCACACGCCCGUGUGAGCCACACAGGCUGGCCACACGCCCAUUGGUCAGCCCGUGUUGAUAUCGCUCCCUAUUUCCUAAAUACGUAGAAAAAGCCAAAUUUUAGGGUUUUUGAGCACUCUAAAGUCUAUAUAAACACACUAGAAGCACAUCUAAAUGAACACACAGCAGAAAGCAGAAAUUACUCGAAAGAAGCCAUUAGAAUCAUCUCAGAAGCAGAUCUUGAGAUUGAAGAUCUCUAUUCAAAUUUCUCUCGAAGUUUAUUUGGGUUUUUUUAUCUUGUUGUUUUUCUAAAUUUGAGAAGUUUUCCUUUCACAUUAUAAACUAAACUCCCUAAAUACCUGCCUGGGGGGAUGAAACCUAUGACGAAUCUUAUUAUUUAAUGUUCUGAAUUUAAUGAUAAAUACUUGUUUUUGUUCUUAAUUAUUUGUUCUUAAUUCUUGAUCUAAUAUUUUUCAGGAUAUUAAUUCAAGUUGAUGUGCUUAUUCAGAUGAGCAAAAGUCCCUGUUUAGGAGUAGAUCUACCAUAAUUAAGCGGAGUUACAUGCAACCCUAGAAAUAGGGCGACAUAAAUCUACCAGAUUAGAGUCAAAUCUAAUAAGGGAAUCCAUAGAUCGAGUUAAUGCGACAAUAGGGGUUUUAAUUAGAAAGAGAUUUCAAUUAAUCAACUUAGAGUCAAUUGUUUUUAGUCUCGAAAGAGAUAUUAACAUAAUUUAGGGAUUUAUCUGGAUCAAGACAAGUGAAUAAAUCGUUUGAUUCAGAGUAAGAAUAAUAAGUGAAGUCUAGGUGGAUUUUUCCUUGGGUAUUGUCUUUAUUAUUGGUUUAUUCAAUUGUUUUCUUCACUCUCUGUUGUGUUUAUUAGUUAAUUAGUUUAGUUAAAUUUUGAUUGAAACAAAAUCCCUUCUAUUUUAGGCUAAAUAAUAGAAAGAUAGUUAAUACAAGUACUUUUAGUCCUCGUGAAUACGAUAUUCUGGACUCACCAUAGCUAUACUACCAUUCGAUAGGUGCGCUUGCCUUUGUCGUGAUCGUAGUCUAGUUUAGUGAACCAUAAAAAUGAUCAUCAAGUUUUCGGCGCCGUUGCCGGGACUAAAAUAUUAGGAAUGCUUGAUUUUUAUUAAUUUAGCCAUUUUUUAUUGCAUUUUAUUUUUGUUUUAGUUUUAUUUUUAAUUACUAAUUCUUCUUUUGUUUACUUCUGGCAGGUUCUUGUAGUUUAUGACUAGAAGAAACCCGUCAGGACCAUUGCUUUUUUAUAGCGAAAUUGAAAGCACAGCUCGUAGAAAUCAUUGAGAAAUAAGGUGAAGUCUACAGUAUAUAGAAGAAGAGCAUAAGGACGAUACCAACAAUACCGAAGAGAUGGCUGAAAAUUAGAAUAAUCCACUACCUCCUGUGGUUGCUGCUAAUCUUGUGAAUCAGAAUCCUGCUCCUCGUACUAUGUACGAUUAUGCUAAGCCCACUCUUACUGGGGCCGAAUCGAGUACUGUUAACUUGCUAUUGCUGGCAAAUAAUUUUGAACUGAAACCUAACACUAUUCAAAUGAUUCAACAGUUUGUUUAGUUUGAUGGUUUACAAGACAAAGAUCCAAAUACUCAUUUGGGCAAUUUCUUAGAGUUUUGUGAUACUUUCAAAAAAAAUGGCAUUUCUGACGACUCCAUUUGCCUACGAUUAUUCCCCUUUUCGUUGAGAAAUAAGGCUACUACGAGCUUCCAUCACUACUUGGGAUCAAAUGAUCGAGAAGUUUUUAUUGAAAUACUUUUUACCGGCCAAGACAGACAAGUUGAGGAAUGAUACCUUUUCCUUUGUGCAGAUGGAUUUAGAAACCUUUUACGAUGCAUGGGAGAGGUAUAAGGAUCUAUUAAGAAGGUGCCCUCACUAUGGGUUACCUCUAUGGCUACAAGUUCAAACCUUCCACAAUGGUUUGAACCUCUUAACUAGGCAAAUGAUCGAUGCGGCUGCAGGUGGUACUAUAAAUAAUAAAACACCUGAAGAGGCUUAUGAGUUCAUAGAUGAGAUGUCACUGAAUAAUUAUUAGUGGCAAGUUAUGACGACAAAGCCAACAAAAGCAGCUGAUGUUUUUAACGUUGAUGCGGUUACCAUGUUGACAAAUCAGGUAGAACUUUUAAAUAGAAAGAUUGAUGGUUUAUAUGGUUCUUCGCAGGUACAUCCGGUGAUGCAGUGUGACAUGAGUGGAGGUGGAAUGAGCAAUUCAAAAAAUUUACCCUGCGGUCCUAUCAUGUAAAAUGCAAAAAAUGAAUUAUAUGGGUACUAAUCCUAGAUCUCAAAAUAAUCCUUACAGUAAUACCUACAAUAUAGGUUGGAGGAACCACCCAAAUUUUUCAUGGAAAGGUCAAGGAAAUCAAAUACCACCACCACCCCCUCCGGGUUUUCAGCAGCAACCUUAUCGACAAGAAAAGAAACCGAACCUUGAAGAGAUGUUUGAAAAUUUUAUUUCAGUGUUAGAGACUCGUUUCCAAAACACUGAGACGUCUUUGAAAUAUCAGCAAGCAUCGAUUCAAGGGCUCGAAAAUCAAAUUGUGCAGCUUACUAAACUAGGUUCGGAAAGGCAACAAGGUAGUUUGCCUAGUAGCACUAAACCCAACCCAAGAGAGCAUGUAAAAGCGGUUACAUUGAGGAAUAGGAAAGUGUUAACUGAACCUGAAAAGAAGUUGCCACAAGAAUCUAAUAAGAAAAAGGAUGAGGAGGUAAAACCUAAAGUAUGUGUAACACCGGUGCUGAAAGAAUAUAAACCACCGAUCCCAUAUCCAACAAAGUUGAAGAAAGACCGCAUGGAUGCACAAUUUUGUAAAUUUCUUGAACAUUUUAAAUAGCUACAUAUUAACUUACCUUUUGUUACAUACGCUAAAUUUCUGAAGGACCUUCUAACAAAUAAAAGGAAGUUUGAAGAGCUAUCUAUCGUGGAACUCAAGGAGGAAUGUUCAACUAUCCUUCAAAACAAGCUACCAACCAAAUUGAAAAUCCCAGGAAGUUUCACUAUUCCCUGUUUAUUUGGUAAUUUGAAUAUUGAAAAAGCAUUAGCUGAUUUAGGUGUUAGUCUUAAUUUGAUGCCUUACAAAAUGUUCAAGCAGCUUGGUCUUGGGGAACCAAAACCUACUAGGAUGAGUAUUCAAUUAGUUGAUAGAUCUGUUAAGUAUCCUAGGGGUAUUAUUGAAGAUGUCCUUGUGAAAGUAGAUAAAUUCAUAUUCCCUGUUGAUUUUUUUGUGCUUGACAUGGAUGAGUGAUGGUCGUGAAACUAACUAUAAAUUCGACUAAGGCAAGUGCACCUAUCGAAUAGUAGUAUAGUUCUGGUGAGACCGAAAAUAUCGUAUCCACGAGGACUAAAAGUACUAGUAAUUACUAUCUUUUUAUUCAUUAGCCUAAGAAUUAAAGUGUGUUUUUAAACUAAAACUAUUUAUUUAAUUAACUAAGAUUACGACAAAGAUGAAGUUUGGAAAAUACUUUCGGAAAAAACGAUGGAGAAGACAAUACCCAAGGAAGAAUCCACCUAGACUUCACUUAUUACUUCUGAAUUAGACAAUUUAUUCACUUAACUUAAUCUGUAGAAAUCCCUAAUUUAUGUUAAUAUCUCUCUCGAGACUAAGAACAACUGACUUUAGGUUGAUUAAUUGUAAUCUCUUUCUAAUUAAAACCCCUAUUGUCGCAUGAACUCGAUCUAUGGAUUACCUUAUUAGAUUUGACUCUAAUCUAGCAGAUUUAUGUCGUUCGAUCUCUAUGAUUGCAUUCAACUCCGCUUAAUUAUGGAUGAUCUACUCUUAAAUAGGGACUUUUACUCCACUGAAUAAGCACAUCAAAACCUGAAUUAAUACCCUGGAAUAUUAAAACAAGAAUUUAGAACCCACAAUUAAGAAUAAGAAUAAGUCUUUAUCAUAUAAUUCAAAUAGUAAUAAGAUUCAUCAUAGGUUUCAUCUCCCUUAGGUAUUUAGGGAGUUUAGUUCAUAAUAAUAAUCGAAAACAUCUCAAAGUUUGGAAAACAACAAAACAUAAAGAAACCCAAAGAACUUCUAGGAAAUUGGAUGAAAAUCUUUAGUCUUGAUGUAGAUCCUAGCUUCGAGGUGAUUCCGAUGGCUGUUCUUGAGUAUUUUUUUCCUUCAACUCCUUGUCCCCCUUAAUCCUCUUCUAGGGUGUUUAUAUAGGCUUUAGAAUGCUUCCAAACCCUUAAAAGUGGCCUUUUUUUUGGGUAGAACUAGACUUGGGCUCGACAGGGACACGACCGUGUGCCAUGCCCGUGUGCAAGUGCUCAAGCUAUGUGUAAUUCUGAGUUGGUUUGUAGUCGACACGGCCAUGACACACGGGCGUGUGGUUUACCCAUGUGGAACAUUGUUUUAAGCCCAAUUUGUCCGUUUUUGGCCCGUUUCUAGCUUUUUUUUUGCUAUCCUAGCUCUCUUGAGUAUAAAAACAUGAAAUUAAAGGAUUAGGAGCAUCAAAUUCACUAAAACCAAGGAAAAAUCAUUGAUAAAUAUGCCAAGCAUGGGAUAAAAAUAUGUAUAAAUUACGGUUUAUCAAAUAUCCCCACACUUAAGCGUUUGCUUAUCCUCAAGAAAAAUCUUAAACUCACAAUCAAAAUAAAUUCUUCUCAACUUAUAAUUCUCGUCAAUAAUGUUUUAAAUAAUUCACAAGUAAUCAUACAUUAAAAAUUUAACUAAAAGAACAUUAAAGCUUCAAAUAGUCAAAGUUGAUCAUUUUAAUCAAAAAAUUAUAGGCAUCCCCCUUUAUUUAAGUAAUUAUCUUUAAUUCCAAAUUGACAUUGAUUGACAUCCUCACUUAAGGUUCACUCAAAUCACUUAAUGUGUUUAGGGUUCAAUGAUUAAGCGCUCACUAGUCAAAUAUGAAAAGUUAUUACCAUAGGCUUACAUGAAAAUGAAAUCUCCACCACUAUAAAUGAGAUGAUACAUGAAUCAAAAGGUCUUUGAAGGGUUGUAACGGGGCUUUAGGUUAAAUGUGUGGAUGAAGGCUGAAAAAGAUGGUUAGAAUCGAGAUUAAAUUGAUAAAUUACCUAACUGAAAAAAUAACUAACAUCAACUGAAUAAACAUGAGCUUCUUCUCAAAAUAUGGAAUUAAAUACUUAAGCUCAAAAAAAAAGAAUUACUAUUAAUAUGUAUGUAUAUAUGUAUGUAUGUAUUUUUUUAAGAAUAAGAACAAAUACAAGUAUAAUCUUGACAAAAGGGGACUUAAUAAAUUAGGAAAAAUUAUCAACGAAUCAAAAAGUAUGAUAUAGGGGUUAAAAUUUAGGGUAAAUUAAAAAAAAUGGUUUGUUAAGCUCAAAGGGGUUAAUUAUGAAAGCAAUCUUUUUAUGGGGUAAAUGAGUUAAAACCUAAGUGCCUUUAUCAUUUUCGUAUAUCAAAUCAAAGGUCUGGUCUCGACAUGUAUAAUCAAUGCAAGUUCUAGAAUAACAAAUCAAUGUUGACACACUCAUAACCAAUAAAAUCAGUGAGCAAGAAAGAUAUAUGCUUUAAAAAACUCAAAAUCUCACGAAAAUUAUGGAUAUUUGAUGUCAAUUCUGUAAAUUCAAAACUUCAAGAUAAUACCUCAAUUCAGGGAAACAACCUAGCAAUUUUAAUUCUAAAAAAUUUCAACUUAUCAUACUCGAUUCUUUAAUGUCUUAAAGUUUAAACAAUCAAUGCACAGUUACUUAUGAUUUAAUUCAAAACAUAUCAAUAAAAAUCAUAGAUCAAUCAAAAUUUACUCCAAUAAUGAUAUGAGAAAAUUAUUUGAGAACAAGAUAAAAAUUCAGGGAUUUUUUGAUAAUCACAUAGAUAACCUCCCCACACUUAAGAUGUACAUUGUCCUCAAUGUACAAAGAUAGUUAAUAACAAUAUAAGCAUAAUAUCAGAAGAGAGGGAGAGAAGCAAAACUACCCUGAAUAUUUGGAUGAGAUCCUUGGAGUAGCGAGAGCAAGAAUUGUAGAGAAAGCCAAAUAAAAUGCAUGAUUCUGAGGUACUAAUAAGAAAAUAAACACCACUGUGGAAGAGAAUUAAGGUAGAAUUCGAUAAUAAUCAUAAAGAUAAGCAGAGUUUAAAACAUAAAACAUAAGCAUUCAAAAAAAAGGAAAAUAAAAAUAAAAAUAAAAAUAAAAAUAAAAAUAAAAAUAAAAAUAAUAAAAAGGACUCAAAGGUCCUCAUCAUCAGAGUUGUGAGCCGGUGGCGCUGGAGAGAAGAUAUGGAGGUGGUGGCAAAUUUGUUGGAGAGUGGCAUCGAUGUUGUCAAAUCACUCGAAACACUGUUGCUCAAAACGAGUGAAUAGCUCAGAUAAAUCUGUCAAAGUGGCAGCAGGAGCUCGAUGACUCAGUGGUGGUGGUGGGGGUGGGUCCUCGUGAGGGGAGGGACAUCGUUAGUAAUGUCCUCUAGCUCAUCCUGGUCAGCAGAGUGGAUGAGUCUGUACUGUGGAGGGUCGACUCCACGGCGUCGCUCUAUCAUCCGCAUAUGGAUCAUGCUGGAAAUUCCUUGCGGAGACAUCUGGCCGACUAAUGUGAGUGUCGAUGACAUCUCUAGAGUGUCGAAGAGGCCAAAGCGUCGAGCAAGGCGAGUCACGUAAGGGCCAAGGCAAAUGGAGCCCCUCCUAUGGCGAUCCGUCUAGUGGCGAAAGGUGAGGGCGAUAAAAUAUGCUAAGUCAAAUACAUGGCCAGUCACCAUGCUCCAUAGGAAGUUGAUAAACCGUAAAUUAUACAUAUUUUUACCCCAUGUUUAAUGUAUUUUAUGGAUGAUUUCUCAUUAGAAUUGGUGAAUUCGAUGCUCCUAAUGCUUUAAUUUCAUGUUUUAUACUUAGAAAAGCAUAGGAGAGAGAAAAAAACGAGGAACGGGCCAAAAAUAGAGAAAAUGGGCCAAAUUACAAAAUCAACACGGCCUGGACCUCCUCACACGGGCAGACCACACAGCCGUGUCAAUUUGGCAGGCUCGAGCACGGCCUGAAGUAAUCGAACAUGGGUGUGUUACACGUGCGUGUCCCUGCCGAGCCCAAGUUGAGUACAAUUCGGAAAAGGCUAAUUUUGAGGGCUUCUAGGCAUUCCAAAGCCUAUAAAUACACCCUAGAGGAGGAAGAAAAGGGAGACAGAGAAGAGGGAGUAAUGAAUUACUCCAAGGAAGCCAAUUGAUCCAUCUCAGAAGCUGGAUUCAUUAUCAAGACUGAAGAUCUCUCCUCAAUUUUCCUUCAGGAGUUUUGGGUUUUCUAUAUGUUUUGUAUUCUUUAUUCUUCUGAGAUGUUUUCUUAUUUAGUUAUGAACUAAAACCCCUAAAUACCUAAGGGGAAUGAAACCUAAGACGAAUCUUGUUAUUAUUUUCUGAAUCGUAUGAUAAAUAUUUAACUUGUUCUUAAUUAUGUGUUCUUAAUUCUUGUUUUAAUAUUCCAGGAUACUGAUUCAAGACAUGCUCUUAUUCAGAGGAGGAAUAGACCCUGUCUAAGAGUAUAUUUGUCAUAAUUAAGCGGAGUUGAUUGCGCGCCUAGACAUAGGGUGACAAGAUUUUACCGGAUUAGGGUGAAACCUAAUAAGGGGAUCCAUAGGUCGAGUUAAUGCAACCCUAGAGUGUUAAUUAGAGAAAAGUCUCGGUUAUUCAAUCUAGGGAUUAGACAUUAUUAGUCUUGAAUAGGGAUAAAAACAUAACUUAGGGAUCUCUACGGAAUAAGUUGAAUGAAUAAAUCGUCCGAUUCGGAGCCAGAAUAACAAGUAAAGUCUAGGUGAAUUUUUCCUUAGGUAUUGUCUUAAGUCAAUCGAUUUUUCCCAAAAGCAAUUCUCCAAUUCUUUUCUCUGUGUGUUCUUAGUUUAGAUAAUUAGUUAAUUAAAACAAAACCUCCGUAUUCUUAGGCUAGAUAAUAAAAAGACAGUCAUUACUAGUACUUUUAGUUCCUUUGAGUUCGACAAUUUAGUCUUGCUAAAACUAUACUACUGUUCGAUAGGUACACUUGCCUACAUCGCGAUAAUAGUUAGUUCAAGAACGAGUAAUUAUAAAUAUUUAAAACAUAUCAUGAAACCUCGCAAUCAAGUUUUUAGCGCCGCUACCGAGGAUCGAACCCUGGUCGUUCUCCGUGUAUCUUAAGCUGCGCCUUAUAUAUCUUUGGUUUCUACGAACUGUACGAUCGAUUUCUUCAUCAAAAAGUAAUGCUCCUGCCACUUUUCAAUGCUAUAUGAUGGCAAUAUUCGACGAACUCGUGAAAGAUAUCAUGAAAGUAUUUAUGGAUGAUUUUUUGGUAUUCGGUAACUCUUUCCAUCUCUGCCUUAAAAAUUUAAAACGAGUUUUAAUAAGAUGUAAGGAAACAAACCUUGUGCUUUACUAGGAGAAAUGUCACUUCAUGGUUCAAGAAGGUAUUGUAUUAGGGCAUAAAAUUUCUGGUAAAGGGAUUGAGGUGGAUAAAUCUAAAAUAGAAACAAUCGAAAAAUUACCACCUCCUAGAUCGGUUAAGGCUAUUAGAAGCUUUUUAGGAUAUGCUGGUUUUUAUAGAAGAUUUAUUAAAGAUUUUUCUAAAAUAGCUAAGCCUUUGACUAAAUUGCUAGAAAAAUAUAUACCUUUUAACUUCGAUAAGAAAUGUUUAGAAGCAUUUAAUACUUUAAAGGAUAAAUUGAUUAAUGCUUCAAUCAUAAUUGCACCUGAUUGGAACUUACCAUUUGAACUAAUGUGUGAUGCGAGUGACUUUGCAGUAGGUGCAGUAUUGGGAUAGCGAAGAGACAAGCAUUUUCAACCUAUCUAUUACGCCAGCAAAACCUUAACGACUGCACAAGAAAACUAUACUACUACGAAAAAAGAGUUGCUAGCCUUGGUUUUUGCAUUUGAUAAAUUUUGAUCAUAUCUCAUAUUGUCUAAAGUUGUUGUUUACACUAACCAUUCCACCCUUCGCUACCUUUUAACUAAAACUGAUGCAAAACCUCGACUCAUUCAAUGGAUUCUCCUAUUACAGGAAUUUGACGUUGAAAUAAAUGAUUUGUUCCCUGAAGAACAAUUUUUUGCUAUAUCUAACUCUGAGGUACCUUGGUUUGCAGACAUUGCAAAUUUUUUAGCUGCUAACAUUAUCCCAAAAGGGUUAACACACCACUAAAAGAAGCGAUUCUUUAAUGAUGUGAAAAACUACUUUUGGGACGACCCAUUUCUGUUUCGCAGAUGUACAGAUCAAGUCAUCAGAAGAUGCGUUACAGGAUCAGAAACAUAAAAAAUAUUGGAACAUUGCCACUCAGGGCCAACCAGAUGACACUAUAGUGGAACUAAGACCGCACACAAAAUACUUGAAUCAGGUUUUUAUUGGCCUUCGUUAUUCAAAGACGCUAUCAAGUAUGUUACUUCAUGUGACAAAUGCCAAUGGACAAGUAACAUAUCUAAACGUGAUAAAAUGCCUCAAAACUAUAUGUUUUCAUGUGAAAUAUUUGACGUUUGAGGUAUCGAUUUUAUGGGCCCAUUCCCCAGUUCAUUGGGGAAUAAAUACAUCUUUGUAGCAGUUGACUACAUGUCCAAAUGGGUAGAAGCCCGAGCUCUACCUACUAAUGAUGCUAGAGUGGUAGUCUGUUUCCUAAAAAAACUCUUCUCGAGAUUCGGAACACCUAGAGCAAUUAUCAGUGACAGGGGCACUCAUUUUUGUAAUACCCAAUUUGAAAAAACCAUUAAGAAAUACGGAGUUCAUCAUAGAACAGCCACCCCAUACCAUCCUCAAACUAAUGGACAAGUUGAAGUAGCAAACCGAGAAAUCAAACGGAUCCUUGAAAAAACAGUAGAAUCAAACAGAAAAGACUGGGCAACGAAAGUAGACGAUGCCUUAUGGGCUUACAGAACUGCUUUUAAGACUCCCAUAGGGACAUCACCUUACAAACUUGUUUAUGGAAAAAUUUGUCAUCUACCAUUCGAACUAGAGCAUAAAGCUUUUUGGGCUAUUAAAUUUCUAAACCUUGAUCCCGAACUUGCAGGAAAAAAUAGGUUCAUGCAGCUGAAUGAGCUUGAUGAAUAGCGAGCCAACGUAUACUAAAAUUCACGCCUAUACAAGGAAGCAACAAAGUGGCGCCAUGAUGUUCGUUUAAAGCAACAAAAACAAUUUGAAGUUGGAGAUCUCAUCUUACUAUACAACUCAAGACUCAAAUUGUUUCCCGAGAAACUAAAAUCACGAUGGUCAAGACCCUUCGUAAUUUAAUCUGUUCUUCCAUAUGGCACGAUAAAGGUAAGUUACCCAUCAUACGGUACUUUCAAAGUAAAUGGACACCGUCUUAAAAUUUAUAAUGGUGAGAAUUCUAAAGUCGAUAGAGAGGAGCUACGACUCCACAAACAGCCCUGAAUAAACCAACAAGGUAACAAUCGAGCUUAGACUAUAAACCAGCACUUCUCGGGAGGCAACUCGAAUACUAAUGGUUUUAAAUUAUUUAAAUUUCAAGUUUUAAACAUUUAGGUCACUAACAAAGUAUUUGAAGCACAGGUUCCUAACUCCACACGGCCUAGCACACGGCCGUGCUUAAGGCCGUAUGACCAACACGGAUGGAAACACGGCCAUGCGAUAUGGCCGUGCAGAAACAGGGUAGAAGAUUUCCCCAAACACGGGUUACAAUAAAAACACCACGGCCAUGGUCGAAUCUGCCAAAUAAACAUGGGCGUGCGACACGCCCGUGUCUAGAACCCGUGGACAACACUAUCGAAAUACCACGGACGUGUGUGGAGCUACAAGACCUUGGAAGAAGCGAACCACAUCACACACGGUCGUGUAACAUGAUUAUAUAGCCACACGGCCUAUGCACAUGGGCGUGCCAGAAGGCCGUGUGACGACAUCUUAAUUCGCGACAAACACGGUCUAGCCACGGAGCACAUGGGCGUGUGCCCCAGCCGUGCCAUUUGAAGAAUUAGAAUAAUCCUUUUAUUUUCCUCCUAUUAAGUUUUUAAGAUUCAUUUCUUUCCCUUUUAAACACGUCUUAUGUUUGUGACUAUUAUCAGAUUAUUCCCUUCACUCUUUUUUUAUCAUUCAGAAUCAUGCUUGACAUCCAAAUUUAUUUCCAAUACUUGAUCUCACCAAUCCAAGAAUAACGUCCAUUCUUAAUACAGGAAGUUCCACUUCUCUCCCUCUCUUAUUCUUAUACUUUAAUAUAUAUCUUUGUACAUUGAGGGCAAUGUACAUCUUAAGUGUUGGGGGGAGGGAGGCAUUCAUGUCAUUAUCAGAAAAAUCCCUGAAUGGUUACCUUGUUCUCUUGAAAAGCUCUCAUAUCAUAUUUAGGAUAAAUUUUAAUUGAUUUAUGAUUUUGAUUGAUAUAUCUUGACUUAAAACAUAGGCCUUUAUGCAUUGAUUGUUUAAACUUUAAGACAUUAGAGAAUCAAGCAUGAUGAGUUGAUUUUUAAGAAUUUAAAAUUAUAGGUUGUUUCCCCAAGUCUAGGUAUUACUUUGAAUUGGAAUUCACGAGUCUAAACAUCAAAAAGCCAUAAUUUUUGUGAGAUUUUUGAGCCUUUUGAGCAUCUAUUAAUCCUUUCAUGCUCACUUUUUCAUUGCUUUGAGUGCGUCAAUAUUGAACUGUUAUUCUAGAACUUGCUUGAUUAUGCAUGUCGAGACCACACCAUUUGAUUUGAUAUGUCAAAAUGAUUAAGGCACUUAGGAUUAACCCACUCAUUCCAUGAAAAGCCUACCUUCACGAUUGACCCCUAGUAAACCCCCUUGAUCCUAGCAAGCUAUUUCCUGUAUUACCCUUAAUAUUAACCUUUUACCCAUUAUUGUUGAAAUCCCCUAAAUUAAUCCCUAUAUUUUUUGUCGAGAUUUGAGUUGAAUGGAUUACUUAGCUAUGUUUUGUUCUUAAUAUCUAGUCUAUAUUAUUUAACUUGUUCUUUAAAAAAAAAGGGGACUAUGUAUACAUAUCUGUAAUUCCAUAUUUUGAGAAGAAGCUCUAUUGUACGGAAGUGAAGAUUAACUCUUUUUCUAGUUAGGCAAUUUUUUUUCAAUUAAAUCUCGAUUCUAACCCUUUCAUUCAGCUUGUGACCAAACCCCCUAACCAAGCCUCACUACAACCCUCUAAAGACCUUUUGAUUGAUGUAUCAUCUUAAAUUAUAGUAGUGGAGAUUUGAUUUUCAUGCAAGCCUAUGGUAAUGACUUUUCAUUAUUGACUAUUGAGUGCUUCAUUUAUUGUCCUUAAACACCUCGAGUUAUUUGAGUGAAUCUUUAGUGAGGAUGUGAAACUCUGUGAUAUUCUGAAUCAAAGGUAAUUACUUAGAUGUGGAGAGACACCUAUGUUUGCAAGAUUAAAUACUCAACUUGGAAUAUUUGAAACUUUUAUGUUCUUUUAGUUGAAUUCUCAAUGUAUGAUUACUUAUGGAUUAAUGUGAGAUAUUAUCGAUAGAAAUUAUAAGUUGAGAAGAAUUUAUUUUGAAUAUGAGUUGAGAAUUUUGCUUGAGGACAAGCAAAUGCUUAAUGUGGGGAUAUUUGAUAAACCGUAAAUUAUACAUAUUUUUACCCCAUGUUUAAUGCAUUUUAUGGAUGAUUUCUCAUUAGAAUUGGUGGAUUCGAUGCUCCUAAUGCUUUAAUUUCAUGUUUUAUACUUAGGAGAGCAUAGGAGAGCGAAAGGAACGAGAAACGGGUCAAAAACUGAGAAAAUAGGCCAAAGUACAAAAUCAACACGGCCUGGACCUCCUCACACGGGUAGACCACAUGGCCGUGUCAAUUUGGCAGGCUCGAGCAUGGCCUGAAGUAAUCAAACACGGGCGUGUUACACGAGCGUGUCCCUGCCGAGCCCAAGUUGAGUCCAAUUCAGAAAAGGCUAAUUUUGAGGGCUUCUAGGCAUUCCAAAGCCUAUAAAUACACGCUAGAGGAGGAAGAAAAGGGAGACAGAGAAGAGGGAGUAAUGAAUUACUCUAAGAAUCCGAUUAAUCCAUCUCAGAAGCCGAUUCAUUAUCAAGACUGAAGAUCUCUCCUCAAUUUCCCUUCAGGAGUUUUGGGUUUUCUUUAUGUUUUGUAUUCUUUAUUCUUCUGAGAUGUUUUCUUAUUUAGUUAUGAACUAAAACCCCUAAAUACCUAAGGGGAAUGAAACCUAAGACGAAUCUUGUUAUUAUUUUCUGAAUCGUAUGAUAAAUAUUUAACUUGUUCUUAAUUAUGUGUUCUUAAUUCUUAUUUUGAUAUCCCAGGAUUUUGGGACUUAGUUUUUUAAAUUUUAAAAAUCUGACAGUGAGCUACACGGCCUGACGACACGGUCAUGUGGACCACACGGGAGUGCGACACAGCCGUGUGGACCACACGGCUUGAACACACGGGCUGUUUUAUGCCGUGUGAAAAAUGAAGCUAAAUUUUCAAUUUUUAAACAAGUCAGAGAGCUCCACGGGCGAGGCACACGGCCGUGUGUUCGGACACACGGGCAUGUGGGAGAGCAAAUGGGCAUGGGAGAAACGAACAAUAUAGCACAUUGCCAUGCGAUACGGCCGUGUGAUCCACACGGCCUAUACACAUGGGCGUGUCCUAGGCUGUCUGAAAAUUGGAGCUAAAUUUUCAAAUUUUAAACAAGUCAGAGAGCUCCACGGGUGAGGCACACGGACGUGUGGGAGACCAUACGGGCGUGGGAGAAGUGAACAACGUAGUACACGGUCGUUUGAUACAGCCGUGUGAACCACACGGCCUGAAAACUCGGGCGUGUCCAAGGCUGUGUGACGAGUGGUCCAUUAUUUUCCUCGAUGAACACGGGUUGGAAUUCGUGCCACACCGGUGUGUGACACGACUGUGUGGCCCAACACGAACCGUUACACAAACGUGUCGCCCAUAAAAUCCCCAACCCUAAAAUCUUAUUUUUGUCUUCUUCUUCUCAAACCCUCCCAAGCGCUAGCUGUAGUAACUUUUUGCCUCCUACUCCAGCCACCUUUCCCCAUCGUCCGACUAUCAGCCUCUUCCCCAUCGUUUCCCACCCCCAACCCGACUUCCACCACUCGGUUCUCCUUCCUCUACCUCUCCUUUCUUUCCCUUUCUUUGCUUUUUUCCCACCCCUCAUCCCUCUUCCCUCACCGCUCCUACUCCCAACACACAGCCCUACUCACCACCGCGCACCCCCACCGACCACCCGCUGAACCCACCCCCUUUUUCCCUUCUUCUCUUUCUUUCCCAUUUACCCGCAGCACCCAACACCCACCUCCUAUUUUUCCUCUCCAUUCUUCCCCCACAACCCAACCCUGCACACAACUCCCCUCUCCUCGCCGUCCGACCCUUCGCCCAUCGACACUACCGUCCGUCCAAAGUCCGACCACCAAACAUCACCGUCGGGUCUCCUUUGUUACUCAUUACUCUUUUAUUAUUACUAUUAUUUAUUUAUUUAAUUAAUUUAUAGUCCUUUAUUUAUUCCAUAAAUAUUAUUAUUAGUUAUUUUAUCGAUUAUUAGCAUUCUUGAUUUGUCAGCUAGUGAUAUUGGGUACUGUUUUAGACUAGUAUACUAAAUACUCAUUGGUUGAGUUCAUUAUUCACUAUUUCUAUUACAAUUUGUUCCUACCAUUAGGUUUAUUCCUUCAUUUAGGUAUUGUUGCUUAUUUCUAUUAUAAUGAGCUUAUUUAGGUUCCUUGUUAUUAUCAUUACCUAUUAUCAUGUCAUGAAUUGUUUUUGUUCCUUAUUAUUUUAUCAUGUUAUCCCAUGCCAAUAUCACAAUAUUAUUUUUGCAUGUUUGGAUUUUCAUACACAUUGUUUAGGCAUAACUUAUUAUUUAGGAUUACUUAGAUUUUGCUUUAUCAGCUUUUAUUUACAGAAUUGGUGAUUAUUUACUUAUUUACUAUUGAACUCUUUUUCUUUUUAUAGGCACACUAUGACGAACAGGUGACAAGUCCAAAGUCGCCCUUCCCGCUUCGAAAAAGCGAAAGGGUCCCAGCUCAACCUCCGCUUUGAGCGCCUCUACCGAGGCUCCCCACCCUUAUUUUUGAUUUUGGCAGGUUCUUAGGAAGAACUGUACCAGCUUCAUCGAGUAUGACCCCUAGGUGCGGGUCGUUGUAUUGAUUAGGCCGCGCUAGAGCAGGUCCGUUUGGCUGAUGAUGUACACGUGAUUAUUAUCACAACCCCAUGGGAUAGGUUCUUCACCAUCAUCGAGCCCACCUACUCAAAGCUUACUCUAGAGUUCGAUGCCACAUUUUCGGUCCAGCAGGUCAUGUAAGUCCAUGAUGAGCCCGACAACAUCACCUUUCACCUUGGUGGGUUGGUACGACACAUGAGUGUUCCAAAGUUCGGUGCUGCUUUGGGACUUUACACAAAGGAGUUCAUGAGCACCGAGGACUUUCUUAAACUUCAUCGACAUAUUCAUUACUCGCCUUCUCGAUGUUGGACUGAGCUCACGGGCAGCCUGACUAACUAUGAUGCAAGUCACUCGAAGGUGACGCAUCUCUCUUUGCCCUACGAUAUAUUCAUGCCCUCCUAGCUCACACUUUGACGGGACGGAGAGAGAGCACUAGAGUGGUUAGUACCUAUGAUGCCUAUUUCCUGUGGAGCAUGACUAUUGGACAUGUUUUUGAUUUGGCGUAUUUCAUCGCACUCGCUUGCCGCAAUCAGACUGAACGCCAUAAGAAGGGUUCUAUCUGUCUAGGCCCUUAAGUGACUCGCCUCGCUCGACACUUCGGUCUUCUCAAUAGACCGGAGUAGUUCUCGACAUUUACACUCGUUGGCGAGAUGUCCCCUCAUGGCAUCUCUAGCAUGAUCCACAUGAGGAUGAUCGAGCGGCGACGUAGAGUGGACCCCCUCAGUACAAACUAGUCUAGUCUGACAUUCAGCAUGACCCAAGGACUUCAAUGAUGAUGUUCCUCCCUAUCACGAGGACCCACCACAGCCUCCACCAUCGAGUCACCGAUAUGCUCCCUCCUAUAAAGAGUUCAUGAGUUUUCGUCAGUACUGUACUGAGCGGUUUGACAGUCUUGAUGUGACUUUGUAACGGAUCUGUCAGCAUUUACAUGUUACUCUUCUCCAGCAUCGACGAUGCACGUAUCUGAUAAUGAGGACCAUUGAGUCAAUUUAUCUUUAUUUUUAUUUUUAUUUUUAUGUUUAUUCUGUUUUCCUAUUUUGAACUUUAUUUUAAUUAUUAUGGUUUUUUCUUAAUGAGUAACCCUUUAACUCUUUCAACAUUGUGUGUAUUUUCUUAUUAGUUGCUCAGAAUUUUGCACUACCCCUACAUUUAUCUACAAUUCCGCUUUUCACUAUUCUGGGAAAUUCAUCCACCAUUCAGGAUAGCUUCAAUUAUCUCCCUAUCUUAUGAUAUUUUGUCUUUAUUAUGAUUUAUAUUUGUUUGUAAAUUGAGAACAAUGUACAUAUUAAGUGUGGGGAGGUUAUUUAUAUGAUUAUAUGAAAAUCCCUGAAUUAUGCCUUGUGUUCAAGUAAUUUUCUCAUAUUACUUUUAGAAUAUUACUUUUAGAAUGAACUCUUAUUAAUUUGUGAUUUUCAUUGAGGUGUUUUAGAUUAAAUUCAUAGAUAUUUGUGCAUUGAUUGUUUAAACUUUAAGACAUUAGAGAAUCAAGCAUGAGAAGUCUAUUUUCAAAAAUAAAAUUUUUAAGAUGUUUCCCUAAAUUGAGGUAUUACCUUGAAGUUUGAAAUUUGUAAGAUUUACAUUAAAAUCCAUAAUUUUUGUGAGAUUUUGAGCCUUUAGAGCAUACAUUUUUCGAGCUCACUUUAUUAUUGGUUAUGAGUGUGUUAAUAUUGAAUUGUUAUUCUAGAACUUGCUUCGAUUAUACAUGUCGAGACGACACCUUUGAUUUGAUAUACUGAGAUGAUAAAGGCACCUAGGUUUUAACCCACUUACCCCACAAAAAAAAAGCCUACCUUUACAAUUAACCCUUAGUGAACCCCUUUGAGCCUAACAAAUCUUAAUUUAUCCUUAAUAUUAACCCAUACAUCAUACUUUUUGAUUCACUAAGAAUUUUUCCUAUUUUAUUGACUCCCUUUUUGUCGAGAUUUGAUUUGCUUAAUUGCCUAACUAUGUUAUUUUAUUUUAGUUGUAUAAUUUUCUCUUAUUAUUCAUUCAGUCAAAAAAAAAGAAAAAAAAGAAUUUUUUUUAAUAUUUACAGACAUGUUGAUUAUUAUUAGUUCUUUGUCUUGAGCUUAAGUAGUUAAUUUCAUAUUCUGAGAAGAAUCUCAUGUUUAUCUUUAAUAAAUUUGAUUAAUGUAAUUAUUUAAGUAUUAGUUUAUUUUUCUAGUUAGGUAAUUUAUCAAUUCGAUCUCGAUUCUAACCUUCUUUUUCAGCCUUUAUCCACACCUUUAACCCACGCUCCGUUACAACCCAUUAAAGACUUUUGAUUUGUGUAUCAUAUCAUUUUAUAGUGGUGGAGAUUUGAUUUUCAUGCAAGUUUAUGGUAAUAACUUUUCAUGUUUGACUCUUGAGUGCUUAAUUUUUGAACCUUAAACACUUUGAGUGAUUUGAAUGAAUCUUUAGUGAGGAUGUCAAUUCUUGUUAAUUUUUGAAUUAAAGGUAAUUAUUUAGAUAAAGGGAAAUACCUAUAUUUUCAUGCUUUAAAAGUUAGACUUGGAUUGCUUGUGCAUUUAGUGCUCUUUUAGUUGAAUUAUCAAUGUAUGAUUAUUUUUGAAAUUAUGAUAAAACAUUAUUGAUGAGAAUUAUGAAUUGAGAAAGUUAAUUUGAAUUGUGAAUUGAGGAUUUUGCUUGAGAAAAAGCAAACGCUUAAGUGUGGGGAUAUUUGAUAAACCAUAAAAGUAACAUAUUUUAAUCUCAUACUUAGAAUAUUUUUGGAUGAUUUAUCAUAUAAUUUAGUGAAUUAGAUGCUCCUAAACCUUUAAUUUCAUGUUUUAUACUCAUGAGAGCAUAAGGGGAACAAAAGGAGCAGAAAACAGGUCAAAAACAGACAAAACGGGAUGAUUUAAAGAUCCACACGGCCAAGCCUACUUCCAUAGGGGCAGAGCACACGCCCGUGUGAGACACACGGGCUGGCCAUAUGCCCAUGUGUUAGCCUAUGUUAAUAUCGUUCCCUGUUUCCCAAAUACGCGAAAAAAGCCAAAUUUUAGGGUUUCUGAGCACUCUAAAGUCUAUAUAAACACACUAGAAGUAGACCUAAAGGAACACAUAGAGCAGAAAGUAGAAAUUACUCGAAGGAAGCCGUUGGAAUCGUCUCAGAAGUAGAUCCACCUCAAGAUUGAAAAUCUCUAUUCAAAUUUCUCUCGAAGUUUAUUUGGGUUUUUUAUGUCUUGUUGAUUUUCUAAAUUUGAGAUGUUUUCCUUUCACAUUAUGAACUAAACUCCCUAAAUACCUAGGGAGGAUGAAACCUAUGACGAAUCUUAUUAUUUAAUGUUCUAACUUUAAUGAUAAAUACUUGUUCUUGUUCUUAGUUAUGUGUUCUUAAUUCUUGAUCUAAUAUUUUCAGGAUAUUAAUUCAAGUUGAUGUGCUUAUUCAGAGGAGCAAAAGUCCCUGUUUAAGAGUAGAUCUACCAUAAUUAAGUGGAGUUGCAUGCAACCCUAAAAAUAGGGCGACAUAAAUCUACCGAAUUAGAGUCAAACCUAAUAAAGGAAUCCAUAGAUCGAGUUAAUGCGACAAUAAGGGCUUUAAUUAGAAAGAGAUUUCAAUUAAUCAACCUAGAUUAAGUUGUUUUUAGUCUCGAAAGAGAUAUUAACAUAAUUUAGGGAUUUCUACGAAUCAAGACAAGUGAAUAAAUCGUUUGAUUCAAAGUCAGAAUAAUAAGUGAAGUCUAGGAGGAUUCUUCAUUGGGUAUUGUCUUUAUUAUUUGUUUAUUCGAUUAUUUUCUUCACUCUCUGUUGUGUUUAUUAGUUAUCUAGUUUAGUUAAAUUUAGAUUAAAAUAAAAUCCCUUCUAUUCUAGUCUAAAUAAUAGAAAUAUAGUUAAUACUAGUACUUUUAGUCCUUGUGGAUACGAUAUUCUGGACUCACCAUAGCUAAACUACCAUUCCAUAGGUGUGCUUUCCUUUGUCGUGAUCGUAGUCUAGUUUAGUGAACCAUAAAAACGAUCAUCAACACCUUAUGAUGCGAGUCGCUCAAAGGUGACUUCUCUCCCUUCAGCUUUAGGUAUAUUCAUGCUCUCUUAGCUCACACAUUGACCGGUAGGAAAGAGAGCACCGGAGUCAUUGGUACCACUGAUGCAUACUUUCUGUGGAGCAUGGCCACAUCGCAUAUUUUUUAUCUAGCCUACUUCAUCGCUCUUGCCUUUCGCCAUCAGACAAAGCGUAGUAGGAAGGGUCCUAUCUGUUUAGGCCCUUAUGUGGCUUGACUCGCUUGGUACUUUGGUCUCCUUGACACACAGAAGUAGUCCUCUUCAUUUACAUUCAUUGGCCAGAUGUCCUCACAGGGAAUAUCGAGCAUGACCCAUAUGAGGAUGAUCUAGCGGCUUUGUGGAGUGCAUCCUCAUCAGUACUGAUUAUCUCAUUCUGAACCUUAGCAUGAGCUCGAAGACUUCCCUAAUGAUGUCCCCUUCCAUUAUGAGAAUCCACCUCAUCCUCUACCUUUGAGUCACCGUCCUAUUUCUUCUGCUACUACCUUAGAGAACCUCUCCGAGUGGUUCACUCGUUUCGAGCAACAUUGCUUUCAGAGGUUUGACAGUAUUGACGCCACAUUGUAGCAGAUCUAUCAACACCUCCAUAUAUCCUUGUCAGUACUGGCGACUCACAACACCGACGCUUUUGAUGAUGAGGAUCAUUGAGCUUAUUUGUUUUCUUUUUCUUUUUAUGUUUAUAUUUAUGUUUAUUGUUAUUUUUAGUUGUUUUUAUUGUUAUUUUCUUAGACUUAUUUCAUUUUUUAUCUUUUGAACUAUAUUUUUUUUAUGGUUGUUUCUGAUCGAGUUAGUAGCCUUUUAAUCUUCUUCACCAUUUGUGUUUAUUUUCUUAUUAGUUUGCUCAGAAUCAUGCACUACAUAUAUAUUUAUCUAUAAUUCUGCUUUUCACCAUUUUGGCAAUUUCGUCCAAUAUCCAGGGCAAUUUCAGUUUUCUCCCUCUCUUAUGAUAACUGUGAUUAUAUCUGUUUGUAUAUUGAGGACAAUGUACAACUUAAUUGUGGGGUGGUUAUUUAUAUAAUUAUUAGAAAAUCCCUGAAUUAUGUCUUGUAUUUAAGUAAUUUUCUCAUACUUCCAUUAGAAUGAAUUUUUAUCGAUUUUGGAUUUUCGUUGAUGUGUUUGGGAUGAAUUUUUACAUAUUUGUGCAUUGAUUGAUUUAAACUUUAAGAUAGUAGAGAAUCAAGCAUGAUAAGUUAUUUUUUAGAAAUUAAAAAACCAUGAUUUUUUGUAAGAUAUCGAGCCUUUAGGGCAUAUAUUUUUCUUGCUCAUUUUACUAUUGGUUUUGAGUAUGUCAAUUUAAUUUGUUAUUCUAGAACUUGCUUCAAUUAUACAUGUCGGGAACACACCUUAAAAAGUCUGAGAUGAUAAAGGCACUUAGGUUUUAACCUACUUAUCCCAUAAAAAGCCUACCUACAUAAUUAUCCUUUAGUGAACCCUGUUGAGCCUAACACACCGUUUCUUAAUUUACCCAUUACUUUUAACCCAUAACUCAUUUUUUUUUCGUUGAAACUUUUUCCCAUUUUAUUGACGCCCUUUUUGUCGGGAUUUGAUUUGGUUAGUUGUCUAACUAUACUCUUUUAUUUGAUUUGAUGAAUUAUUUCUUAGUGUUCAAAAAAACAAAAUCGAAAAAAGAAAAAUAAAUAUUAUUAUUUAGUUCUAUGUUGGUUGAACUUGAGCAGUUAAAUUCAUAUUUUGAGAAAAAAGUUCGUUUUAUUCUUGAAUAGUUCUCGAUUGAUGUAAUUGUUUUUAAUUCAACACUUUUUUAUUUUUUCUAGAUUAGUAAUUUAUUAAUUUGAUGUAACACCCCUUACCCGUACCCGAGGCCGGGAUAAGGUACGAGGCGUUACCGGACAAACAUGCAAACAUUAAACUAAAAUACGGGCCAUAAAAUUUCAUUCAUAUUUCAAAAUGUUCAUUUACUUACACAUAGUCCCUUAUUUGAGUCUACGGAGCCCCAAACAUACUUUAGAAAGGGUUCGGGACUAAAUCGAGAACUUACGAAAAUCUUGAAAAUUUCAUACUUUAAGGCUCCACACACCCGUGUCCCAAAGUCGUAUUCCAUACAUGGCUGAGACACAUGGUCGUGUCUGUCUCUGCCUGUGUGGAAUAUACCUAGGCUAUUUUCCAAGCUUUGGUCAACCUUAAUCUCUUACACACUUAUACAAAAUCAAAAGCAUAUAACAUGGUAUUCAUUUAAUGAUUAAACAUUCUCAAUAAAAUCACAAACAUAGCAUUUGUAUGUCAUCAUACAUGUGUCUCUCAUACUCAUUUUACCUUGUCUAUUAUAGUACCACUUAUACAUUUAUACCAAGAUUAUCAUCUUACCAAGUAUCUUCAGCUUAAUCAUCAAGCAUUCAUAUUUAAAGCUAGAUCAUAUCUUUACAAAAUACCACAAUUUUGACGCGCAGAAUAACAUGUUUUCCUGAAUCAUUUCAAUUCAAAUCCAUACCCAACAAGCAUUACAUUGAGACUAGUCAUAUAUAUAUAUACAUGUUAUGAUACAUAUCAUUCUCUUUCUGUUUUCUUAUAAACACAUAUCAUUUAUUUCAUUAUAUCAAUAUUUCAUAUACCAUAGUUUUCAUGUAUUCCACAUAUAUUUAUUUUCCUCCUCGUCCUCUCCAUUCCACAUCCUUAAUGUAUAUAGCAUUCUUGUAAGUACGAUUUCACAAUUUACUAAUAAAUGCUCACAUCAAACUGUCCACACGAGUCAUAGUCACUUACUUAUUUAUAAUUCGAGCUACAGAGCUCCAAAUUAAGAUCCGUAAAUUUCCCCUGAAACUAGACUCACAUAUAUUUCAACAAUAAAAUUUUCAUAAUUCUUGGUUUAUCCAAUUAGUACAGUUUAUUCAUUAAAAUUUCCCAUGUUUCACUUUCUGACAGUUCUGACCUCUCUUCACUAAAAAAUAAUUAUCUCACAGUACAGAACUCGGAUAAUGUUCUUAUUGUUUAUCUUGAAAAUAGACUCAUUAGGAAUUUUAAAAAUAUAAUUUUGAGCUUCUAAUUAAUUUUCUCCAAAUUUUUGUGAUUUUCCAAAGUCAGAACAGGGGAUCAAGUAAUCAUUCUGAACCAGUCUCACAAAAACAUAAAUAUCUUAAAAUAUAGAACUCCUUUGCUUUCUUUGUUUCUUUUAUAUGAAAAUAGACUUAUUAAGGUUUAAUUUUAUAUCUCAUUCAGUUUCUGAUUCAAUUUCUACUAUUUUUGGUGAUUUUUCAAAAUCACAUCACUGCUACUGUCCAAAACAGUUUUAUUGUUAAUUCACUCUUUCACACAAAUCAUUUUAACAUACAUAACACAAAUCAUUUUCACCACAUUUCAUACAUCACAAGUAUAGGCCCAUGAUCACAAGAUCACCAUAAAAUCAUCCUUAUGUAUAACUUACUUGUUUAUAAUCUUACCACAUCCUGGUCACUUAAUGAACAUAUCAUUCACAUAACCAAGUUCCUGCACUUAUUCAUCACAACACUCACAAAGCAAUACAUAGAAAGUCUCCCACUUCGGAAUAUAAUUCGGAUACAUGGAAAGUUUGCACAUAAGUGCCACAUAUGUAGCCAAACUAUCUGGUAUGCAUAGUAGUCUGCACUUAGUAUUACACAUGCGACCAAUUAUUCGGUAUACGUAGUAGCCUGCACUUAGUACUACACACGUGACCUAACUAUCUGAUACACGUAGUAGCCUGCAUUUAGUACAACACACGUGAUCGAAGUUAUGGGGUACGCAUAGUAGCCUGCACUUAGUACUACACAUGCGACCUAGCUACAUAUAUCCCGUAGCUCUCUUGUCUACAUGGUGUACACAUAGUAUCACCCAUACGACCUAGCUACAUCAUAAUGUCUUGUAGCUCUCUUGUACACAUGAUGUGCACUUAGCACCAUACAUUUGACCUAGCUACAUACUCUCUGUAUCAUCCAAUCUUUCUGAAGGUUCAACCGAGAUUUCUCUCUUUUCCAACAAUUUCACCAAUCAAGUAAUUAUCCACAAACAUAUUUCCAAUAUUAUUAUAAAAUAUCAUAAUACAAGUAAUAUUGAUUUAUUACUUACAUAUAAACUUACAUCUUAUUUAAUAUCAAGGCAAUAACAUUAAAUUACACAUUGCCUUAUUAAAAAUCAUAUGAACUUACAAUUCCCCAUAAUAUCCAUAAUGUAACGCCCCAAUUUUCAGGAAUUCUGAUAUUGUUGGCAUAGGUUUAAUUAUGUUAGUGGGCCUCUAGAAGGCCCAAGCUUAAGAUAGAACCCGGCAAUUUUAGUUAAUUUUUGUUCCAUAAGAAAAAGGGGGUGAAAUUAUGAAAUAGAACCUAUGUGAAAAUGUUUGAAAAUGCUAUAGGCUAAAUUGAAGUGGCCAAAUAAAUAGGACUGCAAAAUAGGAGGAUUUGCAUGACAAACCUCCCAUUUUACAUGAAGUGGCCAGCCAUCAUGUUGUUGUAGACAAAAUGUGCACUUGAUAUCCAUAAUUUAUGGUACAAAUUGAUACAAAUUGAUAAUGGGUUAGGUAAAUGUUCCAUGAUAAUGGGUUAGGUAAAUGUUUCAUGAUAAUGGGUUAGGUAAAUGUUCCAUGAUGGGAAUUUCAUGUCUUUUGUAUUAAAGAAUUAAAUGGAUGAAAUAUGUAAUUUUAUUAAAAGAAAAAGGGGUGAAAAUAACAAAGUUUUGUCCAUCUUUGUUCAUCAUAGCUGAAAGUUAGAGAAGAGAAAGGAGAGGAGAAAGCUCUUGAGUAUUCGGUCACUAGGAGGGGGAAAUUGAAGGUAAGUUCUUGGUACCUUGCUUCUAUUUUGAGGUUCAUGAGUUCUUCUUGAUUCUACCUUAACUCUUGAAGCAUAUUUUGAUUUUUAGUUGUGUUGUGAGCAUUUAGUCAUGAAUUAAAAUGAAGGAAAUGGUUGUUGUUUCAUGUUCUUUUGAUGAAAAAUGGAAGAUAGGUGAAGUUGAGCCAAACAAAUGAGCAUGCAUGUGCCUUAGAUGCUAAGGGGAAAAAUCGGCUAACAUGUUGUGCUUUAAAAUGAUGAAAUGGAGAUUAUACUUAAGUAAAAUCAUAGAUAUGUGAUGAUUGAUUGGUGAUAUACAUGUUUAAAUAACAAGCAUGCAAGUUAGGUGUGAAAGAGUGAUUUGGUAAUAAAUCUACUUGGGACAGCAGCAGUAACGUGACUUUGGAAAAUCACCAUAAAUUGUGGGAGAUGAGUUAGAAGCUGCAUAAAUUAUGUAAUUAAAGCUUAAUGAGUCUAGUUUCAAAUGGAAUAAACGAAAACAUAUUUUGAAUUCUGUACAAUGAGAAAUUUUAUUCGUAAUGAAGAGUGGUCAGAUUAGUCAAACAGUGAAACAUGGGAAACUUUGAGAAAAAUCUGGUAUUGAUUGGCUAAACCAAAAAUUCUGAAAAUUUUAUGGAUAGAAUAUAUAUGAGUCUAUUUUCAAGGAAAAUUAACGGAACUUGAUUUGGAGUUUUUUAGCUCCAGUUAUAAAUGAUUUAGUGACUGUUGCUCAGGAAGAUAGCUUGCAGUGAAAUUAUGAUUAUGUGGUAAACAUUGACAAAAAUUUGUUAAUGAGUUGCUUAUUGUUUUCUUAUAAGCUUACUACGAUCUGUAGGUGUGGUUGGCCGAAUAUUGUAAGGGGUUAAUACGUAGUUUGUAUUUGAAUAGUUAGAUUAACGUAUUAGUAAUCCAAUUGUAGGCGGUUCGUGUGUGGAUCUCGUCAGCAUAUCGUCGCAAACAGGUGUGUAACGAACACCCUCUUUCUUAGUCUGGAUCGGCAAAAGUCGAAAAGCCGAAAUGCUGAAAACUGGUAUUUUGUAGAUUUACGAGUGUGCGAAUGCUCGUGAGGUAAAUCGAUUAAUGGUUUUGGUAAGCUGUAAAAUUUGGACUGCAAAGUGCAUGAUUUCUGUGCCCUCGAUAUUUUUGGGCUUAAUGGGCCAAAAUUGGAAUGAUGGGCCAAUGGGCCCAAUUCGAUAAGAACCCUCGGUACGUGAUUCUGUUAGUACGUGAAAAGUAGGAAUAUGCAUGAAAAACCCUAAAAAUAGCUAAAUUACUAUAUUACCCCUAUGUAUGGAAAUUACUAUUAUACCCCUAGGUGCAAAAUUACCGAAAUACCCCUAGGGUUAAAUUGACCUAAAUGCAUGUUUGACUGUUGUUAUUUACUGCAUGCCAUGUUGUUAUUAUCUGAUGCAUGGGAUUGGGAUAUUGACAGAGGAAGUACUGAAAGUGGCUUGUCCACGUACUGGAGGCUUUGCCUCAAUUUACUGUUAACUGAGCAGCAAGGCUGCAACUGUGGAGUGUUGGGCUGGGUGGGUUGAGCUAUUCCCCACAUGGAGUGUAUGGCUGGUACGGGUGGGCUUGCAUAUGUUUAUUGAUGUUGCAUGUAUUUUGAAAUGGGCUUAUGGGCCAUACUGUUAUCUGAAUAAGAGGCUAAGGCCCAGUUUAUUGUAAUCUGAAAAGGGCUCUGGUCCAGUACCACUGUUACCUGAAUGGGCUUAGGCCCAAUAGGCUUGAGCUGACAUGGGCUUUGAAUGGGUUUUCCUUACACACUGAGUUUCCCCAAACUCACCCCUUUUAUUUUCAUCCACGCAGGAAAUCCCCAACCAUAGUGGGCUUGGAGCUGUGAGGGAAUUCAGAGUGGCCACACGUUCUGAAAGUUUGAUUUUCUUCUGGUGAACUGGAUAUCCUUUUAUUUACGUUUGAAGUUUUGGGUUUUUAAAUGUAAUAAGGCGCUUAAUUAUUUUGAUGGUUUUAAUAUGUAUUAUUAAGAUAGGUAUUACUUAUUUUAACUGUUGAAAUUGGAUAGCUUUAGGGCGCGUUUUCAAAAACAACAGUUGAUUUCAAAAUAACACAACAACAAGCAAAGCUUCCGCAAUGAAAGUAUUUUCCAAAAUUAAUCACUUUUCCUAAAAAUAACUUAAUCAAAUCUGUUUCCUAGAAAUAUCCAUGACGUUAAGGUGUGGCAAUGGCAGUAUGCAUGUCUAGGAUUGGAUCCGAAGGGAGCUUGGUACUUAAGCAGUCCGAUGGACUCACCACCUCUUUUUCGGUUUCCUACCUGGUGCACAGCUUCCAUUCACUUUAACCUAUAAUGAAAUUAUCUUUUAAAACACUAAGUAAGUUUUUCUGGAUCAACAACAUAAAAUGUUUUUAACGCUUCGAUGUGGCAUGUCGAAUCCGGUCAUAACGUUUGGGCCGGGUUUGGGGUGCUACGCAUAAUCAUAGAAAUCAAAUUUAUGUAUGAUAACUCAAUGCACUUCAUGUACCAUAGAUAUAUUUUUAAAUCAAUUCAUAAACUUGGCACCAUAAUCAUUUAAUUUAACAUAAUUCAAUUAAUUCACUAAAUUUAACUUUCAACUAUAAAUUAUAGCAUUAUUGCUGUAUUAUUAUCAUACCAACUUACAUACUUUCAACACCUUGGAAAUCAUAGUAAAUAUAUCAAUUUUACAUUGAAACAUGCAUAAAUUAAUGCUUAUUAUACAUAUGAACUUACCUCGAUACUAAAACGGCCAUUUAACCAACUUUCCCAAUUUUUGAUUUUUCUCUCAUUCUAGGUUCAAAUAUCAUUUUCCGGGAUCUAAAACAUCAUAUUUUACUUAUUUAAUUAAUUUAAUAUUCAAAACAGUCCUUAAAUCAAACUUUGACAAAUUUACAAUUUUGCCCCUAAACUUUUGCUUAUUUACACUUUUGCCUCUAGGCUCGGGAAUUAAACUUCAUCCCUUAUUCUUAUGUUUUAUGACAUGCUGAUAACUUUUCUCUUCUAUGGAAACAUCAAAUUCUCACUCUAACAUAUACUUAUGACUAUUAGGUAUUUUUACUGAUUAAGCCCUUUUACUCGUUUUCACUCAAAACCGAGUAGCACAAGUUGUCUAACAUAAUUUUAAACCUUUUAUUCUAUCAUAAAACAUCAAAAUAAACACAUUUCACCUAUGGGUAUUUUUCCAAAUAUGAACCCUAGCUUAAAUUAUUGCUAGAAUAAGCUUAAUCAAAUUACCGGGAUUCCAAAAACGUAAAAAACUUGAAAAACGGGAUUAGAACGGACUUACUAUUGAGCUUGGAAAGCUUGAAAACCCUAGCCAUGGCUUCCCCCAUGCUAAUUUCAGCCUCCAUGGAAAAGAUGAGUCAAUUUUGGCUUUAUUUUCCCUUUUUAUUUCUUUUAAUUACCAAAUCACCAAAAUGCCCUUCCUUACUAAACUUUAAAAAAUUUCAUCCAUAUCCAAUUUUUUUCCAUCACUUAGAAAUUGGUCAAAUUGCUAUUUAAGACCUCCUAAUUAAUAUUUCAAAGCAAUUUCUUACUAGAAGCUUCUAGAAUGCAAGUUUUGCAACUUAUUCAAUUUAGUCCCUAACUUCAAAUUGAGCACUUUAUGCAUAGAAUUUCUUCACGAAAUUUUCACACAAUCAUGAAAUCAUAUCAUAGACCUCAAAAUAAUCAUAAAAUAAUUAUUUCUAUUUUGAAUUUUGUGGUCCUGAAACCUUUGUUCCAACUAGACCCAAUUUUGGGCUAUUACAUUCGAUCUCAAUUAUAACCAACUUUUUUGGCCUUUAUCCACACCCUUAACCUGAGUCCCAUUACAACCUUUUAAAGACCUUUUUAUUUGUGUAUCUUAUCAUUUUAUAGUGGUGGAGAUUUGAUUGUCAUGCAAGCCUAUGGUAAUGACUUUUCCUGUUUGACUGUUGAGUGCUUAUUCUUGAACCUUAAAAAUUUUAAGUGAUUUGAGUAAAUCUUUAGUGAGGAUGUCAAUUUUUUUCAAUUUUUAAUUAAAGGUAAUUACUGAUAUAAGGGGAGACACCUAUGUUUUCGUGUUUAAAAAUGUUAGCUUGGAUUGUUUGAGACUUUAGUAGUGCUCUUUUAGUUGAAUUGCCAAUGCAUGAUAAUUUGUGAAUUAUUUUGAGGCAUUAUUGAUGGGAAUUACAAGUUGGGAAAGAUUAAUUUUAAUGUGAGUUGAGGAUUUUUCUUGAGGACAAGUAAAUGCUUCAGUGUGGGGAUAUUUGAUAAGCUAUAAAAGUAACAUAUUUUAAUCUUAUUCUUAAUGUGUUUUUGGAUGAUUAAUUUUGCAAAUUAGUGAAUUUGAUACUCCUAAUCCUUUAAAUUCAUGAUUCUAUACUUAGGAGAGAAUCUGGGAGCGAAAGGAGCAAAAAAGAGCCAAAAUUGAACAAAUAGAGCUAUUUUCAGGAUCCACACGGGCUGGCCACACGCCCAUGUGUCAAACUGUGUCGAUUUCGCACCCUGCUUCCCAAAUACGCGGAAAAACUCAAUUUUUAGGUUUUCUGAGCAUUCUAAAGUCUAUAAAUACCAAUUAAAAGAAAACCUAGGAAGGCAAUUAGAUAAGAUCAAAGAAAACACUCAAAGAACGCCAUCAGAAUCAACUCUGAAGCGGAUCUCCAUCAAGAUCGAAAACCUUCUUUUAAUUUCUUUCGAAGUUUAUUGAGUUUCUUUAUAUCUUAUGGUUAUCCUAACUUUGAGAUGUUUCUAUUCAAGAUUAUACCUAGUUCAAGUUAUAAUUUGGUUUGCAUCCUUACUUGCUCAAGAGGAGACUUUAUUACAAAUAAACAAGAUAGAUAAUACUUGGGGGCCCGAAUUAGGAUAAAAGGAAUAGAUACCUAUUGGUGAGAACAAUUUGCCUAGAAAACAACCCCGCAUACUAUAAAUUAACACAUUUAUGGUCUUCAAUGAAGUUCCACGUCUAAAAUGUCCCAUUUAUUAAAUCAUGUAGCAAUUAAUGGCAUGCGUUUUAAAACUGUAUUUGUGUAACUACCUAUCAAUACGAUAUUUUGGUGUCAAUAAAGCAUGUGAUAUUUGAAAUAAUUAUUGACUUAUAUCCACUUGUAUUAUAGCAUUAAAUGCAUGUCUUAGUGUCAGUAUUUUUUUGGAUCAAACGAUUACACAGUCACUCUUACCAAUGAUUCUGCAUGCAUAAAAACGUUUACGAUGUACAUGUACGACACCUAUACCUACAUGAACUAAUUAUAAUAGACUGAAGCAGUUUCAAUUUAUAAAGAUUUAUCCUUACUAAAACAAAUAAAAAUUUCCUUAAAUAGACGUAUCAUUUAUUAAAAAAAAAACUACAAGAUCCAUAUGCAUGACCUCUUUUGUUUCAUAAUCGUCCAGUAUGUAAUAUGUCCAAUAUUUAGCUUUAAAUUCAUUAAAAGCUUUAAUUUUUUACAUCACCAAUAGUGUUCCUACAAUUUUAGGAAUCUUUUAUUUAAAGAGAGACUAAGAGAGAAGACAUAUAGAAGAACAUUAGGAGGAUUCUUCUCAAAAUUGCCAAGACAGUCACUUACACUUUCAUAAUACUAACUUACAAUUAACUUUAAAAAAAAGAAAAAUAAAAAUUCUGAAGUCUUAUAAACAAGCAAGUCGUGUGUUAAAACGCUUAUGCAAUUAACCACAACUUCACAUUUACUAAACCAAUUGGCUUGGUCUUCUUUUUUUCAUGGAAGAACCUGCAAAAGAGAGGGAUGAAACCAUCAUACACCCCCUCUCCCCAAAAAAAUGACAUAGAUAUAAUUACUAACCUUGAACGACAUUGUUGGGAGGGACAGUUACGACCUUAAACAUGGAUAGUAAAAUGAACAUGAAAAAUACCAAGUAUAUAUAAUCAUCGAUUUCUAAACAAUAUGGUAUGUUGGUGUUAUGAAUUUCGUCUAUUUCAAUAUAUAUAUUUUGUUAGAGAGAGAGUGAGGGAGGGAGAGAGAGAGCAUUAGGAGGAAUUUUCUCAAAAUUGCCCAGAGAGUCACUUACACUUUCAUAAUAUCGACUUACAAUUAACUUAAAAAGAAAAACAAGUAACAAUUUUAGAGUUUUAUAAACAAACAGGACAUGUCUUAAAACACUUACGUUAUUAACCACUACUUCACAUUUACUAAACCAAUGGACUUGGUCUUCUUCAUGGAGGAACUUGCAAAAAAUGAUGCAGCCUAUCCUAGAUGAUAGUGAUGAAACCAUCAUGCAACCCCUUCCCCUCCAGAAAAACAAAAACAAAAAUAAAAACAUUUCAAUCAACCUUAUAUCAUGGAUAAAAUUAUUUAGUUUAAACAACAUUAUUGAGAAGGGCAACUAUAAACUCAAAUAUAAAUAGUAAAAUGAAUAUGAAAAAUACCAAAUAUAUAUAAUUACCGAUAUUUAAAUAAUUUGAUAGGUUGGUAUUAUGAAUUUAGUGUAUUUCAGAAUCCCGUUUUAAAUAUAUAUUUUCUUAGAGAGAGAGGACAAGUGGAAGAGCAUUAGAGAGAUUAUAUUCUAAAAAGUCACUUACACUUUCAUAAUACUGACUUAAAAUUAAAAGAUAAGUAACAAUUUUAGAUUCUUAUAAACAAGUUAGACAUGUGUUAUAAUGCAUAUGAACUUAACCACUACUUCGCCCCUACUGUUUUAACAAUGAACACAAAUCCUAAAUAUUGAUGUCUGCUUACUGCAAUUGAAAGCUAUUCGAAAGUCGAUAACUUUGCAGCUACUUGAACCACUAAUCAGUCAAAAUGCCUACAUAUAUUACCAGAAGUAACUGCAGUUGAAGGAAUCUUUCAUCUGAAACAGUCAAGCUACACUUAUCGAAAUGUAAAACAUUAAUCCAACAAAACAAACACUGACUAGUAUUUUCUUUUUCCUACUUAAGAAGCUUAAAUAUUAGUAAAGCCACAGUCUUCCAUGACUAAACAUAUAAAUCAAGAGAAUCUACUGGAUGUUCCACAUCCAAACUUUCUGUAGAUAAAUUGAACAAUUUUCUUGUUUUGCCUCGACUCUAAAAUCUCUUAUAACCCUAAGCAAUGUCGUAGAUUGUGACCAUUAAUAUCUAAUGGGUUUUAUUCCCACUAACCUUGUUAAUGCUUUACAACACCAAUGAAUGCUAUGCAAUCUUAAAAUUGAGGAGCUCCACAAGUGCAAUCAUGAAAGCAAUAACAAUAUUUUUAUAGCAAUUUCUCAAAGAUUUUCAUCAACUUUCAGUUUAGUAUCUCUGCAAAUCUUUGAUGAUUCUCCAAUUAUACAGACUAGACUUCAAUAAAGCAUUCAUUAUUAUGAUACUCUUGAUUCAGGUUCAUUAAACAAAGGGUUUGAAGAACAAACACCUGCUAGCGAUUUUGCACCGAAAUAUAUAUGCUAAGAGAGAUGUUAGUCAGAGUCUUAAAUUAUUUACGGACCCAUGGUUUCAAUAAACCUUUCCAUACCUUCAAAGAAGUUUUCAAUGGUAAGGACUUGCAAUCGAACUAAAUAUGUAAAUCUAAUGCUUCUAAUCUUAAUGUCAUGACCUAAGGACAAAAUUUAGAGACAGAAAGAACAGAAUUUACACCAAGUAGAACCAGUUGGCUAUAUCUAAAUUUGAAUCAGGAUCGGAUCUAACUCAGAUGAACAGUACUAAGUAACCUUAGAAUGAAACUGUAGAAGAAAGGAUUGAAAUGAUCAGCUUUCGGAAAAUAAAUUAAGCAGAUAAUUCAACUUCAUAUUAUAAAAUACUUGAGUCUAAGACAACAUGUAUAAAAGUAAUUAAACAGCUGUUUGUAGUAUUGCAUUUGUACCUGAAGAUAACUCUCUAAGACUGUGACACACACACAAACAACAACAACAACAACAUUGAUAAACUAAAACAUAGAUAAUCCUUAAAGUCCAACAACAACAAGAAUCGGCAAUCUUCCAAGGCUUUUUGGUUUCAUGGUUUAAAUUCCCAUAGAUCACCACUCCAAACAGACUCCUGGCUGUGGUCUCUCAUGGGUGUCCAAAAAUCACCAUUCAUGGUCUCCCAACAGGAAUACCAUCCAGAGUCAUACCUAACUUUGGACCACGGCCAAUUCUCGUCAAACCUAAAUGUAAUUGGCCAGUCAUCCAAGGUCAACUCCUCCGCAUCAUCUCCAUUAUUCUCCACCACAGCCACGUCGUUGGCAGGCGGCUGUGGCUCCUGCUCCUGCUUCUGUUUCUGCUGCUGCUCCUGCUCCUCCACCAGCUCCAUAGGUUUGUUAUCAUCAUUCUUCUCCUCUUCCCUAAUCUCAAUAAUCUCAACCUCGUACAACGUUUCUUCAUCUUCCUGCUCCAUUGUUUUCAUUUCCAUCGACCUUGUUACAAUCGUUCGGUUAUUGGGAAUGGUUGAUAGAGCUUUGGUAGCCCUAACCCCGUUUGUUCUUCCCUUUUCAGUCAUGCUCGCACUCUUUGAUGAGUUCCCGCUCUCUUCUACUCUUUCUUUGCAGCUCUUUCUUCCUCCUCCUCCAUACAUGGAGUUAAUCUUAGCUUUCUUCAUUGAAAAAGAGAGGGGAAAUGAAAGGCUUUCUCAGCAAAGGAACACGGAACCCAGAGAGAGAGAGAGAGAGAACGAGUGUUUGGCGAGAAUGGAAGUACAAAUGUCGGUGAAUAUAUAUAGGACCUUGUAAGGGUUUGUCCAGCGAGAAAAUUUUUUUUCCAGGGUUUCCAUUUUCUCGAGAAAAUCAUCCUACUCAUACACUCAUAAUAAUCUUACCAUGUCAAGAAACUUGCCAAAAAGUUGAUAUUUCCUGAGAUAAUCAAUUAUGAAAAGGGGGAGCGUUUCUAAUUCUUAAAUUUACGUGGCCAUGCAGGAAGGCAACGUGGAAAUCUUAGCCAAUGCAAAUUAGGGGACCCAUCAACCGAUAAUUUUGUGAGUGCGGGUUUUGUAAAAUUUUUCUAUUCGAUUUAUAAAAAAUUUCUUUCCAAGGGAAAAUUUGGAAGUUUGUUUUGUUUCUUAAAAUCUUUUCUGGCAUUUCUUUGUAUUGACAAAUCUCAUUUAAUGAUUUUUAGUAGGAUUUUAAUGAUAGAGAUACCGUCAUAACGUAACGACAUGAGGAUGUUAUUUUUUCUUUAUCACUUUCUUAACUUUAUGCUUUUUCCCUCCUACAGCAGUUUAUUCAUUUCAUACCAAACCAAACCCUAAAAGAUUCCACCACUUUGAAUUGAGAGCCAAAAUGAGUUAAUAUAAGGAUGUAUGGUUUGGCCAAAUUAUUUGAUUUAUCAUUUUAAAUUGAAAUAUAAAAAAUGACAUAUGAUCCUUAAACAAUCAACGGUAUUUAAAAAAAAAAAAAGCAACCGUUUCUUAAUCCAGUACGAUAAAAUAUCCAACUCUGGAUGAGUUAGAAAUUUAUGACAAGUUACCAUAUUUGACAUUUUGAUACAUUCAAGUUUUUCAUUCAUCUCCUCUUUCACUUCCAAAGUACCAUGAUGAAAAUUGCUCUCCAUAAAUGGUAUCAAACCUUUCUAUACACAUAGAUUUGAAUUUUUAUUAAAGUGGGUAAAUAAAGUCCAAGAAAAUCCAAAUUAUGCAAAACAAAUCUUUACAACAUUAAAAUAGAGAUUUCUAACCAUAAAUCAUUGUAGGGCGCAGCGAGAAAAAAAUUUUAGGGAGUGAAAAUUAAAUUGUACGUCUAUAUUUUUUAAAUUCUUAAAGGAUUAAAUUAAAUUUUUAUCAUUUUUAGGGGGACCAAAGUAUAAUUUUACUUUUACUAAUUUAAAAUUUUUAAAAUUUUUAAAAUUUUAAAGGGCCAAAAUGAAAAAAGUUCCAUUUUAGGGAGGGCCGGGGGCUCUGCCAGGCCCCCUAAAUCCUCCUCUAAGUCUUUGGUUACUAGAUAUAACUAGUUGCAAUUGUGUGAAUUCCGAUAAAACUUCAAUACUUACAACAUUGAGAUUCUCAUUGUUAGAAAAAAUUAACAUAAUGUUUAAGAAAAUCUUGCAAGAUGGAAUGUAUUUUUUUAGUUCACCCACUUCCCAUUUCUUCUCUUGCAUUCUUCUACAUACAACGGCUUCAUUACGUACAAUCUUUUGCAUAGUUGUUGCAAAUGACUUAGUUUCUAUUCACGCGUCUAGUAAUUAAUGGGAUUCUAGUACAUUCAUGCAUCUAGAUUUUCUAAAUUCAUCUAUUCUAAACAUAUCAAUUAAAUGCAACAUUGAUGACAUCACAUUAUUCGACAUACUCCCCCUUAAUUUGAUGUUAUUUGAUUGUGUUGAGACCAGCAAUUAGAACAAAAAUCUCAUGAUAGUCAAUACCAAGUUCUUGCAUAACCUUUCACCACUAAUCUGGCUUUGUUUCUUUGGACCUAACUUUUUGGAUUGUGCUUCACCUUUGUACAACCAUUUCACGUUAAUAGUUUCUUUGUCAUUUGGCUUUUUAUCCAACUCCUAUGUCUUGUUCUUUUCAAUGACAUCAUUUUCUUUUUGCAUAACUUCCUUCCAAAUAUCCUCUUUGAUUGCUUCCUCAAAGCUUUUUGGUUCAAUUACACAAUAAUUGUAUAUAAUAUGAACAUCACUUAAACAUCUCAUUUUUCUUGGAGUGGAGCCAAGUAAUGAAGUGCUAAAGUUUGGUGAAGACGGAGAACUUGUCAUGAGUUGGAAGUUUUGUGUAGAAUGGGUUGGUUGCUCAUCGACAUUUAUUUGAUACAUAAUUGUAGUAGGAACAGUCUUCUCAUCUUUUUUUUUUCUUGCCAAUUACAUGUAGAAUUUUCAUCAAAUACCUUGUCUCCACUAAUAAAAACCCUCUUGGUCCUCAAGUAGUGAAGUCUAUAUUCGUUUGACAUAGAAGUAGAGCCAAUUAAAACACACUCAUCACUUGUUUCUUUAAGCUUUGUCCUCAUUUCUAAGGGGUUUUGAGGAUAGAAAACACACCCAAAAAUUUUAAGGUGAUUCACAGAUGGUUUUCUUCCACUCCAUGCUUCAAAUUGAGUCAUAUUUCAUACAACUUUAGUUGGACAUUUUCUCAACAAAUACACAGUUGUAUUAACAAUUUCAUGCCAAAAUUCUUAGGCAUCCCUUUUUUCGAAUAACAUAGAUUUGAUCAUCUCCAACACUGUUUGAUUCUUCCUUUUAGGCAUGCCAUUUUGUUGUGGUGAAUACCCAACAGUCAAUUGAAGAUCCAUGCCUUUAUCUUCACAAAACUUAUGAAAUUCAUUAAAGGUGUAUUCUUUUCCUUUAUCACUUCCCAAAAUUUUUAUGAAUCUGCCAGAUUGUUUCUUAACAAGUAAUUUAAACUUUUUAAAUAUUGAGAAUGCUUUAGAUUUUUGUUGUAAUAGGCCAAUUUAGCUCGAGCCCAAAAAUAUAAAAAAAUAAUAAAAAUAAAAAGUCCAAAAUAACAGUCCAUUUACAUCAGGCCCAAAUAUCCCAAAACAAAAAAAACCUAAUGAAACGGUAAGCCCAAAAACCUAAACAGUUUUUAGAAAAAACAAAAAAAAACCUAGCUUGGCGCCACACGCCACACCAACGUCAACACACUCGCGCCCUAAGGUCUGCCAUCGUCAAUUGCCUCCGUCCCGUCGAUUGACUCUAGAGACACUUGCAAAUACGAAAAAGCAAGAAUAGCAAACACGCAAUGGCAACAAGAAAAAUAGAAAAAAUAGAAAAAUAACAUUGCAAAUCGGCUAUAAAAAGCCUAAAAAUAGAUUGUAAGGCUUGGUUUUUGAAAUAGAAAUCGAACAAAAAAAGAUAUACAAAAAGCAAUAAAAAAAGAGUAUAAAUUUGGUGAUUUUUCUUGGUUUUAUUUUUAUUUUGAAAAUUAAUAAAUAGAAAAAUAGGAAUCUUUUUUACUUGGGACAUUUCGUCUCCCUCCGUCAUCGGAGGUUUUCUCCGGCGCCAAAAAAACCCAGAACCCAUUAGGGUUCGGUUUGGGUUCAACUGAACAGGGUGUGGUCGUUGGUUAUAUAAAAGAAUCGAAAGUUUUUUGUAACGACCUGAUAGUCACGGGUAAUCAAAAAGUGUAUUUUUGGGUCUCUAUUUUCAUAAAACGGACUCGUAAAUAUUUAUUAAAAUUUUUACGAAGUUAAUUGUGUGGUUAAUUAGGUCUUGGUUAGGUGAAUUACCUUGAAUUAAGAAUAAUUAGGAAAAAUGACUAAAUUGUAUAAAGGGUGAAAGUUGAAUUAUAGAUUAAAGAAAAAGUAAAGGGACUAAAUAAGCAAUUAAGCCUUAAUUAACAAGUGUAAGGUGAUUGUGUAUACAUGUGUAAAAAUAAAAUACCUAUGUAUAAAAUAAUAAUAUAUGAAAUACUUAAUAUUUAAGUAUAUUAUUUUAUAUUAUAUUAUUAUAAUAACUAAAAGAAAAAAUAAAUAAAAGAAAAGAAACAACAAAGUUAAAAACGAAACAGAGAAGAAAAAGAAAGAAAAGAAAAGGAGAAAAGCUAGGGAUUUUAAAGUUCAAAGCUUAAUUGGUAAGUCAAUUUAGUCUCUUUUCUUAUAUUUUUUAUGUUUUUAGAAUCCUAGAACUAAAUACUACCUAACCCAUGUCAAAAUUUUAUAAAUUAUUGAGUUUUUAAAUGUUUUCUAUGUUGAAUAAUUAGAGUAUUAGGGACUAAAUUGAUAGAUUUUUAAGUUAGAAAUGAAAAAAGGAUUGAAUUGUAGAAUAAAUAGUAAAUUUUGAGUAAAAGGGACUAAAUUGUGAAAAUUUCAAAAUUUAGGGAUUUAAGUGAAAUUAGAGAGUUGAAUUUAGUUUAAACUGGAAAUUGAAUGAAAUUAUAAGAUAAAUUGUAAAGAAAUAAAGUUAGUCUCGGUUCAGGGGCUAAAUAGGAAUUUAGGAAAAUGUUGGAUAAAAAUUGAAAUACUUAAUGUGAAAUUGAAUUGUAUUGUAUUGAUGAAUUUUAAUUGUUUUAAUUUCGUAGCUAACGUUUUGCCGGAAACCUCGUCUAGGAAAGGAAAAGAUAAAGUCGACGAGGAGUAGCUCAAAAGUUCUGGUUUGUAUUUCUAUAAUCCGAAUCUAAAUAUUAAUUGUUGUAUUUUUUAUUUAAUGUUUAUGGUAAGUGAAUAAGGUAAGUAAUUAGCAUUAUGAUAUUGAAUUGAAUGUAUGUGAAUUUAUGAUUAAUGUGAUAUUUGAAUCUUGGAUGAUUGUGAUAUUUGAAAAGUGAAUUGAAACCCUAUUAACUGUAUCGGGCUGAGUUGGAUAUAGAUGACAUGUCAUAAGAUUGGAAAGUUCAGGGAUUACUUCGACCUCGAGUCGAUGAGACACUAGGUGUCAAUCUAUUAUUUCAGAUUAAUUCAAUGAGGUACUGGGUACCAAUUUACUUCAGUUUAACUGAUGAGACACUGGGUGUCAAAUUAUUACUUCAAAUUAUCCGAUGAGGCACUGGGUGCCAAACUGGUGUGUUUUGCUUGGAUCUGUGUAUUCGUUCGAGUCCGAGUUGUGUUAAUAGGGGUAAUUAAAAGAAGUGAUAUUAUGAAAGGUAUUUGAUAAUAUCAAAUGUGAAAUGGAAAUGAGACAUAUCAAUUGUGUGACAUAUUGUGAAAAGCUAUUUAAGGUAGCAAAUGAUGAGAAUUGAAUGUAUUAUGAAUAAAUUGAAAAAUUGAAUGACUAAUGUUAAUUUAUGAUUUAAUGUGCAUGUUAUAUUAUUUUACUUAAAGUAUUCGGGUUAUAGAAAUACCACUGAGUUUAUACCCAGCGUACGGUUUUGUUUUCCGUGAGCGGGUUAGGUACUUAAAGGUUGAUCGUCGAUUCAACACCCAUCAACGAUCCCGAACUCAAAACAUGGUGAUGUAUAUUUCUUUUUGUGUCGGCAUGUACCUAGGAUGUCUAAAUGUUAACUAUUUUAUAGUUAAUUGUAAACAAGAUUUUAAGUUAAUAUUAGUUGAUGAUUUAUAUGACUAUAUGUUAUGAUAAGGUUAUAAAAUGGUAUGUUUUAGACUAGUGCAUAAUUGUUCAUGGGUUUGGUAUAAGUUGAUGGAAUUUGGUAGAUUUAUAAUAUGGACUAAAUUGAUGUUUUGAAGAUAUGUUUUGAUAAUAAAAUUGUGGUACCUAUGAGAGUACAUUGGUUAGGCACCUAGGAUGUCUAUUUUGACAUGUUUUGAACGUGUUUAAUUAUGUUUUGAAUUGGUUGAAUAAAUGGUUUUUGAGUUGCUUAGUGUUCAAGAUUGCAGGGAAUGGUAAACUUGUUGUUUAAGGUUCAUUUUAAGUCCACAUGGACAGACACAGGGGCGUGUGACUGGACCGUGUGAGACACACGACUAACACAUGGGCGUGUGGUUUGGCCGUGUGUCCCCUGUAACCUUAGAAUUUCAAAUUUUCACAUAGGUAGAGACACGAGUGUGUGUCCUUUAAUUCUAUGAAUUUUUUUUAUAUUUUCAGAAAAAUUCUUUGAGUACCAGAUUUAGUCCCGAUUUGUUUCUAACACAUAUUCUGGACCUCGAUAGCUCAUAAAAAGGGACAAUUUAAUUAAUUUGUUAUAUAUAUGUUAGCAGGAUAUGUAAUGUUGGUAUUUGAUCUGAAAAGUCUGGUAAUGCUCGUAACACUGUUCUAGCGACGGAUAAGGGUUAUGGGUGUUACAUUUUUUUUUUGAUUUCUUGCGAAUAGAGGGCUUUGUCUUCGAGAUUGGAGCCAAAGGGUGUUAAAAAAGGUUUUUUUUUUAAAAAAAGGGCUAAAAUGGGGAUUUUUCGACCACUGGUCGGCGGCUCCCUUGGCCAGACUUGAGGACUAUUUAAGAGAAAAAGGGAGAGAAAAGAAGAUUUUUUUUAAGGCAUGGAGGAAAUGAUUUUUUUUUUUUGAAAUUUUUGGUUUUUAUGAGCUUCCAAAAUGGUGUCGUUUUGGGAGUGACCUCAUACGCACAAAACGGUGUUGUUUUGGGUCCAACCCUACGACCCGAUCCUGAUCCCUUUAGGAUUUGCGUGUUUCUGAGAGAAGGGUCUAAUUGCCGCUCAAGUCCUUCUACUUUUUAAUUGUUUUUCAAUUUGGUCCUAAUUCCUUUAUUUUUUCUUUUAGAUUGCACCAUUUAAUUUUAUUUUAUUUUCAAUUUAGUCCCCCAAUUUGCCAAAGAAAUGGUGCACCUUAAUAGGGUUUAGGAUAUUUUCCCAUUUAGUCCUUAUUUCUUUUUGCACAUUUCAAUUUGGUCCUUUAUCCUGUUUUAUUAAUUUUUUCUUAUUUACAAUUUAUCCCCUUAAGUUUCAUUUAAAUUUUGAUUUAGUCUUUAUUUAUUUAUUCAUUUAUUUUAUUACAGUUUAGCCCCCUUAUUAUUUAUUUUAUCCCGAUUUACCCUUUUAAUUUCAUUGAAGUUACAAUUAAGUCCUUUUUAUUUUAAUUCUUUUAUUCAUUUAAUUACUCAUUUACCUAUUUAUUUAUAUAUUAUUCACUUUUUUUAUUUUAAUCCUUUUAUUCAUUUAUUUAUUAUUCCUUCAUUUUUUAUAUUUAAAAUUGUUUUUUAUUUUUAUAGAGUAUUUAUUUAUUUUUCUUUUUUUUCUUUAGUACCAUUAUUAUUAUUGUUACUAUUUUAUUAUUAUUUUAUUAUCUAUUUAUUUAUUACCUCUUUAUUUUUUAUACAUACUUAAGAAUUAGAUUGUUUACAUGCUUUUAUUGGUACUUUUCUUUGUUUAUUAUUGCCAUUAUAAUUUUAUUUUUAUUUAUUUUAGUGUGUUCUUGUUAUUUUAUUAUUUCUCUUAUUAUUUUUGGCAGUUUCAUGUCAUGUCCAUUUAUCUUUUUAAUCAUGCAUCUUCUAUUUUUUUUAUUUAUCUUAAGUUACUUCAUUUAUUUAUUAUUAUAAUAUGAUUAUUGAGAUUAAUAUUAAUAUAAUUAUGUUAUUGUUAUUAUAAUAUUCCUUUAUUUACUUAUUAUUUAUCAUUCUACCCACAUAUCCAUUUUAAAUUAUUUCAUUAUCACUAUAUAAUACAUUAGGUUUAAGCAUUUAUCUAUUUGUAUAUCAUGCCCAAAGAAGUUAAAUGCACAUCGUUUUAAGUGUUAUGUUCGUUUUUCGCACGAUGCAUAAAAAAGGAAAAUUUUUAAACCGUGCCAAUGUUCAUUAUUUUUAGAAUUAGAAUAGUCGUAUUCCUAACUUAUGGAAUAUGACUUUUUUCUAAAACCGAAAUAGUCGAAUAUCCAUUUAAAAAAUAUAAAAACAAGAUUUAAGUAACGAUUAAAACAACAAUUAUUUUGGUUUUCGAAAACUAAAGGCGUCGUGUCCUGACUCACAAGGCAUGAUCCUUCUUCUCGAGUAAUUCAGAAUAAAGCAUUUUCUAUUAAAAUAUCUUAAUACAAAGGGAUCGCAUUUUAAAUUCUCUUCAAAUUUUCAAUUUUCGACAUUAAGACAUCAAGCAAUCAAUUAGGUACCAAUUUUGGGCGUAAUGAGGGUGAUAAUCCUUCCUCGUGCGUAACCGAAUCCCGAACCUAUUUUUUGGAUUUUUGUAGACUGAAAAACUUUGUUUUAGUAAAUCAAACCUCUUAUUAAAACGAUCUAAAUAUAUGAGGGGACCCGAUCACACCACCUGAAAGUGAUUGGUGGCGACUCCCAUCUUCGUUCAUUUUUAAAUAAAAAGUCGAUUCCAAAAAAUGGUUUCUACAUUUGUCUCAUGAAACAAACCCAUAUCAUAUGGGUUAAAUCAUUAAUGAAUAAAACACUGUACCUAUAUUAAGCAAGAGACAGGGUUUUCAUAGGAUCACACACAUUGAUGUGAACUAACUCUAGCACUUCUUUAACCCUUUAUGAUCCUUCCUUUGGGAGUUGUUAUUACCCAAGCAUAUAACCUUCCCACACACUAGAUUUAUACCAUCAACUAAGGUGUUAAUAUCGUGACACUGAUGUUAUACCAUCAACUAAGGAGUUGGACUUUAACAAAAUGCACCAUCGAGUAAACUGCCUUCAAGGUCGCGACACCAAGGUGUUGGUGUGGCAACACCAACCCUUAAGGUUGCAACAUUGGCCUAGCAAUCUUGCAACAUUGGCCACAAUACCUAAAAAUGAAGAAAUCAAGUUGCCUAAGGACAAACGAAGCCUGUUGUCCCUACACUAAAGACCCAAAGAGCCAAAUGAGUAAUCUAUUGAGAGUGUCGUGACACCAAGGAGUUGAUGUCGCAACAUCAACUCUAAUGAGGCCAAAAUUCUAAAGGGUAUUUUGCGUUCCAACAAAACUUAAGUUAGAUUUUAAGUGAGUGCAUAAUUGUCUUUGUUAAGUUAAAUGUUAUUAAACUAUAAAUACUACUUUAUAAGAUUUUGUUAGAGAGUAUAGAAUAUUUUUUUAUUUUUCAUAUUUUUAGAUUAGAUUUCCAUUCUAUUUUCUUUUCUCUUUUGAAUAGAUUUUAGUUGUUGAUUUUUUUUCUUUUGUCGAGAAUACUACUAAUGGAAAUGAUCAAGUUUGUGGGCUUCGUCGGCUUUUAGUCUAUUAAUGAGCAUUUUCUCAAACACUUCUUUUUUAUAUUUUAUGCAUACCAUGUGUUUAUUAAAAUUCUUAUGUGGGAUUUAAGUUUGAUUAUGUGUUGAAUCGUUUUAUUGGUUGAUUGACAAGUAAGUUACUUAACUAAGUUAUUAUCUAUGAUUUGAUUAUUUGUUUGUUCAAUUGUAUUAGAUCACAUAUUCACUAGAAUUGACAUCUCUAGUGGAAAAUUUAGAUAGAUGAGAUCGAAAUGACACUCUAUCGUGUAGGACUUCAAUACAUUUGUACCGAAUAGUGAGAUCAAGAGAGAUCUAUAUGCCUAAGUGAGGUUGAAAGGAGAGCUUAGGUGGUAUCAUUGAGUUUAGGAUGAGACUGAAAGAAUAUUUCUAACUAAGAGUGGCAAAUGAUAUAAUCAACAUAUGUUUAUUAUCUUAGUUAGUUAUUAAUGAAUCGUUCGAUCAUCAUUGUAAUAAAAUUGCAUUGUUUCUAGUAAAGAGGAAGAAAGUUAGUUAGAUAUUUUUAUUUGUUAAUCUAGAAUUUAGCUUUAAUCCAUUUGCAUUGUUUCUAACUAGAUUAGUAGUUGCUUCUGUCAAAACAACACGGGUGUGCGAACGCCCGUGCCAAGCAACCGUGGUCGAACCUGUUAAACUAACACGGGCGUGAGCCUACAUACACGGGUGUGGGAGAAGCGAACAAAGCCAAGCACAGUCGUUGAUAAACCGUAAAUUAUACAUAUUUUUACCCCAUGUUUAAUACAUUUUAUGGAUGAUUUCUCAUUAGAAUUGGUGAAUUCGAUGCUCCUAAUGCUUUAAUUUCAUGUUUUAUACUUAGGAUAGCAUAGGAGAGAGAAAGGAACGAGAAACGGGCCAAAAAUGGAGAAAAUGGGCCAAAGUACGAAAUCAACACGGCCUGGACCUCCUCACACGGGUAGACCACACGGCCGUGUCAAUUUGGAAGGCUCAAACACGGCUUGAAGUAAUUGGGCAUGUGCCACGGGCGUGUCCCUGCCGAGCCCAAGUUGAAUCCAAUUCAAAAAAGGCCAAUUUUGAGGGUUUUUAGGCAUUCCAAAGCCUAUAAAUACACCCUAGAUGAGGAGGAAAAAGGAGGCGGAGAACAGGGGGUAAGGAAUUACACCAAGGAAGCCGAUUGAUCCAUCUCAGGAGCCGGAUUCAUCAUCAAGACUAAAGACCUCUCCUCAAUUUCCCUUCAGGAGUUUUGGGUUUUCUUUAUGUUUUGUAUUCUUUAUUCUUCUGAGAUGUUUCCUUAUUUAGUUAUGAACUAAAACCCCUAAAUACCUAAGGGGAAUGAAACCUAAGACGAAUCUUGUUAUUAUUUUCUGAAUCGUAUGAUAAAUAUUUAACUUGUUCUUAAUUAUGUGUUCUUAAUUCUUGUUUUAAUAUCCCAGGAUACUGAUUCAAGACAAGCUCUUAUUCAGAGGAGGAAUAGACCCUAUCUAAUAGUACAUUUGUCAUAAUUAAGCGGAGUUGAUUGUGCGCCUAGACAUAGGGUGACAAGAUUUUUUCAGAUUAGGGUGAAACCUAAUAAGGGGAUCCAUAGAUCGAGUUAAUGCAACCUUAGAGUGUUAAUUAGAGAAAAGUCUCGGUUAUUCAAUCUAGGGAUUAGACGUUAUUAGUCUUGAAUAGGGAUAAUAACAUAACUUAGGGAUCUCUACGAAACAAGUUGAAUGAAUAAAUCAUCCGAUUUGGAGCCAGAAUAACAAGUAAGGUCUAGGAGGACUUUUCCUUAGGUAUUGUCUUAAGUCAAUCGAUUUUUCCCAAAAGCAAUUCCCUACUUCUUUUCUUUGUGUGUUCUUAGUUUAGAUAAUUAGUCAAUUAAAACAAAAUCUCUUUAUUCUUAGGCUAGAUAAUAAAAAGACAGUCAUUACUAGUACUUUUAGUUCCUUUGGGUUCGACAAUCCGGUCUUGCUAAAACUAUACUACUGUUCGAUAGGUACACUUGCCUACAUCGCAAUAAUAGUUAGUUCAAGAAUGAGUAAUUACAAAUAUUUAAAACCUAUCACGAAAUCUCGCGAUCAAGUUUUUGGCGCUAUUGCCGGGGAACUGUAAUAUUAGGAAAGCUCAAUUUUUAUUACUUUAGCCAUUUAUUUUUCUUGCAAUUUAAAUUUAUAUUAUUAUUACUUACUUUUUUUCUGUCUCUUGGCAGGUUUUUAUAGUUUAUGACUAGAAGAAACCCGUCAGGGACACUACUUUUUGACGAGGAAAUCGAUCGCACAGUUUGUAGAAACCAAAGAGAAAUAAGACGAAGCUUAAGAUACACGGAGAACGAGCAAGAAGACGAUGCUCAACCCCCAACCGAAGAGAUGGCUGAAAACUAAGGCAAUCAGCUACCUCCUGCAAUUGUGGUUAAUUAAAAUCCUGCUCCACACACUAUGUAUGAUUAUGCUAAACCUUCAUUAACAGGAACUAUAUCUAGCAUAGUUAGACCUACUGUAGCUGCAAAUACAUUUGAAUUAAAACCUAACACUAUUCAGAUGAUACAGCAAUUUGUUCAGUUUGAUGGUUUGCAGGAUGAAGAUCCCAACGCUUACAUAACAAACUUUCUGGUAUUUUGCGAUACAUUUAAAAUCAAUGGUGUUUCUGAUGAUGCCAUUCAUCUUCAAUUAUUCCCUUUUUCAUUAAGAAACAAAGCUAAACAGUGGUUGAACUCGUUACCACGACGGUCAAUUACUACUUGGGAACAAAUGACCGAAAAAAUCUUACUAAAAUAUUUUCUACCGGCUAAAACGGCUAAAUUACGUAAUGACAUCUCUUCUUUUGUGCAGAUGAAUUUAGAAACCCUCUACGAUGCAUGGGAGAGAUACAAGGACUUACUGAGAAGGUGCCCUCACCAUGGGUUACCGCUUUGGCUCCGAGUUCAAACAUUCCACAAUGGUUUGAAUCCUUUGACUCGGUAAAUGGUUGACGUAGCUAUCGGCGGAACCAUCAAUAAUAAAACACCUGAAGAUGCCUAUGAGUUUAUUGAGGAGAUGUCAUUGAAUAACUAUCAGUGGCAAGUCAUAAGGACAAAGCCAAUGAAAACAGCCGGCGUUUAUAACGUCAAUUCGGUCACCAUGCUCUCUAAUCUAAUCAGGUAGAACUCUUAAAUAAAAAGAUUGAUGGUUUUCUUAGUUCUUCACAAGUUCACCCAGUAAUGUGGUGCGAAGCAAGUAUUGGUGGAACAAGCCAUUCAGAAUAUCAACCUUAUGGCCAUAACAUGGAUAACGAGCAACUAAAUUACAUGGGUAAUAAUCCCCGACCUCAAAACAAUCCAUUUAAUAACACUUACAAUGCAGGUUGGAGGAACCACCCCAAUUUCUCGUGGGGCGGUCAAGGAAAUCAAAGAGAACAACAUCCUUUGGGCUACCAACAACCACCCUACCAACAGGAAAAGAAGCCAAACCUUGAAGAGAUGCUCUCAAUGUUUAUAUCAAUGUCAGAAACCCAUUUUUAGAACACCGAGACAACACUUAAAAAUCAAACAAGCAUCGAUCCAAAGCCUCGAAACUCAGAUAGGUCAGCUUUCCAAACUAAUCUCUAAACGACCAGAAGGUAGUUUUCCAAGUAAUACCGAACCUAACCCAAGGGAACAACUCAACGUAAUUAAUAUUCAAGAUGAUGAAGGAGUCAUUGAGCUUGAACCAGAAUCGAGGCAAGAAACUGUGGUAAGCAAAGGUCAAGGUGAGGUAGAUCAAAAUACAAACAAACCAGUGACUGUCGAAUAUAAACCUCGUGUGCCAUACCCCAACGCGACAAGGAAAGACCGCUCAGAUGAACAAUUUGGUAAAUUCCUUAAACUCUUAAAAAAAUUACAUAUUAACUUACCGUUUAUUGAAGCUCUAUCGCAGAUGCCAAAUGCAAUGAAAUUUUUAAAGGAGCUUUUAGCAAAUAAGUGAAAGUUAGACGAGGCGUCGCAUGUGGAGCUGAAUGCAGUUUGCUCAACCAUUCUCCAAAAUAAACUACCCAACAAACUAAAAGACCCAGGGAGCUCUACUAUUCCUUACUUAAUUGGUAGUUUAGAUGUUAAUCAUGCAUUAGCUGAUCUAGGGGCUAGUAUCAACGUCAUGCCUUACAAAAUGUUUAAGCAACAGGUCUCGGGAAACCCAAACAGACUAGGAUGAGCAUUCAAUUAGCAGAUAAAACUAUAAGAUUCCCUAGAGGUAUUAUUGAAGAUGUGCUAGUUAAAAUCGAUAAAUUUAUAUUUCCCGUUGACUUUAUUGUUCUAGACAUAGAAGAGGAUAGCAACACUUCUUUAAUUAUAGGAAGGCCCUUUUUAGCAACUGCUAAAAAUAUCAUUAAUGUUGGCACAGGUGAACUCACACUCCGGAUGGGAGACGGAACAAUCACCCUUCAAGCUCGCAAUUCUAGCAACACAUCAAGAAUUGAAGGUGAUCAUUUAAACCAUUCUACUAAAACUAACAAUAUGGAGCAACCUAUUUUGCAGAAAAUGAGUCUGAAAGAAGCACACGAGUCGUUCUUAAGCACCAGUAGAGGACCUGUUCAUGAAGAUCGAAGAUCACAAAUUGAGGAACUCGAUGAAUAGCGGACACACAAACCAAGAACACCCGACAAACUGAAACUACGCCAAAACGAGCUCGAUACCUCUCCAAAUCAACUUAAGGUUGGUGAUAAGGUCUUACUAGAUGCUGCAGAUCCCCACAUUGUCACUACCACACCAAAUGAGGAAAUCUCUCUUACGGUACUCAGUAUUUUUCCAUUUGGUACGCUGAAGGUGAGUUAUCCCAAGUUCGACACUUUUAAGGUAAACAACACCCAAUUAAAACCUUAUUUUGAUGAGAUUGAUAGCAGGAAUAAAGAGUAUAAACUUUUCAAACCACCAUGACCAUUCACUGGAGAGGUAAGUCGAGCUUAGACUAUAAAUAAGCGCUUCUCGGGAGGCAACCCGAGCACUAACAAUAUUAAUUCCUUUAAAUUUUGGUAUUUAAUUCCUAACUUAUUAAUAGAAAUCUUGAAUACAGGUGUUUCCACAGAGACACGGCCAAGUACACGGGCGUGCUUAAGGCCGUGUGAAAACAGGGAAAAAGAUUUCCACGGGCUACGAUUAAACGCCACAGCCAUACGAUAUGGCCAUGGUCGAGCCUGCCAAAACAACACAGGCGUUCGACACGUCUGUGUGAAACAUCCGUGGUCGAACCUGUUAAAUUAACACUGGCGUGGGGCUUGCACACACGUGCGUGGGAGAAGCGAACGAAGCUAGACACGACCGUGCGACACGGCCGUGCGACACGGCCGUGUGAACCCACACGCCCAAGGAAUACGAGCGUGUACUAAAUGCCAGAUGCACCCAAAUUUGAAAUUCGCGAAUCACACGCGAUGAAAUUGGGGAACACAGGCAUGUGCCCUGGCCGUGUGUCCCAAAAUCUACUUUUUAUUUUUAUUAGAUUUUAAAAAUUUUAAUUUUAAUUAUUAAUUUCGGUUAAUUCUUUUUUGAGUAAUUAUUCUUCCUAAUAUCCCCUAAAAAGUUCUUGAUUUUAUCACUGUUCUAUAGAGCUCUUAAGCUCAUCAUCACAUAGGAACUAAACCUCCACCGGGAAAGGUUCUCCAUGACUGCCAUGUUUUGCUCACCCACGACCAUAGCUACCACUAAAGAUAAUAUCCUUUUGGUGCAGGACUUAUGGCCUAAUGAACCUCUACGACCGCCGGAGUAUCCUCCUCCACUCUCGAACCGAUUCCUCUCCAGAACUCCAGUUUGAGGAAUUCAUCAUACAGGAAGUUUCACUUCUCUCCCUAUCUUAUUUUUACACUCUAAUAUCUAUCUUUGUACAUUGAGGGCAAUGUACAUCUUAAGUGUGGGGGGUAUUUAUUUCAUUAUCAGAAAAAUCCCUGAAUGAUUGCCAUGUUCUCUUGAAAAGAUUUCAUAUCAUAUUUAGGAUAAAUUUUAAUUGAUUUAUGAUUUUGAUUGAUAUAUCUUGAAUUAAAACAUAGGCCUUUAUGCAUUGAUUGUUUAAACUUUAAGAUAUUAGAGAAUCAAUCAUGCUGAGUUGAUUUUUAAGAAUUUAAAAUUAUAGGUUGUUUCCCCAAGUCUAGGUAUUACUUUGAAUUAGAAUUAACGAGUCUAAACAUCAAAAAGCCAUAAUUUUUGUGAGAUUUUUGAGCCUUUUAAGCAUCUAUUAAUCCUUUCAUGCUCAUUUUUAUUAUUGCUUUAAGUGCGUCAGUAUUGAACUGUUAUUCUAGAACUUGAUUGAUUAUGCAUAUCAAGACCACAUCAUUUGAUUUGAUAUAUCAAAAUGAUUAAGGCACUUAGGAUUAAUCCACUCAUGCCAUGAAAAGCCUACCUCCACGAUUAACCCCUAGUAAACCCCCUUGAGCCUAACAAGCCAUUCCUUGUAUUAACCUCAAUAUUAACCCUUAACCCAUUAUUGUUGAAAUCCUCUAAAUUAAUCCCUAUUUUUGUUGAGAUUUGAGUUGAAUGGAUUGCUUAGCUAUGUUUUGUUCUUAAUAGUUAGUCUAUAUUAUUUAACUUGUUCUUAAAAAAAAUAGUGUAUACACAUUAGUAGAAAUCUUUUGUUUUUUAGCUUAAGUAUUUAAAUUCCAUAUUCUGAGAGAAAGCUCUGUCGUACGCUAGUGAUAUUAAAUCCUUUUCUAGUUAAGUGAUUUUUCAAUUCAAUCUCGAUUCUAACUUUUUCUUUCAGCUUGUGACCACACCCCCUAACCAAACCUCAAUACAACCCUCUAAAGACCUUUUGAUUGAUGCAUCAUCUCAAUUUAUAGUGGUGGAGAUUUGAUUUUCAUGCAAGCCUAUGGUAAUGACUUUUCAUUAUAGACUAUUGAGUGUUUUAUUUAUUGUCCUUAAACACCUCGAGUGAUUUGAGUGAAUCUUUAGUGAGGAUGUGAAACUCUAUGACAUUUUGAAUCCAAGGUUAUUACUUAGACGAAGGGAGACACCUAUAAUUUCAUGAUAAAGUGCUCAACUUGGAAUUUUUGGAACUUUGGCGUUCUUUCAGUUGAAUUUUCAAUGUAUGAUUACCUAUGGAUUAUUUUGAGAUAUUAUCGAUGGAAAUUAUAAGUUGAGAAGAAUUUAUUUUGAUUAUGAGUUGAGAAUUUUGCUUGAGGACAAGCAAAUACUUAAGCGUGGGGGUAUUUGAUCAAUCGUAAUUUAUACAUAUUUUUACCCCAUGGUUAACACGUUUUAUGGAUGAUUUUUCCUUAGAAUUGGUGAAUUCGAUGCUUCUAAUGUCUUAAUUUCAUGUUUUAUACUUAGGAGAGCAUAGUAGAGCGAAAGGAACGAGAAACGAGCCAAAGUAUGAAUUCAACACGGCCUGGACCUCCUCACACGGGCAGACCACACGGCCAUUUCAAUUUGGUAGAAUCGAAGCAGUACUCACAUUAGUGAACCACACGGCCAUGCCUAUUUAAUAGGCUCGAGCACGACCUGAAGUAAUCACACACGGGCGUAUCCCUGUCGAGCCCAAGUUGAGUCCAAUUGGGAAAAGGCCAAUUUUGAGGGCUCCUAGGCAUUCUAAAGCCUAUACAUACACCCUAGAGGAGGAAGGAAUAGGGGAGGCACAGAGAGGGAGGAAGGAAUUACUCGAAGAAAGUCGAUUGUUCCAUCUCAGAAGUUGGAUUCAUCAUCAAAACUGAAGAUCUCUCCUCAGUUUCCCUUCAGGAGUUUUGGGUUUUCUUUAUGUUUUGUAUUCGUUAUUCUUUUGAGAUGUUUUCCUUUUUAGUUAUGAACUAAAUCCCCUAAAUACCUAAGGGGACUGAAACCUAAGACGAAUCUUGUUAUUUUUUUCUAAAUUGUAUGAUAAAAAAUAUUUAACUUGUUCUUAAUUAUGUGUUCUUAAUUCUUGUUUUGAUAUCCAAGGAUACUAAUUCAAGAUAAGCUCUUAUUCAGAGGAGGAAUAGACCCUAUCUAAGAGUACAUUUGUUAUAAUUAAGCAGAGUUGAUUGCGUGCCUAGAGAUAGGGUGACAAGAUUUUGCCGAAUUAGGGUGAAACCUAAUAAGGGGAUCCAUAGAUCGAGUUAAUGCAACCCUAGGGUGUUAAUUAGAGAAAAGUCUCAAUUAUUCAAUCUAGGGAUUAAAUGUUAUUAGUCUUGAAUAGGGAUAAUAACGUAACUUAGGGAUCUCUACAAAACAAGUUAAAUGAAUAAAUCGUCCAAUUCGGAGCCAGAAUAGCAAGUAAAGUCUAGGUGGAUUUUUCCUUAGGUAUUGUCUUAAUUCAAUCAUUUUCCAAAAGUAAUUCCACAAUUCUAUUUUCUGUGAAUUAUUAGUUUAGAUAAUUAGUUAGUUAAAACAAAACCCCUUUAUUUUUAGGCUAGAUAAUAAAAAGACAGUCAUUACUAGUACUUUUAGUUCCUUUGGGUUCGACAAUCUGGUCUUGCUAAAAUUAUACUACUGUUCGAUAGGUACACUUACCUACAUCGUGAUAAUAGUUAGUUUCAAGAAUGAUUCAUUAUAAGUAUUUAAAACCUGUCACACAAAAUCGCGAUCAAUACAUCUUAGUAGCUAUUUAUUAUAUGUCCAAAUGGGUUGAAGCCGAAGUUUACCUACUAAUGAUGCUAGAGUAGUAGUACGAUUCCUUAAGAAACUCUUCUCUCGAUUUGGUAUACCUAGAGCAAUUAUCAAUAAUAAAGGUACUCAUUUUUGUAACGCCCAAUUUGACAAGACCCUCAAGAAAUAUGGAGUUCAUCACAGAACAACUACCUCUUAUCACCCUCAAACUAGUGGCCAAGUCGAAGUAGCGAAUCGAGAGCUUAAACGUAUCCUAGAAAAGAUAGUAGAAUUACACAGGAAGGAUUGGGUGAUGAAAGUAGAUGAUAUUUUAUGGGCUUAUAGAACUGCUUUUAAGAUCCCCAUAGGAACAUCAUCUUACAGACUUGUUUAUGGGAAAAGUUGUCACCUACCAGUUGAGUUGGAACACAAGGCAUUCUAGGCUGUAAAAUUUCUAAACCUUGACCCCAAACUUGAAGGUGAAAACAGGUUGAUGCAGUUGAACGAGUUAGAUGAGUGGCGAGCCAAUGCAUAAGAAAAUUCGCGCCUAUAUAAGGAAGCGACGAAACGCCGCCACGAUGCCUGUUUAAAGCAAUGAAGGCAAUUUGAAGUUGGAGAUCUUAUCUUGUUAUAUAACUCGCGGCUCAAAUUGUUUCCUGGAAAGCUUAAAUCACGAUGGUCAGGUCCUUUUGUAGUUCAAACUGUGUUUCCAUAUGAUACAGUAGAGCUAAGUCAUCAAUCACAAGGCACUUUUAAGGUAAAUGGAGAUCAUCUCAAAAUGUAUAAUGGUGAGAAUUACGAAGACGAUAAAGAGGAGUUACGGCUCCAUGAAGUUACCUAAAUACACCCACAAUGUGGAGUCUAGCUUAGACUAUAAACAAGCGCUUCUCGAAAGGCACCCCGAGCACUAACGGUGCUAACUUUUUUAAAUUUUAGUCUUUAACAUUUAAUUAACUAACUGAGUCACGGAACACAGGAUGGUCAAAACCACACGGCCAGGCACAUGAGCGUGCCGUAGGUGAUAAACCGUAAUUUAUACAUAUUUUACCCCAUGUUUAACGUAUUUUAUGGAUGAUUUUCCAUUAGAAUUGGUGAAUUUGAUGCUCCUAAUGCUUUAAUUUCAUGUUUUACACUUAGGAGAGCAUAAGAGAGCAAAAGGAACGAGAAACGGGCCAAAAAUGGAGAAAAUGGGCCAAAGUACAAAAUCAACACGGCCUGAACCUCCUCAAACGGGCAGACCACAUGGCUGUGUCAAUUUGGCAGGCUCGAGCACAGCCUGAAGUAAUCGAACACGGGCAUUUCCCUACCGAGCCUAAGUUGAGUCCAAUUCAGGAAAGACUAAUUUUGAGGGCUUUUAGGCAUUCCAAAGCCUAUAAAUACACCCUAGAGAAGGAAGAAAAGGGAGGACAGAGUAAAGGGUAAGGAAUUACUCCAAGAAAGCCGAUUAAUUCAACUCAGAAGUAGGAUUUAUCAUUAAGACUGAAGAUCUCUUCUCAAUUCCCCUUCAAGAGUUUUGGGUUUUCUUUAUGUUUUGUAUUCUUUAUUAUUUUGAGAUGUUUUCUUAUUUAGUUAUGAACUAAAUCCCCUAAAUACCUAAGGGGAAUGAAACCUAAGACGAAUCUUGUUAUUAUUUUUUGAAUUGUAUGAUAAAUAUUUGACUUGUUCUUAAUUAUGUGUUCUUAAUUCUUGUUUUGAUAUCCCAGGUUACUAAUUCAAGAUAAGCUCUUAUUCAGAGGAGGAAUAGACCCUAUCUAAGAGUACAUUUGUUAUAAUUAAGCAGAGUUGAUUGCACCCCUAGACAGGGUGACAAGAUUUUGCCGGAUUAGGGUGAAAUCUAAUAAGGGGAUCCAUAGAUCGAGUUAAUGCAAUCCUAGAGCGUUAAUUAGAGGAAAGUCUCGGUUAUUCAAUCUAGGGAUUAGACGUUAUUAGUCUUGAAUAGGGAUAAUAACAUAACUUAGGGAUCUCUACAGAACAAGUAAAAUGAAUAAAUCAUCCGAUUCGGAGCCAGAAUAACAAGUAUAGUUUAGGUGGAUUUUUCCUUAGGUAUUGUCUUCAUUCAAUCGAUUUUUCCAAAAGAAAUUCCCUAAUUCCAUUCUCUGUUCGUUCUUAGUUUAGAUAAUUAGUUAGUUAAAACAAAAACCCCUUUAUUCUUAGGCUAGAUAAUAAAAAGACAGUCAUUACUAGUACUUUUAGUUCCUUUGGGUUUGACAAUCCGGUCUUGCUAAAACCAUACUACUGUUUGAUAGGUACAUUUGCCUAUAUCGCUAUAAUAGUUAGUUCAAGAACGAGUAAUUAUAAAUAUUUAAAACCUUUCACGAAAUCACGCGAUCAAGUUUUUGGCGCCGUUGCCGGGGAAUUGAAAUAUUAGGAACACUCAAUUUUUAUUACUUUAGCCAUUUAUUUUUUGUGCACUUUAGUUUAUUAUUAUUAUUUAUUAAUUUACUUUUUCCUUCUCUUGGUAGGUUUUUAUAGUUUAUGACUAGAAAAAAUUCAUCAGAACCAUUACUUUUUGACGAAGAAAUCGAUCAUAUAGUUCGUAGAAAUCAAAGAGAAAUAAGGCGAAGCUUAAGAUACACAGAGAACGAGCAAGAAGACGAUACUCAACUCCCAACUGAAGAGAUGGCUAAAAACCAAGGAAAUUAGCUACCUCUUGCAAUUGCGGUUAAUCAAAAUCCUGCUCCACGCACUAUGUAUGAUUAUGCCAAACCUUCUUUAAAAGGAACUGAAUCGAGCAUAGUUAGACCUGCUGUAGCUGCAAAUACUUUUGAAUUAAAACCUAACACUAUUCAAAUGAUACAACAAUUUGUUCAGUUUGAUGGUGUUUCUGAUGAUGCCAUUCGUAUUCGGUUAUUCCCUUUUUCAUUGAGGAACAAAGCUAAACAGUGGUUGAUCUCGUUACCACGAGGGUCAAUUACUACUUGGGAACAAAUUACCGAAAAAUUUUUACUAAAAUAUUUUCCGCUGGCUAGAACAGCUAAAUUACGUAAUGAUAUCUCUUAUUUUGUUCAGAUGGAUUUAGAAACACUCUACGAUGCAUGGGAGAGAUAAAAGGACCUUUUGAGAAGGUGCCCUCACCAUGGGUUACCGCUUUGGCUCCGAGUUCAAACAUUCCAUAAUGGCCUGAAUCCUUCGACUCGACAAAUGGUUGACGCAGCUGCUGGUGGAACCAUCAAUAAUAAAACACCUGAAGAUGCCUAUGAGUUUAUAGAGAAGAUGUCACUGAAUAACUUUUAGUGGUAAGUCAUGAGGACAAAGCCAAAGAAAACAACUGGCGUUUAUAACGUCGAUUCAGUCAACAUGCUCUCUAAUCAGGUGGAACUCUUAAAUAAAAAUAUUGAUGGUUUUCUUAGUUCUUCACAGGUUCACCCAGUAAUAUAGUGCGAAGCAAGUGGAGGUGGAACAAACCAUUCGGAAUACCAGCCUUAUGGCCACAACAUGGAUAACGAGCAAUUAAACUACAUGGGUAAUAAUCCUCGACCUCAAAACAAUUCAUAUAGUAAAACUUAUAAUGCAGGUUGGAGGAACCACCCCAAUUUCUCGUGGAACGAUCAAGGAAAUCAAAGACCACAACCACAUCUAGGCUACCAACAACCACUCAACCAACAGGAAAAGAAGCCGAACCUUGAAGAGAUGCUCUCAAAGUUUAUUUUGGUGUCAGAAACUCGUUUCCAGAACACCGAGACAACACUUAAAAAUCAACAAGUGUCGAUCCAAGGGCUCGAAACUCAGAUAAGCCAACUUUCCAAACUAAUUUUCAAACGACCACAAGGUAGCUUGCCAAGUAAUACUGAACCCAACCCAAGGGAACAGCUCAACAUAAUUAAUAUUCAAGAUGAAGAAUGAGUUGUUGAGCCUAAAACAGAACCGAGGCAAGAAACUGUGGUAAGCAAAGGUUAAGGUGAGGUAGAUAACAAUAAAAACAAAACGGUGAAUGUCGAAUAUAAACCUCAUGUGCCAUACCCCAACGCGACAAGGAAAGACCACUCAGAUGAACAAUUUGGUAAAUUCCUUAAACUUUUAAAAAAAUUACAUAUUAACUUACCGUUUAUUGAAGCCCUAUCGCGGAUGCCAAAUGCAAUGAAAUUUUUAAAGGAAGUUUUAGCAAAUAAGCGGAAGUUGGACGAGGCGUCGCACGUGGAGCUAAACGCAGUUUGCUCAACUAUUCUCCAAAAUAGACUACCGAACAAACUAAAAGAUCCAGGGAGUUUUAAAAUUCCUUACUUAAUUGGUAGUUUAGAUGUUAAUAAUGCAUUAGUUGAUUUAGGGGCUAGUAUUAACGUCAUGCCUUACAAAAUGUUUAAGGAAUUAGGUCUCGGGUAACCCAAACAAACUAGGAUGAGCAUUCAAUUAGCAGAUAAAACUAUAAGGUUCCCUAGGGGUAUUAUUGAAGAUGUACUAGUUAAAAUCGAUAAAUUCUGGGAAGGCCCUUUUUAGCAACUGCUAAAACGAUUAUUGAUGUUGGCCCAGGUGAACUCACACUCCGUGUGGGAGACGAAACAAUCACCCUUCAAGCUCACAAUUUUGGCAACAUAUCGGGAAUUGAAGAUGAUCGUUUAACCCAUUCUCCUAGAACUGACAAUAUGGUACAACCUACUUUACAGGAAAUGAGUUUGAAGGAAGCACACGAGUCAUUCUCAAGCAAUAGUAAAGGACCUGUUCAUGAAGAUCGAAGAUUACAAAUAGAGGAACUCGAUGAAUGGCGGACGCAUAAAUCAAAAACACCCGACAAACCGAAUUUAUGACAGAACGAGCUCAAUACCUUUCCAAAUCAACUUAAGAUUGAAGAUAGAGUCUUAUUAGAUGCCGCAGAUCCCCACAUUGUCGCUACCACACGGAAUGAAGAAAUCCCUCUUACGGUACUUAGUAUCUUUCCAUUCGGUACAGUCGAGGUAAGGCACCCCAAGUUCGACACUUUUAAGGUAAACAACACUCGUUUAAAGCUUUAUUUUAAUGAGAUUGAUGACAGGAAUGGGGAGUAUAAACUCCUCAAACCACCAUGAUUAUUCAACGGAGAGGUAAGUCAAGCUUAAACUAUAAAUAAGCACUUCUCGGGAGGCAACCCGAGCACUAACUGUAUUAACUUCUUUAAAAAUUUAGUCUUCAACAUCUAACUUACUAAUGGAGCUCUGGAAUACAAGUUUUCCACAGAGACACGACCAAGCACACAGGCGUGCUUAUGGCCGUGUGAAAACAGGGCAACGAUUUCCCCAAACAGGGGCUAUGAUAAAAUGCCACAGCCGUGCGACAUGACCGUGGUCGAGCCUGCCAAAACAACACCGGUGUUUGACACGCCUGUGUGGAAGACUCGUGGUUGAAACUAAAAAACUAGCACGGGCGUGCGACACGCCUGUGUCUGACACCCGUGGAUGAACCUGUUAGAUUGACACAGGUGGAGGGAUUUCCCACACGAGCGUGGGAGAAGCGAAUAGCGCCAGACACGGCCGUGUGUACCCACACGCCCAAGGAACACGGGCGUGUACUAAAUGUCAGACACGCCUAAAUUUGAAAUUCACGAAUCACACGGGCUAAAAUUGGGGAACACGAAUGUGUGCCUUGGCCGUGUGGCCCAAAAUCUGUAAAUACCCUGCACUAUUCACUUUCUUCCCCAUUCAAAAACCCUAACCCUAGCCACUGCAACUCCACACGGCUUCCCUGCCACGCCCGUGCGCUGCUUCCCACUUCUUUUUUGACGCUCAAUCUCUUUCCCUGAGCGUUUGUUUACUCAUUUCACUUCUAUUUUACUUAUCUCUAAUGCUUAUUAUCAACAUAAUCUUCAUAUCUUUUGAACUAUUUUUCAUUUUUCUAUCAUUUAAUUUGCAUUCUUAGGUUAGUUAUCAUACAUUUCAUGUUAAAUCAAGUUAUUAGGAACACCUCAUACCCAUGACAUUACUAUGCUUAUUCUCAUGCUAUUAUCAUGCCAAUGUCUAUCAUUUAAUUUACAUUCCUCGGUCAGUUAUCGUACAUCCUAUGUUAAAUUGAGAUUAGGAAAACCUCAUACCCAUUACAUUUCUAUUCUCAUUCUCAUUGUUAUUGUGGUUGAGUUUGCUUCAUAUUAGUAGUCUUGGCUGAAAUAGUGAGCUCAAAUUCAUGCCUUUUACUUCUUCGAAUUUGUUUACCUAUUAUUAUUAUUCUUUAUAUUAUAGGCUUUUAAUUUCGUCUUCACAAGGAAAGAAAACCAUCGUACCUACCUCGAAGAAGAGGAAGGGAGUGUCAUCUUUCGCAGGUCCAACCACUAAAAUUCAUCACCCUCUCUUGCAGUUCCUCGAGGGCCCCAAGAAGAGCUUUUCCAAAUACUGCGGGCCCGACCCUUAAUUACAGGCCGUUGCAUCGACUGGGCUACCGUAGAACAAGUUCAGAUGGCUGAUGCAAUUCGGGCCCUCCUAACCACCGACCCUUGAGAGCUGUUCUUUGGGAUCAUCGAACCAACAUACCUCGAGCUCACAAUGGAACUAUGCUCAACGUUCCAUCUUUAGACCGUAAUGACAAAUUAUGAUGAUCCCGACACGGUCCAUUUCGCCUAGGCAGAUUAGUCCGCCAGCUAAGCGUUCUAGAGUUCGGUGUUGCAAUAGGCUUAUAUACGAAGGAAUUCAAGGAGGAAAAUGAACUACAUGCUCUCACUCGCCACAUACAUUUCUCUCUCUCAAAGUGCUGGCACACUUUGGUUCCUAGCGCAGCCUCCUACAAUCCUAGCUACUCCAAGGUAUCAGUUCUCCCACCAUCCCUGAGGUACCUACAUGCCAUUUUAGCUCACACGAUUACAGGGAGGUGAGAGAGUACUGGCGUCAUCAACACUCACGACGCCUACUUCUUGUGGUGUAUGUCACAUGGGCACGUCAUCGACCUUGCCUAUUUCAUCGCCCUCGCGAUUCAGCACUAGACGGAGCGGCAUAGGAAGGGGGUCAUCUCUAUUGGCCCCUAUGUAACACGAUUGGCUCAACACUUCAGGCUCCUCGACACCGAGGCCCAAGAAUCAUCCUUGACCUUCAUUGGUCAGAUGUCUCCACAAGGCAUCUCAAGCAUGCUUAGCAUGAGGAUGAUUGAGAGGCGCCGAGGAACCUACCCUCCUCAAUAUCGUCUCGGCCAAUCCACUAAGGAGAAGGCUUACGAGGACAUUCCUGAUGAUGUCCCUUCAUAGCACGAGGACCCACCGACUCAGCCACCACUACCCUCUCAUCCAGUUCAUGCGGCGGCUUCAUAUGCUGACAUCUCUGAGCGUCUCACUCGAUUCGAGCAGCAGUGUUUUCAAUGAUUUGACAACAUUAAUGCUACUCUACAGCAAAUUUGUCAACACCUCCACAUCUCAUCGCCAGUCCCACCUCGCGAACCAUCCAGCUAUGAAGAUGUUUAAAAACAUUUAUUUAUUAUUUUAUGUUUUUUUAUUUUUAUUAAAACUAUUUUUUAUUUUUAUUAGAUUUUAGAAAUUUUAUUUUUAAUUAUUAAUUUUGGUUAUUUCUUUUUGAGUAAUUAUUCUUCCUAAUAUCCCCUAAAAAGUUCAUGAUUUUAUCACAGUUAUAUAGAGUUCUUAAGCUCAUCAUCACAUAGGAACUAAAACUCUACCGGGAAAGGUUCUCCACGACUGCCAUGUCCUACUCGCCACGACCAUAGCUACCACUAGAGAUAAUAUCCUUUUGGCGCAGGUUUUAUGGCCUAAUGAACCUCUAUGACCUCUGGAGUAUCCUCCUCCACUCUCGAACCGAUUACUCUUUAGAACUCCAGUUUAAGGAAUUCAUCGUACAGGAAGUUUCACUUCUCUCCCUAUCUUAUUUUUAUACUCUAAUAUCUAUCUUUGUACAUUGAGGGCAAUGUACAUCUUAAGUGUGGGGGGUAUUUAUUUCAUUAUCAGAAAAUCCCUGAAUGGCUGCCUUGUUCUCUUGAAUAGCUCUCAUAUCAUAUUUAGGAUAAAUUUUGAUUGAUUUAUGAUUUUGAUUGAUAUAUCUUGAAUUAAAACAUAGACAUUUAUGCAUUGAUUGUUUAAACUUUAAGACAUUAGAGAAUCAAGCAUGAUAAGUUGAUUUUUAAGAAUUUAAAGGGAUGUAGCAGUGGCUUGUUGGAAACCCAGAGCUUUUACUUGAUCCAGGAUGUGUGAUGUAUAUGCCAUUCCGAAGUGAUCUAUGACAGAAAAAUAUUGUGGUCAGUUUGAUAAUGAUCGAGUGACAUUGCUUCUUCAGUCUUUCCCCAAAGUUUAGGUAUUACUUUGAGUUGGGAUUCAAAAGUUUUAAACAUUAAAAAGCCAUAAUUUUUGUGAGAUUUUUGAGCCUUUUAAGCAUCUAUUAAUUCUUUCAUGCUCACCUUUAUUAUUGCUUUGAGUGCAUCAAUAGUGAACUGUUAUUCUAGAAUUUGUUUGAUUAUUCAUGUUGAGACCAUACCAUUUGAUUUGAUAUGUCAAAAUGAUUAAGGCACUUAGGAUUAACCCACUCAUGCCAUGAAAAGCCUACCUCCACAAUGAACCACUAGUGAACCCCCUUGAGCCUAACAAGUCAUUUCUUGUAUUACCCUUAAUAUUAACCUUUAACUCAUUAUUGUUGAAAUCCCCUAAAUUAAUUUAAGCCCCAUUUUUGUCGAGAUUUGAAUUGAAAAAGUUGCUUAGCUAUGUUUUAUUCUACUCUGUAAUUUAAUUUGUUCUUAAAAAAAAACAUGAUUACAUAUUAGUAGUGAUCUUCUUUUUGUAAGCUUCAGAAGUUAAAUUCCUUAGUCUGAGAAGAAGCUCUGUUGUAUGCAAGUGAUGAUUAACUCUUUUUCUAGUUAGGUAAUUUUUCAAUUCAAUCUUUAUUCUAACCCUUUCUUUCAUCUUGUGACCGCAACCCCUAACCAAACCUCAUUACAACCCUCUAAAGACCUUUUGACUGAUAUAUCAUCUUAAAUUAUAGUGGUGGAGAUUUGAUUUUCAUGCAAGCCUAUGGUAAUGACUUUUCAUUAUUGACUAUUGAGUGCUUCAUUAUUUGUCCUUAAACACCUCGAGUGAUUUGAGUGAAUCGAUAGUGAGGAUGUGAAACUCUGUGAUAUUCUGAAUCAAAGGUAAUUACUUAAAUGAGGAGAGAAACAUAUGUUUGCAUGAUUAAAUACUCAACUUGGAAUGUUUGAAACUUUUAUGUUCUUUUAGUUGAAUUCUCAAUGCAUGAUUACCUAUGGAUUAUUCUGAGAUAUUAUCGAUAGAAGUUAUAAGUUGAGAAGAAUUUAUUUUGAUUAUGAGUUGAAAAUUUUGCUUGAGGACAAGCAAAUGCUUAAGUGUGGGGGUAUUUGAUAAACCGUAAUUUAUACAUAUUUUUACACCAUGUUUAAUGCAUUUUAUGGAUUAUUUUCCAUUAGAAUUGGUGAAUUUGAUGCUCCUAAUUCUUUAAUUUCAUGUUUAAACUUAGGAGAGCAUAGGAGAGUGAAAGGAACGAGAAACGGGCCAAAAACGGAGAAAAUGGGCCAAAGUACGAAAUCAACAUGGCCUGGACCUCCUCACACGGGCAGACCACACAGCCGUGUCAAUUUGGCAGGCUCGAGCACGGCCUAAAGUAAUCGCACACGGGCGUUUCCCUACCGAGCCCAAGUUGAGUCCAAUUUAGAAAAGGCUAAUUUUUAGGGCUUUUAGGCAUUCCAAAGCCUAUAAAUACACCCUAGAGAAGGAAGAAAAGAGAGGCUAGAGUAGGGGGUAAGGAAUUACUCCAAGAAAGCCAAUUGAUUCAUCUCAGAAGUCAGAUUCAUCAUCAAGACUGAAGAUCUCUCCUCAAUUCCCCUUCAGGAGUUUUGGGUUUUCUUUAUGUUUUGUAUUCUUUAUUAUUCUGAGAUGUUUUCUUAUUUAGUUAUGAAUUAAAUCCCCUAAAUACCUAAAGGGAAAGAAACCUAAGACGAAUCUUGUUAUUAUUUUCUAAAUUGUAUGAUAAAUAUUGAACUUGUUCUUAAUUAUGUGUUCUUACUUCUUAUUUUGAUAUCCCAGGAUACCGAUUCAAGAUAAGCUCUUAUUUAGAGGAGGAAUAGACCCUGUUUAAGAGUACAUUUGACAUAAUUAAGCAGAGUUGAUUGCGCGCCUAGACAUAGGGUGACAAGAUUUUUCCGGAUUAGGGUGAAGCCUAAUAAGGGGAUCCAUAGAUCGAGUUAAUGCAACCCUAGAGUGUUAAUUAGAGAAAAGUUCAGUUAUUCAAUCUAGGGAUUAGACGUUAUUAGUCUUGAAUAGGGAUAAUAACAUAACUUAGGGAUCUCUACGGAACAAGUUAAAUGAAUAAAUCAUCCAAUUCGGAGCCAGAAUAACAAGUACAGUGUAGGUGGAUUUUUCCUUAGGUAUUGUCUUCAUUCAAUCGAUUUUUCCAAAAGCAAUUCCUCAAUUCCAUUCUCUGUGCGUUCUUAGUUUAGAUAAUUAGUUAGUUAAAACAAAAACCUCUUUAUUCUUAGGCUAGAUAUAAAAAGACAAUCAUUACUAGUACUUUUAGUUCCUUUGGGUUUGACAAUCCGGUCUUGCUAAAACUAUACUACUGUUCGAUAGGCACACUUGCCUACAUCGCCAUAAUAGUUAGUUCAAGGAUGAGUAAUUAUAAAUAUUUAAAACCUAUCAUGAAAUCAUGCGAUCAGUAGGCCGUGCACAUACCAUGGGAUGAAACACAGCCGUGUGAUACGACCGUGUGAAAAUAGGGCAAAAAUUUCUUCCCCAACACGGGAUGCGAUAAGUUGCCACGGCCCUGUGACAAGGCCGUGGGCGAAACUGCCAAAAUAGCACGAGUGUGCGACACGCCCAUGUUUUGAAACCGUGGGCAAACCUGUUAAUUUAUCACCGGCAUGUGCUUGUAUACACGGGCGUGGGAGAAGCGAAUGAAGAUUGACACGGUGGUGCAACAUGGCCAAGAGCAUCGAUGCGCCCAAUUUCGAAAACCACAAAAUGUACGGGCUAAAACAAAUGUACACGGGCGUGCCCCACGGCCGUGUGCCCUAAUUUCCCUAUAAACACCUAUUAUCUAUCUUAGCUUUAUCUUUAUAUUUUGAAAUUACUUUUUAUUUCUUGUUUAUACUAUUUUAUUUUGAGUUUUGACAAUUUUCAAUUUUAGCUAUUUCAUUACGAGUAAUUAUGCUUCCUUAUAGUCUUAACUCUGUCGCAGUUAUAAAGAGCUCCAAAGCUCAUCGUCGCAUAUGAACUAAAAACUCCACUGGGAAAGGACUUAUGGACUAAUGAACCUCUACCACCACCAGAGUAUCCUUCUCCACUCUCACGCUGAUUUUUCUCCAUAACCCCAAUUUAAGGAGUUCAUUCAUUAUUUAGGAAGAUUCACUUCUCUGCCUAUCUUAUGAUUAUCAAUAUAUCUUUGUACAUUGAGGGAAAUGGACAUCUUAAGUGUGGGGGUCUUUUAUAUCGUCAUUAGAAAUCCCUGAAUUCUCAUGUGAUCUUCUCAUGCCAUGAUUAGAAUGAAUUUUGAUUAAUUUAUGAUUUUUAUUGAUAUGUCUUGAAUUAAAACUUAGGCAUUCAUGCAUUGAUUGUUUAAACUUUAAGAUAUUAAAGAAUCAAGCAUGAUAAGUUGACUUUUGAAUUUAAAAUUUUAUAGGUUGCUUCUCCCAAAUUUAGGUAUUAUCUUGAGUUGAAAUUCACAGGUUUAAAUAGCAAAAACCCAUAAUUUUUUGUGAGAUUUUGAGCCUUUAGAGCAUCUAUCAUUUCUUUCAUGCUCACUUUUAUUGUUGCUUUGAGUGCGUCAGUAUUGAAUUGUUAUUCUAGAACUUUCUUGACUAUGCAUGUCCAGACCACACCAUUUGAUUUGAUAUUUCAAAAUGAUAAAGACACUUAGGUUUAAGCCACUCACUCCACAAAAGCCUACCUUCAUAAUUAACCCUUAGUAAACCCCUUUGAGCCUUACAAGCCAUUAAUUGAUUUACCCUCAAUAUUAACCCAUAAACAAUUAUUGUUGAAAUCCCUUAAUUUGAUCCCUAUUUUUGUCGAGAUUUGAUUUGAACUAAUUUCUUAGCUAUGUUUUGAUCUUCUAUGUAUUUAAUUAUGUGUUCUAAAAUAAAAAAAUAAAAAAGCAUUCAUACUUACAUUGUAGUAGUAAUUCAGUAGUGUUGAGUCGUAGUAUCUAAAUUCUAUCUUCUGAGAAGAAGCUCAAUUGUUCUCAAUUGAUGUUUAAUUACUUUUUCUAGUUAGGUAAAUUUUCAAUUCAAUCUCGAUUCUAACCUUUUCUUUCAGCUUGUGACCACACCCCCUAAUCAAGCCUCGUUACAACCCUCUAAAGACCUUUUGGUUGAUGUAUCAUCUCAAUUUAUAGUAGUGGAUAUUUGAUUUUCAUGCAAGCCUAUGGUAAUAACUUUUCGUAUUGACUGAUGAGUGCUAAUUUCAUUGUCCUUAAACACUUCGAGUAAUUUGAGUGAAUCUUUAGUGAGGAUGUUAAACUCUGUGAGAUUUUGAAUCGAGGGUAACCACCUAGAUAAGGGGAGAUGCCUAAGUUUUUCAUGAUUAAAUACUCAACUUGGAAUGUUUGAAGCACUAAUAUUCUUUCAGUUGAAUUUUCAAUGUAUGAUUACCUAUGGAUUAGUUUGAGAUAUUAUUGAGAAGAAUUUAUUUUGAUUAUGAGUUGAGGAUUUUGCUUGAGGAUAAGCAAAUGCUUAAGUGUGGGGGUAUUUGAUAAACCGUAAUUUAUACAUAUUCCUAUCCCAUGCUUAGCACAUUUUAUGAAUGAUUUUUCCUUAGAUUUGGUGAAUUCGAUGCUCCUAAUGCAUUAAUUUCAUAUUUUAUACUUAGGUGAGCAUAGAAGAGUGAAAGGAAUGAGAAACGGGCCAAAAAUGGAGAAAAUGGGCCAACAUACAAUAUCAACACGGCCUGGACUUCCUCACACGGGCAGACCACACGACCGUGUCAAUUUGGCAGAAUAGAAGCAUGACUCGCACGGGUGGACCACACGGCCGUGCCUAUUUAACAGGCUUGACCACGGCUUGAAGUAAUCGCACACGGGCGUGUCACAUGGGCGUGUCCUUAUCGAGCCCAAGUUGAAUCCAAUUCGAAAAAGGACAAUUUUGAUGGUUCUUAAGCAUUUUAAAGCCUCUAAAUACACCCUAGAGGAGGAGGAAAAGGGACAUACAGAGGAGGAAGCAGGGAACUGCUCAAGGAAAGCCAAUUGAUCCAUCUCAGAAGUCGGAUUCAUCAUCAAGACUGAAGAUCUCCCAUCAAUUUCCCUUCAGGAGUUUUGGGUUUUUCUUUAUGUUUUGUAUUCAUUAUUCUUCUGAGAUGUUUAUCUUUUUAGUUAUGAACUAAAACCUCUAAAUACCUAAUGGGAAUGAAACCUAAGACAGAUCUUAUUAUUAUCUGAAUUGUAGGAUAAAUAUUUGACUUGUUCUUAAUUAUGUGUUCUUAAUUCUUGUUUUGAUAUUCCAGGAUAUUGAUUCAAGUUAAGCUCUUAUUUAGAGGAGGAAUAGACCCUGUCUAAGAGUACAUUUUUCAUAAUUAAGUGGAGUUGAUUGCGUGCCUAGAGAUAGGGUGACAAGAUUUUAUUAGAUUAGGGUGAAACCUAAUAAGGGGAUCCAUAGAUCGAGUUAAUGCAACCCUAGGGAGUUAAUUAGAAAGAGAUUUCAAUUAUUAAACCUAGGGUUAGACGUUGUUAGUCUCGAGAGAGAUAAUAAUAUAACUUAGGGAUUUCUACGGAUCAAGUCAAAUGAAUAAAUCGUCCGAUUCAGAGUCAAAUAACAAGUGAAGUCUAGGUGGAUUUUUCCUUAGGUAUUGUCUUAAUUCAAUCGUUUUUCCAAAAGUAAUUCCCCAAUUCUAUUUUCUGUAAAUUCUUAGUUUAAUUAAUUAGUUAGUUAAAACAAACCCCAUUAUUCUUAGGCUAGAUAAUAAAAAGGAAGUAAAUUCUAGUACUCGUAGUUCCUUUGGGUCCGGCAAUCCGAUCUUGCUGAACUAUACUACUGUUUGAUAGGUACACUUGCCUUAAUCGUGAUAAUAAGUUAGUCUCAAGAACGUUUCAUUUAUAAAUUUUUAAAACCUGUUACGAAUAUCACGCAUUACUUAAUGAUAACCUAAGAGGCUACUAAAUCAGCUAAGUACAUGACUAACCUUAGCAAAACAAAAAUUACAAACAAACUAAACAUAAGUCACAUGUUACAAAAAGUUUUAACAACCAAAUUACACAUUGGACAUUUGCUUGCUGCUGCAUUGUUGCCAACUUUCAACAGAUAGCUAGUGGACGGCAUUACAUAUUUGACCAAAUUACUCCCAUUGUGCUAGUUUAAGGAUUAGAUUACACCAAAUAAAAAUUGUGGAACUGCAUUAAACAUGUGCAAUGGUUUUGAUGUCCCUAUACCUCUAUUCAACUUCGCUAUUAAGGCUCCAAAGACCAAUAUAUUUGUAUGUGUUUGUCUGUAUAUUUGUUUUUAUAUGACAGCAGAAGGUAUAGUCUUUUAAAUCUGCAUGGCAAUGUCAAACAAAAUAUUUCUAGGUUGCUCUAAUUUCAGUUUAACCAUGAUAAUUGUGCUAUGAUGAUUUCUUCUAUCUAGUUUGGAAAUAAUUUUUACUAUCAAAUUGUCAUAUCCAAUCCAUGCAGCUCUUCUCUUAUUCCAUCUACAUGGAUAAUUCAUGGAACAGUCUUGCGAUAUCUGUUCUAUCUCAGGUAACUCUCAGUUCAGCUGAAAUAAAUUCAAGUUCUUGCUUUAAAUUUGAUCUCACGAUGGCCUUUUAUUACUAUUGUUGGAGAAAAGCAUUCACCAAACUCAAAUUACCUGUGAUCAAUUUUUGCAAGUGAUCAACUACAUGACUGAGGAUGUGUUUCCUUCCUAAAUUUCCAUCUCUUUACCAUCAUGCUUUCUCUUUGAGAUAUUUUGCUAUCCCUGUAAAUCUGCAUUUUGUUACACAUGCAUUACUGAAUUCUUCCCUUUAAUUCUACUUCCCUUCUAUUAUUAGGUUAUGAAGUUUUGAUUUCUUUUAGCAAAACCAACAGGAGAUGUUUGUUUCCCCAAAAUUAGUUGUAUAAGUUUAAAAUGAUGAAUUAUUAUAGAGUUGAUGCUGAUAGUUCUGUUUUCUGUCUGCUUCAAUAGAUUGUGCACAACUGCCCUGAAGAUUUCCUUGAAGCAGAAAAUUUUGCUUGCCUAGUGGUGGAACUUUGUUUGGGUUGCCUUUUUAGAGUUUUUCACUGGUAUAAAAUUUACCAUGAUAUUUAAGUAAUUUUUGUAGAUUGCUAGUGAAACUCAUCGACAAUUCUAACCUUGGGCAAUAAUGAUCUUGUUUUCUGCAUUCAAUGCUAGUGCAUUCUCACCUGUUCAAGCCUGCUGGGAAGAUUUAUUGUUUCCACUAUUUGUUGCUACGAAGACAAUAAUGAGGCGUUUUCAACCAAAAGUGUGUUUGGUGUAUUUUUUUAGAUUUCUAUUAUGCCAUAUGAUUUUGUCUUGUGAUUCUUUACCAAGAUUUAUCUUUGGCUUAUUGCAAUCUUAUUGGUUAUUUUGUUUUUAAUUACUAACUCAUUGCCUACUGAACCACAUGUGCCAAAAGAUGCAGAAACACCUGCAUUCAGUAGCAUUGGCAUUUCUUUUGAUUGGCUACAAAUUCAUCAGACAAGUUUCAACUGAGUUGUCCCUAUCAAAAGUUACUGAUAUUGUGAAGUGUGUGAAUUCCUUGUUGAAGAAACUCAUUGAUGGUGAGCAUUUUUCCUGUUUUUUCUGUUUACAUUUAUAAGAAUACACCUACAUUUUAAACAUGUAAUUUCUGUUUCUUCGUAGGUCAUUAAGAUGAUUUAGUUAAGGAUCUGAAAAUAAUAUCUAAUAUUCAUUAGAUUUGUUAGUGAGUAUUUUUGUUAUUUCAUUGAAAUUUAACAUUAUUUUUCAGCUAGAUUUAUGCAUCAAACCAUGUUAUAUGGAAAAUCAACUUUUUGUGCUUCAAUAUUUGAAUUUUUAUUGUAUCAAAAUCAGUGUUCCAGGAAAUGUUUAUGCCUUUUUAUUGCCGCAAAUAAAGUUCUCAAAUGGACUUCUACAAUGUCUCGAAAUUAAUAUGGGAAAAUUAUACUGCUACAAAGUAGUAGAUAAAUCACAUUAACAAAAAAGAUUUCUUAGCUAAGCAAUGUUUGUAAAUUUGUAGGUAAAAAGCAAAAUUGUUUAGAAGUAAGAGGAAUGAUCAGUGACAUUCAAAGAAAAAAUCAUGUUGAAUACGUAAGCCCAUGAAAUUAACAAUAAUUAAAGAAAAAAAGCUUUUUCUGCACUUAUGCUGCCGACAUUAACCAUCUGAUUUCUGAAUACCACAUUUUAUUUGAUGAUUCAUUUUUCUACAAAUGUUCUUGAAAAGGAGCACAUACUCUUUUUUUGGGUGAAUGACGAGGGGAAAACACAUCAUUUAAGAGUGAGGAUUUGGUUAGAUUUAUUGCAUCGUCAUGUGUAUCAAAUAUGAUCAUAUUGUGGCUGUUUACUCAUUUAUGGUUGCUUGGAGGCUAAUUGAAAUUUAUGUUGCAGAUGCUCCUAAUCUUGGUGAUGAUGCCAUUGUCCACCUGAGAAAUAUUUUAUGCACUUCUCUAGAUGAACUUGCUGAUUUGACCAAGGAUUGCAUUGAAGGCAUUCAUCUCCUGCAUAAUAAGAGAUCUGACUUACGCAAACUACUGCUAUUGAAGCUUGCAUUCUCUAUUGAACAGAUAGUUAUGUUGCCCAAGAUAAUGCAUGAAAUUCAAUGUCUAGAAGGCAACAAAGAUAGUGAUCCUAUCUACUUUUCGGUGUUCAAAUUUUGCACUAAUUGUAUGCUUACUAUACUAACUGACUCAAAUUUACAGGUAACUUAAACCUUUCAUGUCUUUAAUGUCCAGGUCUACCUGCCUGUUUUAUGUACAAAACAGUGUAUGACUGAUAAUCAAACACUUUUGGGGCACAGGUACAGGCUAUCGGUUUGCAGGUGCUGUAAAGCGUGGUACUGAAAAGUAACAAUAUGGAAGACAACAGUUCCAUCGUAUUCUUUAUUGGAGAGCUGGUUGGGGGCAUUCUCACCAUAAUAAAAAAACAUGUUAAUGGUGCACCUUCGAUUCAUUUCCACAAAUUUAAACCAUGUUGCUCCUUGCAAGUAAUUUUCUGAGGAUUUGUGUUAUUCUUGGUGACAGAAAUCCAUGACUAAAGAAUUAGUUGUUAUUGUGGGGGAGUGCUUACAAGUCCUAAUGCUCCUGCAAACAGUUUCAAAAGAGAGUGAUUGCCAGAGAGGGUUUAUGAGUCUCUUUUUGGAAGCUAUUGUUAUGAUCUUCUCGGCAUCAGAGGAUAAUUUUUCUCAGGUAAUUUGUUCAAGAGCCUUCAACAUUUGAAAUUGGAACAAGUAUUUCUAUGGUUGUUUUAAACAAUCUUUUGUUUAUGAUCAUGUUGGUAGGAAGUCAAUGACAUAAGAAACACCGCCAUUAGGCUUGUUUCUCAUCUUGCACAAAUUCCUUCUUCGGCUGGUCAUCUCAAGGAUGUGUUGUUAUUGAUGUCUGAGACACAUAGACAUCAACUUCAGGUGUUUUUGCUUUCUAUUUCUUUCUAUAUAAAUGACAAGUUUUUCUAUUGUGAUUGAAAGAAACAUAAAAUGGGAAAUUUCAAGUUUGGUAAACUUGUUAACUGUAUUGUUAGAUCGAACCUGAUGGCUUUAUUUUUUCCUUUCAAGAAACAUAGAUCUAGUUUACUAAUAGCUUUUCUCCACAUGUUUCUGUUAGAGCAAUGGAUUCACUUUUUUUUAUAGAAAUAGGCAAUUGAAGACUUUGUUGCCUAAAGUUUUGUUCGAUUUGCAAUUUUCAUUUUUCCCAUGGCCACAUUGUCCAGAAAUAAUAAUCACCAUUCUUUUUUCAGGGGGAUAUUCGUGCUUCAGUAACACUGGACCAUAGUGUUGGAGAAACAAAAUCUCUGGCACUGCCAUUAGAGAUUAAACUACCAGUUCCACUUGAAAUGAGAACAGAGGACAAUGCUUUACCAUCAGCUACUCAAGUGAAGCUUAAACAGCAAAGUGAAGAAAGAUAUUCAUCUUUAUAAGCCACCCCUAUAGGUAACAAUAAUGAUGACAUGGAAGAAAAUGAAGAGGAUGAAGAUGAUUGGGAUGCCUUCCAGUCUUUUCCAGCCACAAAGAAUGUAGCUGAAACUGGUUCUGUAGUUGAGAGUACAGUAAAAGAACCAGACCAUGAUGAGUCCAUCUCUUCUGCUUUGGAAAUCAGUACUGAUAAUAGUCAGCAAUAUUCAUCUUCAGAAAAUCACAAUAGUAUAAAUAACGUUAAUGCGGAGCAUUCAGAGGUUGCAAUAGAAAUAUUAACUGAUUGCUCAGGUGACGGAGGUAACAGGGAGAAGAUUUUGUCUGAUCUUGUAGUUGAAGAAGUGAAAGAAUUAUCCGCGAAGAUAGAGGAGCAUGCGUAAAAAAGGGUAUCAACUGAAACUGGAAAUAGUAAAGAUGCUGAAGGAUCAAUCGAUGUGGCAGGGGAUGAAGAGCAGCAAAAGGAGAGUAUAGUUGAACAUAAUAUGUGUUAAGAGUAUAGUUGACUCUGUUAUUGAGCUAGCUUGUUAGUUGUUAGUCUGUUACUCAAGUAGUUAAGUUGUUAGCAAUAGUAGUUACUCUUGUAUUUAAAAAAUACUAUCACUAUAAUGUACAAUUCAACAUAUACCAAUCCAGAUACAAAGAUUUCUUUCAAAUACUCUACAUAUUUCUAGUCUAUCUUUUCAAUACGUAGUAGUGCUUUCAUUCAUUCAAUUCUCAAUGUAUUAGUUACUCGCAAUAGAUGUUAACAUGGUAUCAGUCGCCUAAGGUGCUGGAGACCUGUUCUUAGUUUGUUUCCAUGAUCACCACUGUCUCUGCUGAUUCUACCUCAGUCGACCCUAGCUAUCCGACGUUCAUUAGUGCUAGGCUCGUCUAGUCGUUUCCUCGACGUAAGACUGUCAAGUUGGAUGAAGGUACAUUUGUUUAGUGGCAGCAGCAUGUUCAUUUGAUCGUUGAAGUAUACGAGUUGACCGACUUUUUGGAUGGAACAAUACCAACUCUAUCGUGAUUUGUGUAGUCUUCGGAGGGCUUCCUCAUUCUGAAUCCGGAUGCAUCAGCCUUUUUUCAACAAGACAAGUUACUUGCUUCAUGGUUACUCUUCACAAUUAAUUCCUCACUUCAUGGUUACUACCACUGAAUGGCGUGCCGCAGCUCAAGUAGAAUUUGAUGCUCUUAUUCAUAAUUCCAUCUGGGAUCUUGUUCCGUUACCACCUAAUCACAAGGUAAUCGGGUGUAAAUGGCUUUUCAAGGUCAAGAAAAAUCCUGAUGGCACUAUCGUUUGUCGCAAGGCUUGGUUGGUUGUUAAAGGAUGUUCUCAGACCCCUAGAUCUAAUUUCAAGCAAAUGUUCAGUUCGGUCUGCCGCUAUUCGAGUCAUUCUGUCAGUUGUUGUCUCCAACAGAUGGCAGCUCCAUCAAGUUUAUGUGAAUAAUACUUUUUUGAAUGGCGAUCUUACUGACGAAGUGUUCAUGCAAAACCUUUGGGGUAUGUUCAGUAUGGUUCGAAUGGCAAAACGUUAGUCUAUCAUUUGAAGGAAGCUUUAUAUGGGUUUCGUCAGGCUCCACGUGCCUGGUUUGAUAAAUUGAAGACUUUCCUCAUUUUUGUUGGCUUUGUUAUAUCCAAAUCUGCUGCAUCUCUAUUUGUUCGAAUUACAACUAACUCCACUAUUUAUGUGCUUGUGUAUAUGGAUGACAUUAUCAUUACCAAAAGCAUGCCUACUUGUAUAACUAGCUUUGUUCAGCAGUUGAACGACAAGUUCUAACUUAAUGAUAUGGGUGAUCUCCAUUAUUUUCUCAGGAUUGAGGUUACUCGUUCCUUCACAGGGUGUUUACAUCUUUGCCAAAGAAAUUACAUCUGUGAUCUACUCAACAGGAGUUCUAUGGCUCAUGCAAAGAGUGUCCAUAGUCCAAUGAUUAGCUCACCUACUCUGUCCAAGGAUGAAGGGGAUCAUCUCAGUGAUCCUACCGAGUACAGAAGUCUUGCAGGUGCUUUAUAGUAUGCGGUUCUGACUCAUCCUGAUAUUGCUUAUGCGAUAAAUCGUAUAUGCCAGUUCAUGUAUGCACCCACUACUGUUCAUUUUGCCGUUAUAAAGAGAAUCAUGUGAUAUUUAUAUGGUACAAGGGAUUGUUUUUCGUCCAUCCGCCUGACUUUUUUUAGUUGGUUAUGCAGACGCUAACUAAGGGCUCGAUUUUGACGAUCGUCACUUUAUGACAGGCUAUAGUGUAUAUUUUGGUCACAUAUUGGUCUCUUGGUGUUCCAAUAACCAGCAAGUGGUUUUGCGGUUUACGACUGAUGCUGAAUAUCAAAGUCUUGCUGUAGCUACUAGUGAUAUUACUUAGCUAGUCUCGUUACUAAAGGAGUUGCAACUUAAAAGUGUUGAUCCACCUACUAUUUGGUGUGACAACUCUAGUGCAGUUGCCGUAGCUGCCAAUCCUAUUUUACAUUCCAAAUUCAAACAUGUCAAGCUUGAUCUAUUUUUUGAACGUGAAAAGGUCGCUGAUGGCUCCAUUGUUGUUGGUGAGGUUCCUGCGUGUGAUCAAGUUACCGACAUUCUCACCAAGCCACUCUCUAUAUCGUCUUUUGCUAGAUUUCGGAAUCUUCUUCGGGUCUUACCUCUCGAGAAGAUGGGUGAAUGUUAAGAGUACAGUUGAUUCUGUUAUUGAGCUAGCCUAUUAGCUGUUAGUCUGUUACGCAAGUAGUUAAGUUGUUAGCAAUAGUAGUUACUCUUGUAUUCUAUAAAUACUAUCACUAUAAUGUACAAUUCAAAAUAUACUAGUCCAGAUACAAAGAUUUCUUUCAAAUACUCAACAUAUUUCUAGUCUAUCAUUUCAAUAAGUAGUAGUGCUUUCAUUCAUUCAACUCUCAAUGUAUUAGUUACUCACCAUAGAUGUUAACAUGGUAUUAGUCGCCUAAGGUGCUCGAGACCUAUUCUUAGUUUGCUUCCAUGACCACCACCACCUCUGCUGAUUCUGCCUUGAUCGACCCUGGCUGUUCGGCGUUCACUAGUGCUAGGCUCGUCUAGUUGUUUCCUCGACAUGAGACUAUCAAGUUGGAUGAAGGCAUAUUUGUUCAAUGGCAGGAGCAUGUUCGUUUGUUCUUCGAAGGAUACGAGUUGACUGAAGCUUUGGAUGGAACAAUACCGACUCUACCGCGAUUUGUGCAGUCUUCGGAGGGCUUGCUUGUUCUGAAUCUGGAUGCAUCAGCCUUUGUUCAACAAGACAGGUUACUUGCUUCAUGGUUACUCUCCAUAAUUAAUUCAUCACUUUUAUCUUUUUUUACAGAGGCACGAACGGCUUGUGAUGUGUGGAACACCACCACUCAUCUCUUCGUUGCUCUUACAGGUGCGAAGCUCUCUCAUCUUCGUCACAAUUUGCAUUCACUCAAGAAAGGUAGCCUCUUGGUCAAAGAAUAUAUGGCUAAGAUCCAAAAUACGAGUGCCUUGCUAGAGGCCUCCGAAUAUUGGAUCUCUGAGGCAAAAAAAAGUAAAGAUAGUGCUUGCGGCCUUACCUCCAGAGUUUGACGCCGUUAUUACUUUGGCUUCGUUCUCGUCGGACCCUCUGCCAUUUCAACGCCUCAUCGAUGUCUUGCUUGAGUAUAAGAACCGUCAGGUGCGUACGGUCCAGGAUGUACCUCUUUAUGCCAACCUUUUAGUGACCAUUCCAUUGCCGGCUAUUAUUAGCUAUGUCCAUGGUGGUUGUCCCCUAUUUAGAGCCUGCGGGAGAGGAUUCCAAUACUGCAUACAAUGUCAGAUAUGCAGACAAUUCGGGCAUCUAGCCCAAAGGUGCUUUUACCUCUACAACCGUGAGUAUGAUGGCCCGUCAUCGGGUGUUUAGGCGCCAAAUCUGACAGAUCAUCAUGCUUCGUCAAUGGUCUAUGGUGGGCUUCAUAGUUCUUCUUCGACGGAGCAACGGAGUAAUUAUUCAGGAGGUAAUUUUUGGCCUUAUGCACCUAUGUCUUGAAAUAAUGGGGGUUCUAACCCUUUUGUUCAAAAUGGUGAUGCUGGCAUAUACCGUAGGCCCAUGAUGGGUCAAACUUUCAUUUUAGACUUGAACGUGCAUAGUACUAUGCGUCUAAAUUUGUUAAUGAUGGGGGUUCUAUGCCAUUUAGGCUUGGUCAUUCUAAUAGGCCGGCUAACGAUGGAGGUUCUAGGCCGAUUGGGCUUGCUGGCUUUAAUGGGCAUAUGCAAUCUGACCCAGGCCAAGAAUUUGAGGGUGCUUUAUCUUUUUUUAGGUCGCAUGCUCCUACUCUUCCAAAUAGGCCAGUGUCGAAUUAUGUAGAAUUUGCUACCUGAUCGUGGCCAAAACCUUAGGGUUCCAGGUGAUGCUGCUUGUAAUGAGUCUGGGUCGUCUGUUCCUUAGCGAACCAAACUACGGGCUCGUGUUUACACUGGGUCCUAUCCAUGCAUUAGGCUCUCCCAUCUACCCGACUUGCAUACCUCCAAUGUAUCUGACUCCACUAGGUCUCAUAUUAAUACCACUCAAUAUGGCUCCAACUGUGACGACACUGAUUCCUAUAUUCCUAUACAUAUCAAAACUGCAUCUUGGUAUCCAAACUCAGGGGCUACACACCAUGUAUUUCGCGAUAACUCUACUUUACAUGACUCUACCCCUUAUUUAGGGACAUCCUCUCUCUUAAUAGGUGACGGGACUCCCACCAUGAUCUCGUAUGUUGGUAAUUUGGUUUUACCUAUGCACUCUAAAUUGUUUCGUUUAUCUAAUGUUUUGUGCGUUCCAACUAUAAGGAAAUAUCUCCUAUCUGUAUCUUAGUUUUUCACUUACAAUGGUGUGUUUUUUGAAUUUCACCUAACGUAUUAUGUUAUUAAGGACAUCAUGACUCGAAAAAUUGCUGAAUGGCCACAUCUGUGAUGGGCUCUAUCAUUUUUCUCUGCCGGUUGCAUCUGCUCAGUUUGCUGUAGCUUCUUCUACUACCCACAUUGGACUCCAGAAUCAGUCUGAUGACUAUGCUAUAUUUUCUUUAUUGCAUAGGCGCCUUGGUCAUCCCUUUGUUUCUAUUGUUAAAUCUGUUUUAAAUAAAUAUAAUAUUGUUUCAAAUAAAGCUUCUCUUGAUAGUGUUUUUACUGCUUGUCAAAAAGGGAAAUCUCAUAAAUUGCCCUUUCUUGAUUCGACUACUGAAUACAAUGAUCUAUUUACCUUUAUUGUCUCUGAUCUCUGGGGUCCUACAUCAGUUGCCUGUGGUAAUAAUUGGUAUUAUGUAUCUUUUAUUGACAUUUUCACUCAUUUUACUUGGAUUUAUCUUCUUCGACGAAAGUCUAAGGCCAUGGAUUGCUUCGUUCAGUUUCAACAAUUAGUCAAAACUUAAUUUCAAAAAACUAUCAAAUAAUUUCAAUGUGAUUGGGGCAGUGAACAUCGAGCCUUUAUUUUUGUUCUUACAACACAAGGGUUAAUUCAUCGGUUGUCUUGUCACAUACCUCCGAACAGAAUGGAGUGGCUGAACACAAACAUCGGCAUAUUGUUGACAUGGACGUCGCACUUUUGGCUCAAGCAAAUCUCUCUAUGGAAUUUGGGCCUAUGUAUUUUGUUGUGUUGUUCAUCUCAUCAACCAUCUUCCUACCUUGGUUUUGAAAGGACAGACUCCGUAUCGCACUCUUCAUGGACAAGAUCCCACAUAUGAUCAUCUAUGCGUAUUUAGGUGUUGUUGUUUUCCAUAUUUACGAAUGUUUCAGCGUCAUAAAUUGGAUUUUUGAUCUCCACCCUAUACGUUAUUGGGAUAUAGUUUUGAACACAAAGGAUAUCAGUGUCUUUUGCUGGAUGGUAAGAUUAUCAUUUCUCGUCAUGUUGUGUUCGAUGAACAAUGAUUUUUGUCUUUUUGUCUGCUACGUAGGGUUUCGUGUCUUCAUCUGGUUCCAUAACGAUGUUUGUUCCUAUUGUAAAGACUAUCCCUUCUCGGCCCGUGGAAUUCUCAUCCUAUUUACCGUCAGCUUUUCCUCCUAUUUGCCGCCUCUCACCCACUGUUUUUGAGGUUCCUCGGGCUGAGGUGGGCUCUGGCCGUGAGACUCAUAGUUCUACCUCAUUACCCAAUAGUGAUGCGGAUCCUAGCUCUACCGUGUCUCCUACUACUGUUCAGUCCUCUCUUUCGGUUCAAAAAUCUUCUUGGCCUCCGACAAAUACUCAUUCGAUGGUUACUCGGUCUAAGGCUGGCAUUUUUAAGCCCAAGGCUUUGUCGUUGGGCUAUUGAGCCACAAACCAUUAAGGAGGCUUUUUCUACCACCGAAUGGCAUGCUGCAGCUCAAGCAGAAUUUGAUGCUCUUAUUCAUAAUUCCACCUGGGAUUAUGUCCCGUUACCACCUAAUCGCAAGGUAAUCGGGUGUAAAUGGCUUUUCAAGGUCAAGAAAAACCCUAAUUGCACUAUCGCCCAUCGUAAGGCUCAGUUGAUUACUAAAGGAUGUUCUCAAGCCCUUAGAUCUGAUUUCAAGGAAACGUUCAGUCCGGUGAUCAAACCUACCACUAUUCGAGUGGUUCUAUCAGUUGCUGUCUCCAACGAAUGGCAGCUCUGUCAAGUUGAUGUGAAUAACGCUUUUUUGAAUGGCGAUCUUACUGGCGAAUUGUUCAUGCAACAACCUCUGGGGUAUGUUCAGUAUGGUUCGCAAUGGCAAACCGUUCAUCUAUCAUCUGAAGAAAGCUUUAUAUAGACUUCGUCAGGCCCCACGUGCCUAGUUUGAUAAAUUGAAGACUUUUCUCGUUUUUGUUGGCUGUGUUAUAUCCAAAUCUGAUGCAUCUCUGUUUGUUCGAAUUACAACUAACUCCAUUCUUUAUGUGCUUGUGUAUGUGGAUGGCAUUAUCAUUACCGGAAGCAUACCUACUUGUAUAACUAGAUUUGUUCAGCAGUUGAACGACAAGUUCUCACUUAAAAAUAUCGGUGAUCUCCACUAUUUUCUCGGGAUUGAGGUUACUCGUUCCUUUACAGGGUGUUUUCAUCUUUACCAAAGAAAGUACAUCUGUGAUCUACUCGACAGGAGUUCUAUGACUCAUGCAAAGAGUGUCUAUACUCCAAUGAUUAGCUCAUCUACUCUGUCCAAGGAUGAAGGGAAACGUCUCAGUGAUCCUACCAAGUACAGAAGUCUUGCAGGUGCUUUACAGUAUGUGGUUCUAACUCAUCCGGAUAUUGCUAAUGCAGUAAAUCGUAUAUGCCAGUUCAUGCAUGCACCCACAACUGUUCAUCUUGUCGCCUUAAAGAGAAUCAUGCGAUAUUUAUGUGGUACACUUGAUUAUGGGAUUGUUUUUCGUCCGUCUGCCCGACUUUCUUUAGUUGGUUAUGCAGAUGCUAACUGGAGGCUGAGUUUUGACGAUCGUCGCUCUAUGACUUUGUGUAUAUUUUGGUUACACACCUGUCUCUUGGUGUUCCAAUAAGCAACAAGUGGUUUUACGGUUUACGGCUGAGGCUGAAUAUCGAAGUCUUGCUGUAGCUACUAGUGAUAUUACUUGGCUAGUCUCUUUACUAAAGGAGUUGUAACUUUAUAGUGUUGAUCCACUUACUAUUUGGUGUGACAACUCUAGUGCAGUUGCAGUAGCUGUCAAUCCUGUUUUACAUUCCAAAUUCAAACCUAUCAAGCUUGAUCUAUUUUUUGUACGCGAAAAGGUCGCCGAUGGCUCCAUUGUUGUUGGUGAGGUUCCUGCGUAUGAUCAAGUCGUCGACAUUCUCACCAAGCCACUCUCUGUAUCAUCCUUUGCUAGAUUUUGGAAUCUUCUUCGAGUCUUACCUCUCGAGAAGAUGAAUGAAUGUUGAGAGUAUAGUUGACUCUGUUAUUGAGCUAGCCUCUUAGCUGUUAGUCUAUUACUCAAGUAGUUAAGUUGUUAGCAAUAGUAGUUAUUCUUGUAUUCUAUAAAUACUAUCACUAUAAUAUACAAUUCAACAUAUACUAGUCUAGAUACAAAGAUUUCUUUCAAAUACCCAACAUAUUUCUAGUCUAUCUUUUCAAUACGUAGUAGUGCUUUCAUUCAUUCAAUUCUCAAUGUAUUAGUUACUCACCAUAAAUGUUAACAAUAUGGAUCAGGAACAGCAUUGAAAGCCAGGGAGGGACAUUGAUGAUUGAAAGAUAAGUUUUUUUUUUCCUUAUGAAGUUUUGUAUGUUUUGGCUGCCAACUGAUAAGAGAGAGUGAGAGUGAGAGAGAGUUGAUAAUAGCCAUAGAAAGGUUUGAAAUCACAUUGAAUGUCUUAUUGCAAGAUGUUGGCCCGUGACUUUUUAAAGUUGUUUAUUAUAAAAACAUGACUUUUUUUUUGAUUGGUGGUUUAUAAUGAAACCAAUAAGUAGUCGGGCAAUUAAUCUUAUUGCAAAAUAGAGAAAGGAAAAGAAUAAAUUACUUUAAAAUUUAGCCCCUGAGAAAACAAUUUCUAUUUGUAUUUUUUGAAAAUUGAAAAUGAAAAUCUAUUUCUCAAAAUAAAUAUAUGUACUAUUUUUUUCAUAAUUGAAACAUGAGAUAUAAUUACUAAAUAGUAAUUAAUUUAGUGUAGGUUUUAAUUAAAUGUGUUAUUAAUAUAAAAUAAAAUUGAUUUAAAUAAAAAGUGGUUCUAGACUUCUAGUAUUCGUGGCCAUCUCUUCGAGGUUGAUGGUUUAUAUUCAUUCUCUUACUAAAAUAUUUCAAAUAUAGUGGAGGUGUCUGCGAAUUUGUUCCACAAUAUUUGCAAUUGGUCAAUUUGAUAAAUGGAUUAACCAGACUCUUCUUUUCUUAAUCUAGAAGAUUGAGUUUCUUAAGACAAUUCAAUAGUUUUGUACGGUCUUGUAAAAAAUUGUUACCAAAAGGAAAAAAAAUUAAGACCAUUCAUACCAACCUGGGCAAUUCUUAAGCAAUCAAGCUUCGAUCCUCCUGUUGGAAGAUGCGACGUUGAUAAUAUUAUUAUUGUAUAAAAAUGAUUCUUAUAAUACGUAAGAGGUGAGGCAAGUAAGAGUGGAUGGUGACUAAAAUAAAUCUCGAGAAAACUUAUGAUAUAUUGGAUUGGAAUUUUAUAGAGGAUAUUCUUGUUGAUAUUGAGCAACAUAGUCAGUUAUGUAAUUUUGUAUUGUUUCAUUAAAUUGCUUUCUGUGUAGAUUGUCUGGAAUUAUAAUGUAGCACCCCAAACCCAGCCCAGAAGUUAUGGCCGGAUCCGACAUGCCACAUCAAAAAUGUUAAAAAAAAAUUUCCAUUCUAAGUCCAGAAAAUCGUACUUGAUUUUCAAAAGAUUAAUUCAUUAAGGGUUAAAGUUAAUGGAAGCUGUGCACCAGGUAGAAAACCGGGAAAGAGGAGGUGAGUCCAUCGGACUGCUUAAGUACCAAACUCCCUUCGGAUCCAAUCCUAGACAUGCAAACCGCCAUUGCCAUACCUUAAUGUCAUGUAUAUUUCUAGGAAACCGAUUUGAUUAAGUCCUUUUUAGGAAAAGUGAUUAAUUUUGGAAAAUAUCUUCAUUGCGGAAGCUUUGCCUGUUUUCGUGUUAUUUUGAAAUCAAUUACUGUUUUUGAAAAUGCACCCUAAAGCUAUCUAAUUUCAACAUUUAAAAUAUAAAUAUUACCUAUCUUAAUAAAACAUAUAAAAACCAUCAAAAAUAAAUAAGCGGCCUUAUUACAUUUAAAAGCCCAAAACCUCAAACGUAAUUAAAAGGAUGUCCAGUUCACCAAAAGAAAAUCAAACUUUCAGAACGGGUGGCCACUCUGAAUUCCCUCACAGCUCCAAGCCCACUAUGGUUGGGGAUUUCCUGCGUGGAUGAAAAUAAAAGGGGUGAGUUUGGGGAAACUCAGUGUGUAAGGAAAACCCAUUCAAAGCCCAAGUCAGCUCAAGCCUAUUGGGCCUAAGCCCAUUCAGGUAACAGUGGUACUGGGCCAGAGCCCUUUUCAGAUUAUAAUAAACUGGGCCUUAGCCCCUUAUUCAGAUAACAGUAUGGCCUAUAGGCCCAUUUCAAAAUACAUGCAACAUCAAUAACAUAUGCAAGCCCAUUUGGGGAGACUACUCAACCCACCAACCACUACACUCCACCCGUACAAGCCAUACACUCCAUGUGGGGGAUAGCUCAACCCACCCAGCCCAACACUCCACAGUUGCAGCGUUGCUGCUCAGUUAACAGUAAAUUGAGGCAAAGCCUCCAGUACGUGGACAAGCCACUUUCAGUACUUCCUCCGUCAAUAUCCCAGUCCCAUGCAUCAGAUAAUAACAACAUGGCAUGCAGUAAAUAACAACAGUCAAACAUGCAUUUAGGUCAAUUUAACCCUAGGGGUAUUUCGGUAAUUUAUCUUCUAGGGGUAAAACUAUAAAUUUUCCACUUUUAAAGAUAUUUUAGUAAUUUAUCUAUUUUAAGGUUUUUCAUGCAUAUUCCUACCUUUCACGUACUAACAGAAUCACUACCGAGGGUUCUUACCGAAUUGGGCCCGUUGGCCCAUCAUUCCAAUUUUGGCCCAUUAAGCCCAAAAAUAUCGAGGGCACAGAAAUCAUGCACUUUGCAAUCCAAAUUUUGCAGUUUACCAAAAACAUUAAUCGAUUUACCUCACGAGCAUUCGCACACUCGCAAAUCUACAAAAUACCGGUUUUUGGCAUUUCGGCUUUUCGACUUUUGCCGAUCCAGACUAAGAAAGAGGGUGUCAGUUACACACCUGUUUGCGACGAUAUGCUGACGAGAUCCACACACGAACCGCCUACAAUUGGAUUACUAACACGUUAAUCUAACUAUUCAAAUACAAACUACGUAUUAACCCCUUACAAUAUUCGGCCAACCACACCUACAGAUCAUAGUAAGCUUAUAAGAAAUCAAUAAGCAACUCAUUAACAAAUUUUUGUCAAUGUUUACCACAUAAUCAUAAUUUCACUGCAAGCUGUCUUCCUGAGCAAUAGUCACUAAAUUAUUUAUAACUGGAGCUACGAAACUCCAAAUCAAGUUCCGUUAAUUUUAACUGAAAAUAGACUCAUAUAUCUUCUAUCCAUAAAAUUUUCAGAAUUUUUGGUUUAGCCAAUCAAUACCAGAUUUUUCUCAAAGUUUCCCAUGUUUCACUGUUUGACUAAUCUGACCACUCUUCAUUACGAAUAAAAUUUCUCAUUGUACAGAAUUCAAAAUAUGUUCUUGUUUAUUUCAUCAGAAACUAGACUCAAUAAGAUUUAAUUACAUAAUUUAUUCAGCUUCUAAUUCAUCUCCUACAAUUUAUGGUGAUUUUCCAAAGUCACGUUACUGCUGCUGUCCCAAGCAGAUUUAUUACCAAGUCACUCUUUCACACAAACCUUGCAUGCAUGUUAUUUAAACAUGUAUAUCACCAAUCAAUCAUCACAUAUCUAUGAUUUUACUUAAGAAUAAUCUCCAUUUCAUCAUUUUAAAGCACAACAUGUUAGCUGAUUUUUUUCCCUUUAACAUCUAAGGCACAUGCAUGCUCAUUUGUUUGGCUCAACUUCACCUAUCUUCUAUUUUUUUCAUCAAAAGCACAUGAAACAACAACCAUUUCCUUCAUUUUAAUUCAUGACUAAAUGCUUACAACACAACUAAAAACCAAAAUAUGCUUCAAGAGUUAAGGUAGAAUCAAGAAGAACUCAUGAACCUCAAAAUAGAAGCAAGGUACCAAGAACUUACCUUCAAUUUUCCUCCUCCUAAUGACCGAAUACUCAAGAGCUUUCUCCUCUCCUUUCUCUUCUCUAACUUUCAGCUAUGAUGAACAAAGGCGGAAAAAAAUUUGUUCUUUUCACCCCUUUUUCUUUUAAUAAAACUUCAUAUUUCAUCCAUUUAAUUCUUUAAUACAAAAGACAUGAAAUUCUUAUCAUGAAACAUUUACCUAACCCAUUAUCAUGAAACAUUUACCUAACCCAUUAUCAUGGAACAUUUACCUAACCUAUUAUCAAUUUGUAUCAAUUUGUACCAUAAAUUAUGGAUAUCAAGUGUACAGUUUGUCUACAACAACAUGAUGGCUGGCCACUUCAUGUAAAAUGGGAGAUUUGUCAUGCAAAUCCUCCUAUUUUGCACUCCUAUUUAUUUGGCCACUUCAAUUUAGCCUAUAGCAUUUUCAAACAUUUUCACAUAGGUUCUAUUUCAUAAUUUCACCCCCUUUUUGUUAUGGAACAAAAAUUAACUAAAAUUGUCGGGUUCUAUCUUAAGUUUGGGCUUUCUAGAGGCCCACUAACAUAAUUAAACCUAUGCCAACGUUCACAGGAUUCCCGAAAAUUGGGGCGUUACAACUCUACCCUCCUUAAAGAAAUUUUGUCCUUGAAUUUACCUAAUCCAAACAGAUGAGGGUAUUGCUGUUGCAUCGUCUCUUCUGGCUCCCAAACUCAGAAGUUUCCCCUUCCUUAACUUGUUGAAAACGAGUGACCAAAGACUCAUCGUUCAACUGUUUUUCCUUAAUCUGAUCCACCCAGGUUGGCCUCACUUGCAACUCAGCCAACAGACUUCCAUCAUCAUACAGGCUCAGACGAGCAAACAUUGCUCUCAGAUGAGAUACAGCUCUACGACUUAGAGCAUCGGCUACCACAUUAGCCUUGCUUGGGUGAUACUCGAUAGAACAGUCAUAAUCCUUAAGCAACUCAAUCCAUCUCCUUUGCCUAAGGUUCAUCUCCUUCUGAGUCAACAAAUACUUAAGACUCUUAUGGUCAGUGUAUAUAAUACACCUUUCUCCGUACAAGUAAUGUCUCCAAAUCUUUAGUGCAAAUAUCACUGCUGCCAACUCUAAAUCAUGAGUCAAAUAGUUUCCCUCAUGAGGCUUAAGCUAUCGUGAUGCAUAUGCAACCACCUUACCCUCUUGCAUUAACACGCAGCCCAAACCCACGUGUGAUGCGUCACUGUACACAGUAAAAUCAUUCCCAGACUCCAGCUAAAUUAACACAAGUGCUUCAGUCAGAACUUUCUUCAACUUCUCAAAAUCUUCCUGCUGCUUCUCAGUCCAUACAAACGGUACUCCUUUCCUUAUGAGUUUUGUCAGAGGUGCUGCCAUCGCAGAAAAACCUUCCACAAACCUUCUGUAGUAUCCUGCCAACCCUAGGAAACUUUAAAUUUCUGACACCGUCCUAGGUGGCUUCCACUCCAAAAUUGCUUCAAUCUUUCGAAGGUCCACCUUACUCCCUUCGGCAGAGACCACAUGUCCUAAGAAGGUUACCUCUCUCAACCAAAAUUCACACUUGCUGAACUUCGCAAAGAGUUCCUUCUCCCUUAACACUCGUAGCACUAUACGGAGAUGCUCAUCAUGUUUCGCUUCAGUUUCAGAAUAUACCAGGAUAUCGUUAAUAAAGACGACUACGAACUGAUCAAAAAUGGUUGGAACACACGAUUCAUUAGAUCCAUAAACGCUGCAGGAGCGUUCGUUAGUCCAAAUGGCAUAACCAGAAACUCGUAAUGACCAUACCGAGUCCUGAAUGUCAUCUUUUGGAUAUCUGCCUCCUUGACCCUUAACUGAUGAUAUCCAGAUCGAAGGUCGAUCUUAGAAAAUACAGAAGCUCCUCUAAGCUGGUCGAAUAGAUUUUCAAUCCUUGGCAGUGGAUACUUAUUCUUAAUCGUCAGUUUGUUCAACUGGCGAUAAUCAAUGCACAUCCGCAUCGUACCAUCCUUCUUUUUCACGAAUAGCACUGGUACUCCCCAUGAAGACACGCUUGGCCUAACGAAGCCCCUAUCCAACAACUCUUGAAUUUGAGCCUUUAACUCCACUAACUCCUUCGGUGCCAUCCUAUAUGGUGCGAUGGACAUAGGCGCCGUUGUAGGCAACAAAUCUAUUCCAAACUCAACUUCUCAAUUCGGAGGCAAUCCUGGAAGCUCCUCCAGAAAAACAUCUUGGAACUCCUUUACGGUCCUAACCUUAUCCAUUGUCAGUCCCUCCUCUUCUGACUGACUUACAAAUGCCAAAUAGGCCUCACAACCUUUCCGAAUCCACUUCUCGACUCUUAAUGCCGACACCACAUUGGACAAAUAAUCCCUUCGCUCACCUAUCACCAUAAUCUCCUCAUCCUUUGUGGUCCUUAACACCAUUCAUUUAACAGCACAAUCCAGAGUCGCUUUAUGCUUAACAAGCCAGUCCAUUCCCAAAAUAAGAUCAAACUCUCCGAACGGUAACUCCAUCAGAUCUCCAGGGAAAAUUUUACCUUGAUUUUCUAAGGGUACAUCCCUAUACAGUUUGCCUACCCUAACCGAGUGACUCAAAUGACUUAGUACAGAUACCCCACUCACAAUCUCCUCACAGCAGUCCAAGUUGUCCAUAAUCCGUUCUAUGGCCUCCAACCAAUAUUCCACCACAUUCGGGGCUAUACCAAACACGCCCCUAAAGAUCUCCGCUCCGUUAGCCCGAAGUCGUUCAGAAAUAGAACCUCGAAUUUUGUUGCCCGAACUUGUCCCGGCAACCCUUUCCAGAACACGAAGCAUUGCCUGCGACAGAGCGUCAUCCCCGGCACCACGAUCAUGAGACUCUACUUCCGUUGCCGAUGGUACGGUGCAUCUGCCGCCGGUAUAUGUCCCGAAGACGAAGAUACCGCUCGAGCACUUCCUCGGCUCUGUCCACGGCCUCUUGUACUCAUAUCGUAUUAUCUUGAUUACGAAUUUUUAUGCAUCAAUUAAUAUUCCAGUGUUUAUUACAGAUGUUUUAUGAAUCAGACAGUAGUUCAGAGUUUGUUUUCACAGAAUCGAAGUCUAGCUACAGUUUCAGUCUCUUAUUAGAUUUUCCUAUGGUUUCAGUAUCAUCCUAUCUAGAGUAUCCUAGCAGGAUUUCAGUACAGACAGAUAAGAUAGAAAAAUAUUCAGAAGAGUUCAAAGUAAUACUUACAUGCUUGGGCCGGAGAUUCGGAACGCCACCUUCUAAAGAUCUAAAUUUUGAAAAUCGCGUUCUUCGCAAUCUUUAUAAAUUUUUUUUUUAUUUUUGAAAAUCUUUGUUUUUUUUGUAAACCCAUUCCACAGCCGAGUUGUUGCAACUUAGGCUCUGAUACCACUAAAUGUAGCACCCCAAACCCAGUUCAGAAGUUAUGGCCGGAUCCGACAUGCCACAUCAAAAAUGUUAAAAAAAAUUUUCCAUUCUAAGUUCAGAAAAUCGUACUUGAUGUUCAAAAGAUUAAUUCAUUAAGGGUUAAAGUAAAUGGAAGCUGUGCACCAGGUAGGAAACCGGGAAAGAGGAGCUGAGUCCAUCAGACUGCUUAAGUACCAAACUCCCUUCGGAUCCAAUCCUAGACAUGCAAACCGCCAUUGCCAUACCUUAAUGUCAUGUAUAUUUCAAGGAAACCGAUUUGAUUAAGUCCUUUUUAGGAAAAGUGAUUAAUUUUGGAAAAUAUCUUCAUUGCGGAAGCUUUGCCCGUUUUUGUGUUAUUUUGAAAUCAAUUACUAUUUUUGAAAACGCACCCUAAAGCUAUCUAAUUUCAACAUUUAAAAUAUAAAUAUUACCUAUCUUAAUAAAACAUAUAAAAACCAUCAAAAAUAAAUAAGCGGCCUUAUUACAUUUAAAAGCCCAAAACCUCAAACGUAAUUAAAAGGAUGUCCAGUUCACUAGAAGAAAAUCAAACUUUCAGAACGGGUGGCCACUCCGAAUUCCCUCACAGCUCCAAGCCCACUAUGGUUGGGGAUUUCCUGCGUGGAUGAAAAUAAAAGGGGUGAGUUUGGGGAAACUCAGUGUGUAAGGAAAACCCAUUCAAAGCCCAAGUCAGCUCAAGCCUAUUGGGUCUAAGCCCGUUCAGGUAACAGUGGUACUGGGCCAGAGCCCUUUUCAGAUUACAAUAAACUGGGCCUUAGCCCAUUAUUCAGAUAACAGUAUGGCCCAUAGGCCCAUUUCAAAAUACAUGCAACAUCAAUAAAAUAUGCAAACCCAUUUGGGGAGACUACUCAACCCACCAACCACUACACUCCACCCGUACUAGCCAUACACUCCAUGUGGGGAAUAGCUCAACCCACCCAACCCAACACUCCACAGUUGCAGCCUUGCUGCUCAGUUAACAGUAAAUUAAGGCAAAGCCUCCAGUACGUGGACAAGCCACUUUCAGUACUUCCUCCGUCAAUAUCCCAGUCUCAUGCAUCAGAUAAUAACAACAUGGCAUGCAGUAAAUAACAACAGUCAAACAUGCAUUUAGGUCAAUUUAACCCUAGGGGUAUUUCGGUAAUUUAUCUCCUAAGGGUAAAACUGUAAAUUUUCCACUUUUAAAGAUAUUUCAGUAAUUUAUCUAUUUUAGGGUUUUUCAUACAUAUUCCUAUCUUUCACGUACUAGCAGAAUCACUACCGAGGGUUCUUACCGAAUUGGGCCCGUUGGCCCAUCAUUCCAAUUUUGGCCCAUUAAGCCCAAAAAUAUCGAGGGCACAGAAAUCAUGCACUUUGCAAUCCAAAUUUUACAGUUUAUCAAAAACAUUAAUCGAUUUACCUCACGAGCAUCGCACACUCGCAAAUCUACAAAAUACCAGUUUUCGGCAUUUCGGCUUUUCGACUUUUGCCGAUCCAGACUAAGAAAGAGGGUGUUAGUUACACACCUGUUUACGACGAUAUGCUGACGAGAUCCACACACGAACCACCUACAAUUGGAUUACUAACACGUUAAUCUAACUAUUCAAAUACAAACUACGUAUUAACCCCUUACAAUAUUCGGCCAACCAUACCUAAAGAUCAUAGCAAGCUUAUAAGAAAUCAAUAAGCAACUCAUUAACAAAUUUUUGUCAAUGUUUACCACAUAAUCAUAAUUUCACUGCAAGCUGUCUUCCUGAGCAACAGUCACUAAAUUAUUUAUAACUGGAGCUACGAAACUCCAAAUCAAGUUCCGUUAAUUUUCCCUGAAAAUAAACUCAUAUAUAUUACAUCCAUAAAAUUUUUAGUAUUUUUAGUUUAUCCAAUCAAUACCAGAUUUUUCUCAAAGUUUCCCAUGUUUCACUGUUUGACUAAUCUGACCACUCUUCAUUACGAAUAAAAUUUCCCAUUGUACAGAAUUCAAAAUAUGUUCUUGUUUAUUUCAUUAGAAACUAGACUCAAUAAACUUUAAUUACAUAAUUUAUUCAGCUUCUAAUUCAUCUUCCACAAUUUAUGAUGAUUUUCCAAAGUCACGUUACUGCUGCUGUCCCAAGCAGAUUUAUUACCAAAUCACUCUUUCACACAUACCUUGCAAGCAUGUUAUUUAAACAUGUAUAUCACCAAUCAAUCAUCACAUAUCUAUGAUUUUACUUAAGAAUAAUCUCCAUUUCAUCAUUUUAAAGCACAACAUGUUAGCUGAUUUUUUUCCCUUUAACAUCUAAGGCACAUGCAUGCUCAUUUGUUUGGCUCAACUUCACCUAUCUUCUAUUUUUUUCAUCAAAAGAACAUGAAACAACAACCAUUUCCUUCAUUUUAAUUCAUGACUAAAUGCUCACAACACAACUAAAAACCAAAAUAUGCUUCAAGAGUUAAGGUAGAAUUAAGAAGAACUCAUGAACCUCAAAAUAGAAGCAAGGUACCAAGAACUUACCUUCAAUUUUCCUCCUCCUAAUGACCGAAUACUCAAGAGCUUUCUCCUCUCCUUUCUCUUCUCUAACUUUCAGCUAUGAUGAACAAAGAUGGACAAAACUUUGUUAUUUUCACCCCUUUUUCUUUUAAUAAAACUUCAUAUUUCAUCCAUUUAAUUCUUUAAUACAAAAGAAAUGAAAUUCUUAUCAUGAAACAUUUACCUAACCCAUUAUCAUGGAACAUUUACCUAACCUAUUAUCAAUUUGUAUCAAUUUGUACCAUAAAUUAUGGAUAUCAAGUGUACAGUUUGUCUACAACAACAUGAUGGCUGGCCACUUCAUGUAAAAUGGGAGGUUUGUCAUGCAAAUCCUCCUAUUUUGCACUCCUAUUUAUUUGGCCACUUCAAUUUAGCCUAUAGCAUUUUCAAACAUUUUCACAUAGGUUCUAUUUCAUAAUUUCACCCCCUUUUUGUUAUGGAACAAAAAUUAACUAAAAUUAUCGGGUUCUAUCUUAAGUUUGGGCUUUCUAGAGGCCCACUAACAUAAUUAAACCUAUGCCAACAUUCACAGGAUUCCCGAAAAUUGGGGCGUUACAUAUAAUUUAUUUGAACAUUAUUUAUUUGUAGCCGAAUCAAUUACUCAAGUAGUAAGUAUGGGUAGAUGGGAACUAAUUAAGCUAACAAUGGGUGAUUCGAGUUUUCAGAUGGCUUAAUUUUGUUUGCAGAAGCUUCAAUUGAGCAAAUGAAACUUGUUAAGGGAUAAAUUGGAUGCCUUUUAUUAUUGCUUCAUAAGCGAGUAACUAAAUCUACGUAUCAAUAUUACUAAUAUAUAUGAGAUAAAAAAGUCUUUAAGUACAAGCUAAAACUCUCUUGCUAUCGGAAGAAUAACUCUCACUAAGGCAUGUUGGUCGUCGUUCUUAUAUAUGCAAUACAAUGGACUUUUCUACAAAAAGGAAUAUGCUCGAUAAUGGAAAAAAUCAUACGAAACUUGUUUGGCGCACACAGAAGACAAAAGAUUUUUUUUUUUACAAGAAGACCUAAAUAGAUCAACCUUCAAUUAAUAGCAUCAUCAAUUACAAUGUUAUGGAUCACCGUAGAGUAAUCCAUACCAAAAACCAAAUGACCCUCGUGAGUAAUGGCAUAAUUGCACAAAAGAUCUGCCACCUUAUUACAGUUACAAUUGACCACUUAACAGCCGCAUUAUCAAACAUAUCCAUAGUUUUAAAGCAUUCACUAAUGCGGUAACCCAUGAUAGUAAUAUCCUCCCUACGCUUCUUAAUUCUGUUCUCGAGGCUGGCAAGAAGACAAAAGAUUUGAUUUAGUGAAAAGGGGUGAUAUUUGUCAACCAACGUCUCAAGGUGGCCUUGGAAUUAAAGGGUUGGGUUGACAGAAUGCUGCCUUGGGUUUUAUCUGGUGCUUUAAGAUUGAUCAACUUCGGUUCAACUGCUACGAACUAAGUAUAAGUGAGGAGUUAGGCGUGGAAUCAUAUGGAAUAUUGGGGAUGGUGUGAGGUGGAUUUUGGGCGCGACUCUUGGGUAAAAAACUGUGAGCCUUUGAUGAACAGUAGUAUAGGCGUGGAAUCAUUUGGAAUAUUGGGGAUGGUGUGAGGUGGAUUUUGGGUGCGACUCUUGGGUAAAAAACUGUGAGCCUUUGAUGAACAGUAGUAUCCAACCGGCCCUUGCGCCUUCUAAUAAUGUGCCUCUAUGUAAUAUGAUGGAUCAUAUUGGGGAUUGGAAUUGGACACAAUUCAAACACUUACUGACUGAAUCGAUAGCUUUAAAAAUUAGCGCCUUGCGGCCUCCUUUGCAAUCGAAUAUCCCUGACUUCCCUGGGUGGCGCUGGGAGAGAAGACAUGUUUUUAUCACUAAGUCAGCUUAUUAUUAUGCAAUGGAUAACCAAAAUAGCUUGGAGCCUGAUAAACAAUGGCGAUGUUUUUGGAGUUACGAGGGCAAUCAUAGAGUCAAUUUUCUUGUGUCUGGCGACCAGCAAAAGCUUUUGAUUAAUGAAAAUAGAUUCCGGGGGCACCUUACUGGCAAUCCGUUGUGCAGCUAUUGUGGAGACGACAGAUCAUAUAUUGAGAAGAUGUUUCCCAACCAUGUCAGGCUUGUUAAACGAGAGAGGUUUCAAGAAUUUUAAAGCUUACGUAUUCAUGAUCGAUUGUAUGCAAAUCUUUUCAAUCCCUCAUGUUUUGCAGUGGAUGGGAUAUGGUGUUUGGAAUUCUUAGUUGGAGCUUGAGGAAUGAGAUGAAUAGUAGGAUACUGAAUGAGGCAUUCUUUGCAUGGGAGAACAUCCUUGAAAGAGGAAGUCGAUUAUGUGUAAUACCCUGAAAAUUUUUACAGUUAUUGAAAAAGUGUAUUUUUGGGUCUCCGUUUCUGAAAAAUAGAUUCGUAAAUAUUUAUUAUUAUAUUUACGAAGUUAAGAGAGUGAUUAAUUAAAGUUUAAUGAAGCAAAUUAGCUUAAAUAAAGGAUAAUUAGAUAAAAGGAUUGAAUUGAAUGAAGUGUGAAAGUUUAAUUAUAGGAUAAAGAAAUUGAAAGGACUAAAUAAAUAAAUAAGCCAAAGGAGUGCCAAGUGUAUGGCAAAAAUAAAAUACAUGUGUAAUAAGUAUUAUACAUACAUUUGUAAUACAUGUAUGUAUUUACUUAUUGUUUAAGUAAAUAAUUAAUAUAUUUAUUAUUAUUAAAUUGAUAUUAUAUGAUGAAUAGAUUAAAUAAAGACAAGUGUAUGGUAAUGAUUUGGUACAAAUGUAUUAAUAAAAAAAUACAUACAUUUGUAAUAUAUGUAUUUGAUAUUAAAUGGAUAUUUAUUAUUUAGUGAAAGAUAUUUAUUAAAUAAAUAAUUAUAUUAUAAUAUAUUUAUAUGAUAAAUAAAUGUAAAAUGACAAGUGUAUGGUGAGGAUGAAAUACAAAUGUAAUAAUAUAUGUGUGCCCAAGUGUAAAAUAAAUAUUUGAUAUUAAGUAGAUAUUUAAUAAAGUCAUUAUUAUUAUUAUUGUUAUUAUAUAUAUAUUAUAUAUAUAUAAAGUAAAACAAAAGAAAAAGAAACAGAGAAUGAGAAUGAGACGAAACAAGGGAAAGAAAGGAAGGAAAGAAAAAUAAAAGGAAAAUUGGGGUUUUUGAAGCCUUAAACUUUACUAGGUAAGUCAAUUUGAUCCAUUUUCUUGCAAUUUUGAUGUUUAUGGAAUUCUAGAGAAGAGUACUACAUGAAUUAUAUCAAAAGUUAGGAAGUUAAUGAAUUUUUAUGUGUUGACUAAGUUGAACACAAAGAUGAAUUAAGGGCUAAAUUGAUAGAAAUUCAAGUUAGAAAUGAAAUAAGGAUUGAAUUGUAAAGUGAUUCAUAAGUUUUAUGCUUUAAGGACUGAAUUGAAAGAAUUUUGAAAUUAUGGUUUUAUGAUGAAAAAUAGAUAAUUAUGUCUAAUUUUGGUUAAAAAUUGAGUAGAAAUAAAGUAUGAAUUAAGAUAGAAAAGUAAGUGAAUUUAGUUAGGAUUAAAUUGAAAUUAAAAGUAGAAAAUCAACAUUUUGCACUAAGACUAUUUUGGACAGCAACAGUAGUCUAAGUUUGAAAAAUCACCAAACAUUUUAUAAAUUUAAUUAGAGAAUGAAUAAAAUAUGUAAUUAAAGCUUAUUGAGUCUAGUUUUUAAUAAAAGAAACGGUGUAAGCAAAUGAAUUGUAAAUUAUGAGAUAUAAUAAAUUUUGUGAGACAAGGUCAGAAUGAAUUCGGGUUCCUCUAUUCUGAAUUUGGAAAAUCACCAAAAAUUCGAUAAAAAUAAUUAUAGGCUUAAAGUUAUAUUUUUAGAAUCCCUAAUGAGUUAGGAGAAAUCAACGGGAAUAUUAUCCGAGUCCUGUACUUUUAGAUAAUUAAUUUUUAGUGAAGAAGGGUCGGAACUGUCAGACAACAGAAUAGGGGUGAAUUUAAAUAAUAAACUGUACUUAUUGGAUAAACAAAAAAUUCUGAAAAUUUUAUGGUAAUAAUAUAUAUGAGUCUAGUUUCAGUGAAAAUUAUAGGAUCUUAAUUUGGAGUUCUAUAGCUCCAGAUAUAAACCAUUUAGUGACUAUGACGCAGAUAGACAGCUUGAAUAUUCAUAAAAGUAAAUAAUAAAAAUUAUGGAUAAUGUUACUUACAAGUGUGUUAUCUACAUUAAGGAUGUGGAAUGGAGAGGAGGAGGAGGAAAAAUAUGUAUGAAUAUUCAUCUAUCAUGGCUAAUUUGUAUAUUUUAGGCUCAGAGACUAAAUUGAAUAAAAGUAAAACUUUAUGGGCAAUUUUGUGAAAAUGUCAGAAAUAACCAAAUUGCAUGAAAUGGAUUAUUUUAUUAUUUAAAUUAUAAAAUUUAAAUGAAAUUAUUAAUUUAGUUCAAGAUCGGGGGAAAACAUGUUUUAGGGAUUAAAUUGAAAAGUGUUGAAAUUAUGGAAAAUUCUGAUAUUUUAUAGAAUUCAUGGACUGUUAUCAAUAUAUAUUAGAAUAAUAGCUGGAAAUAAGGAUUAAAUUGCAAGAAUUUUAUUUUCCUGGCCCUAAGGAUGAAAUCGUCAUUAAUUAAAAGUUUAGGGGCAAAAUGGUAGUUUUUCCUAGAGCAUUAAUUAAAUGCAUUAGAAUAUGAAAUGAAUGAAAAUGAUGAUCAAAUUUAUUUAUAAAGAUCCGGACGACUCAAAUAUGAGACUUGAUCGUGGAAAAGAAAAGAUAUCGGAUUAAUGAAAUUAUAAACACAAACAAGCAAUGAGGUAAGUUCGUGUAACUUGAAUUAUAUUCUUAAAUGCUUGAGAUUGCAUGUUAUUGAUGUGAAUAUGAUUUGAAUGUUCAUUGUAUGAAAAUUAAUGAAGCAUUGAUAUAUUUGAUAAAAAGGGGAAGAAAUCCCAGUUGAAUGAAAGGAAAUUUCGAUUGAUCUCUGAAAAGGAAUUGACGGUAAAAAACAGAAUCUAGCCCGGACAGGUGAUCCUAUUCUGAUAUAGCCCUCCCGAAGAAUACGCGUAAAAUGGAUUUAGCUCGGACGGGUGAUCCGAAUUAGGGUCUGAAUUUAGCCUGGACUGGUAAUUCAGAUCCAAGCUCAUUAGAGUAAUUGUCGUUACAGGGGAUUUAGCCUGGACUGGUAAUCCCGACAAUACUCUAUGAGUUUAUAUUACAGGGGAUUUAGCCUGGACUGGUAAUCCCACUCUAAGGAUGAGGUUCGCGGGAGUGUGUUCUCUGAUAUGAAAUGUGUAAGACCAUGGUUGAAAGAUACCAUAGCAACCUGAUAUGAAAUGUGUAAGACCAUGGUUUAAAGAUACCAUGGCAACCUGAUAUGAAAUGUGUAAGACCAUGGUUGAAAGAUACCAUGGCAACAUGAUGGAAAAUGAGUAAGACCAUAGUUGAAAGACACUAUGGCAUCAUGUCAAAGAUAAAUAAGGCCGUGGAUGGGAGACGCUAUGACAUAUGUUGAACAAUUGAUAUUCAGGUAAUAUGUAUCAGAUGAUGAAUGAUUAUAUGAAAUGGUUGUAUGAAAUGUUUACAAGAACUGGUCAUAUGGAAAUAUAUGUACAAAAUAGUUUAUGAAAUAAUUGUGAAGAUAGAUAAACGAAAUAAGUAUAAGUACAUGGAAUAUAAUUUAUGUUAAGAUAUAAGCUAUUACCGGAAUAAAUAUACGUAAAAUAUAUGGAAAUGAUGGAGCAUAAAAUAUUGAUAUAAUGAAAUGAAUGAUAUAUGCUUAUGAAGAAACGAUAAGAGCAUGAUAUGUUUCAUGACAUGUACAUAUAUGAUUAUCUUUGAUAUGCUGAUACAAGGAAAUCAUGUAAGUUGAGACUAUUAUUAAACUCAAGUGUGAUAUGUCGAGAAAAUAGAUAUAUAAUGUUGAAUUUAUAUGAGAUAUGUGCAAGUAUACUAACAAUGUUGCUGUUUGAUGCUUAUACAAGUGCCAAACUGUUGAUUGAAUGGUAAUAUAUUUAUUUAUAUGAUGCAUUGGAUCGGUAAGUAUUUAAUUUUUUUUUAGUGAUCUGCAAAUGGUAGUAAUGCUCUAAAACCCUAUUCUGGCAGCGGAUACGGGUUAGGGGUGUUACAUUAUGGAAUGAGGUGACCAAAGCAAGGUCAGAUUUGCAAGCAAAACUUGGCAGGGUCGUACUAGGGAAUGAGAG